UAGGAAGUGGAGGAAGCGCCCCAAGCUUUGGGAAUGAGGGUAUGGAUGGCUCUGGGAAUGAUGGUUUAGGGAAAGAUGGCAAUGGUGGGAAUGUUUUUUUAAACAAACUUGGCGUUUGAGGUAGUUGCUGAAGGUGACGAGCUGUUACCCCAACAUCAAUGCUUGCAAAUGACAAAGUCAUCAAGAAUGCUAAAGCAAAGGAAUUGAAAGAGGCCAUUUUUGUGGAGAGAUUUCGAAAGUAAUGAAGCAGAUGAAACAAAGUUCUUUAUCUAAAUAGGUGUGAGUGAGGAAAACAAAGCAUGGUGUUGGGGGUUUAUAUAGGCAUUAGCAAUUCAGAAAUACACUUAUAGGCGAAGUGAAAAACAAUAAAUUAUAUCAUAAAUUAUGAUAGUAAAAUAUAAUUAUAUUAUUUUAAUAGUCUAUAUUUUUUUUAUAAUUCUUAGAUAAUUAAAAUAAUUUUUUAUCAUUUUUGAUGGGUCAAAAUAUAAUUUUAUUAUUACUAAUUUAAAUUUAUAUAAAUUAUAAAAAAUCUGAAUUAAAAAUUUUCCAUUCAUGCCUAAUCGCAAUGGGGAUUGCGGGAAAUAGAAAUCCCUGCCCCUAAACAAUGCCACCAAAAUAAAAUAGCGCCAUGUCUUUUUUAUAUUUUUUCCAUUUUAAUCGCAAUUCAUUUUUAAAUAAAAACAUUAUAAUGGUUUAGGUUAAUUUUUAAAUUAUUAUAAAUAAAAUAUUUAUAACUGUUUUUUUAUAUUAUAUUAAUUUUAAUAUUUCUCCAAUUAACAUAUAGUUUAAAAUUUUAGUUACAAUUUUAUUCAAGAUUUAAAAGAAAAAAAACACUUAUUUUAUAAAAAAGAUGAGUUACAACUAAAAGAAAAAAAAACAUGUGGCAGUGGCAUAACUUUAUUAGGGAGCUAGAUUUUUAGUUGAAACUCAUUUUUUUAUGAAAUAAAAGUGGUUUUUUUUUUAAUUUGAAUAACUUUGUAGCUGAUUUUUCAAACUAUAUUAUUAACUGGAGAAAUAUGAAAAAUAAUAUAAUAUAAAUGCAAAAACAAUUAUAAUAAAUAAAAUUUUAACCUAAGUCAUCAUAAUUUUUUAUUUAUUUAUUGAAUAAAAAGUGAAUAUAGUCAAAGAUUGGACGAGUUUAAUAAGUUGAGUUAUGAAAAGUUGAUUAUUACUUUUUAUUUAAUCCUCUAUUAGACAAAAAAAAAACUAAAAUUGAAAAAUUGAUUGAGGGAAAAAAUGGAGUUUCUUGGUUUAGAUUUGCUUUAUAUCUAAUUUUUUUAAAGUUAAAUAUAAAAUUAAUAUCUGAACUUAUUCACUUCUUCUAAAUUUAUAUUUAUGGGUUUAGACUAUAUUGAUACUUGAGACUAAGGGUGUCAAUUUUUUGUUGACAUGACAGUGUUGGCCAAUCGCAUGCCGCUACAUAACGUUGUCUUUUAUAUAUAUAUAUAUAUAUAUAUUUUUUUUUUUUUUGUUUUUCCUUCUCUUCCCUUUUUCUUUUUUUUUUCUUAUAUUUCUUUUUCUUAUCUGUUUCUGCACUUCUUUCUUUCUUUUGUAAAAAAAACCCAUUUGCUUCUUCUUUUACCUCUGCUUACAAUCUCCAUCAUUGAAGAAGAAGCUGAAGGAACCCUAAUUUCUCUAAUCCAUUUCUUUGCUUCAUUUCCCCUUAAUCCCAAUCCUACAAAAAUCCCAAUACAACAAACCUCAAAAACCCAAGCAAUGGCCAGACUCCAUUCGUUCUUGUUCUUCUUCUUUCUCAGAGGUUGAUUCAGUAGGUUCAAUGACCUCCAUGGUUAGUUUUCUUAUUGCAGGUUAUAAUCCUGAAAUGGAUUCUUAUGGGCCAGUCUUAGAAAGGAUAGCUUUGCUCCUGGGUUCCAGGGAUGGCUCCAUCUUGUUUGUGGAUCUAAUGAGCUUCAUCACACCGCUCGCCUCCACAGUGAAGCUUCCGACCCACUGCUUCUCACUUACAUCUUGGCUAAUUGAUUCAAUCCCUACAUUUGGAUUUUUUUACAAUGGAAUUGGAUCCUGCACGAAAUCGAUUAGUAGUUCGACUUAGAGAGAGGAUUUUGUGGACAAGUGGUGAAGAUUUUGAAAAUAAUUGACACUUGGUACCAUUAAACAUGAAAUAUGAUUUCACUAAUGUUUCUAAUCCAAAUGAGAAGUAUCUUUAUUAUGCUAUUGUAAUUAGUCAAUUUACUCCUGGAGAGCAAAGGAAAAAUGGUCGAUUAGUUUUGCUUGACGAUAGGAGUUUACAAAUUCGAGAUGAUUGGUUAAGAUUCGAUUCACACAUCUGUGAUGGUAGAAGCACAGAGAAUGGUUGCGAGAGGUGGGAAUGACCAAAAUGCCGAAACAAAGGUGAUAAGUAUGAAGUAAGAACCAUACGAUAUACACAUAAAAGAUUCUUUUAAUGACACAUUAUAUGGAAACACCAAUCUUUCCUUGAACGAUUGUAAGGACAUAUGUUGGAAAGUUGGAAAUGUUUGGGAGUUGAAGCGGGAAAGGACCUUGGUUGUCGAUUUCUUUUAGGGCAUUAUGAAGAAGGUGUGUUGGAUGGUUUCUCCCAUUCCAUUUUGGGGGGGUUUUGAAGGGAAAAAAAAACAGAUAGAAGAAAGGUAGAAGACGAAGUGGUAAAAAAUGAAAAAAAGAAAAGAAAAAAAGUUGUAGCAGUCAAAGAGGUAGAAGAAGACGAUAGGGAAAGGAAAUUUCAAAGGAAAAAAUAAAUAAAAAAUAAAUAAAAGGUUUUUAAAAAUAUAAAAUGAUAUAAAAAUAAUUGAAGGAACAACUUUUUAGGCCAAAGCGAGUGACACGUGGCAGUGCGUGAGUGGUAAGCACUGCCACAUCAGUAAAAAAUUGAUGCCGUGGGUCUUAAGUGCCAAUAUAGUGGACGAAAAAAAUAGUUUGAAUACUAAUCAGAGACAAAAAAAACCAUAAGUACCAAUCUGGGAAAAGUGGACAAGUUUGGGUACCAAUUUUAUAUUUAACCUUUUUUUGUAAAUAGAAACAACAUUAAGAAAUUACAAAAAUAAGCAGAAAUAUGGCGCCCCAAACUUGGUCGGGACUGUCCGACCCGAAUUCGAUUGGCACAUUAACCACCGAAAGGACUCUCUGUUUAGACCACCACAAAGCACCUCAAUCAACUAUUCACACCACACAAUUAUUCAAAGAAUAUUUAAAAAGUUUAUAAUCAUGCUUCUGUUGUGCUAGUCUGAUCAUUCAAUUAACAGUAAGAAUAAACUUAAUAUCUAGCAAACAAAAUACCCCAAAAGCUUCAGUAACACAUGCGUGCAUGCAAAAAGAUAUUUUGAAAGGCUAUGUUUGAAAGGAUAUUGGAAACAGUUUUAUUUAAAAACAUGUGAUUAGAUUUAAAUCGUAAUAUAGUAAAAAUAUCAGAAAAACUCCAUUUCACAAGGUUUGAGAAUAGUAUUAUAGGAUUAUACGUAUAAGUCUUGUUUCGAAAGAUCAAUUAAAACAUUACGUACAAUUUCAUAAAAUUUGUCAUUUAAUUAGUUCGCAGGCAACUAACAGUUUACGUUAUUAGUCCAAUUUUACAUCUCAUGCAUACAAAGCACAUGUUUGCUUUCAAAACACAUAUGAAACAUUUUGGUCUUACCUUGACGACCGGCAACUCUUCCACCUACACUUACAAGUUAGUCAAUCAAUUAAUCAAAACAUUAAUCAAGCAUUCAUAAUGUACCAUUCAAUCAUCUAUCUAAAGCAGUAAUAAAAGUUCCAAGUCAAAACAAAGUCUAAUCCUAAAUCCCAUAUUUGGUCCCACUUUGCCUUACUCAUUAGGGUUGGGAACACAUCAAUAUACCCACGUGUAGCCUUGUUUUGGAUCACUUGGAUAACUCAGUUCCACACCUCAUCGCGCUCUAUAUCACUAUAAUGUUCUAAAAGGGAGUUUGAGCUUAUUGAAGCUCAGUGAGUGUUCAAACAUACCACAAAUAAACACAUUAGUCAGCUUUGGGUGGACAUAUCAUAACAAUUCACGUAAUAUUAAAGUUCAUACAAAAUAGUGACUCACGCAACACAACAGUUUUCAUAAAUAAACAGUGCACAUAGACUAAAAAAUUUACAUAAAGUAAGCUGUUCACGUAAAAUAUAAGUUCAUACCACAUCAUAACUCAUAUAUUUCAAAUGAUGAUAAGUUGACAUUUUGUGAUUUUGAAACAUAUAGGGGACUCUAUCACCACAUAUAAGUGAAAUCUAUCACUACAUAUUGGACAAAUGGAUCUCCAUAUAACACCUCGUUGUUGACUUAAAAGAGCCUUGCGCUAUCUCCGAUAUAAGUGUAGCAUGGAUACUGACACUCUCUUUACCCAGACUCAUAGACUCUUUGAUGCAUCGUUGAGAGCACCAAAAAUAACCUAUCCCUAUAAAAUAACGAAAAGAAUAGUAUAAGGGAAGUAGGGUCAAAUCCUUAAGGAGUGGAUUUUCACAAAUUCCUGUUCCUUGAGAUCCCGGGCAGAGUCGUGCCCAAGAAAAACUGCGUACCUAGAAAGAAAAAUUUUAAAAAAAUAGAAUUAAAAGUUUGGAUGAAUUGAACUUGCGUAAACUGAAAUUAAAAUUGUAAAAAAUAAACAGAGUUGAGAAAAGAGAUUUUUUGAUGGAGAGGUUCCAGCCUCCGGUUAUAUCGAUCCUCCUUGGGUUAAAUCCCAGGCUUUUAGGUGAUACUUCUCGAACAGAACAAGCCAGUUAUAGUGGAAUAGGACGUCUAUGACCACCAGCUCCAAUUAGAUUUUAGAAUUACGAUUUAGAAGAAACUGACUCUAGCCAACCGUCACUCUUGUGGGACCAUCUUACAGUACAUCAUCAUUUCUCAAUGGCAAAUGUCACACCAUUUUUUCUCUUGGGCUCGACAACCACUGAUGCAGUAAGCUAACGAACCGAUUGUGCAACCUUCCCAAAACAUACAAAGUGGCCGCCUUUGCACAAGAUGAAAAGAUCACUUUUGGAAGGACAUGGACGGAAGCGUCAGUCCCGUGAUGCGGAGAAAUGAUGAAUACUCGUUGAGAAGGCCAAGUGCGGAUUCUAAGCCUCAUGAACCUUUUUUGGGGAAUCUCAACAACCUUUGGCUAGAUGAAUUUAGUGGCUCAUGCUUUUUAGGAAAAAAGAAAUAAGCUUAAUAAAAAUGGAAUUUUAUUGAAUAAAUGAAAGGAACAAAGGCUAGAGCUUUUUGGGAGGAGUUUUUUUUAACAGAAAAGAUCGAGAGCAAUUUGUGUCACUCUAUCCCCUAUUUAUAAUACUAAGAAAAACUAGUUUAUUCUUAUCUAAAUUCUAAAAGAUAAAUAAAGAUAAAUAAAGAUAAAAGCUAAAAAUUAAAUCUAAAUAAUAAUCUUAACAAUAAUCCUAAUAAAAUUCAAAUUUAAAUAGAGUCUUUUGUUCAUAAAUCUCUUCUUUGCACUUUUGCCCCCCAAGUCUGCCACACAUUGCAUUUUCGGCACCACUUCUUUCCUAUUUCGUAUGCUGGCCCAUUUUAUCUUUAAAUUCACGAUUUUUACCUCCAAAUUUCCUUUUGCCUUCAAUUUAGUCCCUACAAGAUAAAAAACCAUAAAUAGCACAAAUUAGUAGGAUCAUACUCAAAAUAAAUAUGUAAUUAAUACGUAAAAAUAUGUCAUUCCAGAGUAUUAUCAAAUUCCCCCUACUUAGCCCAUGCUUGCCCUCAAGUAUGGCUCAUAUCCACCGUGAAAUUUAGAUUUUACCAUGAAAGAAGUAUCAUUCCAAAGUUUUAUAAAAAUUAGGCAUAAUGCAUAUGAAAAUAAAGAGAACCUUUAGCUUGCUUUAAGUAAAACUGAAAAACUAUUCCAAUUUAAACACACAAAAAUUAAAUCGUCCUGGCCUAUUUCAUGAAAAUAAGGUCAUUUACUAAACUUACCAAGACACCCAAUUUGUUUCCAACUUUAGUCCUCAAAUGCAAUUCUUUAUUAUUAUUAUUAUUUACUUGUUUUUCCUUUUUUUUUUCUUUUUUAUGUUUUUCUUUGCUUAAGAAUAUAUUGAACCUUUUGACGCGAAGAGAAAUGACAACCAAUCACCCCACCCUGGUUACUCAGCCCAACAUACUCCUAAUUUAUUAUAUUUAUAUAUUUUUUUCUUAAGAAUAUAUUGAACCUUUUGACGCGAGGAGAGAUGACAACCAAUCACCCUACCCCAGUUAAUUAGCCCAACGUAUUCCUAAAAUUUUUUUGUUUAAUUCCAGUUAACGGAGUUUUUCCUAACACGUCACACAACCUUUUGACACGAAGUAGGAUGACAACCCAAGAACCCUACCCCGGUUACUCAGUCAAUCACGUUUUAAGCUGUAAUCAUAACCACAGAGGCAUCAAAAUUUAUUAUUAUCAUGAAACAAAAUUUUAAUUUGGAGGACUAGCAAAAACAAUCAAGUGUCAAAAAUAAUUUUCGGCAAUUCCCUAACAGUCAUGAAUAGAAAUUUAACAUGCAAUUGUAUUAAGUGUCCUCUUUACAUUUAAAUUUAAUCGAUUUUCCUAUAAGCAAGAUAGGGUUAACUCUUUUAAUCAUAACUAUUUUAGCCUAAUAGAAAUAAAACAGUGGAGAUGAAAUCAAUCUAGCAAAAUCAUAACUAGCUCAGUAGACAAGAAUCAUGCUCGCAGGUCAAACAGUGGGCGAUUUCUGGUUAAAGUCUUGGGCAUGAAACGAGGCAGGAUAUACUAUAAAUAAAUGUGGGCAAAAAUGAGCACAAGGUAGCAGCAACAGUAACACAAUAGUAAAAUCAACGAAUAAAAUGAUAGAAAUAAUGAGGAAUGUCUCCCUCUGCUUAAAACACAUUGCCCUCGAUGUGAAAGAAAAAGGAAAACAAAUAUGUGAAAAAAAAGUUUUUAAAAAAAUCCCCAUGUAGACACUGUCGUUCAUGCAUAGCUGCAAGGAGGAGAAGGUUUGGCGUUGUAUGGAGGAGAAGAACGAGGGAAAGCCGUUCGUUAACUAAGUUAACGUGUUGGGGCACUGAGAAUCGACGUUGGUGGCUGUUGACGGCAAAUGAGGGUUUGGCGACGGCACGGCUUCUUGUCCUAACCAUGGUGGUGGGAAAAAAUCGGUGGUAGGGAUGAGGGAGAAGGGGAACGACGGUUGGAGGGUUAUUUGAGUGAAAAUGGGGAAAAUUUUAAGGUUUGAAGGUGUAGAAGAAAGGGUGUUUGGCUAUAAGGUAGGUGUUUGGCUAUAGGGUAGGUGUUUGGAUGCAUAUUUUGGGUAAGUAUAAAGCAGGGAUGUGCUAUUCCUACUUGGAAUAGGGAUAAACUAAGGGGUGUUUGUGAAAGCAUGCCAAUUUUUAAGUUUUUUCCCUGCCGAUUUACCUAGACAGAAGAAAAGAAAUUUAUUAAUAUCCAAAUAAAAUAAAGUAAUAAAUAAUAAAAUAAAAUAAAAAUAAAGAAAAAUAAAAAUUGGGUUGCCUCCCAACAAUCGCUUGUUUAACGUCAUUAGCUUGAUGCCCCAACUAGUAUUGGGGUUGUUCCAGCUGAAUUCUUUCGUUCGUAUAGGCUUGGGAAUUCUCAUUUGUUACCACAUCCACCAUAUUUGGGUUCAAUUGUCCUUGCGCCUCUUGCUUUGGUUUCGUUUUUUCCUCUAAGAAAAUCUUAUGUGUGCCUGUCAAGGGGUUAAUCCCUUUUAAGUCGGCAAUAGUCUCAUCAUUAUCCAAAAAUACGUAUUUGAGAUGCUCGGAAAGUGGUUUGAAUUCCAGAUUUGGUGCCUGCACAACUGAAGGUAGAAGUUUAGUGUUCAUCGGAGACAACAAUUCAUUAACAGAUUUAAAAUCAUCAAACAUCAUUUUAGGUUUAUCUCUAUGAGAUGACUCAAAAUUUUCUUCUACUAAUGAGUCAAUUAUGUCGACAUGGUUUACGUUCAAAAUUUCACUAGGAUGACUAAUAGCACCAUAAACGUUAAAUUUUACGAUCUCCCCAUCAAACUCCAUCGUGAGGGUUCCGCUACGUACGCCAAUCUUAGUAUUUGCAAUACUAAGGAAAGGUUGCCCCAACAAGAUGUCUGAAGACCUAGGAGCAAUAUCCUCUUCUAUUUUUAUCACAUAAAAGUUUGUAGAAAAGAUAAGUUCAUUGACUUUCACUAAUACGUCCUUAAAGACUCCUUCGAGAUGCAUAAUAGAUUUAUCUGCUAAUUGAAUGUUAACACCUGUUUUCAUAAAUGGAAAAAGGUAUUACAUUUAUGGAAGCUCCUAAAUCACACAUAGCUUUUUUAAUUCCUAAGUGACCUAUUUUGCAUGAUACUGCAAACAUGCCCCUGUCUUUACAUUUUGCUAGAAUCUUUCGUUGCAACACCGCAGAUACAUUUCACCAACACUUACACUUUCAUUUCCAGUCAAUUUUCGCUUGUUUGUGCAAAGCUCCUUAAGGAACUUGGCAUAUCGCGAAAUUUGUUUGAUGGCAUCCAAUAAUGGUAUGUUGAUCUUGACAUUUCUAAAUGUUUCGAGGAUCUCUUUUUCCUCCUUACCUCUUCAAUGUUGGUUCAAUAGUCCUGGAAACGGAGGUUGAAUUAACGGCAAUGGAGGUUUUGUUCGGACCAGUUCAUCGUUCUCCUACUUUUUCUAGGAAGAAUCUUGACCAAGAUUCCUGCCAGGAUUUGGUUCGAGUACUUUUCCACUUCGCAAUGUCACUACAUUUGCGUUUUGUCUUGGGUUAGGUUUCGUUUGUGGCAGCAACUUUCCUUGUGAGUUCAUUUUCUCAAUGAUGUGGUCAACUCUUUUAUAGAUGCCUCAAGUUUCUGUUGAAAAUCCUUUGUUUCUUUUUGGAAAUCAAUAGUUUUUCGUUGUAUCUGCUAUUGGAAAUAAAGCACAUUAGCUACUAAUUUAUUGACCAUGGUUUCUAGAGAGGUACCUGAAUCUUGCGCUUGUUAUGAAAAUUGAUUUUGGUAUGGUUGGUUAUAUUGUAGGUUUGCCCCAUAACUUAAGUUAGGAUGGUCUUUCCAUCCUGGGUUAUCUGUAUUUACAUAUGGGUCAUAUCGCCUUUGGGGCGGUCCAGGAAAGUUCCCCAUAUUAUGUUCGGGUAUUGCACAUAGUAUUGCCUUUAGGCCAUAGUAUUGUCACACAAACUAGGGCAUGCAUCAGUUGUAUGUUCGGGUAUUGCACAAAUUCUGCACAGUCGGGCUUGUCCUGUUUUUACUGCAAAAAGAGAAUUUACAAUAUUAGUAAGUUUAUCAACUUUAUCUUUUAAAGUUGAAUUACUUAGCUGGUGAACCCUUCUAUUGGGUUCAAGAUUGGCUCAGAAUUAUUAAGUAUUUGCAGCCAUCGUGGAGAUCAAGUCCCUUGCCUGUUGGGGGGUCAUGUUGACUACUGCCCCUCCACUAGCAGCAUCUAUUAUAUUCAUUUCCAUGGGCUUCAAGCCCUCAUAGAAGUACUGGAGAAGAGACUGUUUUGUUAUCCCAUAUUGUGGGCAACUUGCGCAUAACUUUUUAAAUCACUCCCAAUAGUCAUAAAGAGACUCCACAUCUUUUUGCCUUAUCCCAACAAUUUCCCUCCUUAAUUCAACUACGCGUGAUGUUGGAAAAAAUCUGUUGAGAAACAAACAGGAAAGAUCAUUCCAAGUUGUAAUAGACCCAGGGGGUAGAUAAAAUAACCACUCCCUAGUAGAGUCUGCUAGGGAAAAAGGGAAAGAAUGUAAUUUGAUCUGAUCUUUAGUUACGCCCUGAGGUUUCAUACUAAGAAAAACCAUAUGUUUUAGAUGUUUGUGGGGAUUUUCAUUUUGCAACCCCUGAAAAGUCGGCAGUAACUGGAUUAAUCUUGACUUUAGUUCAAAAUCAGUAUCCAUAGUAGGAUAUGCAAUGCAUAACAACAGUUGUUUUGCAGGAGCUUCAGCCAUUUGCCGGAUUGUUUGAGCCAUAGGUUGAUGUGCUAGAUUCGGGUUUUCGUUAACCCUAGCAUUAAGCAUUUCUUCUGGUGGAUUGACUCUUAGCCUUUCGUUCUCCAAUGUUUGAGUAGGGUUUUUGUUAACCCUAAACUUAACUUCAUUGCCUGCUUCUAUUUCCGGCGGUCUAUAGGUUGAUGUGCUAGAUUCAGGUUUUCGUUAACCCUAGCAUUAAGCAUUUCUUCUAGUGGAUCGACUCUUAGUCUUUCGUUCUCCAAUGUUUGAGUAGGGUUUUUGUUAACCCUAAACUUAACUUCAUUGCCUGCUUCUAUUUCCGGCGGUGGGUUACUCUGAGUCCCUACCACCUCUGAUUGCUUUUUACGUAGCCUUGUUUCCUUGCGAUUAGCUUUCGCAGUCUUCUUUAUUUCUGAAUCAAACAUAAGAAUACCUAGAGCAGAUUUGGUCAUAAGAAACAAAAUAAACAAGAUUAGUAUACUAGUCCCCAGUAACGGCGCCAAAAUUUGAUUCGUCGUUGAGAGCACCAAAAAUAACCUAUCCCUAUAAAAUAACGAAAAGAAUAGUAUAAGGGAAGUAGGGUCAAAUCUUCAAGGACUAGAUUUGCACAAAUUCCUGUUCCUCAAGAUCUCGGGCAGAGUCGUGCCCAAGAAAAAUGGCGUACUUGGAAAAAAAAAAUUAAAAGUUUGGAUGAAUUGAAAUUGCGCAAAUUGAAAUUGAAAUUAUAAAAAUAAACAGAGUUGAGAAAAGAGAGUUUUUGAUGGAGAGAUUCCAGCCUCCGGUUAUCUUGAUCCUUCUUGGGUUAAAUCCUAGGCUUUUAGGUGAUCUUUCUUGAACAGAAUAAGCCAGUUAUAGUGGAAGAGGACAUCUACAACCACCAGCUCCACUUAGAUUUUAGACUUAUGAUUUAGAGGAACUUGACUCUAGCCAACCGUCACUUUUGUGCGACCAUCUUACACUAGAUCAUCAUUUCUCAAUGGUGAAUGUCACGCCAUUUUGUCUCUUGGGUUCAACAACCGCUGACACAAUAAGCUAAAGAAUCGACUGUGCAACCUUCCCAAAACAUACAAAGGUCACCUUUGCACAAGAUGAAAAGAUCACUUUUGUAAAGACAUGGACGGAAGCGUCAGUCCCGUAAUGCAGAGAAACGAUGAAUACUCGUUGAGAAGGCUAAGUGUGGAUUCUAAGCCUCAUGAACCUUUUUUGAGGAAUCUUGACAACCUUUGGCUAGAUGAAUUUAGUGGCUCAUGCUUUUUGGGAAAAAAACUUAAUAAAAAUAAAAUUUUAUUGAAUAAAUGAAAGGAACAAAGGCUAGAGCUUUUUGGGAGAGGGAGUUUUUUUUUUAACAGAAAAGAUCGAGUACAAUUUGUGUCACUCCAUCCCCUAUUUAUAGUACUCAGAAAAUCUAGUUUAUUCGUAUCUAAAUUCUAAAACAUAAAUAAAGAUAAAAGCUAAAAUUAAAUCUAAAUAAUAAUAUUAAUAAUAAUUCUAAUAAAAUUUAAAUUUAAAUAGAGUCUUUUGUUCAUAAAUCUCUUCUUUGAACUUUUGCCUCCCAAGUCUGCCACACGUUGCAUUUUUGGCACCACUUCUUUCCUAUUUCGCAUGCUGGCCUAUUUUAUCUUUAAAUUCAUGCUUUUUCCCCCAAAUUUCCUUUUGCCUUCAAUUUAGUCCCUACAAGAUACAAAACCAUAAAUAGCUCAAAUUAGUAGGAUCAUACUCAAAAUAAAUAUGUAAUUAAUACAUAAAAAUAUGACAUUCCAGAGUAUUAUUAGUCUUUCGCUGUCUCCGGAUAUAAUGACCAUCGUAAUAAAGAGGGUGAGUACUCACAAUUUGAAGAAAACAACAAGUUGUAUAGCUAAUUUGAAGUUGAAUGUGAGAAGAAUAAUGAUGAUUUAAUGAUUUUUCUUUAAAAUUGGAAGGUGUUGAGGUGUUUGGAUAACUAAAAAAUCACUAAGGAUGAGUUAAUUUUGAGAGAAAAUAUCAGAUUUGAACUUGCGGAAAAUUUUGAAUGUAAAGGUAAAUUGGAGGGAAGGGACGCCGGGUUUUUAAAGAAGCAAGGAAGAUGAAUAGUUUUUUUUAAAUUAAGGGAAAAUUACCUUUUAAAGACUCUGUUUUCCCUUGUUUUUCAAAUCAGUCCUUAGUCUAAUUAAAACACAUUUUUCUCAAUUAUUUUCAAACCGAUCUAUUUUAAGUUAUUUUAUAAUCGAUCACCUGAUCCUAAUUUUCACUACCUAAUUUUAGACACAAUAAUUAUUUAAUAAUUUAUUAUUACCAUUGUUAUUUAAUUAAUUAUUUUAUCCUAUUUUAAUCUCUAUGAUAUUAAACCCAAUUUUUUCACUCGAGCUUACAACCAAUUACCCAAUUCUACUAACCCGAUUUUUGGGAUGUGACAAGAAAAUUAAAAGCUCAUAAUAUCCUUUUGGAUUAACUCCCGUACAGCUUGAGGAGGUUCAAAAAACACCUGUAGAUUGGUAAAAUUUAUACCAGCUUGCUUAGCCAUGAAAUCCGCAACUAUAUUAUGGUCUCUAGGAAUAUGAUGGAUACAGACUUUCUAAUUCCUUUUUAAUAGUGUAUGGAUGACACGUAUUUCCAUAAGAGGGCUAUCAAUAAGUUUGCUAGACAAAAUUAAUUUCACCAAAAGAUCAUUAUUAGAUUCAAGUUCAACCUGUCGGUAUCCCUUUUCCCAAGUCAAACGUAGCCCUUCAAGCAUACACCUCGCUUCUAUCCUGAAAACUUCAAUUUCUCCCCAAUAUCAUCGAAUAGCCACACAACCAAUUACCAUCCUCAUCUCUAAUGAUUCCUCCAAUUGUAGUCGAGUAAGAACUAAGCGAAACUACAUCAUUUGUAUUGAGUUUAACCCAUCCGCUCUUCGACACAGAAAAUUUUAAUUAUAUAAUACUUAUAUUUAUUAUUUGAUUUAUAUAUAAAAAUAAGUAAAAAAAUUAAUCCAUGGAAAAGGUAGUUGAUUGGUUUAAUAAUUUAGAUUUAAUUUAAGAAUCAAUUUAUUAAACUCAACCUUCUAUGAGAUAAUUUUUGAAUUUAUGAUGAAUUAACUUAUUUUCUUAUAUUCUUAAUUUAUUUUUAGUAUUUUUAUUUUCUAUUAAUUUGAAGUAUUUUACCAUUAAUAUAUAAUUUGAAAAUUGAGUUAUAAUUUUUUUAUUAAAAAUGGUUCACAAAUUGAACUUAACAAAAGAAAACAUUUUUAUUUUAUAAAAGAUACAAGAGUCAAUAACUCAUUUCUUUUUUCAAAUUGACUUUUUUUUUUCUCUAAGUUGAGUACAAAAUUAACUUGAUGAAAAAAAAAAGCAAAUUAAUUUACUGAUCAACUUGUCGGAACUCAGAGUAGCUGAAUCUUCAACUAUAUAUAAUUUUUAUGGUUUAAAAGAGUAAAAAGUACUCAAAUUUUUUUUAAGGAAAAAAUAAUAAAAUUCUUAUUUUUUCUUUUUGCAUUCAAUUGGGUACUUUAACUAUCAAAAUGCAAAAAAAAAAGGUCAUUUGAUUGUUAACUUUAACAAUUGACCGUUAAAGUUAACUUUCUCUAAUUUUUUUCAAUUAAAGCCACCACGUUUCAUAACCACGACGUGAUAUGUGACAGAGAAAUGAUAAAAAAAAUAAAAAUCAAUAAAAGUUAUAAAAAUUAUAAAAAUUGUUAAAUUUUAAUAAAAUUAUAAAAAUAUUUAAAAUUAGAAAAAAAUUAUAAAACUCGUAAAAAAAUAUAAAAACUGUAAAAUUUUAUAAAAAGUGUAAAAAAUUAUAAAAUAUAUAGAAAUAUAGAAAAAAGAAUUUAUAAAAUUUUAUAAAGUCGUAAGAAAAUUAUAAGAAAAUGUAAAGCAAUAUAAAAUUCAUGAAAAAUAGUAUAAAAAUUAUCGUUCCAAAAGAAGCAUUUUAUAAAUUUUAUUGAUUUUUAUUUUUUAUCAUUUUUUGCCACAUGUUACGCUGUGUUGCGACAAAUGAUGGCUUUAACUGGAAAAAAAGGGGGUUGUUAACUUUAGGUCAACGGUUAAAGUUAAUGGUUAAAGGUUUUUUUGAUGCAUUUUAGAAUUUGUUAUGAUUUUUAUAAAAUUUUAUAAUUUUUAAUAAUUUUUUAUUAAAAUUUAAUAAUUUUUUAUAAUUUUUUUUAUUUUUUAUAAUUUUUUUCCACAUGUCACACCGUAGUUGUGACAUGGGGUGGCUUUAAUUGAAAAAAAAUAGGGCAGUUAACUUUAAUAGUCAACUGUUAAAGUUAAUGGUUAAAUGGACUUUUUGUUGCAUUUUGACAGUUCAAUACCCAAUUGAGUGCAAAGAAAAAAAAGCAGGGGUUUAAUUGUUUUUUUUGAAAAAGUUUGAGGGCAUUUUUGAUUCAGUUUGAAAAUUUAAUUAUCCAAUUAAGUGAAAAAGAACUGGAGCUUAAUUGCGUUAUUUGAAAAAUUUUGGGAGCUUUUUUAUUCUAAAAAAUAUGAUGACUUGGAUUAAGUUUUUAUUUAUUAUAUUCGGACAAUUUUAAUAUGUUUCCUAUCAAUAUAUAAUUUGAAACUUAAUUACAAUUUUAUCCAAGAUUUUAAGGAAAACACUUUCAUUUUAUAAAAAAAAAUGAAUUAUAACUUGCGUAAUUUUGAGGGGCACGAACCUCCGAUUUAGCAAAGUUUCCCAAACAUGUUAUGUAUGAUACUAGUAUUUUCAAAGUUGAAGGUGUAAAUAAACUACACUGUACUUGUCAAUUGAGAUAGGUGAAUUCAGUUUAAACGAUUUUGACAUCAUUCCAAAUUUUAAUUAAUUUUGUGUUUGAGCCUUUUGAUUUUAGAUAAUUCAAAUUUAGUAAUCAAAAAGCUUUUCUCUUAAAGUACUCUUCAACUAUGAAACACUAAAUUGUUACAAAAAUAAUUCCUUUUUACUCCCUUUAACUUCAUUUUGAUUUUUUACAAAACACUUUAUGUUAUACUAUAAAUAUUAUUACAUGCGUACGCGUGUUGAAAUUACGUAUUUAGAACACAGAUGCAUGAUUCAAAAUAACAUUCAAUCAACAAUGAAAUGUAUGGUUUGAAACCAAUAAAUAAUAAUUUAUGAAAUAUAUACGAUAUUAAAAUAAAAAUAUUAGAUUGAAUUGUGAGUAAACCAAAAUUUAAACAUAAAAAUUCAUCAUAUUAAGAAUAUUAAAUGAUACAAUUGUUUAUCAUGGUGGUUUCAUCAACCCUAAUUUGGUGUCAAGUUACUUUGUGACACAAACUCCAUCAACAUCAUUAUUAACACUAGAAACUCUAUCACACGCGUAUGUGUGUGGAAAGUACAUAUUUAGAACAUAGAUGUAUGUUUAAAAAUAACAUCCAAUAAAUAAUGAAAUAUAUAAUUUGAAACUAAUUAAUCAUAAUAACACAUGAAAUAUGUACAAUAUUAAAAAUAAAAAAUUAGAUUGAAUUGUGAGUAAAACGAAAUUUACACACAUAAAUAUAUCAGUUUAACAAUACUAAAUGUAACCCCACACCCAACCCAGUUGUCGAAUCCAAAUGCAUAAUAUUGCAUUUUGUUGCCAAAACAUCACAAACUAUCUCAGAACAUUUCAAAUAGUGACUUAGCAUUUAAAUAUAAUAAAUCUCAUACAUUCUUGAUUUUAUAUAAAAACAUGUUUAAUAAAUGUAAAUUGGUCUCAUUAACUGUUUUGGGUUUAUACGGAGACAAAAAAUGAAGUCAGGUAUCGUGUCCAACUCGAUUUAAUAAAAUUUAGCGUUGUGCCUUGAGACAUUGAAAGUCAUGUCUCGAAACUAGAAAAAAAUACGGUUUUGAAGCUGGAUUUCAUUAAUUGAGUUAGUGAAAAUUUUAAUCAAAGAGUUGCCAUUAUUAAUGUAAGAUUUUAUUAUUGGAUGGUCGACUAAUUAAAUUGAGAAAGCCGUUAAUUAUAGUGCAAUGGACAAAUUUCACUCAAUAAAGACUAAAGUAUUACAAAAAAAUAAAUAUUUAACAAUAAAAUUUGGCAUACUCUUAUUUGUCAUUUUACACAUAUAAGCUUUCACCUAUCAAUUAAGUUUUACCAAACACUUUUAAAUAAAUAGUUAAUAGAAUCAGCUGAUCAAAUCAGUUAAUAGAAAGAAUUGGUCAAGUCAAUUAUUGCAAUCAGCAAUAAGUUAUUAGUCAAUUGCCAAAGAUAAUAGUUUAAAAUUUUAGUUCUCAUUUUAUUCCAUAUUUAAAAGAAAAAAAACACUUAUUUUGAAAAAAAAAUGAGUUACAACUAAAAGAAAAAAAAACAUGUGGCAUAACUUUAUUAGGCAGCUAGAUUUUUAGUUGAAAGUCAUUUUUUAUAAAAUAAAAGUGGGUUUUUUUAAUUUGGAUAAAUUUUUAGUUAAUUUUUCAAAACCAUAUUAUUAAUUCGAGAAAUAUGAAAAAUAAUAUAAUAUAAUAUAAUAUAAUAUAAUAUAAAUUAUAAAAAAUAAAAAAUAACCUAAGUCAUCAUAAUUUCUUUUAUUCAUAAAAUAAAAAAUGAAUAAAUUGGAUUAAUAAUGUAACAUCCAAAAAUCGGGUUAGAAGAAAUGAGUUAGCGGAACCAAUAGUGGUUUCCCCUUGAUUUUGAAUUAGAAUUUUGAAAGUUUUGUAAAACCAAUUGAUUUGAUUUAGUGGUUAAGUGCUUUGAAUGUGUGUUUAAAGUCUUAUGUUCAAAUCUCUCCUUUAGAAUUUUUGUUAUUUUUUUGUCUUAACCUAUAUCAUUGAUCAUCUGGCAUAAAUUCUAUUUUUGAUCAACUGAUCUUAAGAAUGAGCUUGUUGGUUCAAUAGUUAAGCUUCUAUGUACCCUUUGGUCUUGUGUUCAAAUUUUUGCGUAAGUAAUAAGAAAAUACUUUUAUAUUAUUCCGUAAAUUAGUUUAGUUUUUUUUAUUAACUUCCUUCUCCUAUGUUCCAAAAAAAGUUUACCUCUCCUAUUUAUUUUUUUAUUUUUGCUUUUCUUCUGAAAAUUUCUUUCGUUUUGCUAUCUGGCGUGGAAUUGAUCCCGUGCGGGCCUUGAUCUUUUCUCUCGGUUCUAUUCUUAACGUCGGUAAAAGUUCAAUUGGUUAUAUCACUAGUAUGGUGGUUUUCUUGUUGGUUUCUGAGUUCUAUAGUAAAGGACAAUUCUUCCUUAGGAGUUUGUUAAUUGAUUGUUUGAAUCAGGAAAGGACCGAACAACGUCUAGCGUUCCUUCAACUAUUUAAGAAUCGCGUGUCUGUUGUCUGUUUGUCGGUAAGUUUAGUUUGGGGUUUUGUGUUGAAAGUUCUUCGACCUAGUUUUGGUUUGGAUGCUAAUUCAAAUGAUUUGAUUCGAAUUAAUCAUCUGAUUCGGUCAUUAUAACAUUGUUUUUAGGUUCGAGAAUCAUCUUUGUGGCUUCCAUAUCAAAACCGUACCAGGUGUGUAACAAAAACCCUACUUUCUACGUUUGGUGAAGGUUGGAAAGCAUGGCUGUCAACGCCUAUAACCGUGUGUCAGACCGUGUGGUAGGCCGUAUAACUCGCUAAUUGGAAUUAGAGACAUACUGGCUAGAGACACGGGCGUGUGUCCAGGUCGUGUGAGAAGAUCCUUGGGUCUUGAGUCACACGUUCAAGCCGUGUGAAUCACAUGGGCGUGUGGGCCAAAAAUCGUUAUUUUUCCCUAGGAUCAUAAACGUCAUUUGAAUCGAACGUAGGCCUUCCUUAGGGUUUGUAUUGUAACACCCCAAACCUAGCCUAGACGUUAUGGCCGAAUCUGGCGAUGUCACAUGGAAUGGGAUUUGAAGACAAGAUUGUCGAGUUAAAACUGUUACAGUUAGUGAGCUUUUAUUUAAUUCGGAAAAAAAUAAAUACUAGUUGAUUUGCUUUAAAACUUGUCUCUUAGCAGAAGCUUUUGUAACCAAUUAAUUUAGUGAAAAUUGUUUCUAUUUAUGAAAACCUUAGUUUUUAGAAAAACCGUGUUUUGUUUAGUUGCAGUUUUAAAAAAAAUCCUUAAAAAUAGUAUAAAGUCUCAAAUUUAAAGCCAACCAGUCCAUAGUCCAAAAGUUACAUCAAAAACCCCAAAUAAGUAAUAAAUUAUAGACAUUAACGGAAAACAAUCUAAAAUUUAAGUAUGGCCACUGUCGAAUCCUCCGCUGCACUGACCAUCAAGUCUGGGGAUUACCUGUACAGAUUAAAUAGAAAAAGGGUGAGUUUUCGCAAACUCAGUGUGUAAUCCCCACAGAAAACAUGCACACAGAUAUUCAACAGCAUUCAAUUAGAUACAGUCUGGGGCCUAGGCCCAUCAAAUAAUUAGUUUGGGCCUUGGCCCAUGUUAGAUACAGAAUGCAGAUACAGUAGAUCAGAAUCCUACCCACCAGCUUCUACACAUCAUCUCCGUCCAACCCCACACACGAUGUGGGGAUUAAAUCAACCCACCCAUCCCUACACACCAUGUUGUUCCAAAAUGCAGCACAUAAUCAGAAGGUUGCAGCUGGGCUGCCAGAUAAGAGGCUUAAUAGCCUUUCAGACACUUUCUCCAAAUAUCAUCAACCCACCCCGAUGCAAUGCAACAUGCAAAAUGUGUCAUGCCAUUGUGCAAUUAAUAGUACAUACAUUCAGAUAUCAUAAGUCAUACUCGGUAUAAAAAUCACUCGGACAUAUCACACAUAUAGGGGUCUAAGUAAAGCUUAUCGACCUUACAGUAGGUCCAUAGUCGACUUGGGCGACCCGUGCAACCUUACAGAACUUUUCAGAAAAAUGGGCUCACACGCCCAUGUGGCCUGCCCGUGUAGGCCACACGCCCGUGUGGCCCACUCGGCCCAAAUUGGCCUUGGCCGCGUGAUCCAUUUUUAAUGUAACCCAUGCUAGCUAAAUAUUCAUAUAUGUUUUCACUAUUUACUUAUAUGUUCCUUCAAAGAUGUCUACUGGACUCACUAUUACUAAAUUAUUUAUAUCUUGAGUUAAAGAAUUCCCAAUUAAGGUCUGCUUGAUGUCUUUGAAACUACACUCAAAUACCUUUCUACCAUAAAAUUUUUUAAAUUUUUGGUUUAGCCAAUAAGUACAGUAAAAUCUUCAAUCUUACCCCUGUUCUGCUGUCUGACAGCUUCGACCUUUCUUUCCUAAAAAUUAAUUAUCUCUUAGUACAAAAUUUGGAUGAUAAUACCAUUUGUUUCUAUUCAAAAUAGACUCAUUAAUAAUUUAAAAAUGUAAAUUUUAACCCCUAAUUAUUUUUAUUCAAUUUUUGAUGAUUUUCCAAAGUCAGAACAGGGGAACCCUAAUUCAUUCUCACAUUGUCUCACAAAACUUAUUAUCUCUCACGAUUUACAAUUUCAUUACUUACACUGUUUCUUCUAUGAGAAACUAGAUUCAAUAAUCUUUAAUUCCAUUUUUUUCAUCCUCUAAUUCGAUUUUCACAAUUUAUGGUGAUUUUUCAAAUUUAGCCAACUUCUAUUGUCCAAACAGCAAGCAAUUUCAGCUUUUCACCGAAUCCCAUUUUCUGCGUUUCGGGUACACACCUGGUUUUUUUUAUGCUAAAACAGUCCCCGAGCACUCCAAAGUCUAUAGUUGAACAAAUAACACUAAUUUAAUCUCACAUAACGUGAUUCCAAAUCGAACUCAUAUCGAGGUUUUAACCCAUAAGUGACUAAACCUUACCUUCAACCGACGAACAGUAAUUCCCACACAAACUAAGACUCCGAUUGGUGAUUACGAGCCCUUGAAUCCUCCCCCAAUUGGCAUAAGCAAAACACUUCAGAAGAAAGUUAACAAACGGAGGCAAAUCACUUAUAUAACACUUACCAAAUGAUCGAAGACAAACAUGGAGUGACACGAGGCAGAGUGGGAAAAGAAAAGUCAAGAAGAUGAAGGAUGAAAGAGAGAAGAAAUUCGGCAGCAAUGAAGAGAAAAACGGCAAGAGGGUGGAAGGAUUUUGGGGAAAGGAAAAAAAGAAAAAAAAAAGAUGAACAGAAUAUUUGAUAACCACCCCAAUCCCUUAUUUCUCUCCAUCAAACUCCCCACUAAAUCCACUACUCAGAUUUUUAGUCCAUCUCAAACUCUCCUGGACACAAGAGCAAAAAUAAUUCCCAUGCCAAGAUUCGAACAAAGGACCUCCUUUACACCAACACUCCACUUAUCCACCAGACCAGCAGGCUCAUUCUGUUAAUUAUUUGCCAACUUUUACUUAAAAGCCUACUAACCAAAGAUAGGGCUUAUUUAUAAAAAUACCAAAAUUUGCCCAAGUCCUGGCUUGAACUUGGGACUGCCCAAACACACCCAGAACACAUAACCACUAAAGAAGAUAGGUAUUUUGUGCCACACAUUCACAAUACCCAAAAUUAAAACUUUGGGGCGUUACAUGUAUGAUCUGAAAUAAGCUAUAAAAAUUGAUAUUUGAUGAAAUGUUGAUGUAUAAUCCGUUAUCUGGUCGUAUGUCUGAUAUGAUAUAAGCUAAGUAAGUAUGAUAUGUUAGCGUAUAAUAUGCUUUUGUUGGGACAUGUUUAAGGUAUGUGAUUUAUUCAGGUAUGAUUUGUGCUUUGUUAAUUUUGAUGAUUCGUUUUUGUGUAUUGUGUUGGAUGAAGACAUGUGAUAUCUGAAUAUGUUAUUGUGUAUGAUACUGAUUCUGAUAUGUAACCAUGCAUGUGAUUUCAUGGCAAGUCUAAUAUGAAUCAUUAAGAUGUGAUCAAUCUGUCUUGCAAAGUGUGGAUUCCCAUGCCUUCUGCUUCUGUUAUUGUACGACAACACGUCCUACAUAAUUAUCAUUCUAAUUCUAAAUAUGGAUCUGCUUCAGUGGUUAAAUGUCUUGGGUGUGUGUAUGAGGUCUUGGGUUCAAGCCCUACAUUUGGAAAAUUUUUGUUAUUUUUUAUCCUAGCCUUAUCCUUGGUGGGUUGGGUUAUAUUUUAUCUUUAGUUAACUCAUAUUAGAAUGAGCCUGCUGGUUCGAGUGGUAAGGAGUUAGUUCGCUGGAGGUUCUAUGUUCGAUUCCCUAUGAGAGCAUGGCUAAUAUUUUUGUUUUGGUUAUGAGAUGGAGGUUGGGUGGAAGUGAAAUUCUGAGGUGGUUAAGAGUUAGUGGGUUAGUGGGGGAGUGAGAGAAAUUUUGGGGAUAUGUUGUCAUAUCUAUUUUUUAUUUUAUUAUUUUAAUUUCCCAAAAAUCUCUUUCUUUUUUUUUUGACGUUUUCUAUUCCCGUAUUUACAAAUUCUAUUUCUUUUUGUUUUCCCUCAAUUUUUCUCAUCGCCCGUUAACUCCUAUCAUUGCUUUUUUAAUUUCAUUGCUUCUCGCUCGAUUAAGGUAAGUAGGGUUUCAUCUAUUGGAGUUUUCAUUUUAUGUAAGGUGGAUUAUAUCCUUCCGUGUUGGCAUAUUGGUGUAAUCGUGGAAUCUAAUUUUUUUUGCGAUUAUUUUUGUGUAGGAGAAGGCUAUGAGCAGUUAGUUUUGCUCUAUUUUCCUGAACGGUGUUAGUGGUGGUUUUCAUCAUUGGUAAGUAGAGUUUUUUUGUCAGAUUUUUGUUGACGAAUUCGUAAAUUAACCGCUAAAUCAGUGUUUGGUAUUUUGUUCCUAGGUUUCGAAGGUCUCGAGAUUUUUUUCUCAUAAAAAAUAAAUCAGGUGUGCACCCUAAACACAGAAAAUUGAGUUUCGGUGAAAGCCGAAAAAGCAUUAUGUCGAUGCACAUAGGCGUGUGUCUAGCCGUGUGGUUGGUAGUGUACGAAACAUGGCUAUGUGUUUGACGAAGGCGUGGUCGUGCGCAGGACAUAGCCGUGUGAUGGCGUGAGUGUGGCCGUGUGGGCCACACAGGCUAGGCCAAGUAGGGCAUGUAGGUUUGGGGCAAGGCCGUGUGGCCACACGGGCAAGGCCAAUCUAGGCGUGUAGGUCCAUAAUUUUGAAAUUUUCCCUAGGGUUGCACGGGUCGUUACGAUCGACUGUGGGCCUAUCGUAGGGUCGGUAAGGGCUAACCAAAUCCUAUUUUAUGUACUAUGAUAAUUUGAUAGACUAAUCUGAGUAGGAUACUAAAUGUAUGUUUGACUGUACCGUUUAAGUAUGCAUGUUAUCUGUAUACAAGCAUGUUAAGCAUGUUAAAUCUAUUAUAUAUGUAUCUGUAUCUAUAUACUGUAUCUGUGUUUGGGGUGGGUAUUGUAUAUGUGGAGGAAGUGAUCUGUAUGGCGACACUUCGCCUAUAUUCUAGUAGCUUGACUGCAUAUUAUCUGUAACAUGUCGCAUCGACACUACAUAGUGUGUAGGGAUGGGUGGGUGUUUUUAACCACACAUAGUGUGAUGAGAUGGUCGGAGAUGGUGUGUAGAGGAUGGGGGUAGGACACUAUAUCUACUCUAUUUAUCUGAUUCUGUUAUCUGCAUCUGUUAGAGACCUAAGUCUGAAUUUGUAUCUGUCUGUAUAUAAGGUUUCUGUGUAUAUUGCGUGCCUGCGUAUCUUAUAAUAUCCCGAAAAUUACUACUGUAAUACCCCGAAAAUUACUACAGUAAGAAAGUAGGUAUCCUUGAUAGUAAAAUAAGGAAAUAAAGUGACAAAAAGGGAAAUUUUGAGUUAUGGCAACAUUGGGAAUUAUAUUAUGACAUAUUAAUUCAAGAAAUGAUUAAAUCGUAAAAGUGAGAAAAGUUUUGUUGCCCAAGAGUAAGUACCCAAAAUUUAAAGGGUUAAAGUGUUAAUAUGAAAAAGUUGAAGGACCAAUAGUGUAAAUAUUUUAAGGGUGGAAUUUUGAGGGACUAAAUCACAAUUUUACCAAAUUAAGUGAUGACUCAAGGAUGGAAUUUUUAAAGAUUAUAAAGGGAAAAAUGGUCAAUUAGAAGAGAGAGAAAUCUAGAAGGCAAUGAUGAUGUUGGUGAUAUUUUAAGUUAAUUAAUUAAUUAAUUAAUUAUUAGUUUAUUAAUAUUUUAAUUUGAUUUUUAAAUGAUAUUUUAUUAUUUUAUUAUUAUUCUAUUUAGUAUAUAUAUGGAAGGAAAGAUGAAGAAUCUUCAUCUUCUUCUCAUGCAUCCAACGUAUGAAGAGAAAAGAAAGAAAGAAACUUUCUUUUCUUUACAAUUUGGUCCUUUCACCAAAAAAUCACCAUUUCCACUUAGAAAUCAAAAGAAUUUUCAUAGCCAUCAAGAGAGAAAGAUAACAAGGAGAUAAUGGGGAGCUAGAAAAUCAAGUUAGAUUCAAGAAAUAGAGGUUGGAGGAGAGAGAAAAUUAAGUUAAAGAUUGAAAUCAAUAGGACAAUGUAAGAACAUCAAGAUUUCAAUGUAUUUUUAAGUUUGUUAUUAUUGAAAAAGCAUGGAAAUGAUGUUAUAGUAGAGUUUUCUUAAAUGAAGUCUUAUGUUCUUGAUAUAUUAGUGAAGGGAAAUAAGAGAAAGUGAUGGAAAAUAUUAUAGAGAAAAUGAAUAAGGAAGUUUUAAACUUAGUAAUCAACAUUUUGCACUAAAACAGUUUUGGACAACAGCGGUAGGCUAACUUUGAAAGAUCACCAUAAAUUAUGAAAAUAUAAUUAUAGAAUGAAAAAAAUAUUUAAUUAAAUCUUAUUAAGUCUAGUUUCUCAUAGAAGAAACGUGUAAGUAAUGAAAUUGUAAAUCAUGAGAUAUAAUAAAUUAUGUGAGACAAUGUCAGAAUGAAUUCGGGUUCCCCUAUUCUGAAUUUAGAAAAUCAUAAAAAAUUGGAGAAAAAUAAUAUGGGCUUAAAUUUAUAUGUUUAAAAUCCUGAAUGAGUCUAUUUUCAAGAGAAACAAAUAGAAACAUCAUCCAAAUUCUGUACGAGGAUAUAAUUAAUUUUUAGUGAAGAAGGGUCAGAACUGUCAGACAGCAGAAUAGGGAUGAAUUUAAAGAAUAAACUGUACUUAUUGGCUAAACCAAAAAUUCUAAAAAUUUUAUAGUAAGAAGAUAUGUGAGUCUAGUUUCAGAGAAAAUUAAAAGCUCUCAAUUCAGAGUUACAUAUCUCAAGAUAUAAAUAAUUUUGUUACAAUGACUCAAGUGGACAACUUUGAAUGAACAAAUAAAUAAAUAGUGAAAUUAUAGAUAAUGUUACAUAUAAGCAUGUUAUAUACAUUAAGGAUGUGGAAUGGAGAGGAGGAGGAGGAAAAUAUAUGAUUAUUCAACUAGCAUGAGUUUUCAUUAAAAAUGGCUAAUUUGCGUGUUUUAGGUUCAGGGACUAAAUCGAAUAAAAGUAAUAUUUUAAGGGUAAAUUUGUAAAAAUGUCAAAAAGUGACCAAAUUGCAUGAAAUGAAUUGUUUUAUUAUUUAAAUUAAUAAAUUGAAUGAAAUAUUAAUUUAUAUCAAGAUUGAGUGGAAAUUCGAAGGAAAAUAGAAAAUUACCAAAAUAUCCCUGAAUUUUGGUAUUUCUGCAAUUUAGUCUGGUAAGUUCGUGUAACUUGAAUUAUAUUCUUAAAUGAUUGAAAUAUAUAUAUUGGAUUGAGAAAUUGAUUUGAAUUGUGAACAUGAGAAAUUGUGAAUUGAAUGAAAUGGAAAUAAAGCUUUGAAUUACAUGAGUAAAUAUCGGGUCUCGUAGGCCCUAUUUGUUAUGAAUAUAAUAUUUCGAGGAUAUGUUGUAAAGAAUUAUAAAAGCACGUUAAUAAUUUAAAAGAUUUAAUUCGGAUGAAAUUUUGUAACUUGGUUUAAUACGUAUGCAAAUGUAUGUCUUCUAGUAAUACCUCGUACCCUAUUCCAGCGUCAAAUACGGGUUAGGGAUGUUACAAUGUGACAUCAUCAGAUUCGGUCAUAACGUUUAGACCAGGUUUGGGGUGUUACAUGUCUAAUUCUGUUGGGUUACAUACUAAGUUUAUGGAAACUCACAUCUAUUUGUUUGUUCUGUACAAGUAAUCCAUAGGCUUAGAUGAAUCUGUGCGACGGAGUCUCACGGUAACUACAAGGGUGUGAACUGUGUUUAAAUAAUGGUUUUUUAUUUAAUUAAGGAUUAUUUCUGGGAGUUUUGUAAUUAUUGGACUCUCCGGACUGUUUGAUUUUUAUUUGGUUUUGGAUGUGUUUUGACUCUUUUACUGCGACGUUUGUUUAGGAUCACGAUUUUUCAAAAAUAAAAGAUUUUCUUAAAAUACGAGCUGGAUUUCCAAAAUAUAAUGAUUUCUAAAACUUCCGCUAUAAAUUAUGUUUUGGCAAAAGAAUUAAUUAAAUAAUGUUUUCAAUAAAAGUUGUAUAAACGAAAAUGGGAUAUAAAACUGGGAUGAUUUAUUGAACAACUAUACAAAGCUUUAUCGUAGUAACACUGAUUUCAAAACCCUUCAUCUUAACAUUACCAGAUUCUGCCAUAACGUCUAGGUCGGGUUUGGGGUGUUACAAAGUUUCUGGCAGUUUAUUGAUCUGUAUUUAUCUGGUGGUUAAUCUUCAAUUUUGUUUGGCAGCUUGUCUGCAAUUCUAGUGGCACAGUCCACAAUUAUUUGUUGGUGUGAUAUGGUUGGAUGAAUUCUGGGGACUCUAUUUUGGUGUGUCAUGGAGUUGCGUAGAAUGUUUUCUGAAUAAAAAUCUACAUUCUAAUUUUUUGAAAAACACUAUAUUAGCAUAAUAGUACAUUCUCCUUCUGUUUAUACGAUCAAUAUGAAAAUCUCUAUGAUACUCUGCUUUGUUCCACUCUGGUUUUAUAAUCGUUAUGAAAGUUUCUACGUUACUCUGACUUGUAUAUUGUUGUUUAUUUAAUCUCUGUUGAGUUUUGUUAUACAAUGAGCUUUAUAGCUCACCCCUUUGUUAUAUAUUUGUCUGUUUAGGUAAAAUCUCUGGCUUAGGAUCGAACGACAUGUGGGAGCUCAAAUAUUUUUUGCAUUUGAUGUAUAUAUGGUGAAUUUAGUAAUCUAUUUCUGAACUUGUUUUGGGUUUUUUUUAAUUCAUCAGUAAUUGAUAUUUUCCAUAGCGAAAUGGUAAAAUCACUUAAGUCAACAAAAUGGAUUUUGGUUUUCAAAACUAAAACUCCGAAAAAGUUUUUUUUGCUGAUAAUUAAAAGUUUUUUUUAAUGACUGUUUGUGAAAGUCGCAUUUUCCAAAUACUUACUAAAACCAGUUUUCCAAAUGAGUCAUUGUAAUUUCUCUAGAUUCAAUCAUAACUUCUAGGUCGAGCUUGAGGUGUUACAUUUAGUUGUAUCGAAGCCAAGUUUGCAAAACAUGGGCUAUGAUUUUUGGGUUCAAAACUCUUCCAGAAAAAUAUUUUAAGUAAGUGGAAUUUCUAACUGACUUUGAGAUUUUAGGGUUAUAAAAAGUGUGUGUUCAAAUUUUGAUUAUUUUCGAGUCUAUAAAUAGAGAAUUCGAGACUUCAGCACCGGUCCUGUAAGUAUCUGUACCUCAGCUAUAUUAAAUGAACUAGCACAAACCAUACUGCUAUGGUUACUUUGUUUUAGUUAAAACUCUGGAAAUUCUAUGAAAAUCUCUCUUAAAACUUUAGACUUAGGAUUCUUAAUAAACCUAAGCUAAGUCUUAAAUUUCUGAAACUGAGGAUUAGCAUAAUGAGUAUGGGUGGUCAUGAUGCCUGAAGAUGUGGUGGACAUAGUCAAGUGACCCGAGUCGAGUUUUCUUCUCGUGGCUAUGAGUCCAAUUUGAAAAAAAAUUACAAGUAUGCUAAGACGCCCAAAUCUGAGGCGGUAGUAAAGAAUCUGGGGAUGCUGUUGUGCCCCAAGAUGUGUUUGAGGAUUUGCAAAAGGUCAAUGGAAUCCAAUUUGGAUUUGUGGGUCAAGAGUCUGUGAUUGAGCGACCUCAGCCAAAUAAGAGGAGCGUUUUAAGCAUGGAUCGAAUUCUGAUUUGCGAUCACUAUAAUAAGCGUGUCUCAGAUGUGGAUUCGUGGAGAACUGAGUUAGGGAUUGCUCGCAUUACUCUUUUACUUAUGCAAGAAUUAAAUAUAAGUCAAAUAUUCAAAGAUAGAGAAAAUGACAGAAAUAGCAAAUAUUUCAAAAAGAGAGAUUCGAACAUAUGACCUCAAACACACAUUCAGAGCACUUAACCACUAAAGUAGAUAACUUCACUUAACAAAUUUUAACAAAUCAAAAACUCAAAUUUUAGGGUGUUACAUCCUCUUUUAAUUAUAUAAUAUUUAUAUUUAUUAUUUGAUUUAUAUAUAAAAAAAUUAAUCCAUGGAAAAGUUAGUUGAUUGGUUUAAUAAUUCAGAUUUAAAUUAAGAAUCAAUUUAUCAAACUCAAACAGAGUUAUCUCUAUUGAUUUUGUAAAAUCAAAAGAUAACAUCACGGAUCCGCUAACUAAAGGCUUAAAUCGAGAUCGUGUUGAUAAAACAUUGAAAGGAAUUAAACUAAAUCCCAUGAAAAUAAAAGGCGCUAUGUGAAGGGAAACCCUACCUAGUUGACUUGAGAUCUCAAGAUCUAGGUUCAAAGGGACAACCUAAUUACAUAGACCUUGUGAGGUCAAUGUGGGGGUUCUUAUCCCAAGUUCGUUCUUAUGAUGUAAACAAUUACUAAAAAUGGGAUAGGUUAAGCAAUGCUUUUAAUGACCAUUGUGUGUUUCGGUGAGCCGAACAACAUAAGUCACCUAUGUGAGAGUGAAGUGAGGUUGCUUCAAGGAGACUAUUAGGGCAUAGUUCUCUCAAACUCUUGCAGAAUCAGGAGAUGUUCAUGGCUAUGUGAACAUAACCAUGAGAACUAAAACCUUGCUAGGGAGGUAGUUGUGUGAGGUAUAUCAUCGUUUACAAAAAUGACAGAACAGUUCAAGGGCAUCACGUCUACUAGUCAGCUAGUAAAGUAAAUAUACUUUCACAGGGGAAGGUUCAAGGGUGGAUGCCUGCCUAUCCUAUACAACUAUCGGUCAUAGAUUCUAUCACCACAUUGAGUCAAUGUUUUUCCGUUAAAAUUAUCAAUUUUCAUUCAUGUGGGGGAUUAUUGGAAAAAUUGUAAUUUUUGGAAAUUCUGAGGCAUAUUCUCUAUUGGUAAAGGUGGAGAGUUGAAUCAUAAAAUUAUGGUUUUAUAUUCUACUGCAUGAGACCUUUACAACGGUAUAUCAUACGCUCAAAAUGGUUGAGUGAUGAAUAAGAAAUUGAUGCUCAAAUUAAGCUACUUGGAAAUAUUUGUUGAGGAAAAGAAAAAGCUUAAAUCCCACAUUGGUUAAAUACCAAGUGUGAGAUGUGUAUAUAUAUGAGAACCCACUUGAAAGGUGAUUGAAUGACUAGGCUUGAAACCCUGUCUCGCGCGCAGGGGGUGCAGAUCCAAAUCCAUUGGGUGGGGUGCACCUGCACGCCGUACUGCUUGAACAUUUAAUACUAGAAAUGAAUAAAUUCGUUUGUUAUCUCUUCAUCAUUUCAAAAAAUUCCCAUUUUUAUUGUAAUUGAAUUUACAUAAUUUCAUAACCAAUCAUGAAUGAUUGACCAGAGCAUUGAUACAAAUAAUAUCCAAAUACCAAAAUCGUACCCUAUAGAACUUUCGCAAAGCAAAAAACCCCUUAGGAAGAUCAAAGAAAAACCAUGUUCUUCUUUCGUUUCCGUAAAAAAUUCUGAACCUAAUUUUUUUCAAAAAAGCAUGGAUAGUACUUUUGUGUUUACGAGACAAAGUUUUAACACAAGAAAAUCAAAGUAUAUAUUUUAUUUGAUACAAACUUUUUUUUUUAAGAUCCAUUGUUAUAAUGAGAAAGAUUUCUGGAUAUAUGCACAAAUCGGUCAAUAAUAUCAGAAUCGGGGGAAUCGGCCCAUGUCGUCUUACUAAUCGGAUGCCCUAAUGUGUUAUAAAAUUUCGCCUUAGAAAAUUAUCCAAUGAGUGAAAUAAUUGGAAUUCUUGUAUCCAACGUCUUCACAACAUUAUCUAUUAGAAAUGAAUUUUCUAGCAUUUGACUCUGUACCACUGAAGGAUUUAAUCGCACACUUGAAAGAUAGCCCAGAAAGUCGAGCAAAUAUUUAGAUAAUUGAUUUAUAUGGACUCUUUCUGAUUGAGACCAUAGGUAAAAAUAAUAUUGUCAUAAAUCGACAAAGUAAUAUUUCCACUUAUUGAUCAGAAGUGACGUAUCCUUUGAGGCCAGAAUUCACUUUCCUUGAUACCUAAUAAAAUGUAUGAAAGGGUCUUUGAACAACCAUAGGUUGUUCUGAAAAUCAUUAUAAAAGACUUCACCAAGAUACUUUAUUUUUCCAUAGAAAAAAAUUCGUUCAAGAAAGACUCCAGAAGAUGUUGAUAAUAAUGAGAAGAUUGAUUACAAAGAAAAAGGAAAAUGGAUUCGUAUUCACAUGUAUGAGAAUUAUACCGGAACAAGAAUAAUAUUGGAUUAAAAAUCGAAAUAGAUUUCUUUGGAGUAAUAAAACUCUUCAAAUUACAAUACUCGUAGAGAGAGAACCGUAAUAAAUGCAAAGAAGAAGCAUCUUUUACCCAGUAGCGAAGGGCUUGAACUAAGAUUUCUAGAUGGAUGGGAUGAGGUUAUUAGUGCCUCUAACACAUAAUUUAAAUGUGAGAAUUUUUCCUCUAAAAAAAAGAAAUAUUGAAUGAAUUGAUUGUAAAUUAUGAGAUUUUGCGGCUUCUGCCCCUUGUGGGUAAGAUAUUAAUCGUAAGGAAAAUGGAAUUUCCACAAUGACUACAAAUCUUGCCGCUAUCAUUUGAGAAUACAAAUUAUUGUUGUGUCCAAAAACCAGAUUUUGGUUAGAAUCAUUAGCAGAAUUAAUCAAACUAUUCUGUUGAUCCAUUAGAAGAAUUAAACAUUUCACAAUUAGUGAACUGAAUUUAUUACCAUAACCCUAAUUUUUAAAAAAAAUCUUCGAUUUAUUUAAACCAUGCUCAUGAGCAAGUGCAUAAAUAUACACCCGAAAAAUAAGUGGGUAUAGGAAAUCAUGUCAACGGGAUCUAUUUAGUUCUAAAUAUACUUGAAAUUCCUCCAUUUCAAAUUCGAUUUGAACCAAAGAUAGGGGAUCUAUUCGGUUAUUAAAUGAUACAUAGUGCGAUACAGUCAAAACAAGGUAUUAUAGUAAGUAAAGAAUAGAUACCCCGGAGAUAGGCGGAUUCAUCAACGAAUUCUCUAUCCUAUCUUUUGCCAUCUAAUUGAUUUAUGUUCGUUAUAGGAUAAGAAGACGGUUAGAAAUCCUUUAUUUUUUUUCAACCCAAUCGCUCUUUUGAUUUUGGAAAAAAAUAUAUUUUCUUUAUCAAUACCCGUACGACGUGGGCGACGCGAAAUGUCUAGGCCAGUCAAGCCCAAAAUGGGUCUGUAGAUAUUUUAGCCCAACACGAAAAUAUUUUUUUCCCUCAGCAAAUUACACAACAUUUGAUUCAAAAAGGACACGUAUCCUAAUUUUAUUUGAUUCUAAUCAAUUUGAUUUGAUUUUAAUCAAAUAGAUUUAAUUGCUCCUUUAAUGCAGAUUUUGUAUCCUUAAUACAUGGAUAUUUCCAAAAUUCCUCCAUAUGAAUGCCUGUAAAAGGCUAAGACUUCUUCAAAACUUUGUUGUUAAAAAACACUCUCUCACACCGAGUUUAUUUUGCUAUCCAAAAUUCUACUCUUUUCCUCUCAAUAUUUUCCCAACAUUUCGGUGAUAGAAAAAUGCAACGUUUGUUCAUUGAUUACUGCAGAGAUGCUACUAUUUCAAUCAUCGUGUUGUUGUAUUGUGAGAGACAGUCGACCAACAUUUCUCCAAGUACUAUAGGAGCGACCGAAUUUGUCUUAACGAAACUGUGUUAAACAGGCCUCAACAUUUAAUAAAACUCUAUUCUUCUUUUUGAUUUCUAGUUUUUGUUACGUUAUUUAUUGGUUUUUUAUAUCUGACAAUUUAAAUAUAAAUUAUUCAAUUUAUAUUUGAUUUUUAUAUAAAUAUUUGCUUAUUUAUAUUUAUAUAUUUUGUUCGCUAACAUGUUUUGUCCAACAAUCUUAAGACAUUGUUUUAAUUAUUUUACAAUUCUCUAAUUCGAGACAAACAAGACACCAAGGCGAAAAGAAAAAAAAUAUUUUUUAUUUGAAAAUAAAUAUUAAAAUUAAAUAAAAUCUAUUUCGACAUUUAUUCUCGCCGUUCAACAGAUUUUAUUUCAUAUUUUAUUUUGUUUCCAAACAAGUAUUAAAAUUAAAUAAAACUCUAUUUCGAGAUUUAUUCCCCCCGUUCAACAGAUUUUAUUCCAUUUUUUUCUUUUGUUUCCAAAUGAGUAUUAAACUAAAAUAAAAUCUAUUUCGGGGUUUAUUCCUGUCGUUCAACAGAUUUUAUUCCAUUUUUUUUAUUUUGUUUCCAAACAAGUAUUAAAAUUAAAUAAAAUCUAUUUUGGGUUUUAUUCCCGCCGUUCAACAGAUUUUAUUUCAUUUUUUAUUUUGUUGUCAAACGAGAAAUUAAAAUUAAAUAAAAUCUGUUUUGGGUUUUAUUCCCGCCGUUAAAUAGACUUUAUUCCAUUUUUUAUUUUGUUGCCAAAAGAGAAAUUAAAAUUAAAUAAAAUAUGUUUCAGGUUUUAUUCUCGUUGUUCAAUAGAUUUUAUUCCAUUUUUUAUUUUUUGCCAAACGAGAAAUUAAAAUUAAAUAAAAUUUGUUUCGGGUUUUAUUCCCGCCUUUAUUCCAUUUUUUUAUUUUUUUCUAAACGAGAAAUUUAAAUUAAAUAAAAUCUGUUCUGGGAUUUAAUCUCGCCGUUUAAUAGAAUUUAUUCGAUUUUAAUUUUGUUUCUAAAUUAGAAUUAAAUCGAAUAAUCUGUUUCGAGAUUUAUUCUCGUCGUUUAACAGAUUUUAUUAGAUCUUGAUUUGUUUCCAAACGAAGACUUAAUCAAAGAAUUAUGUUUCGGGAUUUAUUCCCGCCGUUUAACCAAUUUUAUUUUGAUUUAAUUAAAUAAUUUUGUUUCGGGAUUUAAGCCUAUCAUUUAACAAAAGUGAUUUUGUUUCAAAAUUUUAAUUUUUCCAUUUAACAAAUAAAAGGGAAUUUUUUUUCUAUUUACGGUGGCCUUAAUUGUGGCUUUAAAUUGUGAAUGCUUAAAUUGUAGCCUCAAAAUUGUGACAUCAAAGGUAAAGAAAUUUAUCAACAGUGAAUUAAAAAGACAAUAUGAGAGUGCAUGUCUAGGAUUGGUUCUUUGAAAGACUUGGUAUUUAAGCGUGCUAAGUGCACGACCUCUCUUUUAGGGUUACCUACCUGGUGCAUUGUUUUAUUGUAUUUUUUAUUAGACUGUAUAAACUUUUAUUUCAGGUUUUAUUAGAUUCCUGCUGCCUAACAAAAGUUGAUAAUUUUCUAAUUCUAGUUUUGUUUUUUAACAGAAAAUGGAAACUCCCAUCAAUGUUGUGGAAGAUAUGGACUUAUGUGCUGUGAUUUUUAAGUCAACAUGGUUGACUCAAAUCUAAGAGAAUGGUGGCUUGAUACUGGUGCCACACGUCAUAUCUCUUGUGACAAAGACUUCUUUUCUGAGUUGGAACCUUGUGAAAAUUAGGAGAAGCUCUAUAUGGGCAAUGUUGCGACUUCCAAGAUCAAGGGGAAGGGUAUUGUGGUCUUAAAGAUGACAUUUGGCAAAAACUCAAGCUUCAAAAUGUGUUGUAUGUGCCUAGCAUAUGCAACAACCAUGUUUCUAGGACACUCCUUAGUGUACACGACUUUAAAAUGAUCUUUGAAUCCUAGAAGUUAAUUUUGUCUAAAGGGGGAAUGUUUGUGGGAAGGGUAUAUGUAUUAAACUUAAUGCAAUAUCUGUAAAAGCAAAACUAUGAAUAAGAAUGUUACUUCUUCUUCUGUUUAUAUGCUUGAAUCAUUUAAUUUAUGACAUGGUAGACUCGGACAUGUUAAUUAUGAUACUUUACGUACAUUAAUUAAUUAACUUAGAGCACAUUCCUUUGUUUUACAUUAAUUAUAAUCAUAAAUGUGAAACAUGUGUUCAGGCAAAAUUAACAAGGUCUUCAUUUCAAAUUGUAUAAGAGCAAAGACGAAGCUAUAGAAAAAUAUAUUUUAUAUAAGCAGGAAGUUAAAAAUCAACUUAAUAAAAAUAUUAAAGAUGGUGAGAAGUGAUUGUGGUGGUGAAUAUGUUGAACCAUUUGAAUACUAUACACAACAUAACAUUAUUCAAAAAGUAACACCACCAUACUCUCCUUAAUCAAAUGGAGUAGUCAAACGGAAAAAUCAAACUUUAAAGGAAAUGAUGAACACCUUGCUAGAAAGUUCUAAGUUAUCACAAGAAAUGUGGAGGGAAGCUUUUCUAUGAACUAAUUACCUUUUAAAUAAGGUACCCCACAAAAAAAUGGACAAGACACCAUAUGAGUUAGGGAAAAGUAGAAAACCAUCCUACAACCACUUGAAAGUGUAGGGGUGUCUUGCUAGAGUAAUGUAUAAUGGUAAGUCGAGGCAUAUGCGUCGUCGACACAAUACCAUUAAACAACUUAUCUCAAAUGGAGUUAUCUCUAUUGAUUUUGAGUAAAAUCAAAAGAUAACAUUGCAGAUCCGCUAACUAAAAGCUUAAAUCGAGAUCAUGUUGAUAAAACAUCGAAAGGAAUGAGACUAAAGCCCAUGAAAAUAAAAUGCCCUAUGUGAAGGAAAACCCUACCUAGUUGACUUGAGAUCCCAAGAUCUAGGUUCAAAGGGACAACCUAAUUGCAUAAACCUUAUGAGGUCAAUGUGGGGGUUCUUAUCCUAAAUCUGUUCCUAUGAUGUAAACAGUGGCUAAAAAUGGGAUUGGUUAAGCAAUGCUUUUAAUGACCAUUAUGUGUUUCGGUGAGCCAAACAACAUAAGUCACCUAUGUGAGAGUGAAGUGGGCUGCUCCAAGGAGACUAUUGAGGGAUAUUUCUCUCAAAAUCUUACAGAACCAGGAGAUGUUCAUGGCUAUGUGAACAUACCCAUGAGAGCUAAAACCUUGCCAGAGAGGUAGUUGUGUGAGGUAAAUCAUCGUUUACACAAAUGACAAAACAGUUCAAGGCCAUCGCGUCUAUUGGUCAGCUAGUAAAGUAAAUAUACUUUCACAAGGGAAAGUUCAAGGUUGAUUCUUACCUAUCCUAUACAACUAUCGAUCAUAGAUUCUAUCACCACAUCGAGUCAAUGUUUUUCCGUUAAAACUACCAAUUUUCAUUCAUGUGAGGGAUUGUUAGAAAGAUUGUAAUUUUUGGAAACUUUGAGGCAUAUUCUCGAUUGAUAAAGGUGGAGAGUUAAAUCAUGAAAUUAUGGUUUUAUAUUCUACUAGAUGAGACCUUUACAAUGGUAUAUCAUACGCUUAAAAUGGUUGAGUGAUGAAUGAGAAAUUGAUACUCAAAGUAAGCUACUUGAAAAUAUUUGUUGAGGAAAAGAAAAGCUUAGAUCCCACAUUGGUUAAAUACCAAGUGUGAGAUGUGUAUAUAUAUGAGAACCCAUUUGAAGAGUGAUUGGAUGACUAAGCUUGAAACCUUGUAUCGCGCGCAGAGGGUGUAGAUCCAAACCCAUCGGGGUUGGGGCGCUCCAACAUGACGUGGGCGACGUGAAAUGUCCGGACCGGUCAGGCAUGGGCCUACAAAUAUUUUAGCCCAACAUGAAAAUAUUUUUUCCCUUAGCAAAUUACACAAAAUUUGAUUCAAAAAGGACACAUAUCCUAAUUUUAUUUGAUUCUAAUCAAUUUGAUUUAAUUGCUCAUUUCAUGCAGAUUUUAUAUCCUUAAUACAUGGAUAUUUCCAAAAUUCCUCCAUAUUGAAUGCCUAUAAAAGGCUAAGACUUCUUCAGAAUUUUUUGCUGAAAAACACUCUCUCACAACGAGUUUAUUUUGCUAUCCAAAAUUCUACUCUUUUCCUCUCAAUAUUUUCCCAACAUUUCGGUGAUAGAAAAAUACAACGUUUGUUCGUUGAUCACUGCAGAGGUGCUACUGCUUCGAUCAUCGUGUUGUUGUAUCCUGGGAGAUAGUCGACCAACGUUUCUCCAAGUAUCGUAGGAACGGCAAAAUCUGUCUUAAGGAAACUGUGUUAAACAUACCUCAACAUUUAGUAAAACUCUAUUCUUCUUUUCGAUUUCUGGUUUUUUUAUGUUAUUUAUUUGUUUUUUUUUGGUAUCUAACAAUUUAAAUAUAAAUUAUUUAAUUUUUAUUUUAUUUUAUAUAAAUAUUUAUUUAUAUUUAUAUUUAUAUAUCUUGUUUGCUAAUGUGUUUUGUCCAAUAAACAAUAUUAAAUGUAACACCCCACACCCAACCCAGUUGUCGGAUCCAAAUGCGCGAUAUCAGAUUACGUUGUCGAAACAUUUCAGACUAUCUCAAAACAUUUCAAAUAUUGACUUAGGAUUUAAAUAUAAUAAUUCUCAUACAUUCCUAAUUUUAUGCAAAAACAUGUUUAAUAAAUGUCAAUUGGUCUCAUUUAACAAUUUUGGGUUUAUACGAGGACCAAAAAUGAAGUGAGGACUCAAAUUCAACUUGAUUUAGUAAAAUUUAGUGGUGCAUCUCGAGACAUUGAAAGCCAUGUCUCGAAACAUGUUGUAAUGACUUGAUUUCAGUCGAUUGUCAGAAAAAAACGGUUUCAAAGCCGGAUUUCAUUAAUUGAGUUAGUGAAAAUUUUAAUCGAAGAGUUGGAAUUAUUAAUAUAAGAUUUUAUUAUUGGAUGGUUGAGUAAUUAAAUUGAGAAAGUCAUUAAUUAUAGUACAUUGGACAAAUUUUUCGCUGGAGCGAAAAAUCUUCUGGCACUAUUCACUUGAUGCGUAUGCUCUAGCGGACUAUUCUUUCACUGGAGCGGAAGGCUACCUUACUUGUAUAAAGCUAUAUAUGAAGGACUCAAUUUAGCUUGGAAGAAAGGGUUUCACAAGGUUUACCGAAAGCGACAAUGCAUUGUUGAUUGAUAUAAUUGGGAAUGGUUAUGCAGCUGAUAAUAACCUUUCUAAACUUCGUUUAAUACAUGAUUUAUGCAAGCAAGACUGUCAACUUAAGUUUCGGCAUGUCCUACGGGAGCAUAAUAGACUAGUAGAUUGCAUAGUCAAAGUUGUUCCUAGUGAUCUUAAUAGGUUAUCAACUUUUGAAGACUCACCUGAUCAUGCUCAAUUUUUGUUUGAAGAAGAUGCUCAUCGAGCAAUGGUUAAUAUACGCUCCCAUCAUCCUUAUUGUAGCUAGUUCCUUGAACUUGAUUCUUUUCUACCAAAAAAAAAAUUGAAAAGACUAAAUUUCAAAUAUAAGAAAAAUGGAAGAAGUGGAGCUAUGUUUUACCUAUUUAACUUAGUCUUUUAAAAAUGACAAUAUAACAAAGCCUUAUGUAAAAACCAGUGGAGUCGAAGGCGAGUAAAAAGAAAUUAUUAUAACAAUUUAGUGUUUCAUGGUUGAAGAGUACUUGAAGAUAAAAACUCUCCGAUAAUUAAGCAAGCUUUUUGGUAGUUCUAAUUUCUAACUUCUUGCUUGCUUGUAGGCAGCCCAAUGCUAAUGGCAGUUUCAACUUGAGGCAAACUUUAUAAUUCUUACUCAACAUUAUUAUUUAACGUAGAAUCAGAAAAUAAUCUAGAUUUGAAAUGAUUUGAACUCGAUAAGUAAUUUAAAAUGAUCCUACAUGAAAAUUUUAAUUGUGAAACUCAAAUUACUUAAAAUCAAAAAACACAAACACAAAAUUUAUUCGAACUUGAAAUGAUCUAGAAAAUUCUUUUAAUCGAAAUGACCUGAUCCAGAUUGAUAAAAACAGUAUACUCUAAUUAAUUUACACCAACUUUUAAGAUAUUAACAUGGGUAAGGGAAACUUUGCUAACUUGGAUAUUUGUUGAAGUAUACUAUUUUACAUAUUAUUAAUUUAAUUAAGAGGCUGUCUUGAUUACAUGAGGUAGCUUGUGUGCCAACCACAACUACUGCAUUUCACCAAUUUUAAACUCCAAUAUCCCAAGAGAAGAUGAGCUACCAAAACCUUCAAUAUUGAUCAAAUGGCUAUAAAAACCCCAACACCAUGCUUUGUUUUCCUCGCUCAUAACUAUUCAGAUAAAGAAGUUUGUUUCAUCUGCUUAAUUAGUUUCAAAAUCUCUCAACAAAAAUGGUUAUUUCAUUUGCAUUGCUUUAGCAUUCUUGAUGGCUUUGUCGUUUUCAAGCAUUAACGUUGGCCAAGCUGCUCGUCACCUUCAGCAGCUGCCUCCAAUGCCAACUUUGCCUACAGCAACACUUCCACCAUUGCCAUCUAUCCCUAAUCUCCCACAGCCAACCAUACCAACAAUGCCAGGCCUGGGGCGCUUCCACCACUUCUUACCAUGCCUGCUUUUCCCACAUGGCCUCCUCUGCGAAGCAUGCCCACGGUCCCAACUACAAUUCCCUCUAUUCCUUUCCUUUCUCCACCACCUUCUCCUUCUACCCCUUAAAAAUCCCUUUUGGCUUACGGGACCCAGUCCAGAGUCGGGACAUGCUACUGUUCUCAUCUCAUAUGGGAUUGAAAGUGAUACUUACGGACUCGAGUUUUUAAUCAGCAUAUAUAAUUACUUAUUUGUUUACUUUCUCUCUGAAGAUUUGAGCCGUCUUUGUAUGUUGAUUUUUGGGAACUAUUGUUUGCUUAUUUUCACCACAUAUGGUAUUUGUUUGUCUAAAUGGGAGUUCCCAUUAUUUGGUGCACUUAUUUAUAUAUGAUCGAAAAUAAUAAAACAGUAAAUAAAAAAAUAAAUUAAUUAUGAUACAACCUUUUAAUUUAUUAAUUCUUUUCCUACAACCAAAUUUACAAUUUUCAAAAAUAGAGAGGAAGAAUCUUUUUAUUAGAUAAAGACCUUGAUGCUAACAGCGGCUUUGUCAUUAGGCAGUAAUUUAUUGACAAUUUUUUCAUAGGAGUCAACCUAUUGAGAUCAACGAUUACGUUGGUUUCAGUGAGAAUCAACAUAACAAUGAUAAUAGUAUUAGUUAUUAUAAGAGAAUUGACUAUUAAAAAUAUUAAAUUGAAGUAUAUACAUAUAUAACAAAAUACAAAUAUAGAUUAUAUUUAGGGUAAAUUAUAAUUAAAAAUUAAAUUUAUAAAAUACACUAUUAUAUUUAAGUUCAAUGUUAUAUUAAAUAAUAAUUAAAUGAGGUAAAUAUUAAAUUUAAACAUAAACUUUGUUUCAAUGUGCAAUUUGAUACAUGAACUUUUAUUUGGUACAAUUACACACAUGGAACUUGUAUUGUUGUUCAUAUGUAUAUAUGAAACUUAGAUUUUGAUCUAAUUAUACACUUUUGCAGAAUAUUUAUUUUUAUAUUGGAUUAAUAUAGUUAUUUGUAUAUGUAAUAUCCAGUGUAAAAUAAUGAUAAUUCGAUAAUGUUGUUAAUGAUUUUAGAAAAUUGAAUCAAAUCAAAAUUUAAUAUAUAAAAUCGCACAAAAUAAAAGUUCAUGUAUGACAUCACAUAUUGAAUCAAAGUUUAUGUAUGUUGAGUAUAACUCAUAUUUCAGUCAAAUUUAAGAGAUAAUUUCCAGUUAAACUCUGUUUAUUUGUUUCAAUCGAACUCCGAUUAGUCUAGAUUAUUUUAUUAUUAUUUGACUUACGAAUUUAGCCUAUAAAUAGACUCUUUUACAACCUUGAAAAAAACACCCAUUAAAGAUUAAAACUCAUAACACUUUUGGAGAAUUUUGUGUUUACGUUUUGAGGGUUCUUUGUUUUCGAGUUUCGGAGUUUAGUUUUUAUCUCCAUCUUUUGUACUCUUCGUUCUUUUGCUAUUAUAGUAAAAGUAUCUUUGCUUGUGGUUUUUAAUCCUCUUUGGAGGGGUUUUUUCACGUCAAAUUAGUGUAUUCAAUUUCUCAAUCUUUUCUCAAAUUUUACUUAUUUGUUGCUUAAUCGGGUUGAUCCCUAACAAGUGGUAUCAGAGCUAAUUCAAUUCUCGUAGAUCAGCCUGUUCAAAGAUGGCAGCAAUAAGGUUUGACAUUGAAAAGUUUGAUGGUUUCACAAAUUUUAAUCUGUGGCAAGUUCGGAUGGUGGCAAUUCUAGUUUAGACCAGCCUGAAAAAGGUCACUACCGGGAAAAAGCCUAAGAAUUUAGAUCAGACAAUGAGAAGAGCUUGAUGAAAAGGCCAUAUCUGCAAUCCAGUUGUGUCUCGCGAAUAGGGUAUUGCAAGAGGUAUUGAUGGAGAAAGUCUCAUCCGCUUUGUAGAAAAUGUUAGAAACUUUUUAUGCGACUAAGUCACUGCCUAACCAUUUAGUGUUGAAAUAACAUCUAUUUACGUUUCGCAUGAACAAAUGUGAGCUUAUUAGAGAUCACAUUAGUCAACUUAUUACUCUUUUGAAUGAUUUAAAGAUUGUUGAGGUUAAGGUUGACGGUGAAAAUUAGGCUAUGAUAUUACUAUGCUCUUUACCCUCUUCAUACAAGUCUUUCAGGAAGACCCUGAUUUGUGGCAGAGGCAAACUCUCGUUCAAGGAUGUGAAGGGUCAUUUGUUGAGUAAAGACAAACUUGACAAUAAGUUUGGUUCGGAUAGCAAUACAGAUAGGCAAGCUUCUGUUUUGGUAGCAUCAAAGAAGCGAGACAAAAGAUUAUUACACAUUUAAAUAUAUUUAAUUGUGCUAAUUUUAAAGUAAAGUUAUUACUUAAAUAGAACUCUAAGUCUAAAAUAUAGGGAAAAGAAAAAGGUUCUCAAAAUUAUAAUUAUAAUUUACCAUUAUUAAUUAGUGUAAAAUAGAAUUAUUAUUUGAAUAGAAUUUUAAGCAUUUUAAUUAUCAUUUACUUAACAUUAGGGUUAAUUAUGUUAAUUAAUUAUUAUUUUGAAUAAUAUUACUUUGGACAUAAAAGUAAAAUUAUAUUAUGCUGAAUAUGUUAAAAAUGUUUUAAUUAUUAUUUAAAAAAAUUUUAUUAUAAUAUUUGAAUUGAUAAGUUUUUAUAUUUUAGUUAUAUUUAAUAAUUUAAAUAAAAAUAUUAUUUUACCUCAAUUGUCGUAAUAUUUAAUAACGCAUGCAUGUGAAGUUCGAAGCUAAUAGGUGAAUUCAUUACUUGAGUAGCUUCCCUGCCAACCACAACUGCAUUUCACCUGUUUUAAACUCCAGUAUGCAUGAGAAGAUGACCUACCAAAACCUUUAAUAUUGACCAAGUUUCCUCCUUUUCAACCAUGUAUAAUGAUCAAAUAUUAACAACUGCUCCAAUGCCUAUAUAAACCCCAACACCAUGCUUCUCUUCCUCACUCAUAACUAUUCAGAUAAAACACUUUGUUUCAUUUGCUUAAUUAGUUUCAAAAUCUCUCCACAAAAUGGGUUAUUUCAAUUGCAUUGCUUUAGCAUGCUUGAUGGCUUUGUCGUUUUCAAGCAUUGAUGUUGGCCUAGCAGCUCGUCACCUUCAGCAGAUGCCACCAAUGCCAACAUUGCCUACAACCACACUCCCACCAUUGCCAUCUAUCCCUAAUCUCCCGCAGCCAACAAUGCCAAGGCCUGGGGCGCUUCCACCACUUCCUACCAUGCCUGCUUUGCCUACUUUUCCUGCUAUACCAACGGCCACACUGCCUCCUCUGCCAAGCAUGCCUUCAAUCCCAACAAUCCCAACUGCAAUUCCCUCAAUUCCAUUCCUCUCUCCACCACCUUCUCCUUCUUCUACUCCUUGAAAUACCCAUUUCUUCCCCUGUCCAUUGACAGAUAAAAUGUGGCUACAUAUAUACUGGAUUUUGAUUAAGGUGUUUUUAGUCGUCUUCGUCUUUUGAUUUGAAGUAUUGUUUGUUCUUCAACACAGAUAGUAUUUGUUUGUAGAAAUGGGAGUUUCCCAUUUUCCAUAAUCUAUUGUACUUUGAUUUGUUAUUUGCUUGUUAUGGGAGUAUAUUCAUGAAAUCUGCUUGAUUAGCUCUUGCAAUGUUCCUCAGAUUAAUCUAUUUUAAUUUAUUUUUUCAAUGUAUUUCCUAGUUUAUAUUAUAUCUUCUGCCUAUAUUAACACCCAAUAUAUGUAUUUUAAACAAGGAAGAUUUGAGAUAAAAUACAUUUCUUAAUCCUCAACCAAAUCAACAUUCAAAGGUUUCAACCCUGAAAUUGACGCCUUAUGUAAGAAUCAAAUACAAAACUUCAAAACAUUAAAAUAUGAUUCUAGUUUUUCUAUUUUUCGAUACCUUUAGAAUUUUAUUUUUUUUAAAAAUUAAUCUUUCUAUUUUUUUAUUUAAAAAUACAAGUUGUCUUCCUAACACUAUUAAACUUUUUCUAUUAAAUUCAAGUUUAUUAUAAAUGAGUAUUAAUAGGGUUAGCGAUUGAAUUUGAAUUUUAAAAUAUAAAAGGUAAAAAUAAAUAAAUUUUUAAAAAAAUAAAAAAUUAAAUUUCGAAUAUAGGCUAUUAAAAAUGAUUAUAUAACACAAAGCAUUAUACAAAAAUUAAAUUAGGCGAGUAAAUAGAAAUUAUUAUAACAAUUUAGUGUUGAGUACUUUAAGACAAAAACUCUCCCAAGAAGCAAGCUUUUUGGUAGUUCUAAUUUCCUAUUUCUUGCUUGCUUGUAGACUGCCUAAUGCUAAUGGCAAGUUCAACUUGAGGCAGACCUCUUAAUUUUUACCCAACAUUAUUAUUUAACGCUUCAAAAUUACUUAAAUUUAAAAUGAUUUGAAUCAAACAAAUAAUUUGAAAUGAUCUUACAUGAAAAUUUUGAUUGCAAAAUUCGAAUUACCUAAAAUAAAAAAGCUCGAACACAACAUUGAUUCGAACUUAAAACGAUCUAAAAAAAUCUUUUAACCGAAUUGACCUGAUCCGGAUUGAUGCAAAUUGUCUCAAUUGACAAGUAUUAUGUGGUUAAACAAGUGAAAAUAUUAUUAUUUAACGAUUGAAAAUGAAUCAAAUUUGAAAUGAUUUGAAUCAAACAAGUGAUAAGUUAUAUAAGUAACAUAUUUUAAUCUCAUUCUUAAUGCGUUUAUAGAUGAUUAAUUAUGCAAAUUAGUGAAUUUGAUGCUCCUAAUCCUUUAAAUUCAUGUUUCUAUACUUAGGAGAGCAUUUGGGAGUGAAAGAAGCGAAAAAUAAGCCAAAACCAGACAAACAGAGUUGUUUUCAGGAGCCACAUGGCCUGGGCAUUUCCACACGGGCAGGGCACUCAUCCGUGUGUCCCACACGGGCUAGACACACGCCCAUGUACCAGCCCGUGUCGAUUUCGCACCCUGCUUCCGAAAUACACAGAAAAACACAAUUUUUAGGCUUUAUGAGAAUUCUAAAGUCUAUAAAUACCAAUUAGAAGAAGACAUAAGGGGUUGAUCAAGAAGAUAGAAGAAAACACUCGAAGAAUACCAUCGAAAUCAACUCGGAAGCAAAUCUCCAUCAAGAUUGAAGAUCUCCUUUUAAUUUCUUUUGAAGUUUUAUCGAGUUUUUUUAUGUCUUGCGGUUAUUCUGACUUUGAGAUGUUUCCAUUCAGGAUUAUGAACUAAUUCCCUAGAUACCUAGGGAGGAUGAUGAAUCCUUUUAUUUAAUGUCUAUUUUUACGCGAUAAAUACUUGAAUCCUGUUCUCAAUUAUGUAUGAUUAUUUCUUGUAUUAAUACUUUUUGGAUAUUAAUUCAUGUUUAAUGUCCUUAAUUCAAUGGAGCAAAAGUCUGUUUAAAAGUAGAUCUAGUAUAAUUGAGCGGAGUUGCAUGCAAUCCUAAAAAUAGGACGACAUAAAUCUACCGGAUUAGAGUCAAAUCUAAUAAGGGAAUCCAUAGAUCGAGUUAAUGCGACAAUAGGGGUUUUAAUUAGAAAGAUAUUUCAAUUAAUCAACCUAGAGUCAGUUGUUUUUACUCUCAAAAGAGAUAUUAACAUAAUUUAGGGAUUUCUACGGAUCAAAACACAAGUGAAUAAAUCGUUUAAUUCAGAUUCAUAAUAAUAGGUGAAGUCUAGGUGGAUUCUUUCUUGGGUAUUGUCUAUCUCAUUGGUUAAUAUUCGAUUAUUUCCUUGAUUCAUUCUCUGUUGCGUUCAUAGUUAAAUUAGUUUAGUAAAUUAAGAUUAAAACACAUCACUCCAAAUUGUGGGCUACAUAAUAGAAAAAUGAUAAUUACCAAUACUUUUAGUCCUCGUGGAUACGAUAUUCUCUACUUACCAUAGAUAUACUAUUGUUCGAUAGGUGCCCUUGCCUUUGUCGUAUUUAUAGUUAGUUUGGUGACCAUCAAGUUUUUGGACCUUUGCCGAGGACAAAAAUAUUAAGAACACUUUAUUUUUAUUAAUUUAGCCAUUUUUAUUUUAUUUUUAUAAUUUUGUUUUUAGUUUAAUUUUUACAUUCUAAUUUUUAUUUUAUUUGCUUUAGUUUAUGACUAAAAAAAUUCAUCGGAACCAUUAGUGUUUGAUAGUGAAAUUGAAAGUACAACUCAUAAAAACCAUAGAGAAGCAAGGCAGAUUACAUGAGGUUAACCGAAUUGACCUGAUCUGGAUUGAUGCAAAUUAUCUCAAUUAACAAGUAUUAUGUGGUUAAUUUACACCAUCAAUAUUUAAAAUAUUAGUACCGGAAACUUAACUAACUUGGAGACUUGUUAGAGACUUGUUGAAGUAUACUAUUUGACAUAUAUUAUUAAUUUAAUUAAGAGGCUGACUUGAUUACAUGAGGUAGCUUGUAUGCCAACCACAUCUCCUGCAUUUCACCAAUUUUAAACUCCAAUGUCCCAUGAGAAGAUGAGCUACCAAAACCUUCGACAUUGACCAAGUUUUCUCUUUUCCAUCCAUAUAUGAUCAAAUAUUACCAACUACUCCAAUGCAUUUAUAAACCCCAAUAUCAUGUUUUGUUUUCCUCGCUCAUAACUAUUCAGAUAAAGAACUUUGUUUCAUCUACGUAAUUUGUUUCAAAAUCUCUCAACAAAAAUGGGUUAUUUCAAUUGCAUUGCUUUAGCAUUCUUGAUGGCUUUGUCGUUGCCAAGCAUUAACGUUGGCCAAGCUGCUCGUCACCUUCAGCAGCUGCCUCCAAUGCCAACUUUGCCUACAGCAACACUCCCACCAUUUCCAUUUAUCCUUAAUACCCCACAGCCAACCAUACCAACAAUGCCAAGGCCUGGGGCGCUUCCACCACUUCCUACCAUACCUGCUUUGCCCUCAUUGCCAAGUGUACCAAGGGCCACACUGCCACCUCUGCCAAGCAUGCCCUCAAUCCCAACUGCUAUUCCCUUUAUUCCUUUCCUCUCUCCACCACCUUCUCCUUCUCCUUCUACUCCUUGAAUACCCCUUUGUUUUUUAUCUGCUGCAUAAUGGAUUUGGUUUAAUAUGUUUUUGGUCGUCCUUGUCUGUUGAUUUUGAGGAUUGCUUUUUUCCUUUUUCCACCACAUUUAUUUGUUUGUAUAAAUGGGAGUUCCCCGAUCCCAUUAUUUGUUCUACUUCGAUAUGUUAUUGCUUAUUAUGGGAUUAUAUAUAUAUGUUCUUUCUAUGAAGUAAUUAAUUAUUGUAUCUAUUGUUAAAAGAUUAAAUAAAAUCCAUUAUAUAAAAAUUAAAUUGGAGGCGAGUAAAAAAGAAAAAAAAAUCUUUGCUGUCUCUAGGCUAGACCUGUCCAUGGGCCGGGCCGGGUUUAGAAAAUUUUUUGGCCCGCCUCCUAGGCCCGGGUCCGGCUCAAAAUAUGGGCCUGAAAUUUUACUCAGGCCCGGCCCGAGAAAAAUAUCAUAAGCCCGAGCCCGGCCUGGCCCAGCCCAUUUUUAAAAUAAACAUAAAAAAAUUAUUUUAAAAUAAAAAAAUAAAAAAAUUAUUUUAAAAGUACUUUAAAAUUAAAAAAUAAAAAAAAUAUUUAUUAUAUUCGGGCCGGCUCGGGCCAAAAAAGUAGUGCCCGAAGCCCGGCCCAUUUUUUAAACGGGCCUUAUUUUUUGCCCAAACUCAUAUUUCGGGCCUAUAGUUUUGCUCGAACCCUCCCAUAUUUUGGGCGGGCCGUCGGGUUGAGCCGGACCGCCCGACCCAUGAACAGGUCUACUCUAGAGUCUAGAUGAGUGUUCAUGGUGAGAGUGUUUUUUUUCCUAAAAACAAUUGCCAAUCAAAAUUUCUUUUAUCGAUAACAACAAUUUACAAAAGGAGAUUUGAAAGGUCCCAAGCAAAGCACUUACACACAAAGAUAAUUCAAGCAUAAAAAAACCAUAAUCAGGGGAUCUCCAGAAGAUUAAGAAAUUAUUUUAUGCAACCAUCCGUUACGUUAUUACAUUAUUUAUGGUUCUCAUUAAUAAAAAUUAUUUGUCCUACCCUUUUUCCUUAUAUUCUUUAUAUUCAUCGUAAAAUAAAAAUUUAGUCUUUAUACUUUUACUUUAAUUUUUUUUUUUUUAGAUUUCAAAAUUUAGGUUAAGUUUUGACAUUGUUAGUUACAUUGCUGACCGCUUCCGGACGUACUAAUAUUUAGAGUGUAAAUACUGCAACUAAAUAUAUGAAAUUGAGGCUGUAUCCACAAGUAUAUGGAUCAGAUUAUAAUAUAAUUUUACAACAAAAUAAGUAAGUACUCUGAGGAUCGAUCGUACCUAAAGGAGACGAGUACUAGAUUAAAGUUAACUUAAAUGUAAAUAGAAGUAAUUAGUAGUUUAAAUAAAUUAUAUUACAAUAAAACAUAAAUGAAGGAUUUUGGGGGUUUUAUACAUAAAGAAAUAAAAACUGCAUAAAUAAAAAGGACUUCGGAGAACUAAUUUCUAAACUUAAUCAAAUGUAGACAUGGGUGAUUAGCUCGUUUCGAUGAUCAUAACAAAUUCCUAUUUCAGGUUUCUAUUCAAUCAACUAGUCAUUACCUUAGCAAGAUCUCUCAAUAUUCCACUAAACUAACGAGUCGGCUAGAACUAGUUAUCUCUCGACCUCAAGUCCAGACCGGUUCGGGGCUAAGGUGUUUACGAAUAGACCAUACCAAUUUUGGGUUAAUUCCCACCUAAAUGGCUUCCUAGAGUCGUCAAGCCUAUGGGUUAAGUUCUUCCUCUCCUAAACAGUUGAUCCACUAAGAAAAUCUUACAUAACAAUUAGUCAAUCACACUUCCAUUUGCUAAUCCCACAUAUGAGGAUUAGUUCCUCACAGAAUACAUAAACAUAAUAAACGUGAUAAUAAAUAUUUGCAUAAAAAACAAAUCAAUAAUAAAGUUUAGAGAAUCCUAAUUGUAUUUUAUUAAUGAAGUGCAGAGAUCCUUAAACGUUUGAUCGUAUUUACAAAUCAAGUCCUCCGAAGAACACAAAUGAAAAUAAUUGGAAAAGAAAUCUAAAGCCUAAAAGAAAAGAAAAACUAAAAACUAAAUUAUAGGGAAAAACUUAUAAUAUGAAAACUGCCUCUAAACAAGUUUCUAAUGAGCCUAUUUAUAAAGUUAGGGUUGGUCGUCAUCCUUAACCUGGGUUAGCUGACGUUUUCGUAUUAAUUUUCAUUGUGCAGACCAAAAUUCCCUUCGUAUUAAUAUGAAAAUCAUUGAAACCUUGUUGUUACAACAAGCAUACGUGCUGCAGCAUGUUUACAAGCUGCAUGCUCUUCAACAAAAAAAUUAUCACAGAGCAUAGUUGGCCAAUUUUCAAUAUCGACACAUAAGGAAACGAGUGUAGAUGAUUCCUUGGAAGUAGUGAAAAGCUUGAUGAAAUGAUCUUGCACUAAGUUCUCUAUAGCUCUUCUUUUAGUUAUCCACUUUCCAUUAACAUCAAAAAGCCCCAUGAUUUUAUUACAAUUUAUUCAUUUCAUUGCUUGUUGCACGUUUGUGAGCAAUUAGGAAAAUAUUUCUUGCAUCUUGCUUCCUUAUUAUGUGUAUUGUUUUCUUCUUUUGCUGCUGAUAAAACGCCAACCAUCGAUCUUAACUUGCCUCGUUUUCCAAACUCAAAUAUUCAAUUUCUUUUAUUUGAAAUCUCCUUUGUGGAUAUAGAAAAAGCAACUUGGUUCCUCAAACCUUUUAAAGCCCCAAGUCCAAACUACACCCAUUUUCUAUCAACACCUUUGGUCUGACGUGAAGUAGAAAAUCAUCUCGACGGUUUCUAAGAUUUCUAUGACUUUCCUAAAUGUCGUUGUUCCCACUACCUUUAAUGAGACAUUGGUCGCUCUUAUUCCCAAAUCCAAAGAGGCAACCUCUUUUUCACAAUUCCGCCUGAUUACUCUAGGUAAUACGAUCUACAAGAUUAUCACAUAAGUCAUGGUUAUGAAACUAAGGCCCCUUUUAUAUAGGAUAAUUUCUCCAUUUCAGGGUAGUUUUGUUCCUGGAAGGCACUCCUCGAAUAAUGUCACUAUUGUCUAAAAGAUUAUGCACUUGCUCAAAAAGAUGAAAGGGAAAAAUUGUGCUAUGGUCAUUAAGUUGGAUCUUGAAAAAGUGUGUAAUAAGCUGGAAUGGAGUUUUCUCUUCUUUUUUGGUUUUUCGAUUUUUUGGAUAAAUUUAAUCAUGAAUGAAGAAGUAAAUAAAAGCUUAGUUUAAUAUUGCUUCUCAAAAGCACUUUUGAGCUUAAAAGCAUCUUAUUUAGCAAUAUUUUUUUUAUGUCAAAAGUGCUUUUUAUACUAAAAGUGCUUUUUAGAAGUAAUACUAAAUUAGUCUGGAAUAAAAAUCACCAAAAAAGAAAGUCUAAAUUUUGAGUUUACCAUAAAAUUCUUUUUGAAAAAUUUUAUAAUAUGAUUCAAUAAAAAAAACUGAAAUAUGUUUUUCUUAAGAAUUUUGGUUUUGAUUGUUUUUCCUGAUUCUCAUGUUAAAGUUAAGAGAGAGAAAUUAUUUUGUAGAGGAAUUAAUUUGUUCAAUUUUGAAAUUGAUAAUGUAUGUAUAUACACAAAGGUAUAAUUCAGCUGUCUAAGCUAGUCAGUGACCCGUUUAAGGCUGCGUACUGAUCCGACCCGACCCAUAUGGACAUGUUUAUUAACUAAACACCCCUGCAGUAAUCCUGGAGAAUUCCUAAAAGGAACAAGUGGGGAAGAGAAGCUUAAGCUAAAAGAGCUCUUUAUCAAUUUCCAUGGCGUCGCGUUCCCUCUUUCUUAGUCUCAGACGGUAACUAUCUUCAUUCUCAUAAAUUUCCAUUUCAAAGAAUUUGUUUUUUUUAAAAAGGUAAUUUUAUUAAACUGGAUCAAAUACAAUUCUUAUUAGCUGUUGUUAAGUUAAAAUCUUUUCAUUUCUCAAACAUCAACUUUCCCAAACUGUAAAAUACAUAUAUGUGUGUGUGUGCAGGAGAAGCAGCCAACGGUGCAUGUCGAGGCUGUUGUCUUCGGGCUCCGUCAGCACCGAAUACACGGACGAUUAUAUAAAUAAUUCGGAAACCGAUGAUCUGAGAAGCCGCAUUUUCCGGUUGCGCCUCCCGAAACGGAGCGCCACCACCGUUAUAGAGAAAUGGGUGGGUGAGGGCAACCGGGUUUCCAUCUCUGACCUCCGCCAAAUUUCUAAAGACCUUAGAAAAUCUCAGCGUUUCAAGCAUGCUCUCGAGGUAUAUUUUUACUCAGUAAUUGAAGUCAAUUAGAAUGAAAUUAAGAUUUGGGUGUUGUUGGGUUGGUUUGAUUUGCCUAAAGAAUCUAGAAAUGCUUGCUUAGUUUAAUAAUCCUUGAUGAAACUUUCCAUCACUUUUGCGGCUUCAGAAAAAUAAUGCUUGAAUCCUUAGAUUUGAUUAACCUUGAUUGGGUCAAUUGGAUUCAUAGCAAUUAGACUUGUCAACUUGACCCGAAUCCUACUCAAUCAACUUGGAAUCAAACUCAACCCAACUUAAUUUGAUCAUAAGAAGUUUACAACCCAAACCUGAAAGGAUCUGAUUCCAAAACUGGCACGAACCUGAAUGAACCGAACUCAAAAUGACUCAAACCAAUAACCCGGCCUAAAAACCUUGGCCUCCAACCUGAAAGAUCCAAUGGAUCUUAACCCAAGGUUUACCUGAACCAAUAUUACGCAAAAAUUUUAAAAACUUGAAUUGACUCAAUUUAAAUUGACUUGAUUCAAAACCAACUUGGCUUGCCCAAUUGACAUGUCUGAUAGUAAUCCAUUGCUUAGGGGAAUGGUCUGAUUUGUUGCAAAUGUUAAACAAAUAAUUAAAGAGAUAAUAUGUGUGUGUGUGUGUGUGUGUAUUUGUCAACAAAUAGAGAAUAUCUUAGUAUGUAUGUUAGGUUAAUCUUUUGUCUACAGAAGAUUUUUGCAACACAUUAGGGUUUGCCAUUUGAUUAGCUUGGAUGUAGGGUGUAAAUGAGACAGUGUUGUUAUCAAACUAUUCAAGUUUGACUAGAAAAAACUUGAAUUUGAUUUAGUAAUUAUCAAGUUGAGUUCAAGCUUUAGUAGCUCGAGUUAUCAAUCAAGCCAAAUUCAAGCACCUUAAUGCUCAAUCCGAACAGCUCAUGAGCCUAAUCAAGCUUUUCAUUUUAAUAUGUUUUACGUUAUGAAAUUACAUUUUUACCCUUAUUAUAUAGAAAGAGCUUAAGUACAAGCUCAUAUGAACUGGCUUAAUCGAUCUUGAUUUCAAUCUUGAGUAUGAAAAUUGAUAAAUGAGUUUAGUUGAGCUCAAACUCUAGUAGUUCUAUUAAGUCUUGAGCCAAGCUCAAGCUUAGAAAUAUAUGUUUGAUCGAGCUCAAGCCAAGCAUCGACCGUUGAAUUUUGAGUCAAGCUCGAGCUUGAGCUUACCAUUAUUUGAGUUCGGUUUGAUUCAAUCCAAUUACACCCCUACUUGGAUGUUUAGCUAUAUAGCAACAGUGAUCUUGUAAUGUUAACUACGGAUAUAUCAUACAUGUCUCGUCUUUUGUAGUAGAUUUAAGUCUCUACUAAGGCUUGCUUGUAGAAGUGCACUAUUUACCUCUUUCACUUUAGAGUUCAUUCACUUCCUCUGAUCCAUUGAAAUACGAAAACUUUCUUCUCGCUUGCUGUUUUUGUAAGUGUAAUUUGAUUACUAUUAUAGUGUCUCACAGUCACUUUAUUAUUUCACCUGUUCUUUGUUUCAGUUAUAAGAGGGCAUGUUGUGAAAGUUGGUUUUGAUGAGAAUUUUUAUCGAUACCAAGAAUGAUUUUCUUUUUUCGAGUGUGAGAUAUAAAAGUCCGAUGUUAUGGAUGUAGGAAAGUCCCAAAUCCCUUUUUCUUUCUGUUAUAAUAGUAGUCCUUUGUGAGUUGCACCUUGCAACAUUAGGUUAGUCUCUUUUUCGUUUCCCCUUUCUAAUAUCAGAAACAAAGUUGGUCAAAUUACAGGUUUUAUUCCCUGUACUAUACUUUUAUUUGGAUACAUUGAAGAGGGUGUGUCUCAGGGCUCAAUCCUUGGAUGUAGGUUCCAACACCUAACACCUUAACCACUGCACUAGUGAGAUGGCCAAUCCGUGUACUGUAAUUUGGAAUAAUUUUGUUCUCUUACUAUUAUUAAUAGUAUGCCUUAGUCCAAAUCAUUGACACCGUUUCUCAUAAGUCAGCUGAUGUAUUUUAUUUAAAAACCUGACAAUCGAAUUUCUUACAUCAUUUAAAAGAUGAAAUUUUGGUAACCAGAAUAGUUAUUUUUCAUUAAUUUGUCAUAAAAAGAAUUUUCUAGCUCAAUCUCAUGACUUGGACUCUUUUUUUCUUUAAAAAUAAUUUCACCUUAGCAGACUAAUAAAUUAUUUUUAACGGUGAGAGCGAUUUGCAUCAAGACAACAUUAAUGAUAGUAAUAGUGGCAGGGUCAGGUUAUGCCAAAUUAAAGUACAAUACUUCAAUCUCCAAGUUGAGUAUAGUGUUAGGCCAAAAACCAUAAUUUGACCAACAAAGCUUCAUCUUGCAUCUGUGUGGAAAUGUUUGUGCCUUAUAGUUCGUGUGGCUUUUGAUUUCGCGGUUAGAAUUGAUUGUCAAUUUUCUUUACCUUACCCAUUCAAGCUGGCAGAUAUCAGAAUGGAUGGUUAGUCAUGAAGAAUACAAGUUAUCAGACACUGACUAUGCUAUUCGUAUUGACUUGAUGACAAAAGUUUUUGGUAUUGAUGCUGCUGAACGCUAUUUCGAAGAUUUACCUCUGACUGCAAAGACAAGUGAAACUUACACUGCUCUUCUCCACUCUUAUGCUGCCGCAAAAUUGACUGAAAAGGCCGAAGAACUUUAUGAGAGGAUAAAGGGGUCAAAGCUCUCGUUCUCUGCCCUUCUCUACAACGAGAUUAUGACUCUGUACAUGUCAGUUGGGCAGGUCGAGAAGGUUUCUUCCGUUGUAGAAGAACUGAAGAGACAGAAAGUUGAACCAGAUAUCUUUACUUACAAUCUUUGGAUAAGUUCAUGUGCUGCAGCUCUAAACAUUGAUCAAGUUCAAAGGAUUCUGAAUGAAAUGAGAUGUGACUCCGGUUGCAAUGAUGAUUGGCAGAGAUAUAUCAACCUUGUAAAUAUUUAUGUAACUGCCAGCUGUCUUACAAGUGCCGAUUCGAUCUCUCCUAUCGAAAUAGAGAAAGGCAUCACACAAAGAGAAUGGAUAACGUACGACUUUCUUGUCAUGCUGUAUGCAGGCUUGGGGAACAAAGAUAAAAUUGAUCAGAUAUGGAAAUCUCUAAGAAUGACGAAACAAAAAAUGACAAGCAGAAACUACAUAUGCAUUCUUUCAUCGUAUCUGAUUCUUGGGCAUAUGAAGGAAGUGGGAGAAGUUUUUAAUCAGUGGAAACAGUUGACAACCACAGAGUUCGAUAUAUCUGCCUGUAACAGCGUUUUGAGUGCAUUUGAAGAUGCCGGGUUGAUGGAGAAAGCCAACGACUUACAUAUGCUUCUGAUUAGUGGGAACUGCAGUCCCACAAACAAGUAGGAGCCUGUUGCAAUUAAAUGUGGGAACACCUCCAUGGAAACUGUACUUGAGAGAGAAAAGAAAUCGAUUACUCGGUGUCGGUGAUUGAAUUGCAGUUACAAGAAAUGGCUGACUGUUGGUACUGGUAAUCGGUAUUUUUACCCUUUUUCUGAAUGUUGGUAGGAUCUACUGAUUCCUGAAAUUUAAACUAUUUGCUUUUGUUUUCCAUGAUUGAUGGAUGAAUAGAAAUACGUAGAGCUGCUGUUUGAUUUGAUCAUAUGUUUAUAUAUUUUAUGUAAUGGGCAUAUCUUGCAGCAGCCUUGUUGAUUUGAUCAUAAAGAUUUCAAAAAAUUUAACGCAUCUAACUUGAACCCGAAUUUUCUGAAAUCCAAAUGGAUCCAAGUCUGGAACUAGCUUAGACUCAAAAUUAUACUAACACAAAUAGAAUAGGAAGUGGUUUGAAAAUUUUUAACAUGAAACAAUUCUAAAAUGAUGUAAAUCCCCCAGUUUGCAGGUCUAUUGCAGGGUCCUAUAGAUAGAUGAUAAAUAUGGGUCAAGAGACUUUGUUUAUUAUUACUGUUGUUAUUAUAGAUUUUUAUAAUAUCUGUUCUUUUUGAUACAAUGAGUACUUAGAAUUAUUUAUAAUUCAUCUUCAACUCGGAGGAUAAUGUGUUUUAGCGUACUUAAACUCACGUCCUUCUCACUGGCAACGAUACUAAUGUCAAUUGAACUAAAACUCAAUUGGUUUAUAAUUAUUAUUUUCAUCUUAAUUGAAAUUAUAGUAAAAUUUAGCUCUUUUUUUUUUAAAUUUAAAAAGUUGUGUUAACAAUCACGCUAAAAGGAGAUUAUGAUUUGCAAAAAGCUAUACAGAAAACUGUUGGUUUUUCCCUACUUGUGACCUACAAACAAGUUGAGACCGUCAAGUUAAACUAAACCCACAGAAAGAAGAAAAAGAAGAUUCAAUAAGAAAAAGAAGAAAAAAAUCACAACAAAGAUGGCAAAUAUUUCAUAACUAGAGGUGCUGAAGUGUAAUCUUGAAAAAAUUCAAGUUCAAAAAAUAAUAAAUGUGUAUUUAUUUAAAUUUAAUUAUAAAAAUAUUACUAUACAAUUAUUAUUUUUAUACUUUUUAAAUAGUUUAAAAAAAAUUAAAAUCCAACCCAAGUGGCAGAUGAAUUGGAACGAGGCAUCCAAUCCAACCAUGAACAAGUAAGCAAAACCCGAUUAUCAAGUUAAGCAUUGAUAAAUGGAAUUCACAUUGAAGUUUGAAAUGCUUUAUAUCCCAUAUAUUUCAAUGCAGUGAACAUUGGAAUCUUCUAAUAUUCUUCUUUACGCAAUUACCUCUUCUUUUUAAGUAUAUUGUCUUCUACCUAGCUGGCUACUUCAUAAUAAUAAUCCCCAUAGUGUAGGCUAAAAUAAAAAUAAAAAUUAACACUAGUAUUUAUGAAUGUGUAUAUAUUUUAAAAAAAUUAAUAAUGUUAAACUUACUUUAUUAAAUCAAUAAAUUUUCUUAUUUAAUAAGAUUGUUGUCACUUAUCAUUCGUGUUUUCGCAAACCUAGAAUUAAAGAUUAAGUUGUCUAAUGGAAUCCCCUACUUCUAAACCCAUCAAUAAUAUAAUAAAAAAUGAUUAAAACAUGCUCUAAGUCUCUGUAUUUUUUUAAAAAAUUUUGAAAUUUAAUCACCCAAAAAUUUUAUUUUCAACAAUGUCGUUCUUCUAUUUUUCAUAUUUCGAAAUUUAGAUCCAAUUGUUAAUACUGUUAAAUUUUUUCAUUAAAUUUGUUAGUGUGACAUUUUGAAAUAAAAACAAAUACUCUCUUAAUAGCCAUGUAACUAAAAAAUUGAUGUUAUACUAAACUAGCAUUUAACGAAAUAAAUUUAAUACCAUUAAUAGUUGGACUUAAAUUUUAAAUUCUGAAAAACAGAUAAGCCAAAUUUCUAAAAUUAAAAACAUAUGAAUUAAAUUAUAAAUAUAUGAAAAGUUUACCUUAAGAAAUAUAUUGGAGCUUUACCUUAAUUUCCAUAAUCCUCAAUAUAUAAAGUGGGGUUGCAAUAUUAAGCAAUAAACUUGCAUUUCCUAUGCUUUCUUUUAAUUAAUUUUUAUUUUUAUUUGCAACCAAACUUAAAAUACAAAUCACUGAACGUGAAGUGAACAUUAAAUUAAAUAAAAUGUUAGCUUUUUCCUCUCUUACACAUCUUCGUAUCUUACUUUCUGCCUUAAAUUCUGGAAUUUAUUUUGCUUUCUAUAUAAUUUUUUUUCCUCCUUUGGUGAAGCCAUUUUUCAACUUUAUGGGUCAAAAUAGGCCCACUCUACAUUUAAUGGAAAGAGGGUAAAAUUUUUUUAUUGCAUUCAUGAGGUUAGAGUUAAUUAAAUGGUGUAGUAUUAUUACUUUAAAAUAUCAUGCCAUUCUUAAACAACGUAAUAUUUAAUUCAACUUAUUGUAGCUUAAUUCGAAUCAUUAUAUUUAAUCUAUAAUUAAAUUAAUGUCACUUUAUUUAAUAAAUUCUAGUCUCAUAAUAUUAAUGUUGUUUCAAUUGUUACAAAAAUGAUUAAUUUGGUUGUUUUUCUAACCUACAAAGAUGUUUAUACAAUAAAUUAUGAGAUUUUAUCAAUUUUGAAAUCGAUGGACUACGAUGUAUCACCGUAUCUUGAUAUUAAAAGAAACAUUUGCCAAUUUCUUAAAUUUUUUUUUUUAAAUCCUAUAAAAUAAGUAUUUUUUUUCUUAAGUGGGUUUCAACAUUAAGCAUAAUUGACUGCCUUCUUGUAAUAAUUUAAUCGCCAACAAACUUAAAAUGCAAAUUAGUAGAAUGUGAUGUGAGCUACUUUAAAAUAUGUAUCUUACAAUUCAUAUGCCUUAAAAUCUGGACCUACUUUUACACUUUAUAUAAGUCAAAUAGAUAACAUGCUAAGAGAUACAUUACUUUAUAAGUGGAAAAUAGUUUCCCACUUUUUGAAUUUCCAUUUCAUUUCCAAUUCCUCCCCUUUUUUCUCUUUUAAGUUUGUAUAUAUAAAAUAAAUUUCAAUUAUAAUAUGGCAUAUAUAUUUUGAGAACUAUGAAUGUUGAUAUUUUUGUCAAAGUGAGAGAAACGUUCCCAAUAUUUCAUUUCAAAUAAUCAAACUAUGUGAGAGAAACCCCAUAUUUACCCCAUAGCCAUGAACAAUUACUCUCCUGCAUUCCAUAGACAUAAGAGCUUGAAACAAGAGAAGAACAUCAUGUUGCCAUUCUCUUGUUACUCUCCCAAGCUAUCCCUUUACAUCCUCGCGACAUGUGUAAUCCUUUUAAUGUUGUUACAGAUCCGAUCCCUCCACACGGUUCUUCCCACUUCCUCAUCUCCUUUACCUUCACUUUCACCUUCAGCUUCUUGGUCUCUCUUCCAACAAUGGCAAAACUUGGUUCUCAACCGGACCUUGGCCGCCGUCUCGCCUGUAAACUGCACCCAAAACCCGGAUUCCAUGAACCAAAAGCUUCGAGAUUCCAUCACGUUCCUCCCGUUGAAAGACCUGCGUUUCUCGAACCAGCCCCUUGAUGGUCACACAUGGUUCAUGAGUUCCAUGUACGACACACGCGAGGAAGGUGAGGUCCAAUACCAACAGUUCCCUUCAGAACCGUCCAAAGGCCGGUUCCUUUGCCUUAAAGGCCGCGACACACACGACGGUUCAUGGAACUACUACGCCUUGGCAUGGCCCGAAGCGCUUCUUACAAACGCCACCCUAAUGAAGGGCCUCACUUUCGUGUCUUACAACCAUUACAACUACGACAACAUAUGGCAUGGUCUGUCGGCUGUCAUGCCUUUUGUCGCAUGGCAUAGGAAAAACAGCUGUGAAAAACCAACGAGAUGGGUGCUUUACCACUGGGGUGAACUUAGGUUCAAGAUGGGGACAUGGUUGAACUUGUUAAUGGAGGCUACGUUUGGCCAAGCUCCUUACAUUGAAGAGUUUAAUGAUGUUGAUGAUGAUCAACCUGUUUGCUUCGAAAAGGCUGUUGUGAUGAGGCACAAUGAAGGAGGGAUGUCGAGGGAGAGAAGGAUGGAAGUUUAUGAUCUGAUGAGGUGUAAGGCUAGGGUUUACUGUAAUGUGAGCCUUGAUAGAAGGGAUAGCGAUGAAAGACCAGACAUUGGGAUGACUUUGCUAAUGAGGAGUGGAGCAAGGUCUUUCAGGAACGAGACGGCAGUGAUUGGGGUGUUUGAGAAAGAAUGCAAAAAGGUGAAGGGUUGCCGGUUAAUGGUGGCUUACUCCAAUAAUCUCACCUUUUGUCAACAGGUAAUGGCAAUUUUUAUUUUAAUCGACUUGAAUUAAAUUUCUACACUUUUCAACACUAAUUUCUUCGUCUACUAUUCAAAUCUACAACUUUUAGGUUAAUCAGCAUUUUGUUAGCAUUUGUGCGUUACACGUGAACACCAAAACCCCCCUUAAAUAAAGCUAUAGUGGGAUGUUGAGAUUGAUGACAUGCUAAUCCCACUCACUAACGUAUAAAACAGAUAUGUGGGCUACUUUUAAAUUGAGUGAAUUCCAAUUUUUGAAAUUGAAUAAAUUAUUUUAUCAAUAAAUAACAACAUUUCAAAGCAAAGUUUACAAAGAUUUCAAAUUAGUCCCAAUAUUCUAAAAUCUCCGACAAUAUCUUCCAUGCAACUUAAAAGUAUUGUUUGAUUCAACACAUUAAAUUUCACAGAUUUAUCCGCAAUACUUAUAUCCCAAAAUCAACUCUAAUACACAAUUCGUGACUCCUCUUUCAGAUCAUAACAGCUGAUAUUUAAUUUAGAAGUUAAUUACAUUAAAAAAUUUUGGUAACUGAAUUUACAUGUGUGAUGAUGAAAUUGCAGGUGAAGCAAAUGAGUUUAACAGAUAUUCUAAUAUCACCCCAUGGUGCCCAACUGACCAACAUGUUCCUAAUGGACCGAAACAGCAGCGUUAUGGAGUUUUACCCCAAAGGCUGGCUAAAGCUUGCCGGCGUCGGCCAAUAUGUGUACCAUUGGAUAGCUAGCUGGUCUGGGAUGAGGCACCGAGGCGAAUGGCGAGAUCCCAACGGGGAAAGCUGCCCUUACUCCGACGAAGAUCACCGGUGUAUGUCGUUCUACAAGAAUGGCCUAAUUGGCUACAAUGAGACCCAUUUUGCGGAGUGGGCUAGAAAUGUUCUAAAUGAUGUUCAAACAAAGAGAUUUGAAGAAGAGGGUACCAAAAAUGGGACAGCUUCUAUGAAAACUUGUGAUUGCAAUUAAUCUGGUUUUUUGUUUUUUGUGUUUUCUGGUCUUUUGAGGGGCAUAAUUAAUACCCAAAAAAAAAUCCUUUCAUUUUCAAUUUUAAUUUUCAUUUAUAGGGGUUCUUGUAAGAACAAUGAUCCCCAUUCAUAUGCAAUAGUAUUUUAUUUUAAUUUAUUCUAUACUGUUAUUUCAACUAUUGGUAGAGUGGUAAAGAACAGGUCUAAAUUGGAUCCUUGAACAACCCCUAUCUUAUUUUCUUUUUUUUUUUUUAAAAGAUUUGUCUCUUAAUUCUUUGGAUUUUCGGAGUAACCUCAUUAUCAAACUCCAAUUGACGAAGGAAAAACUACAAGUUAAGCGGGUUCAAUAACAUUGGUAAGUUUGACUUACACACAUGAAUGACAGAUGAUUUGUGUAUUGAAAUCGAGUUUGAAAUCAAAUCAAGAAAGAGUGAGAAAAUUAUUUUCUAGUCCCUCUAUUAUAUUGAAUUUUGAAAUUUAAUCUUUUUAAUUUAUUAGUACGUAUAAAAUUAUAACAAUCAUUUAACUAACAUGUAAAUUUAUUAUUAAUUAUGGUUGAUUAAAUUUCACAUUAUUUUGAUUAAUAAUAAAAAGAAAGAAUUAUAUUGCUCUUUUCUUUAUACAAAGCCUAGUAUUACCUCUAACCCCUCUCCACCGUUAAAUUAAAGAAAAAAUUAGAAUUAAAUGUAUUUAAACUCACAAUCUUUAAAUUAUUAUAACAAAAAUUGUGCGAAUUGAACUAACAUUUAAUCCACGAAUUACAUUGCUAGUAAGUUGUUUUAUCAAUUUCGACUUACCAAUAAUAUUUAAAAAUAAAAAAUUAAAUUAUACCAAGCGAUUAAAUCUUUGAUUUUUAACAUCUCCUUUAAUCAUCGUGCAGACAAAACAAACUAUAAAUUGGGCCCUCCAAAAUUUGUGGACCCUGCUAGAAAAACAAAACAAUCUGUCAGGCUGUUAACUUUUGAUUCAAAUUAUGGAUUUCUGUCUUUAUAUUAUACUUACUGUUAAAAUAUGCUCUAACAUUGAUAAAAUUACCAUGGAGUUAUAGUUGGAUUCUACUUUCUCUCUUUUAUUAAAAAGGUUUCUGUAAAUUAAAAAAAAUUACAAAUUAAUUUUUCUUUUAAAAUUUUCAUUCAUAUGUGUUGUUAAGUGGUUAUUUAGAUUUUUCAUAAAAAUUUAUGUAAGUGACAUAGAAUUAAAAAAAUGAGUAGGAUUAGGUAAAAGUACCGUGGAGGCUCCUGUAUUAAGAGCUGGAUUACAUUAUGUUCUCUCUACUUGAAAAUUGAGUAAAUUAGUCCUUGUAUAUUAAAUCAAUAAGCAAACUGAUCAUUUUGUUAAAAAUUCCAUUUGUUUCCAUUUUUAAAUGAUGAUAUAACUGACAGAGAAACUAAAUAGUGACACGUGGUAAGCCACAUGUACCUCAUGCUAAUGUGGCACAUUCUGUCACAUCAAAAAAUAUUUAAAAAAUUUAAAAACCUAAAAAAUAAAUAAAUUUAAAUAACUUUGUAAAAAUCACAUCCAAGAGGAACCUAGACAAAUGGUUGUUUAUGUUCAUACCAGACGUGAUUUUUUUUAAAAAAAUAUUUAUAAAAAAUGUAAAAUUUAUAAGGAAUGAAUUUUUUGAAUUAUUUAAAAUUAUUUUAGAAAAUAUCAAAAAUGAACUUGACAGUUAUUUAUCCAAGUUCAAAUGAAAUUUGUGCUUUCUACCAUUGAAGGGGAUGAUGAGCCAAACAAAGCAUCGAUAAAGUUUGGUUUUAUCUUGAGUUCUGUCGAAGCCAAGAGGGUCAGAGAGAAUGAAAAGAAGGCAAUGAAGUAUUUCUUAUAUUGUGGCCUGCAUAGGAUGCGAGACUAUCCAAAGCAAUCUAAACUUUCUAUGAUCAGUAAGGAAGAAGAAACAGAACAAGAGAGUGAGGCUUUAAAGUUUGGAUUAAUGAUACUCAAUUCUACGAAAGCAAAGAGGGAUUGCAAGCAGAAAGAGUUGAUGUUUGUAGACACCAACAUUGCAGAUUGAAGGAGGUGUGCUCUUGUUUAUAAUUGUAGAAAACUGUAGGUAAACUUGAUAUCUCAGUUAGCAAAUUGACUAAGAAGAUCAAGACUGUAAAUUCCAAAAAGACCCUAAUUGGGGAGUAGCAUAAUGAGUUAAGCUACAAAUCAAUCAGUGGAAAAACAAGGAAGAAUUCGAGGUAAUUUAUUUAGAUGAUUAUGAAUUUGUUCUUGGCUUGAAUUUUCUUGGAAAGAUUAAUGCUCUAUUGGUUCAUUUUUUCGAUUAUAUAUGUAUCUUGGAUACUCAGUAGCAACAAUACAUUAUGCUGGCGAGUCGAUACAUGAGGGGUGGAACCAAGGUAUUGUUAGCAAUCCAACUAGCCAAGAAUGUUUCAUGCGGUGGGAACAUUAACUUGGUAUAUCUGAGUGCUAUGAAGACUCCUUCAAAAAUGCUAGAGGUGUAGAAAAUUGAUAUAACCUUCCACCUAUGAGAGCGGUGGGUUGUGCAUUAGACUUUGUGGAAAAAUUAGUAUUGCAAAUUGGGCAACUAAACAGAGUAAAUGCUAUGAGCGAGGUACAUCUCAAACACUUAUCUAGUGUUUUACAUUAUGACUUACCGUUGGCUUGGCAAAGACAUAAGAGCCCUUUCAAUGUUAUAAAGCAGGUAAGCCGAGAGGCUUACAAACCAAGAUUAGCAACAAUACUCAAGGUUAACACAGUAUUCAAUGUGGGUGUGUCAAAGCCUAUUUGCAAGGAUCAAAGGUAUCCCAAUCGAGGUAAGUCACAAUAGGGCUGAGUAAGAGUAAUGAACUCUUGUGAAUGAGAUAUACAAAAGAGAGAAACAAUUCAAGUUAGAAGAUGACAAAGAAAUAAGUCAAGGCAAAUGUUUCAAGGGUCAGAACUACUUGAUAUAGAAACUAGUUGAGAAUCAGUCGAGGAAAUGAGACGAUUCUAAGACAAGUUAAACCAAUCUCAUCCCGAGGACGCGAUGAGGGCAUCGUGAGAAUGGGUGGGAGAGAAUGUCAAAGGCCAUAGAUCAAAGCCCGUGAUGAAUACAUACAUAGCAUCCUAUAGAGGUCAACUGAUUAAAUGGGGCUCAUUUGACCCAAUUGAACUAGCCUGAUUCGUGGAAGACAUGGAGAAGCUCAUCUACUAGAAGCCAUGAUGGCUCAAUAAAACACUCUAGUUAAACUAGAGUUACUAUGGUGAAUAUUGUAAACCCUAAGGGAUAAAUAUUGUAUAGAUUUUAAGUCCCUUAAGACUCUCAUAUUAUAGAUAGGCACUAAUCUCAACAGUUGAUGUAAUUCAAUUUGUACUGUUGGAUCUAAGGGAGCUUGAUUAUAAAUAAAGGUCAUUCCCCUCAUUUGUAAUCACAUCAUCCAUUUAUUUCAUUCAAAUUUAUUGAAUAUAUUUGAAAGCAUUUAUUCAAGCACUUGGUGUGCUAUGAUUUUUUUGUGGCUUUUCUGUUUAAUUUAAGCUCAUUAGUAUUUUGUGUUUGCUUUCACUUUCUUCCAGUACCUUAGAGAAUUUCCUCUAAGAAUUCUCAUUUUUAAGAGAUGAGCUAACUCAGGUGGAUUUGAAGCAAAGGAAUCGCCUAACGUAACACCCCAUUUUUAGUGAAAUCUAAACAGUGGUUUCGGGACCACAAAUUUGAGUCCGGAAGAAAAUUUAUUUUAAAAUUAUUUUAUGGUCUAUUGUAUGAUAGAAAUAUCGUAAAAAUUUUUGUUAAGAAAAUUUUACCGAUUACAUGUUUAAUUGAUAAAAUGACCAAAUUGCAUAAAAUGUAAAAAUUGAGUUUUAGUAGCUAUAGGUAUCAAAUAGCUAUAGAAUUCAAAAUUGGAGGUCCUUAUAUGAAAAAUAGACCGUUAAGAGGAGUUAUUAGAUAAGUAUGAUGAUUCAUCCAUGGAAAAUUAAAUAAAUAAAAUGACUAAAUUGGAAAGAUGAAAUAAUAAAAGAUGAUAUUUUAAUUAAAUAAGAAAAUAUCAUCAUUUUAUAUCAUCUUUUCCAAAUUAAAGACAUGGAAACCCUCGUUAUAGGUGUUGAGAUCAAGCAAACUAUUUUGGCUUAAUUAGGUAUGUAUUCCUUGUCUCGUUUUCAAUAUUUUUAUGUUUCUGAUAUCGUAAUAGCUUAAUCUAGCUAUCUCAAGGAUUAAUUUGUAAAGUUAUCAAAGUAUUAGGGUUUUUCCAUGGAUGAAUAUGUAUGGAUUAUGAAGUUUUAUGGUAUAAAAUGAAAGGUUGUUGAUAGAUAAACAAUUUUGGUAAAGUGAAUUUUAAUGAAAUUGUGAUUUAGGGACUAAAUUGAAAAGAUGUAAAAUUCACAAAAUUUUUUUGAAUUUUAUGAAAUACAUGGGCUAUCAUUUUGACAUAUGAAAUUUUGCUAGGCUAGAAAUAAGGAUUAAAUUGCAUGAAUUUCAUUUUUUGAGCCUAAGGACAAAAUUAUAAUUAAAUGAAAGUAUAGGGCAAAAUGGUAAUUUUUCCAAAGGUGUGAAUUGAAUUGAAUUGAAUAUGAAUUGAUAUUUAAUUCAUUUAUAUAGAUUCAGAUAGACCAAAUAUGGAGUUAGAACGAGGAAAAGAGAAGGUAUCAGAUUAGUAGAUUACAAAUAAACGAACACUUGUCGAGGUAAGUUCGUGUAACUAAAUUUUAUAUAUUUAAAUGUUUGAAUGGAAUGGUGUAUAUGUGAAUUGUAAAUUCCAUAUAUAUAUAUGAAAUUGAUCACAUAUCCAACAAUGCUAGAGAAAUAUUAAGUCCCGUUUGAAUAAAUGAAAUUCGAUGGAUACAGGAUUCCCGAAUUGGUUGUGGUCCUGCAUGUGUUGCAGACACACCACAGCUUAAAAGAGUGUACUGUUAUUAGCUCUCAUGAGCAUCCCGGUAUUUGGCUCUCACGAGCUUCUCGUUAUAUGGUUAUUGCGAGCUUCCUGUUAAUAGCUCUUCGGAGCAUCCCGAUUGGUUGUGAUCCUAUAUGUGUUGUGGACACACCGCAACUCUUAUGAGUGUCCCGAUAUAUGGCUCUUCGGAGCUUCCUGAUUAAAGGUUCUUUCAUGAACUUAUCGAUUAAUGGCUCUCCUGAGCUUCUCGAUACUGGCUCACUUAAACCUUCCCGUUAUUGGCUCGUAUGAGCUUCCCGUUAAUGGCUCUCCGGAGCUUCCCGUUACAUGGCUCACAUAAGCUUCCCAUUACAUGGCUCACAUGAGCUUCCUGUUAUAUGGCUCGAAAGAGGGCUUUCUAUUUAUGUGCUCGUAUGAGCAUUCCCGAAUACGAAUUGCCGGGUUAUAGUUUCAUACACUUUAUAUGUAUUACCCGUGUAUCCAUCGAAUAAUGAAUGGUUUGAUGGGAAAAGUUCUGAUAUGAAGUAACAUGAGUUCAAAGUGAACUAUUAGCUAUGUAUAUCUAAAUUAUAUAGAAAUGAUAUUAUUUGAUAUAUGUUGAAAUAUGAUAUGUCUAAUAUAAGAAUGUGAAGCAUGUUAAAUGACUUAGUUCACCCAUGAUUAUGAUUUAUUACAUGUGAUUACUUGGCUAAUGUGAUAUGGAUAUAUGUUAGGCUAUGGCCAAGUUGGGUUGGAAUAUAUUUGUAUGCUUACCUUAUGUGUGAAAUAAUGGUAAGUUAAAUUACAUGUUAUAUGAACUUACUAAGUAUUAAAUGCUUACUCUGUUUUAUUUCCUCUGUUCUAUAGUAAUUUAGAAGCUCGUUGGGUUGGAGGCUUGUUUAAGAUAUCCUCACACUAUCUAUCAGCUUAUAUCGGUAUAUAUAGUAAUUACAUUUUGGUUAUAACGACAUGUAUAGGUUAAAUUUAACCAAUGUUGGCAUGUAAAUGUUUUGGUUGAAACUAGCCAUUGACAUGACUUGUGAUUGGUAUAUUUUGAUAUGUGUAUAAGGCCUUAUCAUAAUUGAUGUGUUUUGGUAUGUUUGAAUGACGAAUAGUUAAUUGGCAUAUUGAGACAUGGUUUGAUUUGGUAUAUUUAAUACAAAUAAGCUUAUAUAUAUAAUUGAUCAAUUUGGUAAGAUUGGAUACUUGGAUAUAUGAGAUAAUAUGUUAUAUUUAAUACAUGAAUUUGGCUUGUUUUGGUUGCUUGGUUAUGGCUUAUGAAUGUGCUAUUUGAUGUGUUAGGUUGAUGCCAAAUUUGGGUGAGAAAUGUGGCCUUGGAAAUGACUUAUUUUCGUCCACACAGGCAGAGACACGGGCGUGUGUCUCGGCCAUGUGUGACGCACGGGCUUGUGGUUUGGCCGUGUGUCCCUUGCAUAUUAAAAAUUUCAAAACAGAAUGCUCAAAAUUGAUCACACGGCCUGGAACACGGGCGUGUGGCUUGGCCGUAUGACCCCUGUACCUAUUUAAUGCAAGUUAUUAUGCUCACACAACCUAGCACACGGGCGUGUGACUUGGCCGUGUGAUCUAAGUCAGAAAGUUACAUGCGUAUGGACACGGGCUGGGACACGGGUGUGUACUCCCUGUACCUUGGAAAAAUUUUGAUAUUUUGCAAAAAAUUCUCUGAGUUCUCGAUUUAGUCCCGACUUGAUUCGAAGGUGUAAUUUUGGGCUUCGAGGGCUCAUAUAAGGGACAAUAUGAUUGAUUUAUGUUUUUUUUAUAUGAAUGUGAAGUGAUAUGAAAUGUCUGUAUUUGAUCUGUAAAUUCUGGUAAUGAUCUAUAACCUUAUUCUGGCGACGAAUAUGGGUUAGGGUUGUUACACCUAAGGCCGCGCGGAUUGCCAAACUAAAGUUCUAGCCCCAUGACACUAGGAGGUAGAUUGCAUUUUGCCCUCUCUACUUAAAAAAGGGGCAAAUUAACCCAUGUAUGUUCGAAAAAAGUGCAAAUUGGACAUUUCGUUGAAAAUUCCAUCCAUAUGUGUUGUUAAUUGAUGAUUUGGCUUUCUUCAAUUUUUUUUAUAUAAGUGACCUGGAAAUAUAUGAUGAGUAGGAUUAGGUAAAAGUACCAUGAAGGUCCCUGUAUUAGGAGUUGGGUUGCAUUUUACCCCCUCUACUCAAAAAAUGGGCAAAUUUGUCUCUAUACGCCAGAUCAAAUAGCAAACUGGUCUUUAUCUUAUAAUUUCUAGCAAUUUCUACUGUUAAAUAUUGAUGCAGCUGAUGAAGUAACCAGACACUAACUUGUGGCAUGUCGCGUUCAUCUCAUGCUAAUGUGACAAAAUCUUAAACUAUAAAAAUAUAAAAAUUACAAUUAUUUAAAAACCACAUCUAGGAUGAAUCUGUACAAAUGUUUUUCUUGGUUUAUUUCAUCCUGGACAUGGUUUUUUAAAAAAUUAUAAAAACUAUAGAAAAUUUAAAUAUUAUUAAGAAUUAUAAAAAUUUCUAAAAUUAUUAAAAAUGAACAAAUUAUUAAAAAAAAGUGCAGAAUGAUAUUGGAGAAUGGUUGUCCAAGCUCAAAUGAACUUAGAGAAUCAUUUGUCCAGAUUCACUCUAAAGUGGUUUGUUAAAUAAUUAUAGGAAAUUGGUUAAAGUUUUUUAGAAUUAUAAGAAAUUAUAAAUAAAUUUUAAAAUUUUUAAAAAUUAUAUAUACACAUAUAUUAUGUUUGAAGAUUUCAAAUAUACCCAUACAUGUAUCUUCUUAAAUGAGUUGAUAUUUUUAGUUAAUAAGUUGAAGUCCAACUUUAUUAAUUUCUUAUAAUUUUAAAUAAAAUUUAAAUAUUUUUCAAUAAUUAUGUAUAAUUUUUAUCAUUAUUUAAGAAAUAAAUCCAGAAUAAUCCUAGGUAAAUGGUUGUCUAAGCUCAUUUGAACUAGGAGAAAUGAUUGUCAAAGUUCAUUUUGAACAUUGUUUUUAAUAAUUUAUAAAUAAUUAUUUUAAAAAAAAUAAUUCAUUAUGAAUUUUAAUAACUUAAAAUAAUUUUCUAUGAUUGUUUGAUAAUUAUCUAAAAAAAACCCGUGUCCAAGAUGAACAUGGACAAUAACUUGUCUAGGUUCAUUCAGGGUGUGAUUUUUUUUAAAUAAUUAUUUCAAAUUAUUUAUUAUUUAUUUUAAAUAUUUUUUUAUGUGAAAAAAUGUGCCACAUCAGCAUGAGGUACAAGUGGCACAGUACGUAUUGCUAUCUAGUUCCUUUAUCAGUCACGUCAUCACUUAAAGUGGAAAUUGAUAAAAUUUUUAACAGAAUGACCAGUUUUUUCAUUAUCUAAUGUACAUGAACAGAUUUGCUCAUUUUUUUUUAGCAGAGGAGGACAAAAUGUAAUUCGACUCGUAAUAUAGGGUCUUUCAUAGUACUUUUACCUAAUCCUACUCAUCCUUUAAUUCUAAGUCACUUACAUAAAAAAAGAAUUAGAAAAAUUCAAGUCAUCACUUAACAACGUAUAUGUAAGGAAUUCUUAAUAGAAGGGUCAAUUUUUGCACUUUUAUUUUUUCUAGUGUACAAGGGUUAAUUCGGCCAGGUUUUAGUAGAGGGGGCAAAAUGUAAUUCACCUCCUAGUGUAAGGGCCUCUAUAGUACUUUUACCUCUAUGAUCCUGUAUUUCUCAUACAUUUAAAUUUUUUUUCUUUUUCUUUUUAUUUUGAGAAAUUUAGUCCUCCUAUUUUUUUAUCUAAAAAUAUAAGUCAAUUUGUUAAUACCGUUAAUUUAUUUGUUAAAUUUAGGUCCAUUAUAACUUCAAUUUUGUUAUAUGGUUAUCAAACAAAUACUUUUCUAUUUCAAAAUGUCACACCAUUAAAUUUAAGAGAAUUUUAGCAGUAUUAACAACUACACUAAAUUUUCUUAAAUCUAAAAAAUAGAGUGACUAAAUUCUUAAAAAUAAAAAUAAUAUGAUAAUUAAAUUCUAAAUGUAAAAAGAAUAAGUGGAUUUGGAGCAUAUUUUAAACCUACACUUAAUUUAGGUAUUUAGUGUGUCUAUAUACAUAUAUAUUAAUUUAACAUAAUUUAAUCAUCCUAUUAUUAUUAAAGAAUUUUUUUUAAUUGAUGUGAAAUUCUUUUUAUAAAAAUAAUAAAUCAUUACCUUAAAAAAACAUGAGAUUCACCUAUAAAAGUUUAAAUAAUAAAUUAAUAAAAAUAAUUAUUUUUGAUAAUAGUAUUUUUAUUUUUAUACAACCGUUAAACUCAAAUAAAUCAUCCAAACUUUUAAAUUGGACACUACACAACCUCUAAAUUGCUACAAUAAUAAUGAUAAUGAUGUCACCUGAAUUAAUACUUUAUAGUUAUAAUUUUUUAAUGAUUUAAGUUAAAAAUAAUAGUGUUAAUAUUAUAAUUAAAUUAUGUGAAAUUAAAAUAUAAAACUUAAAUUAAAAAUAACGAUAUUAUCAAAAUUUGCGGCAUUAUUCUUUUGAGUUUGAAAAUUGUGUUAAAAAUGUCAAACAAGUCUUUCGUAUAGUUGGCAAAGGUAGAGUUUUAGAUUUUGAAUGGCAAACAAGUUAUUUUAGUUUUUUAUUUAAUUUUUAUAUCUUUUAGCCCUUAAUUUUGUACUAUUUGUUAAAUCACCUUAAAAUGGAUAGAAUAGUUGACAUUUGUUAACUUUGCUGACGUGUGGCAUACACUUGAAUUGCUAUAUGAGCAAUUAAUUUUUUAAAAUUUAAAAAUUCAAAAUUUUUUAAAUUAUUAAAAGUAUCAAAAAGUAUAAAAAUAUUUUAUAAUUUUUAAAAAAUUAAUUAAUUGCUAACGUGGCAUACAUGUGGACUGCGGCGUGGAUGCCACAUAAGCAUACUUAACAAAUGUUAAUUUUUCAAUCUAUUUUGAGGAGAUUUGACAAGCAAUGCAAGUUCAAUGUUUAAAAUAAGCGAAAAAUUAAAUGGAGGAUUAAAAUGGUUUUUUUAAAGAUUGAAGGCCAAAUAAGUCAUCAUACCAAUUAUUUAUCACUAUAUUAUUGGCUAGUUGAUGUAGGGAUGGCAAUGGAGUGGAGCAGGGACAAAUAUUUCUAAAUACACUACCGAUCCACAAUUGGUACGUUCUACUCCACCACCUGUCCGCUCCACUAUGGAUGUAUAAUCUUGAAAAUCACUACCAUCUACAUGGAUGUUGGAUCCAUCCAUCUUUGUCCUACCUCGCUCUGCUUUAAUUUAAAAUUUUCUAAUUACCUUUAAUAUUUUUAAUCUUUUUAAAGUCAAGUAAAUAUUUAAACAUAAUUCUUCAAAAAAAUAUUUAAACAUAAAAUAUAUGGUUUUUCUAUAUUACGCUAUUACAUUUUUAUCAUUUUAAUAGUUUAUAUAUACAAAGAUAAAAUGAUAAUUUUACAUAGUGAAGUGGGUCGGGUGAGAUAAACAAUUACAGUAACCGCUCAAUGCUUUCUAUACAAAAGAAAACAUUCACCCCUCCCCUCAUUUACUUUUUAAAUAAAAAAAUCCACUCCAAAUCAAAAUCUAUGAGAUGAUUUGAAUUUUGUCUAUCCCUAAAUCAACCACUCCUUUUAUCAUAUCUUUUCUGAAAGCACGACUCCUUUUAUUGUUAAUCAUCGAGUUAAACAAAAUUGAAUGUAUAAUAUUUUUAGUUUUAUACUAAAUUUGUUCUAUACGUGUAUGAACCUCUUGCUUAUUCAAUUCGUUCGUGAAAUUAAUCAAUUAUUUAUUUAUAAAUUUAUAGUAUUAAUAGAAUCUCUAAUUUAAUUAGUGUUACGGGUUAAUCGGAUACUAACUCGGUUAAGAAAUUAUGAAAAUGUUCUUCCGUAAUUAAAAUGAGUCAUAUUAUUCAAGGGCAUUUUAGUUUUUUCAUUUUAACAAAAACCAAGAAAAAUAUGCAUAUAGUGAGAUUUCAACCCGUGCCAAUUAAAUUAGUAAAACCUUAAGUUUACCACUUAACUAAAGUAUUAUUUUGAUUUUUUUAUACAUUUUUUAAUAUGCACAAUUUAUUAUCUUCCCCAAUUGUAUAUCUAUACUAUUAAUAAAGUUAUUGAUUGAGUUAGUGUCAACCUCAACCGGGUCACUAGCUCAGUUAGAAAGUUAAGAGAAUAUCCUUUAAUAAUUAAAAUAAGUAAUAUUAUUCAAGGGUAUUUGAGUAUUUUCACUUUAAAAAACUAAUAAAAACAUGCAUAUAACGAGAUUUUAUCCCAUACCAAUUGCAUUAGUAAAACCUUUAAUUUACCACUUAGCUAAAGUUUUAUUGUAAUAUUUUAACAUAUUUUUUAUUUUAUUAUGCAGAUUUUAUUACGUGCAUCAGUUGUGUAUGUUAAUGAUGUAACAAAUUAACUCAAAACAAACUCAAGAUUGAUGACAACACCAUAAUAAACAAUUUAGGCUAUUUUUUUUCAUUUUAAUAACAUACAUAUUUCAUGUGUUAUUAUUAAUUAGUUUCAAAUAAUACGUUUCAUUAUUUAUUGUAUAUUAUAAUUUUCACUGAUGUAAUAAAAUUUUGAAUAUAUUUUAAUAUUAAAUUAUGAAGAAAGCGAAUAUAUAAAAUCUUUUAAUCAAGUCGUUGGAUUCUAUUUCGAGUGAAGCUAUAUUAACACUCCAUUGAGUUGAAGUCAAAUUUUAAAUAGCGAAACUUGAAUUAAGAGCUUAAAGUCCUCACUAUUUAAGCUCGUAUUUACUAAUCUAUGAUAUUUUAAGAAAAAAUGCAAAUUCUUAAAACAAUUUCCAACACAUCAUGAAAAUGUUUAAAAUGAACCAACUCUCAACAGGGUAUAUAUAUUAUUCAUUUUGCAGUGCCCAAUGUCCAGCCUCCAAUUUUAUCGUCUGUGGUCCUAAAAUAAAAAUUAUAAACAAACAAAGACCCAUAAAAUAGUAUUAGAGAGAGACAUUUGGAUGGCCCCAUUUUCUACAAUAAUGAAUGGCAAUAAUAAACCAAAAUUUGGUAUUAAAUAAGAGUGAUUGGUAGUAGUAAAAUUGUUAUUUAUCGAUAAAGAUCGUGUUACAUCCAGCAAUACAAAGUUAUAUGCUUUUUAUUUAAAUUUUUUAUAUAUAAUAGGAAUAAAUAAAUUUUAACAUUUUCGGUAUCUAUAUAAUCUUCUUUUAAAAAUAAUUAACGAGGUUUUAAUAUUGUUGAUAAAAUUUGAGAUUUUAAAUUAUUGAGUAUUGAGAUUCGAAUCUCAUUAUACAAAAUUGAUAUAUGCAGGUCUCCAAUUCUACUUUAUGUUAGUACAAAUCUCUGAUGAGGAAAAUCUCGAACACAGGAACAAAAUUCAAAUGGAAAAUGAAGAAACAAGAUAAGGCUCCAAGGCGUAUAUCAAGCCACUAUCUUUAAGGUUAUAUUCGCCCCCACCUAUCUUCAGGGUGCAAAAGAGUUUCAAGCAAAUUAAUCUCGAUGAUACAAUGAAGCUGAUGACUAUUUACGUUUUGCACUGACGAGAAUCGUCCACUAAGCACUGAGCAAUGUAUAACAAGAAACUCAAUUUCUACAAAAGAUUUCUGUAGUAAUACAUUAUAGAAUAAUCUAAUAAUAUUAGAAAAUGGAGGAAGGAAAGAAAGAAUUUUAGAACUUGUUGGUGUGUUUUCCAAAUGAAAUCACAUUCCUAUUUAUAAGAAUUCAAUAAUUGUUUUUUCUGAAUAAUAAUGUCUUUAAAAAGACACAUAAUUAUUUAUUUAAUAUUAUUAUUUGAAUAGUUAUAAUUUUGUUAAAAAUCAAGUGAUAUGACUCUUGAUCAAUAAUCAAAAGAUUUAACUUUUGAUCAAUAAUCAAAAGUGUGCCAUUUCAUUUAUAGUUAUUAAAACACUAUAAGUAUUUAACAAUAUUCUAACACUUUAUCAUGUGUGGAUUUCAAUUAGUUAUAUCCUACCUAUAAUUAUACUGUUUUUUACACUUUUAAACUUUCAAAAAUAAUAUAUAUAUUUCUGGUUUGGUGGCAAGGAUCCAUCAUUGACCAGACAGGGGACAAAGAUUUGAUAAUUGAGUACAAAAACCUUUAUGGGGACGUAUUAAUUUUUUUGUAAAAUAAACUUUUUUUGGCUUGACAGAUAAGAUAAUGUUAUGUCAAAUAAUAGAGACGGUAUACACUUAAUUAUUUUUAUUAAAUAUAUUAUCUUUCAAUAUGACAAAAAUAUUUUUGUAAAUAUUAUAUUAAUACACAAAUUAGUUAAAUUAAUUGAUAGGUACUAAAAAUAACAUGUUUUAACCUCAUUCUUAAUGCAUUUUUGGGUGAUUAUUCGAUGUUAAUAUUAAAUUUUAUGCUUCUAAUCCUUUAAAUUCAUGUUUUUAUACUUAGGAGAGCAUUUGGGGACAAAAUAAGCGAAAAACGAGCAAUAACCGGAAAAUUUGAGCGAGUUACAAGAACCACACAGGUUGAACCAUUCCACACAGUCGUAUGAGACACACGGGCUACCACAAGGCCAUGUGGCAAGCCGUGUCGAUUUUGCGAAUUGCACUCCAAACAGUGAAAAAACGUGAUUUUCAAUGUUUUUCAAGCAUUCUAAGACCUAUAUAUGAAAAAAAAAUAAGAAGAUAGGAGAGAGCCGUUAUAGAAUAUUCAAUAAAACAACUCGAAAAACACCAUUGAUGUAACACCCCAAACCCGUGUCUGUCGCCAGAUUAGGGUUGCGAGGCAUUACCUAUCAAAGUACAACUCAGAACAGACAUUCAUUUCAAUUCAAGUACCAAAUAAUAUAAUCAUUUCAAUUCUAUUCAUCUAGUAAAAUUUUAAACCAAACUAACAUGCUUCGAUUCUAUAAUUCGUACACUACCCAAAUUAAUAUUCAAACAUUAUAACCAAUGAAUCAUGGAAAUCGAGUACUUAACUUAUAACUAAGUACGAUUUAUUUCGUAUACCAAUCAUAUAUUAAGACAUCUAUUCAUAUAAAUCUAUUUCAUUAACUACUUUCCAAAAACACUAUUUAUAAAUGUGCACUUCUUCACAUUUUACUAAGUCAAGCCAAACCACAUGAUUUAUUAAACAUUAAUAUAUAUAUAUACACACGACAUUAACAACUCCACAUAAUGGUCAAAUAUAAAAUUUGGUUUUACCAUAUUAUGCACAUUUUACCAAAAUAAUAACUACCAAUUAUAUAUAUAAGAGCCGAAUCAAAUCAUACAAUAAUUACAAUACCCCUUGACUAAUAAAUAUCCAAAAUACCUAUCUAUCAUUUACUAAAUUCAUAAAUAACAUAUAUGACACAUUUUAAACUCAAGCAUUUAACUUAACAACUUAACCAUUAAUUACCAAAAUCAUGAACAAAACAUAUCAUAGGCAUGGAUAAGUAUAUUUUACCUAUUAUUAGCCAAAAAUAAAUACACACCCUUUUACCAUUUCCAAAAUACAUAUGCACAAUCGACCUUUUAUCGAUACAUUCAGUCAUAAAACUUACCUUCCGACAAUCCAACCAAUUUCAUAACUUGAAUCAAAGCUAACUGUACCAUUUAUAACCGUACAAAAAAAUCCAAUAUACAAGCAAUCAUAUAAAUAUAACUUAGCUCAUAUAAACUUAUCAUGGUCUAAAUCACAACCAUCAACACAUUAACAUCACAUAACCGAAUCAUAAAACAAAUACAUUACACAUAUAUAUAUCAUGACUGAAAAUUCACAACCAUUAACAACAUGAGCAAGCCAUUUUCGCAUGGCUUGGCUAUAUAUAAACACAAUUCCAAAAUCAACCAUAUCAAGCUACACUAUACAUGCCAUAAGUCAUAAAUACAAGUUUUCUUUCAAGGUACAAAAAUAGAUAUCGAUAGUGUGAUGAUGUUCCUCAACGUUCCUGAGCUCAAGCUAGCUUUCAAAAUCUAUAAAACAAAACGAAUAAACAUACGAAGUAAGCUUGGAAAGCUUAGUAAGCCAUAAGCAAAUAAAUUAACACAAGAACAUUCAUAAUUCAUUUCGAAACAAACAAACCUAACUAACUCCAUAUAUAUAAUCCAAUUUCUCAUAAAGUUCACACGAUCACGAUAAUUAUCAACACUUGCCUUUUCUUUCAAAGUUCGUAUAAAGUUAAUACUUACCUUAAUCGUUUAAAUCGAACUCACAUUCGGUCUUACCAUGUCUUUGCCCCUAGAACCAUUCGGAAUAAAAAAGGAUACUUAGACGGCUCAAAAAGAUCGUGCAAUGCCAAUGUCCCAGACGUGGUUUUACAUGUAUUCAAAUAACGACGCCACUGUCCCAGAUAGGGUCUUACACGAAAUCAUAUACGAUGCUAAUGUCCCAGACAUGGUCUUACACGUAAAUCUUAAAUCGAUGCCAACGUCCCAAACAUGAUCUUAUACGAUAUCACGUAUCGAAAUUCCUGUGGUUCGUAUGGCUUUCGGAUGCCGUAAAUCAAUCGAAUUAAGCUCGUAAUUAAUCAUCCUAUGCUAAAUUCAAUUCGACAUUGUAGUAUCAUACACAUAAUUAAGUCCGGCUAUGUAUGAAAUAAAUACAUUCAAUUUAACAUUAUUUAUUCACUUACGAACUUACCUCGUACGGAAACAAAUGGAUGGAAUCGACUACUCGACCACUUUCGACUUUUUCCGAUCUAAUUCCGUUUUCUUUUGUUCUUGAUCUAUAUAAAUUCAAAUUUGGCUAUUUAAUAACACAUUUUAUUCAAAUUUAUUCAAAAAUACAAAUGGGAAAAUUGCAUUUUAUCCCCUAACAUUUCACAUUUUUCACAAUUUAGUCCAUAUUUCACAAAACACAAAAUACUCAAAAUUUCACUACACCCAUGUUAGGCCGAAUUCUCCUUAGGUCCCUAGUAGCCCAUUUAUUUCAUUUAUUUCACGUUUUGACUCCUAAGUUUACAAAUUUCACAAUUUAAUCCUUAAUACACAUUUUUAUCAAAAAUUACUUAAUUAAACAUAAUAAUCUAACAACAUAUAUUUAUCCUUAAUGAAAGCUAAAUGCAUGGCCAUUUUGCAUUUUAUUUUAUCUAAUAUCAUGUUAUUUAAUUUUUACUAUUUUAACCUUAAUGAAAGCUUAAUAUAAAUUACUUGAAUCAUGGACAUAAAUGUCCACUAACCUUAUAAUGGCAUAUUAACCUUUUAAGGACUUCCCAUAAAUCAAAUCAUAACAAAUUAGCAUAUUAACAAUGAGAAUGCCAUUUUUAUUUUUUAUGCGAUUUAGCCUUUUUCACAAAUUAAACACAUAAACAGAUAAAUUACAUCACAGAAAUUUCACACAUGUCAAUUCACAUACUAUAAGCAUGGAAAGUAAUAUUAAAAUUUUAUUCUGACUCAGAUUUAUGGUCCCGAAACCACUGUCCGACUAGGAUCUAAAUUGGGCUGUUACAAUUGAAGCCGAUUCUGAAGCAAAUUUCCGUCAAGAUUGAAGACUUUAGGAGAUUAUUAUGAGUUUUUUUUUAUUUCUUUGAUUAUAUUGUCUUUUGGAUGUUUUUAUUUGCAAACAUAAACUAAUUUUCUAAAUACCUAAGGAGAUGAACCCUAAGAUGAAUUUUGUCAUUUGAUUUUUAUUUUUCGCAAUAAAGACUUAGAUCUUAUUCUCAAUUAUGUGUGUUUAAUUCUUGGUUUGAUAUUCCUAGAUUAUUGAUCCAUGUUUGAUGUACUUAAAUCAGAGGAGGAAUGACCCUGUUUAAGAGUAAAUCUAGCGUAAUUGAAUGGAGUUGCAUGCAAUCCUAAAAAUAGGAUGACAUAAAUAUAUCGGAUUAGAGUCAAAUCUAAUAGGAAAAUCCAUAGAUCGAGUUAAUGCGAUAAUAAGGGUUUUUAUUAGAAAGAAAUUUCAAUUAAUCAAGUCAGAGUCAGUUGCUAUUAUUCGUUAAAUAGGGAUAUUAGCAUAAUUUAGGGAUUUCUCCAUAUCAAAAUACUAAGUGAAGAAAUUGGAUAAAUUUAGAUUGAUAAUGACAGAUGAAAUCUAGGUGAAUUCUUUCAUGGGUAUUGUUUUGCUUCUUGGUUGUUUACUCGAUUAUUUUCUUAAAUUGUUCUUUGUCGCGUUCGUAGUUAAUUAAUUUAGUUAAUUUUAGUUUUAAUCAAUCACUCGAAUUUAUCGGUUAAAUAAUAGAAAUACGGUAAUUACUAGUACUUUUAGUCUUCGUGGGAACAAUAUAUCUUCUCAUAGUAGCUAUACUAUUAAUUGAUAGGUGCACUUACCUUAGUUAGAUUUUUAGUUGGUUUACGACUACAUCAAGUUUUUGGCGCUGUUGUCGGGGACUAAAAUAUUAGAAAAACUUUAUUUCUAUUAAUUUAGUCAUUUUUUAUUUUUAUUUUAAUAUUUUUAUUUUAUUUAAUUUUUACAUUCUAAUUUUUUGUUUGUUCGAUUCUGACAGGUUCUUUUGCUUUAUGACUAAAGGAAACUCGUUGGAACCGUUAGUGUUUGAUAGAAAAAUUGAAAAGACUGCUUGCAAAAAUCGUAGAGAGGUUAGAGAAGCAAAGCAAGGUCAACAGAUUUUAAUAGACGAUCAAGAGGAAAAGGACAUUACUAUGGAGAUGGAAAAUAAUCAAAAUAAUCAGUAGCCUCUUAUAUCUUCUACUCCUUGUACUAUGUUUGAUUAUGCUAAGCCUACUCUGAUUGGGGCUAAAUCAAGUAUCGUCAAGCCGACUAUUUCUGCAAACAAUUUUGAGCUGAAGCCAAACACAAUUCAGAUGGUACAACAAUAUGUCUAGUUUGAUGGGUUACAAGAUGAAGAUCCAAAUGCUCGUUUGGCUAACUUUCUAGUGAUUCGCAACACAUUCAAGAUUAAUGGCAUUACUGAUGAUGUCAUACACUUACGGUUAGGGGUGUGCAAAAUUCGGGUAAAACCGAAAAAAUUCGGUUAACCGAAACUUUCUAGUGAUUCGCAACACAUUCAAGAUUAAUGGCAUUACUGAUGAUGUCAUACACUUACGGUUAGGGGUGUGCAAAAUUCGGGUAAAACCGAAAAAAUUCGGUUAACCGACCGAAUUCGGUUAAUUGGUCAGUUAACCAAAUUUUUUCGGUCGGGGGUCGGUUAAUUAUUUUUUGAUUUUUCGGUUAACGGUUAAUUCGGUUCGAAACUGGUCGGUUAACCGAAUUUUUUCGGUUAACCAAAAAAAUUAAUAAAUAAAAUUAUAAUAUAUAAAUAGGCCCACUAGUCACCUAAACCCAAUCUAAACCCAAGUAUUCAACCCAACCCAAUCACCAAACCCAACCCAAUCAUAAAAUUAAAUUACAAAUAAUUUAAUAAAUAAAAAUAAAAUUUUAAAACUAAGACUAAAACUAAAGUCUAAAAAUAAUUUAAUUAUGUAGUGAUUCAAUUUGGUUAAUUCGGUUAAUUCGGGUAAUUCGGUUAAUUCGGUUAAUUUGGUUAAUUUUUAACCAAAAAUAAAAAAAAACAUAUAAUUUUUGGUUAAUUCGGUUAACCGACCGAAUUAACCGAAAAAAUUUCGGUUCGGUUAAUUUUUUUGAAAAAAAUUUCAGUUCGGUUAACAGUUAAAGAUUUUAAAAGGUCGGUUAAUGUUAUUUCGGGUCGAUUAACCGGCCGGUUAACCGAAUGAACACCCCUACUUGUUAAUGUAAAUUCUUUUAAUUCAGCAACUGAUUUUUUUCUAUUUUGGUAACUUAUCAAGUAGACUCUCGAUUAUAAAAUUUUUUUGACCUUUUCCUUGUCCUUAACCUAAGCCCCAUUACAACAUUGUAAAGACCUAUUGAUUGGUGUGUCAUCUCAUUUAUAGUGGUGGAGAUUUGAAUUUCAAGUAAGCCUAUGGUAAUAACAUUUCUCGUUUGACCGUUGAGUGCUUAUUAUUUGAACCUUAAACACUUUAAGUGCUUUGAGUGAAUAUUUAGUGAGGAUGUUAUUUCUUGUUGAGUUUGAAUUUCAGGUAAUUAUUGAGAUAGGGGAGAUGCCUAAUGUUUUUAAAGCUUAAAAUUCUCUGCUUGGAUUGCUUGUGUUAUUUAGUGUCAUUUUAAUGUGAAUUUCCAAUGCAAGAUUACCUCUAGAUUAUCCUAAGACAUUAUCAGUGGAAAUAAUAAAUUGAGAGAAGUUAACUUGAUUGUGGGUUGAGGAUUUUUCUUGAGGACAAGCAAACGCUUAAGUGUGGAGAUAUUUGACAGGUGCCAAAAGUAACAUGUUUUAGCCUCAUUCUUAAUGCGUUUUUGGGUGAUUAUUCAAUGUUAAUAUGAAAUAUAAUACUUUAAAUUCAUGUUUUUAUACUUAGGAGAUCAUUUGAGACCAAAAUGAGAUAAAAACGAGCGAAAAUCGAAAAAUUGGAGUGAGUUACAAGAGCCAUAGGGCCUAGACAUAGUUGUGUGAGCCACACGGGCUGCCAUAUGACCAUGUAGCAAGCUGUGUCAAUUUCGCGAAUUGCACUCCAAACAGCGGAAAAACAUGAUUUUCAGGGUUUUUCGGGCAUUCUAAAACCUAUAUAUGACCAAAAUAAGAAGAUAGGAGAAAGCCGUCAUAGAAUAUUCAUGAAAAACAAGUCAAAAAACACCAUUGAAGUUGAUUCUAAAGUAGAUUUUUGUCAAGAUUGAAGACUCACAGUUGAUUUCUUAGGAGAUUAUCAUGAGUUUCUUUAUUUCUUUCGGUUAUACUGUCUUUUGGAUGUUUUUAUUUGCAAGCAUGAACUAAUUUUCUAAAUACCUAGGGAGAUGAACCCUAUGGUGAAUUUCGUCGUUUGAUUUUUAUUUUAUGUAAUAGAGACUUAGAUCUUGUUCUCAAUUAUGUGUGUUUAAUUCUUGGUUUGAUAUUUCUGGAAUUUUUAUCCAUGUUUGAUGUGCUUAAAUCAGAGGAGGAAUAGACCCGGUUUAAGAGUAGAUCUAGCGUAAUUGAGUGGAGUUGCAUGCAAUUCGAGAAAUAGGACAACAAAAAUCUACCGGGUUAGAUUCAAAUCUAAUAGGGGAAUCCAUAGUCAAAUCUUUAAGCAACUCAAGAUAAGUAUUGAAUAUUUAGAAUAUACUUUUUAGUUUAGCUCGAUUUAAUUUGAUCCACCAAGCUUGGGACUUUGAUUGCUUCGUUCCAAAUUUAAACCAAUUUUUAAGAUAUGUUUCUAUUUGUAGUUUAGAUAUCAAGGAUGGACUGAGAGUAGUCCAGAGUAAUUACAAGAAUCGCAACCCAAUGAUUUUUGUUGCCAAAAUUUGCCAACUCAAACAUGGCAAGCUGUUGAUGCAUAAUAUCAACGGAGAUGUGGAAGGAAGAGAGGGGAAGGUGUCUAGGAAAUUUAGUUCACCCAUUCUAGGACCAAGAGUAAAAAAAGUAGAGGGACUCAGGUACAAGAAUUUGAAAGUUUAGUAUGUUAGGGUUUUGAGAGUGGAGAGGAGUCCUCUUACAAUGUUGAUACCUUUGAGUAUUUAUAGGUAAGUAAGAGUUCCUACCCAACUAUGCCACUUAGUGGGCCCCAGGUAGCCUAAUGGAGGGUCUAACUAGGUCCAAAUUGAAGUAGGGAUAUAAUAGUAGUCCUCCUAGUCGAAAGGUAGGUUAUAAAGUGACCCUGCCUCGAGACCAUUUGUAAAUUAACUUUGCCGGUGGUAGCUGCUGCAAAUAAAGUAGCGGGGCGGAGGGUAAAAUUUAUUGUUCAGAUAACCCCAGGAAUGUAUGAUUCCUUGCAAGGCUAUUGAAAUUCAUUCGUACCCUUAAUAAUGUGUGGGCUGAUGGUGUUUCUAUUUAUGAGGAUGCAAUGAGGGCGUUGCGAGAAUGAGUGGAGGAGAAUGUCAUGGGCUGCAGAUCAAAGCCCGUAACGAAUGCGCAAAGAGCACCCCAUAGAGGUUAAUUGAUGAAAUGGGCCUAAUUCAACCCAGUUGAAUUGGUCCGAUUUGUGGAACAUGUGUAGAAGCUCAUCUACUUGGCCUUGGUGGCCCAGUGAAGCACUUAUGAAAAAUUAGGGUUACCUUGGUAAAUAUGAAAAGUAAUCUUAGAAGAUUUAUAAUAUGAUAAGAUUUGAUUUUGUAAUCUUAAAGGAUUGAGUCAAUCCCUUAAGAAUCUCAAUUGUAGAUAGGCUUUAAUCUCAAUCGUCGAUGUAACUCAAUCUGUACCGUUGGUUUUGGGGGAGCUCAACUAUAAAUAGAGGCAUUCUUCCUCAUACACAGCUGUAAACCUUCAAAGUAAUAGAAUAUUUUUUAGAGCAUUUACUCAAACACUUGUGUAUUAUUUUUCUGUGGCUUUUUGUUCAUUUGUAGCUUCUUUUAUCUUUCGAGUUUGUUUUCGCUUUGUUUUGGUGCCUUAGAGAAAUUCGAUGAGAAUUCUCACUUUUGUGAGAGUUAGGUUGACUUAGGGGAGUUUAAAAUCAAGAAAUCUCUUAAAAUUAUAUGAGUUACGAAACGAAAAUUCUAACCCCGUGACACAAUAUCCUAAACAACUACCAAAUGCAAUAUCCAAGUACAUAUGCUACAUCAACCUAGAUAUGACAUUCUCCUAAAUAUUAUAGUUUCAUAAUGCAAUAGUAAUAAUAAUGCAUUUCACCUAAAAAAAACAAAAAAAAACGUGAUAAUGUAUAUAAUAAAUCAAAAGAUGGCAAAGCAAUUCAGGGGCAUUCAAACUUUUGCCAGGAUAAAAUUUAACAUCAAAAUUAGGACUGGAAAGAAUCCAUAUGAACUGUGUUGAAUAGAUUGGUAUUAUAAUGUUAGUUAGGCUGCAAAUCGAAUAUUAAAUGUUAAAAUUAGGUUCGGAUUCAAUUCCAUCUCAGAAAAUUAAUUUUUCUUAAAUUAAUUGUUUAUCUAAAUAUUAAUAUAUUAAUAAUAUCUAACACAAUCUUUAAAAAAAAAACUUACUUUCAAAAUAGAUAAAAUCAAAACCAAUGAAACUUGAGUCGAACAUGAUAGAUUAAAUUUCAGAGAAAAUUUUAAAAUCUCAUAAAUAUUAACAUUAAAUAAAAUCUAUUUGAAAUAAAGUCUUCAUGAGAAACUGAUUAGUGCAAGAGAACUUUUAAUGUUAGAAAAAUUAUAUGAUUAGUAGAUAAAUUAUUCAAAUAAAACAUGGUGAUGUAUACAAUAGUUAAAUUGAAAUGGUGAUUGCUCUAAUGGUCUAGAAAUCUGUGGAUUAAAAAUUGAUGGUUCAUACUGCAAAUUUCAGAGUUGCCCAACUUUUAAAUUCAUUAUAAAGGUGUUUUUUCCUGAUUCAUUAUCAAGUUUAAUACAGAAUAUUACCCAAAAAAAUCAUUACUAAAUCAAAUAAAUCAAUUUAGAAUUACUCAAUUUAUUUCUAAGAUUUUCUAAAAAUAAAAGUUAAUAAACCAUUAUCAAGGAAUAACUUUAGAAAGCAGAAUUAAAUUAAUUAAGUUCUUUUUUCAAGAAAGGGCAACGAAUAAACUAAAAGUCAAGUUAAAAGAAAUGGAAUAAAAUUACCUUCUUCUUCUUUGAACAAAGAUGUGUUCAAUCUAAGAUCAAUUAAUAAUAGUUUCCAAUAAUCAGGUUUAAUUGGAAAAGUGGAAAAAAUCCGAGUAAGAGUUGAUUUCAGCAUUAUCGUGAUGAACAAAAAUUAGCUUAUCACAUAAACGAUUGAUGUGUGUUCGGUCUACAUUCACCGUACCAUUGUAGAACAGUGUUAAACGAAGAUAGGGAAGUAGGAGAGAGGUGAUGUCGAGGAAAGCUAGUUCAUCCAUUUUAGAUGGAUUCAGGCAAAGGUGGUUGAGAGUUUAGUGUGUUAGGGUUUUUAGAGUAGAGAGGAGUUCCUCUACAAUGUUAAUAUCUUCCUAUGUUUAUAGGUAAGUGAGGGUUUUUACCUAAUUAUGCCAUUGUGCUGGAUGACCCAAUAGAGGUUUCAACUGUGCUCAAACUGAUCUAGGAUAUAACACAAGUAUUUUAAGCAAAUAAUAUUAUUAUCUGUUGACAUUUGUUUAGGCCCCGUUCAAAAAUUGCCUUCAACUGUUAUUAUCCUAAUUAAGAAAAAGAAAACCCUUAUUUUUGACAAUCUUGGCAAACAGGGAUACGAUAGUUUUCUUAGAAGUGGGGUUUUGGAGAUGUUUCCCAUGUGACCUACCUCUCGAACAGCUGCCCUCUCCUCUCAAAGGCAUUGCCACUCGAGAGCGGGUACGGCUUAUGUAGCAUCUUGCCCUUGUUACUAUCUUUUUUCCAGAGGGUGAAGGCAAACAAGUCACCGUAAAAGAUAGGGAUGGGAAUGUUGCUAGUUCAGGAAUUUGACCAUGGUUGAAGGAUGCCAAUUGUGGGAAGUUCUUCAAAAUGUGGUGACACUUUGGUGUCCUUUUGCGAUUUGGUCGAUGUUGAGUCUGCACAAUCACAAUUUUUAUAAGGGUAGCUUGCCUUUUAUGAUAGGUGAAAAAUAUCCUAAUGUUGCUAUCUUUAGCAACAACAUUGUCGUGGAUCAUUGUAAUAGUCUCACCAUUGCUUUCUUUUUGCUGGCAGAUUUCUGACUUGAUUAAGAGAAAUCUUUAAAGUAUCGUUUAUCGGAAGAUGAUAAAACCCUCAACAUAUCUGAAAUUAUUUUUAUGAAGUAUUUAUGCUUGAUUUUAACUCUAGAAUUUUGUCUAUUAUCAUGGGGCACCUUUUACAAAGAGUGUAAGGUGGUUCACAUGAUAGUAAAGAUCCGCGUUGGCUAACAUUACUUUUUAAAUUAGCCCUUAUAAGAGAUAGAAUUAUCUUUUAAAUUAGCCCUUAUAUUAUUAAAUAGAUUAAUUUGAUCUUAAACUAUUAAAAAAAAUAAAGGUAAAUUAUAGUAAAAUUAACAUUUACAAUUAAAAAAUGACAUGAAAAUCAUCUUUUUCAUUUGCAUUUAACUCAAAACAAAAGAUUUCAUUUGUAAAACUAUAAAAAGCUUUUAAAAUGUUAACUUUUCUAAUCGUAAAUGUUAUUUUUUAAAACAAUAAAUGCUAACCCUAUUGAAAUUUAAACUUAUUUGAUUCUUUUUAAUAGUAUAGGGACUAAAUUGAUCUAUUUAAUAAAAAAUAGACUAAUUUAAUCUGAUCACAAUAAUAAAGGGACCUUUUAAGUACAUUCCCCUUUUUUUUCUAUUUUCGGAAAAUUUAAUGCUACAAAAAAGAAAUUCAAAAAUCGAAAAAAUUAUAAAAAAAGAAAAACAAAGACAAACGAGCUAGAUCAGUAACAAUGGAGAAAUUAAUGAAAAAAAAUGAUCCUAAAACUAAAACAGUAAAAAUUUCUUCACUACAGCCACACAGUUUGUAUGAAAACUCCGUGAGAAAACCGACAAUUCAACAUAAUUCCAAGCAUCCCAUGUGGGAUUCUUCCAUUUUUUUUCCCCACAUUAGCUACCUCUCUGUCGUCGUUGUUCUGGUUCUUAGGAUCUUUUUUAGUGUAAGAGCCAAUUUCCAGUUGAAAAAUCAAAACCCAGGUUUCAAUUCCUCUUGGGAUUUCUUUUUUGUAUUUCGAAACUAUGUGGGAAUCCGAGACUGAGUCUGUUAGAGGGAAAGAAUUCGGGAAUGGAUUCUUUAGCUCCACCAAACAUGGCUUCAACACUGAUGGAUUUCAGCUUAAGGGCCAGUCCUGGUAUAUAUUGAAAGUAUCUUGUUUGUUUCCUGAGAAUAAAAAAGAGAAAAAGUUAGAGAAAAGUUAGCUUUUCUGAAAUAUUUUGAUUUUUUUUAUGCAGGUACGUUGCCACUGAUAUUCCAAAUGACCUUCUAAUUCAAGUCGGAGAUAUUAAUUUCCACUUGCAUAAGGUAGCUUAUUGCGCUGUUUACAAUAUGUUCGAUCAAAUUACUCCUAAAAGCUUCUUCUUUUUUUUCUAUUGGUUUAGAAUCAUGUAACUCACUGUAUUUCAUUAUUUUCUCAAACAUGGUGGGAAAGUAGUAUCCUCUGCUUUCUCGAAGUGGGAAAAUGAAUAGGCUUAUCUACGAUUCAAAAGACCCAGACCUCAAAAGAAUUGUUUUCGAAGAUCUUCCAGGAGGGUCCGAGGCUUUUGAGCUAGCAGCCAAAUUCUGCUAUGGACUUGCAGUGGAUUUAACAGCAGGGAAUAUAUCUGGUCUCAGAUGUGCUGCCGAGUAUCUUGAAAUGACUGAGGAUUUGGAAGAAGGCAAUCUCGUAUUCAAAACCGAAGCGUUUCUUAGCUAUGUAGUGUUAUCUUCAUGGAGAGACUCCAUUGUUGUGCUGAAAAGCUGCGAGAAGCUCUCACCAUGGGCUGAGAACCUUCAAAUCGCAAGAAGGUGCAGCGAGUCGAUAGCUUGGAAGGCUUGUGCCAAUCCGAAAGGCAUCAAGUGGGCAUACACUGGGAAACCAAGUAAUGUUUCAAGCCCCAAAUGGAAUGAUUUGAAGGAUUCAAGCCCCAGUAGGAACCAGCAUGUUCCUCCUGAUUGGUGGUUUGAAGAUGUUUCGAUCCUCAGGAUCGAUCAUUUCGUGCGAGUGAUUACUGCAAUCAAAGUGAAAGGGAUGAGAUUUGAGUUGAUUGGGGCAGCAAUUAUGCACUAUGCUGCCAAAUGGCUUCCAUGUUUGAUUCAAGAUGGUGAGCUCCAAGCAGAUGAAAUGAGCAUAAGCAGCCAUAGUAAUAGCUGGAAAGGUGGAUUCCAUAUGAUCAUUCCCGGAACUAAAGAUGACAAUCUCUCGAUUCAAGCCAAGGAUCAACGGACCAUUGUUGAAAGCCUCAUCAGUAUCGUACCACCGCAAAAAGACAGUGUGUCGUGCGGCUUCCUUCUCCGGCUUUUGCGGGCGGCAAACAUGUUGAAAGUGGCACCGGCUUUGGUGACCGAGUUGGAAAAGCGAGUCGGGAUGCAAUUAGAACAGGCAACAUUGGCUGAUCUUCUCAUUCCUAAUUACAACAAAAGUGAGACAUCGUACGAUGUGGACCUCGUCCAGAGGCUGUUGGAGCAUUUCCUUGUCCAGGAACAGACAGACAGUUCGAGUCCGAGUCGACGGUCUUUUUCGGACAAACAGAUGUACGAAGGAACACAUAGGGGAAAUAAUCUGAACCCAAAAAGCCGAGUGGCAAGGCUAGUUGAUAGUUAUCUCACAGAGGUUUCUAGAGAUAGAAACCUGUUGAUGACAAAAUUUCAGGUACUGGCUGAAGCUUUGCCCGAGUCUGCAAGGACCUGUGAUGAUGGGCUUUAUCGAGCAAUUGAUUCCUAUCUUAAGGUAAUCUAUUUGACAUAUAGAUGUGAGAAUAUAAUCUCAAGAAAAAUCUUUUAAAAAAAAAGUCUAACUAUACGCUUAUCAAAUAGAUACUCAUAUCAUAUACUCACACUAGAGUUGGUAAAAAAAUCGACCCAUCCCACCUUGAUGCCAUCCUAUUUCUAGGUGCGUUAAUGUGCAAUACCAAUUAACAUGCAGGCCCAUCCGACACUUUCGGAGCACGAAAGGAAGCGACUCUGCCGUGUAAUGGACUGCCAAAAGCUCUCCGUUGAUGCCUGCAUCCACGCAGCUCAAAAUGAAAGGCUCCCGCUGCGGGUGGUGGUUCAGGUACUCUUCUCGGAGCAAGUGAAAAUCAGCAACACGUUGGCCAACGCCAUCACGCUCAAAGACCCUGCAGAAACUCGGUACCAGCCAUUGAUAACCAACCGCAAGACCUUGCUUGAAGGAACGCCGCAAUCGUUCCAAGAAGGCUGGGUCACAGCAAAGAAAGACAUCAACACGCUCAAGUUUGAGCUGGAUGGCGUGAAGUCAAAGCACGUCGAGCUCCAAAAGGAGAUGGAGAACUUGCAACGACAAUUCGAAAAGAUGUCAAAGCCGAAACCGACGUCUGCGUGGAGCAGUGGGUGGAAGAAACUUGGUAAACUUACUAAGAUGACAACCGUGGAAAACCAUGACAUUGGACCUCAGAUCUCAACUACAAUUGAACAUGUUAGAAAACCGCCUAGAAGAUGGAGAAAUUCAAUUUCAUGAAAUAAAAUUUUGAAAAUUAAGAUGAAAAUAAAUAAAUCAACGGUUGCCAUGGAAAUAAUGAAACGGUGCCUUCACUAUUUUUUCUAUUCUAAAACGCAAUAUUGUAAGAGUUGAAUCCAUGAAAAAAUUGAUUUUUAUUUUAAUAAAUUGAAUUGAUAAUCAUAUUUGUUAAUUUUCUAUUUUAAAAGGUGAACUUGUCAUCCAAAUUUAUUUAUUGCCGCCGUUGUUUGAUUUGCCAAUUUUCUUUUGGGAAGAGUGAUAAUUUUGCAUGUUUUCACCCAAACCUCAAACCAUCAUUAAUUUGUUCAUUAUUAUUUGUAGAGUGUAAUUUUUGUUUAUCUUAGAUUAUAUUUUAGUCACUUAUGUUUAAAAUUUUAUAUUUUAGCCACUUACAUUAUCAUGUUGUCACUGAGUCGUUAAUUACCGUUAACGGUAAACUAACGUGACACAUUAAAUCAUCAUUUCAAACAAAAAUUUUAGGUUAAAUUAUACAAUUGGUCCCCACAAUUUUUUUUUGUUUUGAGCAAUUUGAUUUUUUUCUUUUAUGUUCUUUUAACUUUCUUUUUUUUUCUCUUUAUUUUUCGUUCUUUUUUGUUUCUCCGUCUGUUUUCCUAUCUUCUCCACUUCUUUUAACAUAUCAGAAAGUCGAAUUGGCAGAGAAGAAAAAAGCAUGGUAUGGGUUUAUGGGUUUUAGUUAGUUAUAAGCAAUGAUGACUUUUGACUUCUUGCUUCUUUCUUCACUACCAAUUCGACUUCCUAAUACGUUAAAAGAAAUGAAGAAGGUAAGAAAACAGAGGGAGAAACAGAAGAGAAUAGAAAAUAAAGAAAACAAAAAGAAAAGGAAAGUUUAAAUAACAUAAAAGAAAAAAAUUAAAUUGCUCAAAACGAAAAAGAUAUGGGAUAUGUUGUAUAAAUUAACCUAAAUUUUUUGUUUGAAAUGUUGAUUUAACGUGUCACGUCAGCUUCCCAUUACACCGUUAACUGCAAUUAAAGGCUCAGUGACUAAAAUGUUACAACACAAUAACGUAAGUAACUAAAAUGUAACAUUUCAAACAUAAGUGACUAAAAUGUAACUUAAGGUAAACAAAAAUGACCAUUGGCGCAGUUUACCCAUGUCAAAUUAUGGUUUUAAUUUCAAUUUGUAUUGAAAGAAGUUUUUAAUUUUUAAUUUGUUUUUAGUUUUUUAUCUUUAAUUUAUAUCUUCUUCUUCAUCUUCCUUCCUUCCUUCUUUCAUGCCUUUGAUUGCUGUACGCCAUGAACAGUUCAUCCACCAAGCCAAUCAUCACCUUCUUCUCCAUGUCAUCCCCUCCACCAUUUCAGCUUCAAAGCAUGUGUAGUUUGUUAACAGUAACUAGUUGAGAUUGUUAGUAUUUUGAAUGCAGUUAUUGCAGCCAACAAGGGGUAUAAAUAUACAACCUGUUGUACUUGAUAAACCACUCUUUGAAAUAUACAGUUUUCUAAAGGGCUGAGUAGAGAAACCGAAACCUCACCGUUUAGUUCAGUUGAGACUUUGUUUUAUUCAGUUCGGUUUUGAAUUGAUGUUACCAUUCAAAUCUCAUCAUUCAAUUUAGGUUCAAAAUUUUCUACCUGAAAUCCAUUUUAUCCAAAUCAAACCAAAUAAAAAAUAUUUAAAGAAAUAAUCUUAAUAAAAUAAUAAAAGGACCGUUUCAAUAUUUAUAUAAAUUAAUUAAUUUAACCAAAUUAUUAUUAUGUUAUUAAGAAACCAAAUUAUAUAAUAACUAUAAUUAUAAACAUAAUUCUAAUUUUUUAAAAAAUAGUUUAUAGAAUUUCAUAAUAUUUUAUUUAUAAAAAAAUUAUUAUUCACAAGUUUUAUACGUUGGACAAUUAUAAAUUUAAUCAUUUAUAUUAUUAUAAUGGCACAUUUAUAACUAAUUAAAGCUAGCAAAUAAUAAUUAAAUUAAUUAAGAGAUGACGUGGUAUAUCAUUAUGUAUAUAAAUGAUUUAUGUAUUAAUUUUUAUUUUUUAACAACUUUGAAUAUUUAUCAAUUUAAUGAUUAAAUUUAAAAUGUUCCUUUAAAAUAGUUUGUGAAAAUAUUAAUUUAACCAUUUAAUUCACUUUAUCAAAAAUCAUAAUAUUAGAUUUUUUUUAGCCAAAAUAAUGAAAACUUUUUUAACAAAUCUACUAUUUUGGUUUUAAACUCAAAAGGCGAAUGGAAUGAUUGGAUAGAAUUUUUGUAAAAAACUGAAGGGAAUACCCCUUAUGGUUUUCUCUGAAGAUUUGUUUUCGUUUUUCUGAAUUCAUGACUUAAUUCUUUGGUUUUGGUUGACCUCGUUUAAAGGUAGGAUAAGAUUCUAAAUGUAAUUAAAGUAGAAUAUGUUGGAAAUAUUGUACUGUUGACAGUAAAUAAAUAAAGUAAUCAUUGUUCCGUGGAAGAAUAAUUGUCUUAGAAGUGAUUUCGCCCUGAUCGGUAUAAUCAGAAAUGGACGUCGCUUAAAAGGAUUGCUCUUCUUGUAAAAAUCAAGAAAUAAAUUGAAAGAAACUCGGGUAAAUCACACUAGGUUCAAUUUUCAAGAAAGAUUAGAAGGGUCACAAACGGUCUCGCUUAAAACUCAAUCCCCUAGAUAGAAUAUCGCACUGAUGUAAUUUAGUAAAACACCAUAAUUUUUAGAGAGCAAGAACCAGAGAGAAAAGAGAGAAUUGAGUUUUCUUAUUUUUCUGUGUUGUGAAAAAGAGUAGAAUAGCCUGCUAUUUAUAUUGUUAUCAAAAUGGGUAAAAUGGUAAAAUAUCAAUGUCAAUUUCUAGAAAUAGUAGAGGAUUUUCCUCAACGGAAAAUAUUUUGCAACAAUCAUAGGACUUUCCUCAACCGAAAAAUAUUCUACAACAGAAAAUAUUUUGAAAAAAUAUUUCUGAUUUUGCAUUACCAACAUUCCCCCACUAAUGCAGAAAAAUUAAAAAAUUUUGUAAACAUGAGAAAAGGUAAAACGUGAAAAGAAUAAUAACGAUAUUAACCGCUUAAGCACUAGUAUCUUGUGGAUUUGAACUAGUACGUAGUGAAAUGAGUGAUUCUUCUCUUUAACAAGUGAACAAAUCUUGAACUUGUUAAGAUAAUAGUUAACUCAUGACAUACGACUAAUCUCAGGUCCAAUUGAGUUUCGCGAUAGAUCAACAAUUUAGCCAAUAUACCUCGGGAUGCUAGUAAGUGCUCUAGAAAAAUGGUCCAACGUCUUUCAUAGAAGGUGGUUAAUCCUUCACACUUAUGUAGGUGAUUUCAUCAAGUCUAUCUUAAUAUAGACCACUCGGACCAAAACUAUGAAAUCAUUAAGAACAUUUAAUAAGCUCAACCUCUCAGUUUUAUAAUUCAGUGAAUUCAUCAAGUCUGUCUCAAUAGAACCACCCAAACUUUAAGAUAUGAAUUCAUUAAGAGUAAGAAAUUCAACCACACACGUUGGUGAAUUCAUCAAGUUCGUCUCACUAGGACCAGCUAAACUUUGGGCUAUGAACUCAUUAAGAGCAAGGAGCUCGUCCUUAUGCAUGUACAUUGUGCGCCAUAGGGAUAAGUAAAUAUGUACGCUAUGAGUCUUUCCAUGGUUCCGUUUGACCACAUUGAACUUAGAAGACUAAGUUGGGUAUCCACCAUGAAUUCCUGAAUCAGUGGGCUUAAGACCCAUCCCUCUCAACAAAUUAAGAACUAUUUUCCUACAUAACCUUUUGGUUAAUGGAUUAGCUAGGUUCCUUUCAGAUUUUACGUACUCUAUGAUGACUACUCCAUUCUUUAUUAAGAGUCUCACAUAUUCAUGUCUUAUUCGUAUAUGUCUUUUCUUAUCAUUGUAAGCCUGGUUUUGAGUAACAAAAAUGGUGGUUUUUGAAUCAUAUAAUAAGGACACAGGAGGUGUAGGUUACCCUCAUAAAGGAAUCUCUACACGCAUAUUCCUAAGCCACUCGGCCUUUUGUCCGACUCAAUCAAGAGUUAUAAACUCUGAUUCCAUCGUGAGUGAGUAAUACACGUUUGUUUAGCAGACUUCCAAGAGAUAGUUGCUCCAUCUAAAAUAAAGACAUACCCACUUGCAGAGCUAACUUUACCAGUCACCUAGUUUGCAUAGCAAUAUCUCUCUAGGACUAUAGGGUAUCCGAAAAAUUCUAACUUCCAAGUUAUUAUACUUUAAUUUCACUCAAAAUCAUUUGGGGAAAGUUUAACUUUGAUAGCAUAGUAACUUACAAACCAUGACACUUUCUCCCACUUACUAUGCCGAUGCCCUUAUCAACAUGAAGCCACACUUUUAGCAACCUUGUUGCAUCGAGUUGACAUUUCAGUCUCAAGUCCAUCUUCAGUCUUCAAGGCCGAAGGUUAUGAUCCAUUCAAUGCACAUUAGACAUAGACUUGAACUUGGUCUCAUCUCAAUCGUUGGUGUAGUCUUGUCUAUGCCCAUUCCUCCACCGAACACUUGGAAUCAAUGCCACAACAUAUAGUCUUUAGGUUACAACCUUGAGGAACCCUUAAUGGUAUGAACCUUUGAUGACUAAAUAUUACCAUGUCUUUGAUACUUAAAAAUGCAUCCCUCUAAAUGUGGCACCAAGCGCGCUCUUGCAGCCUCAACACUAAAGUUUUCAACAUGGGAAAUUCAAACACAUUGGCCAUCCCUAACUUAGCCCCUCUCAGUCACCCCAUUGGGCGUGGCCAUCUUGGCCAACUACAACACAUGCAACACCACUGAACUUGGUUGAUCUCAAUAUCAAUUUUGGAUUUUAAUGCUCAUUCACGCAAACUCUAUCACGCUAUUUCUUUCUCCGCACAAUCUCAUAAGUUUCCUGAACAAGACAUCGCCCACUAGUUCUCUUAUUCAAGCUCUCGAACUCAAUAAUCCUCUAGUCUACUUUGGUUAAAAAUUCUAUGACACUUGGACUAAUUUCACAAAUCUCAUGUAUUAAUAGCUCAUAAUGGAUAAAGACAUCAUAAACCUUAUUCCAAACACAAGGAUCCAACGAUCCGCUCAUGGUCCUUCGAUCAACUCAAACUUAAGCUCGCUAGGCCAUCCAAGCCCAUCUUGACUACAAUGGCCCACUAGCCAACAUAAAUGGAGCUUGCAACUGCUCCAAUGCUACUUAGGCACACUCUUGCACUACCCAGGUACCUUCAAAUUGAUUGCUUCAAUAUCACACUAACAUAUUUAUAAAUCCAGUUUUCCCUUCAUUGUCUAUUUCUUUUUCUCUGUUUUGAGAUUUGAACCCUAAGACCCUUUUGGAUUUCACGAUACCUAUAAUUUAUAGUUAAGUCUCAUAGGCUCAACUCUCAACUUGGAACGGGCAAGCCAGAGUUAAACCACCCGAGAUCUGAAUCAACAAAGCCAAACCCGCGUUCCAGCACCUUGAAGCCCCCCACUCAGUUUACAAGCUCAAUUUCUAAAUUGCCUGUGGGAGCCUUCAUUGGUUCCAGCAGCGAGAAAUGAAAACUAGUCUCACAUUUAAAUAGUAGCAAAGAAAUCACUUCUAAAUUGUUUGAAAUAUACUACUACAAACAAAACCGUUAGCAUUGACAGGAAACCAGACUAAGUGCUGUGGAAGAACCACUGCCUUAGAAGCGAUUUUGCCUUGAUCGGUGUAAUCAGAAAUGGAAGUCGUCCCCCAAGGUUAACACAAUACUUCCAAAAUCAUACACCUGAAUAAGGAAGAUGAAUCUCAAAAGGAUUACUCUUCUCGUAAAAGUCAAGAAAAAAAAUUGGAAGAAACUCGAGUAAUCACACUAGGUUCAAUUCCCAGGAAAGAUUGGAGGGGCUACAGAUGGUCCCAUUUAAAACCCAAUCUGCUAGACAGAAUAUCGCACUAAUGUAAUUUAGUGAAACACCAGAAUUUUUAGAGAGCAAAAACGAGAGAGAAAAAAGAGAAUUGAGUUUACUUGUUUUUCUGUGUUGUGAAAAAUGAGUAGAAUAACUUGCUAUUUAUAUUAUUUUUAUCAGUUUCCAAACAUAAUAUAAAAUUUCCCUCAACAUAAAAUAUUCUACAACCGUUUAAAAGAAUUUUCUCAAAUGAAAAAUAUUCUAUUACAGAAAAUAUUUUUAAAAAAAAUAUUUCUCAUUUUGCAUUCCCGUAUAUAUUUAGCAGAUGCCGAAAAUAAUGAGUAAAAAAAUGGAGGUUACAGUAAUCAUUACUUCAUCAAAAGAACGUAAAUAUAUAUUCCGUAUAAGUAAUAAUGUAUCAAAAUCAAAGUAAGAACAAAUAAUGGGAUUUGGAAAACUCCCAUACAUAAAACAACAACAACAACAACUGAUUCUCAAAAUCGAUAGACAAAGAUGGCUCAAAGCCUAUAAGAUCUUCAGAGAGAAAGUAAACAAGCUAUAUGCUACGUAAAAGAACACAUUUAAAACAAAUCCAGUAUGUAGCAGCAGAUUUUAUCUGUCAAUAUUAUACAGUAAAAGAGGAUUUUUAUGGACCAGAAGAAGGAGAAGGUGGUGGAGAAAAGAAAGGAAUAGAGGGAAUUGUAGUUGGGAUUGUAGGGACUGAAGGCAUGCUUGGCAGAGGAGGCAGUGUGGCCCUUGGAACACUUGGCAAUGUUGUAGGAAGUGGAGGAAGCGCCCCAGGCCUUGGGAAAGAUGGUAUGGAUGGCUGUGGGAGAUUAGGGAUAGAUGGGAAUAGUGGGAAUGUGGUUGUAGGCAAUGUUGGCAUUGGAGGUAGUUGCUGAAGGUGACGAGCUGCAACCCCAACAUCAAUGCUUGCAAACGACAAAGCCAUGAAGAAUCCCAAAGCAAAGCAAUUGAAAUAACCCAUUUUGUCCAGAGAUUUUGAAACUAAUUAUAAGCAGAUGAAACAAAGAUUUUUUUAAUCUUGAUAGUUACGGGUGAGGAAGACAAAGGAUGGUGUUGGGGUAUAUAUAGGCCUUGGAGCAGUUGGUAAUAUUGGAUGAUAUAUGGUCGGAAAGGAGGAAACUUGGUCAAUAUUAAAGGUUUUGGUAGGUCAUCUUCUCUUGCAUAUUGGGGUUUAAAACAGGUGAAAUGCAGGUGUGGUUGGCAUAGAAGCUACCUCAUGUAAUAAUGAAGUCAGCCCACUUAAUUAAACAAAUAUACUACACAAAUCCUCCAGGUUAGCAAAGUUUCUGCUAAGUGGCUGUUAUCUAAGAACACUACUGGAAUUGUUUUACUUAACAUGUUAGGUACCAUACUAGUAUUUUCAAAGUUGAUUAUAUCAGUAAACUUGAGUUGUUGGGCGUUAAGCAACAAGUCGAAUUACUAUUUAAGGGGUGGAUUACCUGCUUAAAAUUUAAGCUUUAUCCAAGAAUCUAGAUAAAAAUAUUAUAAGUGAAAAAUAAUCUCAUUAAAAGAAAAAAUAGAUCCAUUUAAAAUAUGUAUCGAAUUCAAACUUUCAAUAUCGAAAUCUGAGUUAAACUUAUUUUCAAGUUUUUAAUAUGAUAUUUUUCUUUUCUUUUAUAUAUUAUAUGAUUUAUAUCAAAUUAACCUAAAUAUAUUAGACUAUAACAUAAAUAUUAAAAGUUAUGUUAAAUUGUUUUUGUGUAUAAAUUUAAUAAAUAUAUAGGUGAUAGUAAAAAUAUAUAAUUAUGAAAUAGUAAAUAAUUAUAUUUUAAAAUUUAAAAAAACAUGGACAAAUUUAAACAGGUUUGGAACAAUCAUUUAUACAUAUAAAUAAGCUUAGACAAAUUUUAAUAUUUAUAUUUCGAGCAAAGUUGAAUUUGGAUAACUAUGAUCUCUUUUGGAUUUCAUGACAACUAUGGUGAGAUCACAUCUCAGAGGAAUGUGCCUUUUUUAUUAUUUUUUAAUACUAUCUAAUAUCUUUUUUAGAAAAUAUGAGUUUUACAAAUAUAGUUAAAGAGUUUAGCUCAAGUCACAUACAAUCUUAGGCUCAAUUUUGGAACAACCGAUGAUUAAGGAGGAAAGGUUAUUGGAACAUAGGAGAAUGCUUGUGGCUUAAAUACAACAAUGCUUUAUUAUACAAGGCAAAGUUAACAAUACAAUGGGGAAAAUCCACGUAUAAGUCAAUACACAAUACUAAUGAGGGUGGGGUUAACUUAUCGCAGAUACUCAAUUUUGAUUAUUAACAUUUUAUCUUUUGUUUGAAAUAAAAAAUAUAUAUUUUAGGAAUUUUAUUACGAAGUGUAUCUCUUUCGGAGGAACAAUUCUUAUUUAGAAUAAUUGUUGUUAAGAACAACUGUUGUUCGAAUAAUAACUGUCCAGAAUAGCUAUGUUCAAAACAAGGCUUUAGUUAGAACAAUUUUCAUCCAAUGUAGUUGUUAUUUGAAAACAACUUUUGUUGAGAAUAGCUAAAGUUCAGAAUAACUCUUGUUUAGAAUAAUGAUGCUUUAAGAAUAACAAUGAUUAGAACAACCAUUAUUUGGAAUAACUUGUAUUUUAAACAAUUUUGUUUUUCUAGAAGAGCUAUUAUUCAAAACAAGCUUUACCAAAAAAAAACAUCACCAUGGAACAACUCUUAUUCAGAAUAGUCUCUACAUUGAGAACAACCAUGUUGAGAACAACUUAGGUUUGGAACAAGUCAAAAUAAUCAAUUGUUCAAGAACAACUCAUCCAAGAACAACCGUCGUCUUGCAUUUCAAGAGAUGUUCAACGAAAAAUUUUUCACAUGGUACCACUUCACUAAAGUAGAAGAAGUGGAAAUAACCUUGAAAUAUGGCACGGUUCUUGGGUUCUUCACUCUUAGGAUGUUCUUGAGAACUUGGCUUGCUGGAUCAAAUAUGGAGGUAGUUAAGAGUUCUCCUAUUAACCUUUUCCUAUAAUACUGAGUGUUUUUCCCUCUUUUCAAAAACAUAGUGGAUUCUUCUUCACUACUUACAAUCACCAACAAAAUCUUUCACUAUUCGUUUUUAAUCAUUAAUGAAAUUGUUACUGAGAAUUAAUUACAUUAUUCAUAUUAAUUAUCAGUUUUAUAACUCCUAUUCUUGAAACACUAUAAACAUGAGUAUUUCACAACAGCUGAAAGGACUUUUGGUACUUUUGGCAUUUUUAGCAUUUUGAACUCUUAAAGGAUUCUCUUAGAAAUUCUCUUAACUUACUUCUUUGUUAAGCUUGAUCGGCAGUCAUAUUUUCCUUUUUCUACUUUAUCGGUCACCACCUACCGCUGCGAUCAGUGCUACUAGAUCUACUCCAAUCUUCCUCUCCGCCUUCUUCUAGUAUUUCUCCUUCACUUAUUUGCAACUCUUCCUCUCUCUAUCAAAAGAAUCCUCUACACCUAUUUAUACCCAAAUCCUCUUACACCCAUUGGACCACAUUCCUAAGCCUUCUUGGCUAUCUAAACCGACCAAACCCUAUUGAUCGAAAAGAGGCGGUUUAGCACAAGCGGAGUUGCUCUAGCACCUAUAGGUACAGUAAAUAGUGCCCCAGGUAAGCAAUCACCUAUGUGAGGUGGUUUAAGCCCCACACACUCAAUUCACGCAUCCAGGUAGGUACCCAUCUACCUGGCACAUUUGGAAGGCCCAUUAGGGGUGACAAGAUGUUGUUGGCACCUCGUCUAGUGGCCCUGCAAUAGGCUUACCUAACUGUUACCUUGUCUCGAGCAUAUUCACACCUAGCUAGUUUGGGCGACCGUGCAUGUUGUUUAAUUGGCCCCUUGGCUUCCAAGAGUAAUCCCUUGACUCCGAUAACUUGCUUAUGCCUUGAGAAUGUCCAAAACCUUAUUUAUCGAAAGGCCCCCAAGCUGCGUGUUCAGUGUUUCCCUUACAUGCUUCCUUGUUGAAUUGCUCCCUUGUUGCUCGAUCCAAGCACCUCAAUCUCUCAAGCCAUGGCAAGCUCCUUUAGCUUUAGUGAGUAGGAACUCACUCCAAUGUAAAGAUGUUUUUACAAAUAUAGCCCCAUUUAUUUUUCUUUCUCAAUCUUUCCUUUAUUUUAUUGGAUUUAAAGGUAGAUAAUGAUCAGGUAAUUUGUUUCCUUAAUGUUUUUUUAUCAAAAUAAAACAUAGUUUAACUAUAUUUGUAUACAAAGUGAAUACACGAAAAUCAUCAUCUGGAUAUGAUAGCAAAUUAUAUAUGUAAUAACUAUAGAAAGUGAAUACAUUAUAAAUUUUGUUAUUGUUUUUAUAUAACAAUUUAAUAAAUAUAUAAAUUUUAUCAUCAUAAAUAUAAUUUUAAUUCUUAUUUAGUAUAAAAUUAUUUUAAAUAUUUUAUUUUUAAUGUACCUAUGGUUUUAAUAUUUUUAAUUAUUUUUAGUAAAAACAUGAUUUAAUUUUUAAUAUAAAAUUGUUUUAAGUAAUUAUUUAUUACAUUUUAAAUUAAUGUUUUUAAGAGUUAUUAUCAUUGUCACUUCACAGUUACAACAGCAUUUGAAUCUAAAUAAAUAUAUCACCAUUGAUUGUAAUUUCACCGCCAUAAUAAUUAAUGUCAUCGCCAUUGUUGUUUUUAAUCUUAUCGAAGCUCAUCUCAUCAAUCAUUCAAGGCAUCAGCUCGAACCUAUCCUAUGAACACCUAAUCCAAAUAGAUUUGUCAAUUAGUUGAGUUUGGUUAGUUUUGGAGUAAGUCAAUUAAUUAGAUGAAGUUUAUUCGAUUCUAAAACUUUUAGGCCAAUUUAGGUUUGGAUUAUUUCGGUUUCAAGUCAUUUUGGCUUUAGAACAUUAGGGUGAAGUAAUUAGAUAAUCUAAUGUUCAAGUCAUUUAGAAUUACUUGUAUUGAUCAUUUAGAGUUUAAAUCAUUUCAAAUUCAAAUUAUUUUAAGUUUUGGUUUUUCUAAUCCCAAAUAUUUUUUAGUUCAAUUUAUUAUUUUUUUAUGAUUAAAUUCACAUCUUUUGGAAUUUGAAUUCAAAUUAGUCAAUUAGAUUUGUCAAUAUUAAAAUUAAUAAGCUUUCCUCCAAGUUAAACCUGUUGUAUGGCAUUAAGUUACCUACACGCAAGAACCUGCAAGUUAGAACUAUCAAUUUGAAGUGUUUAACUGUAGUGAUCACUGUAAUGCCCAAUUUUGACCCUGGCCGACUAAAAAAAAAUAAAACCAAUAUAAAAGCAAAAAAUAUUAAAAGACCAUUUAUAAAUAAAACAAUUCAAUUACAAUGGGCCAAAUUCGGGUUUUUUAGCCCGAUCACUAAAAGAAACCCUAGACAUUCAGCCCUAGCACGAGCGCCGCAACAGCUUCCAGCGAUGUUCUCCCCAUGCCUCCAUGCGCUGCGUCGUGCCACAUCAUCGUACGGCCAUUCCUGCAACAAGCGAAAGACGAACAACGCAACACCAAACAAAAAAAGGACAGAUAACAGUUGUAAAAAAUUCAGAUUUUGAUUAUUUCUUUUGGAUUUUUCGGCACUAUAAAGGCCGAUUUAAAAAAAUCUGUAAAGGAAGAGACCCACGAAUAUUGUAUGAAAGUUUUUUAAAAAGAAAGGCAAUAGAAAGAAACAGUUUCAAGAAAGGUGAUUGGAAAUUUAUUUUAUUUUGAUUUCUUCUUUCUUUUUUGCUUCUUCAAUGUUAGUUUUAGAUUUCUUGUUUGCAAAAGAGAAAAUAAAGGGAAAUAAAGGAGAAGGUUACCUGGUAACGCCUUCAGAUCCGCGCGAGGAGGAGCUAAAAAGCCCCUAGAGGUGCAGCUCCGACCACUGUUGAGUGUAAUCGCAGCGGAGAUGUGGUGUACUGACGGCGGUGAAGGCUAGGGUCAAAACCUUAACUGAGAAAACAAGAAGCAAAUUUUUUUUUAAACUAGGCUGCUAAUGUUUUUUUUAGAAAAUUUUAUUUAAAUAAUAAUAUAAUACGGCGCCGUUUUGAGCUAGGGCUCCUAGCGCCCAAACGACGCCGUUUAGCGACCAUACCCGAUGACCCAAUCCAACCGUGGCUAGAUCCGCGCGUUUUAGUAGGGGGAGGGAUAAUUGCGCUCCCGGUCCUCUCUCUUUUGUUCUGGGUUCAAAUCGGUUCUUUUCUUCUUUUUUUUAAAUUUCGCCCUUUAAUUUUCUUUUCAUUUUAUUUUAGUCCAUGCCGCAACGUAGCGUUUUGGAGGGCUGGGAAUAUUUUUGAAUUAACCCUCCAUGUUAUUCGCGCAUUGUACAUUGGCCCUUAUUUUGUUUAUUUAUGUUUUUCCCGAUUAAUUUUGUUUUAGUUGUAAUUUAAUCCUUUUUGUGUUAUUUGUUUCUUUUUAAUUAGUUUAAUAUCUCCAUUAUUAUUAUUAUUAUUAUUAUUAUUAUUAUUAGUUUUUUUACUUAAUCUUAUUAUAUAGAUCCUUUUAUUUUAUUAUAUGAUAUUAUUUUAUGUUUUUACGUAUUAUUACUUAUUUUCACAAAUAUUUUACUAUAUACAUUUUAUAUUAUCUUAGUAUAACUUAUAUAUAUAUUUUAAAAUUCAUAUAUGUAUAUAUAUACGUUUAGCUCCAAAAUUUUUCAUAAUAAUAUCUUGUGUUUUUUCCAUACAUAUAUAUAUUGAAUUAUUUUAUGCACAAAUAUUCUAUUCCUUUCAAAUUUGCUAUUCUAUUUUACUUAUUUUAACUUUAUUAUAUAUUAUGACUAUAUAUACUAUUAUUUACAUUAAGAUUUUUUACUUAUAUAAAUCAAAGUGUAUAUAUAUAUUAAUUUUAAGAUUUAUUCAUUUUUUCCUUACAAUUCUUCCGUUAAAAUUCAUUUAAACAUUUUAUUUGUUUUUUAGUUCUAUUAUCAAAUCGUUCCAAAUCUUCAUAUUAAUUACUUUUUUGGUAUAAUCUUGUUUAUAUUUUUAAAUCCUAAAUUUAUUUAUUCUCACUUUUAUUUUUUACAUUUUAUCUUCCUUUUAAAUUAAUAAUUUUUGAAUGUUGAUGUUGAUAUUGGCAUAAUGCAUGAUUGAAACCAUUGUUAUUGUAUUUAUUGAUUUAUUGUUCAUCACUCAUUGAUGUAUAUUACUAUUCAAAUUUUGAAUGAUUCAUUGUUUAUUUAAUCACUGCGUUUUUUUUACCGUGUUUCAAUAAAAGCAUUAGAAUCAUCUUAUUUUGCAAUUUGUCAAAAUACCCGCUAUUCAUGAUUCUCGUGAGAAUUGUGCCCUAACUUACUGGGCUUCAAUUUUUCUGAUGAAUUUAGAUAGCCGAGUAUCUCUUUUAUAAUAAAACCUUAUGAUUUCUAAAUAAAGCUUUUCGGGAUUUCAAAAUGUUGGAUUCUAACUUACUGAAUAUGACAUUUUGUUAUCUCGAGUUAAGGAUUUUAAAAUAAAGGCAAUAUUCGACGUUUAGGAAUGUCGAGAAAUUGAACCCUAACUUACUGGAUUAUGAUUUCUCGAUUGACCCAAAUAGCCAAAUAUCCUUCUCAAAAUGCAUGAAUUUUUAAAAUUUAAUAAAAGGACAAACCUAAUUUCUAAUAUUGAACUGUUGCACUCUAACUUACUGAGUUUGACAAUUUAUCUCUUUGAAAUAAGUGAGUCUUAUCAUCCAAUUCAUUUUAUUAAAAUUUUCUUUUCAAAUGAUCGUAUUUUAAAACCUUUUCAAAUUCUCGACACUAAGGCAUUAAACAUUUGAUUCGGUACCAAUUUUGGGCGUCACGAGGGUGCUAACCCUUCCUCGUGCGUAAUCGACUCUCGAACCUAUUUUUUCAAAAUUCGUAGACCUAAAAUCGUUUUCACAAUGAUCCGAUUACACCUCAUUAAAAGAUCGGUGGCGACUCCCAUUUUAUUUUUGAAGUCGAUCCCCAUUUUUUUUCAAACAUGAAAAAGGUUUCGACAGCUUGGCGACUCCGCUGGGGAUAAAGAGAGUCAAGCCGUAAAAUUGAUUGUUUUUUGUCUUAUUGUCGAAAAUUAAAAAUUUGAUUUGAAAAAUUACGAUCCUCUCUUUGCAUUUGUUUGUAUGAUUACUGUAAAUUAAGUUUUAUACCUUGGCAUCAUAUUGCAUAAAGACUAUUAGUCUUUCCCUUUUAAGUGGGAGCGAGAAGCUACUCCUUCGUGAGGUUUUCACCUCCGUGCAGGAUAGUGGAUCACUUUCGAAAUACAUCCGUACCUAUGUCUUCGUGAGAUCUUCAUCUCCGUGUAGCCAUAGGGAAAUGUAUUCCCCUGAAUCGAACUCGGUCUGUAUGAGCUUAUAAUGGGUGAGAAUCGAGGAAUCUGUUGGUUUGGGUACAUUGAAUUUAGAGCCAAACCGCAUGUAGAAAACCUUAGGAACCCAUCCUAGGUAGAGCCGCUCCAAAUCCCUAUUAUUUACCCGACUAGGUACUUUUGAUUUCCUUGUUUGCUUCUAUUUUGUACUAACCCCUCUUGUUGUGUUUUGAUUAUGAUUGCAUUGCAUUUGCAUCUUAGGAAAGAGAUAUUGAUCCAAGUCCGAUUACUAAAUUAGAAAGCUUGUCAUGGAAUACGGAUUCCUUGAUAAAGUGGAAAAUAGUACAACUGCCCGAAUAUAUUCCAAAAAACACAGGAAUGGUGAUGAAAGAGUUCGUGACUUUACUUCGUGGCCCGAGGAUUCAAGAUGAUUGUCUAAGAGCCUUCGACGUUCCAAUUCUCUUAAAGAAGCUAUUGAGUAUCACGAGGGUAGGCAAACAAUGGAUCGUGAUCAGAAUCAAGAAAAAGGGAGCUAGUAGUAGCAUCUAUUGGAAAUUUACGGGAACAUGCGGAUGAAGGAAAAUAUUGAUGUUGUCUCUUGGAAUAUAAGGGCGAGGCCGUAUAUAUAUCCGCUUUAUAUAAAGAAAUUUGCCUUCUAGUAAAGUUUUCUAAAUGUAAUUGAAUCAGAAUCAACGUCUCUUUAGGCAUGCAUUUCAUGCAUCUGCAUUACAAAACAUCAUAUGCAUUAAAAUCCAUUGAAAGGGUCUAAUUGAGUAAAUUUAUUUCAGUUAAUUUGGAACACCAACACCCUUACGGUAUCCAAGCAAAGGUUAGAGAAUUGGAACAAAGGUUGGAAAAAUUAGAGCGAAUGUAGAUGCAGAUGAAGGAGCAAUUGACCAAAUUUCAACAGGAAAUGAGAGAUCAGAUGCUAGAAUUACAGAGAACUAUGAUGAGCCAGUUCGACCGAUUGCUAGCUAGAGAGUUAAAAGAAGUGAAAGACUCGAUGAUCCACUUUGGGGUUCAUAUGGAAGAUCUUGUAUACUCCCCAGAUUAUACUCCGAUAAGUGUCCAGGUCUAACCAGAUGGGCGUCCACAAGGGGCACUCUUUACUAUCAGAUCCCAACAUUAUCAGACCGGUACAUCAACACCGUGAAUUGCUUGACAGGCCUAGGAUCCAAUUUGAGGAACAAUUUUCCUGUUGCUUUUGUUAAACAAGCAGAAAUAAAACAAUCAAGGGUGGAGUACCUAGAUACUACAAAGGCCCCGAGGAAGAAGGGGAAUAAAUGGGAUAAUACAGGCAGGUAUAACAAGGGCCACUCAAAACCAGUCACUGCGGGCCGGCCAAAGACAGAAACCACUAGCCAUCAAAGCCUUUUAAAGAAAGAAUCUUACACGAAGACAAACACUGAGAAGCUCCAGUUCACACCAAUUCCGAUGUCGUAUAAGAAGCUGUAUCAAAGCUUAUUCGAUGCGCAAGUUGUUGCACCUUUCUACUCAAAACCCCCAAAACCUCCGUACCCUAAAUGGUAUGAUACAAGCGCGCAAUGUGAUUAUCAUGUGGGAAUUACGGGGCACUCAGUAGAGAAUUGCAUUGCCUUCAAAAAGCUAGUUGAAAGACUCAUCAAUAUAGGUGUUUUCAAAUUUGAUGAUUCAUCUAGUGCAGAAAAUCUGCUACCCAAUCACAUUGAUGAUGGGGUGAAUACAAUGUAUGAAGAACUAUUAGGAAGCUUUCACAUAAAUGUCGUAUAUGAAGACACAAAGGAAAAGUGACCUUGUUCGAUAUCCGCCCUUAUAAAUCUGGAGUGUUCUAAGCAAUUGGACUGCGGAAGAAGUCCCUGUAGUUUUUAGAACUCAUUUAGAUUAAUGUUCAGAAUAUUUUGUUAUUUUUAGCCUAAAAAUGAUAGAAAUUCCUUUGUGAAAUAGGCUCAUGUCUGAACGUCAUUAUUCUAAUAAAAUACAUUUUUGCAUUCAUUUUUUAGCCAAUAUUCUUUUAUUCUUUUCGAAUAAUUAUUCUUUCAUUAUUUUUGAUUUUCUUUCACAUCAUUCUUUCAUUCAUAAUUAUAUUGUACAAAUAAUUAUUCAUAAAUUCACACAUUCUUUUGUAUAUUCUUUUGCACUUACUAUGGGUCCCUAGAUAUCAAUGACAUGAGUGACACUACUGCAGACUUUGGAUCUCCUUUUGAGCGAGGCAUGUGUUUAGAGGGAUCUCAUGACUUUGAAAAUGACAUAGAUCGUAGCUUAUCUCCGAACUUGUUGAGGAUGGUAGAACAAGAGGAUGGACAGAUCCUACCUCACGAAGAAUCAUUAGAAAUUGUGAGCUUGGUGAAGAUUAGAAUUGACUUGACCGCAAAGACGAAGCAAGACCUUGUUGAGUUACCUCUAGAGUUCAAAGAUGUCUUUAUAUGAUCAUACCAGGAUAUGCCCGGGUUAACCGCUGAUAAUGAAAUCUGCACAACAGCACGAUGUCAGAAAUUUACAAUAUGAACGAUGCAAUUCUUUACCAGGGCAAUGCCUUUCUCGUUGACUCAGCAUAGCUUUGCCCAUUUGAAGUCAAGUUCCCAUCUCUUCAUGUUUUGUUGGAUUUUAUCCUGAUUGAAGAAGAAGAUCCAAAUUUUUUCAUCAUAGCUAAGUUUCGCCCCAAAAAGCUCUACGAGAGAAAUCUGAUAUUAAAGAAGAUUUUUUGCAUGCAAUAUGAAGGUGGAAGAUCUUAUGUGGGAGACUUUAUUGAAAAAGCAUUGGUUCUGAUCAAAAGGGAUAACAAGGACUUGCCUAAUCCCAAGAGUUCAGAUCCAAUUUUAAAAAAAAAGAGCAAAAAGAAAAAAAAACAACAAAAUUAAGAACAAAAAGAAAAAAUAAAAAAAUCAAAGUCAAAAUAAAAAUAUGAAAAUGAUAAAAGGAAAAAGAAAAGGAAAAGAAAAAGAAAAGGAAAGGCCAAUGCGAAAACCCGCAAAGGGCGCUUUGUGACCAAAUGUGGUUUUGAGUCGAAAACCCGAAAAGCGCGACUCAAAUUUUGAGCAAAAUGGGGCAUGGACAUCAUUGAGAUCAUUAAUUACUUCAUCAAAUGGAUAGAGGCUGCUUCAUACGUCAAUGUCAUCAUAUGCCGAUAUAGAAUUCCAGAGAAGAUGAUGUUGAAAAAUAGAUUGAACUAGAACGAUAACACGAUGGCUGAGGUUUGAAAUCAAUUCAAGACUAGACACCACGGUUCGUCACAGUAUCGCCCAAAAUGAGUUAGAGAAAAUAACUGAGACUUACGAGGGCUAGCAUGUGAAGUUACCAUUUGCCCUUCUUAUUUUUCGAACGUUUAUCGGGACUUCAAUUGGGGCAACACUAUUUUCUCUGGUUUACAAGACGGAAGUAGUUAUACCUAUUGAAGUAGAAAUCCCUUCUCUCUGGGUAUUAUUUGGAUGAAGUAGAAUGAAUCCAAUCUGAUCAAAAGGAAAAAGGCUAAAAGCUAUUCAUCAUGGACAUGUGUACCAGAAGCGAAUGAUGUGAGCCUAUAAUAAAAAGGUUCAUCCUAGAGAAUUUCAUGAGGGGGACCUGGUGUUGAAAAAUAUCCUUCCUAUACAAAAGGAUUUUAGAGAGAAAUGUAUGCCAAAUUGGGAAGAUCCUUAUGUCGUAAAGAAGGCCUUUUCAAGAGGAGCUUUGAUUUUGGGCGAAUGGAUGGUAAAAUCCUGACUAAUCCGGUAAAGCCAGACUCAGUCAAGAAAUACUUUGCCUAAAAAGGAGGAAAGACCAAGGUGAAAACCCGCAAAGGGCGCUUUGAGUCAAAAAAAUGAAGAGGCCAAGGUGAAAACCCGAAAAGGGCACUUUGAGACCAAAGGGGAUUUGAGUUGAAAACCUAAAAAGGGCGGCUUAAAUAUUGAUCAGAAUGGGGCAUGAGGUGAUCAGAGCAAUUCAAAUUUCGGUCAGAUUAGGGCAUGUGGUGAUUUUGCUAUACUUGAAUCAAAAGGAAAGGGUAGGCGACAUCUUGGGGCAUCGACAAAGCACUGUAGAUCUCCUAAACACAUGUCAAACUCAGAAUGGUCUUUAGAAAGUUUGUACAGAGAAGUUCAAGUUGCAAUAUCUGGGGCACCAAAUUUUCAUAUUGAAUUUGUUGUUCUUGGAAUACUUCAUUCUUUUCCAAGAUACACAUUCCCAAUCAAUUUCUUUGUUAUUCUUCUUUACUAUUUUUGGUAAUUUAUUCCUUUCAAGCUAUGCUCAGAACCAACUUUAUUUUUAUCCAUUGUUAUGACCUUCUUGCAAGCAUGUUGCUUUUAAAUAAUGAUUAAUUGACUAAUAAAACUUUCACAAAGGAAGUUUUGCAUAUUACUCUGAAAAGUUUCUAAAUAAUACAAGAACCUAAAACAGGACAAUUGUUUAGAACACACCAAAUUUAAAGGUUGGAAAUUUGAGAAGGAAGAGUCUAAAUUUGGACUUUCUCUUUGGAUUUUGUUGUCAAAUGCAUUGAUUGAACAAAAUGACAAGAUGUCAUGUUGGUGACAAAGCUUAAAUAAAUAAGCAACCAAUGAUCAUUAGGUAAUAGGAAGAGGUUUCCUCAGAGAAGAAAGCCUUCAUUUGAGUAUGAAACUUUGGUACGACAACCUGGGAAUGGCGUAAGGGACCAGAAAGAUUUAAAUCUGGUAUCCUUGAAUUGUGAUAGGAAAGGAUUGAGGAAAAGCCACAUAUUUCUAUCAUUGGAUUACAGUGGAAAAAUGAUGAUAUAAAUUUUGUGCCCUAAUGGAUUGAACUUUGAGGUUCACAGUGGGGGCAAUCUAGCUAAGUCUUUCUUCAGAAAACCCAGCCGAGUAAGAAGGCGUUAUAGUACGUCAGUGAUAAAGCUUUAAUAAACUUCGAGCAAUGAUAACUUAAGCGACAAAAAAGGGGAUCGUUCUUAAAAAUAGCAUUCUACAUUCAUACAAACACCAUUCAUACAUAUCUAGUUAGGAGCAUUUGAUUCAUUUUGAUCAUGACAUCCUAAUCAUUAGGCAUAAUUAGGUUCAUUAUACAAGUCAUGUUCCCCAAUGAACAGAUCUGGGAAAUUACAGAUCUUGUCUCCCUAAGCAGUAGCGGAACAGAUCAAAGACGGUGAAUCUUAUCUUCAAGAGUAAGGAAGCAGAUUUAAGCCACAAGUCCUAUAUCCCUGGUCAGUAGUGGAAUAGGUUGGGAAAUUACAGAUCUUGUCUCCCUAAGCAGUAGCGGAGCAGAUCAAAGACGGUAAGUCUUAUCUUCAAGAGUAAGGAAGCAGAUUUAAGCCACAAGUCCUAUCUCUCUGGUCAGCAGUGGAGUAGGUCAAAGAUUACAGAUCUUAUCUCCCUAAGCAGUAGUGGAGCAAAUCGAAGACACAAGCCUUGCCACCCUCGGUUGUAGUGGAGUAGGUUGAAGAUAACAGAUCUUGCCUUCAUGCGUCAACAACGAAGCAGAUCGAAGACGAAAGCCUUGUCUCCCUGAAGUUGUAGUGGAGCAGAUUGAAGCCAGUAAUCUUAUCUCCCUGAAGUUGCAGUAGAGUGGAUUGAAAUAAUAGAUCUUAUCUCUCUAAAGUUGCAGUAAAGUAGAUUACAUUAGGUCUUAUCUCCCUGAGGUUGCAGCGGAGCAGACUAAGAAAGCAAGUCUUAUCCCCCUAAAGUUGCAGUGGGGCAGACUGAAGAUGGUGAGUCUUAUCUCCCUGAGUUUGCAGUGGAGCAGAUUGAAGCCAAUAAUCCUAUCUCCCUAAAGUUGCAGCGGAGUAGAUUGAAAUAAUAGAUCUUAUCUCUCUAAAGUUACAGCAGAGUAGAUCACAUCAGGUCUUAUCUCCCUGAGGUUGCAGCGGAGCAGACUGAGAAAGCAAGUCUUAUCCCCCUGAAGUUGCAGUGGGGUAGAAUGAAGAUGGUGAAUCUUAUCUCCCUGAGGUUACAGUGAAGCAGACAGAAGAAACUAGUCUUAUCUCCCUGAAGUUGCAGUGGAGCGGAUUAAAAUCAUAGAUCUUAUCUCUCUGAAGUUGUAGUAGAGUAGGUCGCGUCCAGUCUUAUCUCACUGAGUUGUAGUGGAGUAGACCAAAUAUAGCAAAUUUUGUUCUCUUGAGAAGUUACGAGUUACAGAUCCUAUCUCCCUGAUGUUGCAGUGGAGUGGAUCGAAGCACCAAUCCCUAUGCCUCUGAAGAUGCAUUAGGAUGGAAUGAGGCUACUUAAAGAAGAAGAGACCAAGAUCCAGCACGACCGGGCAAAAUUGGCCAUUUAAAGUCAUUACUCUGUUCCCGUUACAUGACAACGAGCAAAGAGGGGCAGCUGUAAUGCCCAAUUUUGACCCGGGCCGACUAAAAAAAAUAAAACCAAUAUAAAAGCAAAAAUAUUAAAAGACCAUUUACAAAUAAAACAAUCCAAUUACAAUGGGCCAAAUUCGAUUAAGCCCGAUCACUAAAAGAAACUCUAGGCAUUCAGCCCUAGCACGAGCGCCGCAACAAACGAAAGACAAACAACGCAGCACCAAACAAAAAAAGGACAGAUCACAAUUGUAAAAAAUUCAGAUUUUGAUUAUUUCUUUUGGAUUUUUCUGCACUAUAAAGGCCGAUUUAAAAAAAAUUAAAGGAGGAGACCCACGAAUAUUGUAUGAAAUUUUUUAAAAAGAAAGGCAAUAGAAAGAAACAGUUUCAAGAAAGGUGAUUGGAAAUUUAUUUUAUUUUGAUUUCUUCUUUCUUUUUUGCUUUUUCAAUAUUAGUUUUAGAUUUCUUGUUUGCAAAAGAGAAAAUAAAGGGAAAUAAAGGAGAAGGUUACCUGGUAACGCCUUUAGAUCCGCACGAGGAGAAGCUAAAAAGCCCCUAGGGGUACAGCUCCGACCACUGUUGAGUGUAAUCGCGGCGGAGAUGUGGCGUACUGCCGGCGGUGAAAGCUAGGGUCAAAACCUAACAGAGAAAACAAGAAGCAAUUUUUUUUAAAACUAGGUUGCUAAUGUUUUUUUUAGAAAAUUUUGUUUAAAUAAUAAUAUAAUACGGCGCCAUUUUGAGCUAAGUUUCCUAGUGCCCAAACGAUGUCGUUUAGCGACCAUACCCGAUGACCCAAUCCAACCACGGCUAGAUCUGCUCGUUUUGGUAGAGGGAGGGAUAAUUACGCUCCCGGUCCUCUAUAUUUUGUUCUGGGUUCAAAUCGGUUCUUUUAUUUUUUUUAAUUCCGCCCUUUAAUUUGCUUUUCAUUUUAUUUUAGUCCAUGCCGCAACGUAGCGUUUUGGAGGGCUGGGAAUAUUUUCGAAUUAACCCUCCAUAUUAUUCGUGCAUUGUACAUUGGCCCUUAUUUUGUUUAUUUAUGUUUUUCCAGAUUAAUUUCGUUUUAGUUGUAAUUUAAUCCUUUUUUGUGCUAUUUGUUUCUUUUUAAUUAGUUUAAUAUCUCCAUUAUUAUUAUUAUUAUUAUUAUUAUUAUUAUUAUUAUUAUUAUUAGUUUUUUUUACUUAAUCUUAUUAUAUAGAUCCUUUUAUUUUAUUAUAUGAUAUUAUUUUAUGUUUUUACGUAUUAUUACUUAUUUUCACAAAUAUUUUACUAUAUACAUUUUAUAUUAUCUUAGUAUAACUUAUAUAUAUAUAUAUUUUAAAAUUCAUAUAUGUAUAUAUAUACGUUUAGCUCCAAAAUUUUUCAUAAUAAUAUCUUGUGUUUUUUCCAUACAUAUAUAUAUUGAAUUAUUUUAUGCACAAAUAUUCUAUUCCUUUCAAAUUUGCUAUUCUAUUUUACUUAUUUUAACUUUAUUAUAUAUUAUGACUAUAUAUACUAUUAUUUACAUUAAGAUUUUUUACUUAUAUAAAUCAAAGUGUAUAUAUAUUAAUUUUAAGAUUUAUUCAUUUUUUCCUUACAAUUCUUCCGUUAAAAUUCAUUUAAAUAUUUUAUUUGUUUUUUAGUUCUAUUAUCAAAUCGUUCCAAAUCUUCAUAUAAAUUACUUUUUUGGUAUAAUCUUGUUUAUAUUUUUAAAUCUUAAAUUUAUUUAUUCUCACUUUUAUUUUUUACAUUUUAUCUUCCUUUUAAAUUAAUAAUUUUUGAAUGUUGAUGUUGAUAUUGGCAUAAUGCAUGAUUGAAACUAUUGUUAUUGUAUUUAUUGAUUUAUUGUUCAUCACUCAUUGAUGUAUAUUACUAUUCAAAUUUUGAAUGAUUCAUUGUUCAUUUAAUCACUGCGUUUUUUUUUUACUGUGUUUCAAUAAAAGCAUUAGAAUCAUCUUAUUUUGCAAUUUGUCAAAAUACACGCUAUUCAUGAUUCUCGUGAGAAUUGUGCCCUAACUUACUGGGCUUCAAAUUUUCUGAUGAAUUUAGAUAUCCGAGUAUCUCUUUUAUAAUAAAACCUUAUGAUUUCUAAAUAAAGCUUUUCGGGAUUUCGAAAUGUUGGAUUCUAACUUACUGGAUGUGACAUUUUGUUAUCUAGAGUUAAGGAUUUUAAAAUAAAGGCAAUAUUCGAUGUUUAGGAAUGUCGAGAAAUUGAACCCUAACUAACUGGAUUAUGAUUUCUCGAUUGACCCAAAUAGCCAAAUAUCAUUCUCAAAAUGCAUGAAUUUUUAAAAUUUAAUAAAAGGACAAACUUAAUUUCUAAGAUUGAACUGUUGCACUCUAACUUACUGUGUUUGACAAUUUAUCUCUUUGAAAUAAGUAAGUCUUAUCAUCCAAUUCAUUUUAUUAAAAUUUUCUUUUCAAAGGAUCAUAUUUUAAAACCUUUUUAAAUUCUCGACACUAAGGCAUUAAACAAUUAAUUCGGUACCAAUUUUGGGCGUCACGAGGGUGCUAACCCUUCCUCGUGCGUAACCGACUCCCAAACCUAUUUUCUCAAAAUUCGUAGACCUAAAAUCAUUUUCACGAUGAUCCGAUCACACCUCAUUAAAAGAUCGGUGGCAACUCCCAUUUUAUUUUCGAAGUAGGUCCCCGUUUUUUAAAUUUAAAAGUGGUUUCGACAAUCACUAUGGCUUAGCAUUGCAGAAAACUAUACAAACAAAACUAUAUAACACCAAGGAUUCCAAUAUCUUUGAUCCACAAUACAAUAAGUGAUUUACACCCUAUCACUCCCCAAGUAUAGAGGUCUUACCUUUGUACCUAAAGACAAGCGCACUCACUUCCCUGAGAAUUUAGGCAGUAAACUCUCAACAGUGUUUACAAUAAUAGUUUGCACUCUCUCAUAAAAUAUUUCCUCAAUGAACAAAUUAGAAUGCUCUUAAUACGCUCUCAUAUAAAACCUAUAAAAACCUCCAAACAUAUAUCAAUUUCGGCUACCUAACAUAGAAUCUAAGUGAAUACAAAAUAACUCUAUAACCUCCUUAACCUGACCCAGAAGUUACUAUUGGAUUUGAAGCUUACAUUGGCCACUGAAAUGACUUAGUAAAAAAAUGAUCAGAUUCUCAGAGAUUUCCCUUUUAAAAUAAUUUGCCUAUUUUAUUUCGGAAAAAUUGUAGUGGGCUUCUCGUAGUUUUAUUAUUCUAUUUUGUUUAUUAAUUAUACAUGCUUACAAUCACCAAUUUGUAGGUUCGUCCAAUUAUUUAACUUAACCAGUUUUAACGAUAUUGCAUGCAAAAUACCAAAAUAACCCAAAAUAUAGAACCCAUGCCACAAUCUGUAUAAAAAUUAGUGAUAAAAAUUAUAAUAUUAAACUGAAAAAUCUAGACGAGACCUCUGAACACCGAGUCUGGGUCCUAACCUCUCAGGUUACCUGUAAGAUAAUAAGAUAAGAGAAUGAGCGAUAAAACUCAGUGUGAGUCUUAAUAAUGAGAAAUUAGUGUACCAAAGAUCACAAAAGCAUGCAAGUAAACAGAGAUAACAGUCCUAACUGUGUCACAAAUCACAGUGUUUCAGAAUGUUUAGAAUCACAAAGUAUUCAUAAUGUAUGAACAUGACCCUAAAUGUUGGUGUUAUUUCCUACCCGUCCAUCCGCUACACACCAUGAUUUCUCUGGAACUCAUCCAUUCGUACACACCAUAAUAAUAAGAGUCGUAGCUCAUUGUGGAUAAACCACCAGUAACAGUAACUAUUUAUAGAUAAACUUUCAGUAAUUUACGGUUAAACUGCUACUAAAAAUUUGUGGACGAACUGCCAGAACUCCAAACAGUACUCUAGUGUUGCAGCUAUACCGCUAGAACUCCAAUAUUUGCGGAUAAACAACCAAGACUCCCAUAUUUACGGAUAAACCACUAGAACUCCUCUGUCACCAAUCUUUCCAACCCUAUGCAACAGAAUGGCAUAACAUGCAUCACGAAAUCAUGUACAAUAGAGAAUAGUGGCAUAUAUUAACAUGCGAUCAGUAACUUGGUAACAGUGGCAUGCUUUACAUGCAAUCAGUAAAUACAUAACAGUAAACAUGCUCUCAUGCAUUCAAUAGAACAAGUAAUAACAAUAUAGUAUCAUACAUUAGUAGUUUAUACUUAUUCAAUCGUAGUAGACAACCCUUAGGCACAUUUAUACAAUCAUAGAAGUAAGCACAAGUCACAUUCGACUAUUACGAAUAAGGGCACAUAUGCAUUUAAUUUACACAUUCAAGGCUCACGGCAUUUGGUUAAUCUCAACUUGGUAACAUACACAAUCGGUUAAGUCUUAUAACAUUCACCACGUAAUCGGCCACCCACAUCACUUACCAGACAUUCAGCCAUAACCCAAGAAGACAUACAAAUUCGACCAACUUGCAAAACACAUGCAUACAUUUCAGCCAACUUACAAAACACAUACAACACAUUCGACCAUGGUAUAAGGGUUACACACACACACUGAUCACAAAUGUUUAAGACACACACCUCAAUGCACGUCUAUAAAGCACUAUCAAUUGUUUGAAGCACCACUACGAUUCGGAUCUUGGUCGGUUCCUUUCAGAUCUAAAAAUUGGAUACAAAGUACACAAAAAAAGAUAAGAUUCAAUCAAAUGCCAAUAUAAGAUUCGACCAACACAAGAAAAAAGAAAUGCGAUACGAAAUUGGAUCUAAUUUUAAUAUCAACUUACUCUUCCACCAGAUUUUAAAUCUGAGAUGACAAUUGAUCAAAGAAUUCAAAUGUUCAUCGAAAAAGUAGAAAGAAAAUGGAGAAAAAAGAUAUGAGCAAAGAGCAAAAAAAUUUCCACAGCAAUGGUGAAAAGAAUAGGCGACACAACAAAAGUAAAACUAGGAUUUAGGGGAUAACAAAAUAAAGAAAAGAGAAGAAAAUUGAAGAAGAUGAGAGAAAAAGGGAGGAGGGGGUGGUAACAGGAAUGAGCAGAUGAUGAAGAAAAGAGAGGCUGAACAGGAAAAAUAUAUAUAUACUAGGGUUUUAUUAGACUUAUGGACGACACACUCUAGGGUUUGGGAAGCAAAAAUAGGCUGAAAAUAAAGAUAUGUGAGGGGAGGGAAUCAAAAUCAGGUCUCAAGGAUAAUUUUACUAACACUUAAUCAUUAGACUAGUAACUCAUUUUAUCCUAACAAACACACAUAAGAUAACCCUAAAAAAUCAGGGUGUGACAACUCUCCCCUCCUUAAAAGAAAUUUCUUCCUCGUAAUUUCCUGCUGAUAUACCAGUCAUUUAGCCACAAAGUCUGUUACCCCUCUUUUCAACUCAGACCACCACUUUUUCGCUACACAACUUUGAUUCUAGUGCAAUUCUAGGAAAAAAUUCACCCUAAACUUCUAAUAGACAUAUCUUAAAGAACUAAUUAUAGAAACAUUACUAACAGAUUCCUCCACCCCAAUUUCCUAGUUUUAACAGAAAAAAUAUUAACAUCAAACGAUUGAGCAAAACCAAUAUUAAUCAAUGCAAAAUAAAAAUUUUGAAUCGAUGCUAGCUAUAUAAACUAAUGUUGUCUAUCUAGCAUCGGUUUUGGUUAGACCCCUCGGAGAUAAUUGUCUAGCUCUCUGAUUCUGAACUUGUACCUGACCAGGAGGAUGAUGUGGACAAUCCUUUAUUUGAUACUCGACAAACCCACAUCUGAAACAUACACCCAUAUUUUUAUAACACUCAACCGGAUGUCGCUUAUCACAAUAUCUACAAACCUUAAUCCUCACUGAUCCAAUAGAACCUCCAGCAUUAGCUCCUGCAUUAAUUUGUCGUGGCUUCCAUUCUCUAGCCCUCUCAUGCUGAACUUAUUAUUUUCCCUUGGUCUUCUCAACCAAGGCCUCAAACACUCUUUCCUGAUGAGGGGCAACUUGGAUUUUCAAGUCAUAUAUGAGUCUAUCUUCAAAUCGCAAGUUUUUGUCCUGCUUAGUUGUCAUCAUACCCUCAGCAUAACAGCUCAAUCUAAAAAACUCAGCCUCAUAUUCAACUACUAACAUGUCUCCUUGCUUAAGUUAUAUAAAUUCCAACCGAUGGGCCUCGACAUACGAAGUACCUACAUAUUUCUUUUGGAAGGCCUCUUAAUAGUAGGUCUAAGUUAUACGCUCAACCUAUGUACCUCUAACCACAGAUUGCCACCAACUAUAGGUUUCGUCCCUCAGCAAGGGCAUAGUACCCGUAAGGUUCUGUUCCUGAGUGUAAUCCAUAUCCUCCAAAAUCCUUUCAGUGGUCUCUAUCCAAUAUUCUACCACUAUAGGAGUUGUUCUAGCAACACCAGUAAAUAACUUGGCCCUAUUAGAUCGAAGCCUCUUAGUAACGAGCCCACAAUUUUUAGUCUCAAUCUAAGCUCUAGCAACUAUUUGUAAAACCCUUAACAUGGCUUGGGUCACAGCCUCAUCCCCAGUCUCUUGAUUUUCGCCUUCAGUGGUAGGUGCAUCAAUAGUGUCGUUCAUCUCUAGGUUGGACAUAUGUCUUAGAGAUUCUCAGAAACCUUCUUUUUAAAUCAUUUGCCUAUUUUAUUUCGAAAAAACUGUAGUGGACUUCUCUUAGUUUUAUUAUUCUUUUUUUAUUAUUAAAAAAUACAUUCUUACAUGCUUAUAAUCACCAAUUUGUAGGUUCGUCCAAUUAUUUUAACUUAACCAGUUUUAACGAUAUUGCAUGCAAAAUACCAAAAUAACCUAGAAUAUCGAACCACAAUUUGUAUAAAAAUUAUUACAAUCCAGAAUAGUGAUAAAAUUUAUAGUAUUAAAUUGAAAAAUCGAGAUGAGACCUUCGAAUGUCGAUUUCGGGUCUUAAACUCUCUGGUUACUUAUAAGAUAGUAAACUAAGGGAAUAAGCUAGAAAGCUUAGUACUAGUCUUAAUCAUAAGAAAUCAGUGUACCAAAGAUCACAAAAGCAUGCAAGUAAAUAGAGAUAACAGUCCUAACAAUGUCACAGAUCACAGUGUUUCAGUAUAUACAGAAUCAUAGAGUAUUCAUAAUGUAUAAACAUGUCCCUGAAUGUCAGUGCAAUUUCCUACCCAUCCAUCUACUACACACCAUGAGCUCUCUAGAACUCAUCCAUCCAUACACACCGUAACAGUAAGAGUCGUAACUCAUUGUGGAUAAACCACCUGUAACAGUAAAUAUUUACAGAUAAACUUCCAGUAAUUUGCAUUUAAAUUGCCACUAAAAAAUUAUGGACGAACCGCUAGAACUCGAAAAAAAAUAUUCUAGUGUUGCGGUUAUAUCAUUAGAACUCCAAUGUUUGUUGAUAAAUCUCCAAGACUCCCAUAUUUACGAAUAAACCAAUAGAACUCCUCUAUCACCAAUCUUCCCAACCCCAUACAACAGAAUGGCAUAACAUGCAUGAUAGAAUCAGGUAUAGUAAAGAAUAGUGGAAUGUAUUAACGUGUGAUCAGUAACGCGGUAACAGUGGCAUGCUUUACAUGCAAUUAGCAAAUACAAAAUAGUAGACAUGCUCUUAUGCAUUCAGUAAAACAAGUAAUAACAAUAUGAUACCCUAAAUCAGCAGUUUAUACUUAUUUAAUCAUAGCAGGUAACCCUUAGGCACGUUCGAAUAAUCAUAGAAGUAAGCACAAGUCACAUUUGGUUGUUAGGGAUAGGGGCACAUAUGCGUUUAAUUUACACAGUCAAGGCUCACGAUAUUCGAUUUCCACAAUUUAGGGUUCAUGGCAUUUGGUUAAUCUUAACUUGGUAACAUAUACAGUCGAUUAAGUCUUAUAACAUUCACCAUACAAUCGGCUACCCACAUACACUUACCUGACAUUCAGCCAUAGCACAAGAAGAUAUACAUAUUCAACCAACUUGCAAAAAAGAUACAACAUAUUCGACCAUGGUAUAAGGGUUACACACACACUCUAAUCACAAAUGUUUAGGGCACACACCUCAAUGCAUGUCCAUAAAGCACUAUCAAUUUUCCAAAGCACCACUACAAUUUGAAUCUAGGUCAGUUCCUUCCAAAUCAGAAACUUAGAUAGAAAUACACACAGAACAAAAAAGAUAAGAUUCAGUCAAAUACCACUAUAAGAUUCGACCAACAUAAGGAAAAAGAAAUGAGAUACGAGAUUGGAUCUGAUUUUAAUAUCAACUUACUCUUCCACCGAAUUUUUGAUUUGAGAAGACAAUUGAUCAAAGAAUUCAAAUGUCCAUCGACAAAAAGGCCAAAUCAGCUUCGGCCAAAAUGAAACUUGUUAUUUCAAAAAUAGUAACAAUGAAUGAAGAUAAGAGAAAAAAUUGUAACAGCCCGAUUUUGACUCUAAUUGGACAUAGUGGUUUCGGGACCACAAAUCCGAGUCUGAAAAAUAUUUUAAUAUUAUUUUGUGUGUUUAUGAUGUGUGAAUUUAAAUGUGUGAAAGUUUCGUGAAUUAAUUUUGUUGUUUAUGUGUUUAAUUGACAAAAGUAUCAAAUUGCAUAAAAUGUGAAGUUUGAUUAUUAAGGUGUAAAGUGCUUAUUUGAUGGUGGCUUUUAAAUAUGAGGUUCUUAAAGGGCACCCAUUUUAAAAGAUAGUGGACGGCAAUGAUAGUUAAUAUAUACUUUUUAUAUAUUAAAUAUAAAAGUUAUAAUAGUAAUAGUAUAAUAUUAUAUUAUUAUAUCAUUAAAACAUAAAAGAAAUAAGUUUUUUUUCUUUCUUCAUUGUUUGUAUCACCGAAACAAAAAGAAAGAAACUUUGUUCUUCAAGCUUUAGCAUUCUGCCAUCUUAGGGAUUUCAAUUCAAGGUUAGUUUGAUUUUAGUUUUUGAUAAUUUUUACGUUUUUGAGAUCGUUGCUUUGAAUACUUCAAAACCCAUGUCUUAAUUUUGUGAAUUGAUGAAUAUUUUGAAUUAUGCCAUUGAUGAAUAUUUGUGUUUUGGGAUGUUUGAUGAUGAAUAAUGGAAGAUAUGUCUUAGAUUAACAUGUUUUGUAUUGGUAUUUUUGAUGAAUUUGAGUAUUUAGGGCUAAAUUGUGAAAAUAAAUUUUUGAGGGACUAAAAUGUGAAAUAAAUGCAAUGUGUGGACUUGUAUGAGAACCAUGAAUAUUCGGCCCUUGUGUGUUAUGGGCAAAUUUUGUGUAUUUUGUGUUUUGUGCAAAAAGGACUAAAUUGCAAAAGUGCAAAAUGUUAGGGGUAAAAUGGUAAUUUUCCCAUUUAUGUAUUGUUGGACUCAAAUGAAUGUUUUGAUGAAUAAAAAGGUUAAAUUUGACUAUGUUUAGAUCAAGGAACGAAGAAAACGAAUUUGGAUCGGGGGAAGUCGAAGAUAAUCGAAUAGUCGAUCGUGUUUGCUGAUAACCGAGGUAAGUCUAUUAGCUAUUUAAUGUCAUAAAAUCAGUAUAUAAAUAAGUAUAUGAGCUGUUUUUGGAUGAAUUAUAAUUAAAAAUAUGAUAGUUGAAAUAAUUAAAAGUAUGAGUGAAUUAUAUAUAUAUUAUGCAAAUCCACAUCUAUAUGUUCUCGUAUUGAACUUAGGUAUGCCAUUUAUACAAGUUUAUAAGGGGUUCGACUAUGCAACUAUGCAUGUAUAUGUUCUUGUGAUAAAUUUAAGUAUGAAACUUAUAUAUGAAAAAGGGAGAUUUGAUUAGGUAUGUAUGUUCUUGUAAAGGUUCUUGAACGGGAUUGAAGAGAUGAAAUUAUUAGCUUGGAUUAUCUUAAUGUGUUCGAAAGUACGAUAUUAAUAGUAUGCUUCAAUGUGUUAAGUUAUAUAUAUAUAUAUAUUCGGAUGUAUAAUUUAGAUAUUGAGUUGAAUUUGAUGACUGAACUUUUUAUACCGAUGUGGGUUAAGGAUAUAGUUUAUAAAUUAUUGAGCUGAAUUUUUAUGUAAAUUCUAUAUACCAUUAUGAUAUACAACUCCUAUGAAUUGAGAUUCUUUUGUUAAAGCUCAGUAUCAUUCGGUUUAUCGUUAGUGACAUAAUUCAGACUAUAAGUCUAGCAGGCUUAAUGCCGGUGACACAUUUCAGACUAUAAGUCUAGCAGGCUUAAUGCCGGUGACACAUUUCAGACUAUAAGUCUAGCAGGCUUAAUGCCGGUGACACAUUUCAGACUAUAAGUCUAGCAGGCUUAAUGCCGGUGACACAUUUCGGACUAUAAGUCUAGCAGGCUAAGAGCCGGUGUAUUGAAUCAGGUUUUAAAACCUAGCAGGCUAAAUGCCGGUGAAUCCGUUUAAAGCAUGUGAUAAUAUACAAUUGAUACCUCUAUGAUUUUGAUUAUAUGAAAUCGAUGUAUACAUAAAUGUUCAAUCACAUGAUUUUAGUCAUAUUAACUUGAUGAGCAUAUAUAUAUACAUAUAUUUGAUCUAAGCAAUUGAUAGAUAUGUAUAUAUAUAUAUGUUGCAUUCGACAUAGGUGGAUAUAUUUAUGUGUAUGCAUUCAGCAUAGGUGAAAAUAAGUGUAUGUAUCUAUGCAUUCGGCAUAGAUGGGUAUAGGUGCAUAUGUGCAUUCGGCAUUUAUGGAUGAUAAGCAUAAAAAUUUGGCUUUUGAUAUAUGUAGUUGAAUAGUUGUAUUUAAAUGGAUUCGAUGAAGUGCGAACAAUAAGUACUCUAGAAAUCAGUAUAUGCUGUUAAGGAUUAUGCUAGUAACUUGAUUAUAUGCAUAUAAUGUAUAUACAUUUGUCCGUUUAUGUGUAUUAGAUAAAUAUACAUCCUUUUAGACUUAAACAAAAUGACUCAAUAAAGUAGUGUUUGAUUAGUAAUCACAUUUGAUGAUUGUAAUUUCAAUAAAUUCACUUAAAGAAUUAUAUGAUUCUUUUAUAUGUAUUAUAGAUAUGCUGUAGACUUACUAAGCUAUAAAAGCUUACUUUGUUUGCUUUCGUUCAUUCGUUUUUAUAGAUUUUUUUUCUUUGGAGACGCGUUACGAGCUCGGGGAUCAUCAGCCCGCCCAUCACACUAUCGACUUCUUUUGGUAUUUUGUUAAAUAUUUGAACUCGAUCUUAUGGCAUGUAUAGGCUUGAUAAUGUUUUGGAUAAUUUUGAAUCCUAUUGUGUAAAUAGCAAUGCGAAAAGAGUUUAACUUCCAUGCUUGAAUUUGAUUAUAUAUAUUCAUGAAUUGGACUUGCAUUUGGAAUUAGAUAUUAAAGUUAUGUUUAUGUGAGCUUGGUUUCGUAAUGCCUCGUAACCCCGAUUCGGCGACGGAGACGGGUUAGGGGUGUUACAAAAAUGAUGCAGCAAUGGUGAGAAAAAGUCAGCAGAGAUUUGACCACAAAUGGAGUAAAGUAGAAGAAAGAAAAUGGAGAGAAAAGAGAUGAGUUGAAUGCAAAAAAAUUGGUAGCAAUGGUUAAAAGAAGGGGUGGCACAACAGAAGUAAAACUAGGGUUUAGAGGACAGAAGAAUAGAGAAAAGAGGAGAAAAUUGAAGAAGAUGGGAGAAAGAUGGAAGAGGGGGCGACAAUAGGAAUGAACAAAUGAGGAAGAAAAAAAAGGCUGAAUAAGAAAAAGAAACUAUAUACUAGGGUUUUAUUAGGUUUAUGGACGACAUAAUCUAGGGUUUGGGAAAUAAAAUUAAGCUGAAAAUAAAGAUAUGCAAUGGGAGGGAAACGAACUCAGAUCUCAAGGAUAAUUUUACUAACACUUAACUAUUAGGCUAGCAAAUCAUUUUAUGCUAACAAGUACACAUAAGAUAACAUUAAAAAAAUCGAGGCGUAACAAAGUCCUUAAAAAUAGUUAUUACCAUAUCAACAUUCAACGCACAAUCAAUCGAAUAUAUGUUCUCCAAAGUCAACAAUGUAAUGUCGAUCAAAUCUUCAUAUUCUAAGGACUUAAUUGAUUCACUUGAAUCCAAUUCAAUCUUCAAAAGUCAAUGAUUGAUUUCCAAAGAUAGACCACAAUAUCUUCAAUAUAAUAGCACAUUAACAAAUCCAAAUAUAUUUUUCAUUAAAUUGCCAAUCCAAAUGAUGCAAGUAAUUAAACUAUCUCAAUAGUAGUUUGCAGUGAGCACUACCGAGUGCCAUUUAGCAUCAAUCGACUUAUCUUGCCUCCACAACAUGUAUAAUAUAUAUAAGUAUGAGUUUGGAACAAUUUUUGAAUUGACAAGAAUACCCUUUAUUUUCUACCAUAUUACUAAAUUGAUUUUUAAAAAUAUUUAUAAUUUAAUUUAGAAUUAUUAGUUAUAACUUUCUUUAUUAAGAAGAAAUUGUGAUAAUUUUAUUCACUCUAAAAUAGAAUCAUAACUUGAAUAGUCUAAGCAUGCUCAUUGGAAAUAACUAAUAAAUUAAGGUUAAAAUAUUAAAUUUAAAAAAUCCAAAUUAUUUUUAGUUUUUACAAGUAAUUUUUUUAUUUUCAUAUUUAUUAGUGUAAUAAAAUAAAGUAAAAACUUGAAUAGAAGUCUAAGUAUAUAAAAAAAAGAUUAUUUUUAUCAUUUAAUACUUUUUUAGUGAAAAUAAAGUAGAACAUUAUAAAAAACUAGAAAGGCACUAGAGGAAAAGUUUCAAAUAACUGUAAACCCUUCUCCCUACCAAAAGCUAGCUUGGUGAUGCUAUCAACUUCCAUGUUUUCGUCUCUAGGAACAUGUUCGAUUGACCAAACUUCCUCAUUUUGCAAAAGUUGCAAGAUAAAUCUGAGUAGCAUAGAAUUUGAUCCAUUCGAUAAAGACUCAUUGGUAGUUCCAAUGACUUCCAUAUCAUUUGUUUGCACCAAAAUUCUAUCAUGUUGUCUACCUUGUGCCAGUGUCACGCCAUCGAGUGUGCUCCACAGGUCAGCUUCAAAAAUUGAACAUUUCUCCAAUCUUCGAUUGUAGCCAAAUAUCCAAUCUCUAAUUAUGAUUUCUCAAUACGCUACCUGCCGCAGCACAACCUGUGUUAGUUUUAACAGCUCCAUCAGAUCUUAUGUAGAUCCACCUUUCUAUUUCUGCUAUCUCCGCUUUUGAUGUAAGUGUCACAGCAAUGUCUCCCUUACAAGCUAUAAUAUAUUGAUUAGCCCAAUUGUGCAAAACUUUGACAAUCUCCUCUGCACUCCACGAUACCCUAUUAAAGGUGCUAAUAUUCUUGUUUUCCAAAUUUUCCAAGCAACUAGGCCAAAAAAGCACGACCAAUCGACAUUCUUCCAAGCUAUGUUUAGACAAUUUUCCAAAUUAGACUCAAUCCAUUCUUGCAAAUUACCUGUAAAGAAAAUGGUUAGUUUAUGGGGGGAUGAUUCGGCUCCAUUCGUUCAAAUCUGUGUCGCAAUCCUUUAUAACAUGUAACAUGUCCUCUACUUCAUGUCCACAAAUUAGACACCUGGAGUCACUACCCACAGCACGCCUUAGUCAUUCUACUUGAGUAAGUAACCUCUAUUUUAAAGCCAGCCAAAGAAAAACAUGCACUCUUUGAGGUCCCUUAACCUUCCAUGACAAAUUCCAAGCUUCCUCCCUAGGAUUCCACGAACUCUCCCUAAUCUUACAAUAAACACUCUUGAUAGAGAAGCACCUAGAAGAGGUUCCCAACCAAUAAAGUAUGUUAGGCCCUGCUGCAGGAUGUAGGGGAAGAAUUCUCGUAAUAUGCCCAAUUAAAUCUUCAAAAAGCCAAACUCGAAAAAGUUCUAUGUUCCUUCCUUUGUAAUCAUCUCCCUUAAACAACAAUCUGUGGCGAUAUUGGCACUUGCUGGGAUAAGGUUAAUUAGUGGGCCAACUUCCGAAAUCCAACUAUCCCUCUAACACUUAAUGGAGUUGUCGUCUCCAACUGACCAGAAAAUAUUUUCUCUAAGCAGUGGUUAUACCUUAGAUAAAGCUCUCCAAAAAAAAUAGCAACUACCUACAAAGCCUUCAAUCUCGACAAAAUGUUAAACCCUAACUUUAAUUAGAAAGAUGGUGUUAUGAUAUUUUAGCUAUCGAAACGUAAGCCCUUUUACAAGUUUUGGGUUGACAAAUUGAGUUCCAACUAACAAGGGUUAUUUUUUUAUUCCCUACAGUGGACCCCCAAAUGAAUUGUCAAACAAUACUAUCAAUUUCAUCACAAAUAUCUUGCGUUAUUCUCAUUGACUACAUGAAGUAACUAGGUAUUGUGAGAAGGAUCGACUGAGAUAAGGUAACUUUGCCAGCUAGAGACAAUUGCCUAACAUCCUACCUUUGUAACCUAGACUUAACUUUUUCCACCACGAACUUCAAAGAACUAUCGAUUACAUUUUCGUGAAAGAGAGGAACUCCCAAGUAUGAACCCAAAUUAUGCACCUUACGGAACCCAAGCAUGUCGCACAGACUCCUUGCCAAAACAUCAUCCAUACCUUUGGAAAAGAAAAUGUUCAUCUUGUGAGCAUUAGAAAAGCCACAAAAAGUAUCCAACAUGUCCUUAAUUAAUCUGGCCUAGUGUUCAUCUACUUUUCCAAAGAUAACAAGAUCGUCAGCAAAUAACAAAUGAGAAAGUGGCAGACCUGAAAUGGAUAGGUGAAUAGAAGACCAGAUACCAAAACUUAUCAAUGAAUUAAUACUUUAACCCAACCAUUUCAGGUAGAGAACAAAAUGAUGGGGUGAUAGAGGACAUCAUUAUCGAAUGCCCCUUACAAGACUGAAUUUUUGAGUCGGCACCCCGUUCUAAAGGAUCUGCAUAGUAGAAUUUGUGAUGGCAGAGAUAAUAGCAUUCCUAGGGAAAUAUGAAAUGGAUGCGGCUUGAAGGGAGGCGUCAAUAAAUUUCCAACUAACCUUAUCAUAAGCUUUCUCUAAAUCAAUCUUAAUAGCCAUCCAAUUUUUAUGUUUGCUUCACAUUGAAUGGAUAACUUCUUGAGCCACUAUGAUGUUGUCUGUGAUUCCUUCCAGCAAUAAAGCCAGCCUAUUCAAAUUAUAUAAUCAUAAGAAAAACCACCUUAAAUCUAUUUGCAAUCAUCUUGAUUACCAAUUUGUAAAGAACCAAACAAAGGCUUAUAGGACGAAACUGAGAAAAAUUUUCUAGAUUACGAACCUUAGGAAGCAGUAUAAGCAAAGUAUUAUUAAGCUCUCUAUCAAUGACCUGUCCAUCAAAAGGUUUUCUUACCCAGUCAUAGAUAGCGCUACCAAUUAACUCUCAUUGGCUCUGAAAAAGAGAGCGUGAUAACCAUCACUAUUAGGUGCUUUCAAUGUAGUCAUAUCAAACAUGGCGGCCUUUAUCUCUUCAUUCGAAAUUGCUUUUCUUAAGAGCACCUCAUCAUUCUGAUCAAGUUUAGGGAAUGAACUGACGGGUAUAGUUGUCGUGGAAAUCGGUACCUCACUAUACAGUUUCUUAAAAAAGCUAACUGCUUCAGAUUAGAGCCUCUCAUCCUCGAAAAUCCAAUCACUCUCUUCAUUCUUCAAAGUAGAAUUUUUAUUACGAUUUCUCUUCUGAAUCGUGCGCGAGUGGAAGAAUUUAGUGUUUCGAUUCCCAAAUUACAACCAAUCACAUCUAGCUUUUUGUUUUCGAAGAAGCUUUUCAUGAUGGAGAGCACACUCCAAUUCCUCUUGUAUCUAGUUUUCCAUAUUGUUUAAAUGCUCAGAAUCAAGUUUCUCUAAGGCUUUUUGAACAUUAGACAAUCUAUGCAUCAAAUUCCUCUUGCGUAACCCAAUAAAGCCAUACAUAGAACAAUUCCAAUCUUUAAUGUCAUUAGUGAAUAAAUUUAAAGAUUAAACCAUAUUACCUUUAAAACACCACUUCUCUUUGAAAAAUACCAAAAAUUUAGGGUGCUCAACCCAACCUGCAAGGAAUCGAAAAGGCCGGCCUUGAGGCAAGGUAGCAUCCGACAUAAGAGAAAGCAAUAGAGGUCUAUGAUUUAACUUAAUUCUCGGUAGGUGAGUGACAAAAUAGUUUGAGAAUGCUCGCAACCAAACGUUGUCUCCAAUUUCCCUAUCGAGUCUUUCAAAAAGACCUCUUUGAUUUCAAGUAAAUGGGGGCCCUUGAACCCCAAAUCCUACAAAUUAGACAUCCCAAGAAAAUCAUUAAAAAGAGUGCAACCUUUCCCAACUGUACGCCCUCCUUUAUUCUCAUUAGAUGAAAGCAAAGCAUUAAAAUCGUCGAUAGUCAUCUAAAGGGUGUUGCCUAUCGGGAUAACAAAUAAAAAGUCUUCCCAAAGCUUCCUUCUCUUUUUGUUUAUUCAAGCUUCCAUACACAAUAGCAAUAUGAACAGGCAAAAGAAAAUCAGUCUUAAGAACAUGAAUGCAAAUGAAUUGGGGUUACUACAAAGAAUUUCAACAGAAAUCGAGUCUUUCCAACCAACCCAAAUGCCUCUAGAGAAUCCAAUAGCCUCCACCCUGUGAGAAAAUUGAAAACCCAAGCUUGAUAUAAUUUUAUCGGUUUUGAAACCGCUUACCCUCGUCUCCAACAAACUCACAAUAUCAAGAUUAUGCUCUCUAUUGUAUUCACGGAAUAUUCUAGGAAAUUUCGGAUUGACACAAUCCUGGCAAUUCUAAGAAAAAACUGUCAAAUUCAUAAAUAAAAUAGAUAAAAGAAGAAACUAGCUUAGAGCCCCUAAGCUCUAGAUUUUGCAUUCCUUUCGAAGCAUCUAAUCUUUUGUUAUUUUCCGUAUCAAAGUGGGUAAUAAUUAACUCAACCAAGGAGCUUAUAGAUUCAGACAACAGAACACAAGUAGAACCAGCUAAUUUAAAAUUAUAUAUGCGGUUACAAAUGAUUCGAUUAAGCUUUCUACCGCUACGAUUUGUUUCACCUUUGUCGCUUAAACCCCAAGAUUUGGAAAUAAGCUUUUCAUUUUUAACCCCACCAUCUUUUACGUCCCCCAUUAAUUGACCUUCUUGGAAGUAUGAUAUUCCUUAAAAAAUACGGCCGAAUGCUUCCCAUGAUCUAAAACAUUCUUAUCUAAAACCACCACCACUCCUUUCAAUUCUUCAGAGGUGGGAUUGAAGUGAGUAAUCGUCAUGUUGAGGUUACUUGAUACAUUAGAAAACUUUGGAGGAUCACUAACAUGUUUGAUUGGGGGGCUUAUGAAUUGAUUCUAGCCCAAUUAUGUGGGCCAACGACCGAACAUUAGUUUGGUUGACUGUAAUAUCUAUUACAGUCCGAGUGGAAUAGGGUGUUAUUCCGGGAAAAGCCAGCAUAGUUAUUCCCUUUCUUCAGCACUGAAUCAUGAGGAGUAAAUUUUUUCCCUAUUUUCAUUUUUUGCCCCUAACGUUUCUGAAACAGCCCCCUCCCCCCUCAACUUGACAGCCUCUCUCAACCACCUUCCUCAGUCGAUACCAUCAAAUCUGCUGUUUUGUUUUUCUAAAUCCAAAAAUUAGGUCUUCGAAUUGUUCUCCCAUUAAGCUAUUUUGUCGCUGAAACAAACAUAUCAGCUCAAAGGAAUACUUGAAAUCCAGUUACCCUUUCAUUCUCGCCCUACUUCUUCUCAGGUUUUUUCUUUCUUUUUCAAAUUUUAUUCAGUUUUUUUUUUGUUUUUUUAUUAUUUCAUUUUGGUCUUAACUUUGAUUGUUUUAGGUUUUUUUUUUUAAAUCUCAUUGUUUUUGGUUGUUGACUUGGAUUGAAAUUAAUAAAUUCGAUUUGUUUUCCUUUUGGAGAUUGUGAUCUUGAUUGCUUUCUUCAAAUUUGUCAGACUAACAAAAUUCUCAAUUUUUUCUUCUUUGUUUAUGAAGUUGUAUAUUUUAUUAAUUUCUUUUAUGGAUUUUGAUUUGAAAUUUUAGAUUAAAAAAGCUUAUAGAAAGAAAGUAUGGGAAUCGUAUCCUAACUUGUUUCUAGUUCACGAAAAGCAUUCGGCGGAGUCUAAGUUUAAGUUGGUAAGCAUCGAUGUGCCUUUAAAAAUUUCACCCAGUUUCUAAUAUAUUCUUUGAUUGGAAUGCACAUCUUCGUUGGGGCCAGAUUUGAAUUGUUGUUAUAUGGGUACCGGAAACUGUGUUUGGUGAAUGAACGAGAAAAGCUGGUUUUUUUCUAAAAUGCAAAGUGUUGAAACAUAUCUUGUCUCACUGUACAUACUUUUUUGAAAAGAAAGAUUAAAGAAAGAAAGAAAAUAUCCAAUAAAUUUAUCCCUUUAUAUAUAUCCAAAGUUCACAGGGGGAUUUGAAUUAUUGGGAAAUGGAGUCUCUGACUUUAUCCUUUAAUGUGCUUUUCACUAAGAAGUCCUGAUGCUGGCGAGAGUAAUUUGGCUGUUUUCAAAUAGUUGACAAUUUCAGGCUUUAACUAGAGCUAGCAGGUACUUUCUCAUGGAAGAACCUUUGAUGUUUACGGCACAUUCUAAACAAUGUUUUAGCUUUGGGCAAUUGUGCUUUAAUAUCACCUUCUUAUGCAAAAAUAAAAUUAUAUCAUACUAUGUGCAUGAGAAAUGACAAUGGACCAUCUGCGGUAGGUCCUUUAGCUAGGAAGAUAUCUCUAGUUUUCAUUUUGUUAAACAGUCAACUUGUUUUAUCUCUUGAUAAUUUAGUCAUGUAGGAGCUAUUGAUCCAUGAUUGGAGUUUUUACCCACUCUUGGAUUUGUAGUAUCUGAAAAUCUGCUCGGCCUUUCCUAACUAGUUUAUCUGAAUAAAAAAAUAAUUUACAUAUAUAAAUAUAGGUGUGUAUUAUUAACAAAUUAUAAUUUCAGUCCAUAUACUACCUCAAAUUUGACGAUAUAGUCACUUUGAUCUAAUAAUACAAAUACCGAACUGAAAAGAAUCCAUACAUGUAACUACAACAAAUAAAUGGAAGUUAACAAUUAAAGAGCCUACAGUCUGUUAAAUUUUAAAUUGCAACACAUGUAAAAUUUUGUUCAAGAUAUUGUUAUUUGCUAAACAAAGAGUCGGUUUUGUUGAAUGAAAUUUAAUAAAGAAAUUAAUUUUAGGUUUUACUCUUGUAAAGAUAUUUGUAAUUUCUAUCUUGUGUCCUACAAAGAUUUUUAAUAUGUAUUGUUCAUUUUUCUUUGGUAGUGUGUUAUUGUUUCCUCUUCUUUUUUGGCUUGAUUGAUUGCUUACUCCACCAAUAGCUGAGCUUCUUGUAUUCACUGAAUCACUGUAAGUUUUUUUGCAAUUAAAUUCUUUGAUUUUGUUUUUCUGUUAUUGAUAUUAGUAUUGCUGUAAUGACUCGUCUGCCUUUAAUAGUACAAAGUGAGAGACGUAAAAGAAUUGAUCUUGCAUUGACAGUAUGGUUGCAAAUGUGUACAGUUGCGAGUUAGUUCUUAGUUACAUUGGAUGCCGUCCAUAGCCUAUGUACUUAUAGACCAAGGAUUAGAUCAUAUAUUUUAGAUUUUUAUGCAAAACAGAUUAUGUGAAAAAACUUGUAUAUGCUAGUGACAAGACCUAUAUUGAACAAGUUAGGAUGAAUAGAAUUAUUUUUUUUAAACUAUGUGAGAUGUUACAAACUUUAGGAGGAUUGAAGUCGUUAAGGGACAUGCUUGUUGAUGAGCAAGUGACCAUGUUUUUACAUAUCAUUUCUUAUCACCUUAAAAAUCGAGUUAUCAAGUAUCACUUUAAUAGGUCUAAGGAAACCGUUAGCAGAUUAUUUCAUAAUGUUUUAAAUGUUGUCAUACACUUGCAAGAUGUGCUAUUUCAAAAGGCAGAGCCAAUUACAGCUAAUUUUACAGACCCAAGGUGGAAAUAGUUCAAGGUAUUGGAAUGACUUCCAUAUAUAGCUUGUCGAAACCAUUUUCUUGAUAAAAGGGGUCGACUUGGAUUUUGAAAACGAAAAUGAACAUAGAAGUCGCCACGAAUCCUUUUUUGAAGAGGAGAUCGGGUCACCUCAGAAAAUGAUUAUUUUUAAUAAACGGUUUGAUUUAUUAAAACAACGCUUUUUGGUCUACGAAAUUCAGAAAGAUAGGUUCGGGAGUCGGUUACGUACGAGGAAGGGUUAGCACCCUCGUAGCGCCCAGAAAUUGGUACCUAGUUGAUUAAUUAGUGUCUUAGUGUCAAGAAUGGGAAACUUUGAAGAGAUUCAAAAUACGAUCUUUUGUUAAAAUGCUAAAAAAUUUCAAGAAAAGGACAUAUUUCACGUUAAUCGAGAAAAAAUUAUAUCCCGUAAGUUAGGACACAAUGUUUUUAAAUUCCAUUUUUGAGAAUAAAUGCCGAAAGAUUUAUUUAUUUGAAAGAUAUUCAAUUUGAUUAUCCCGCAUUUGGAAAAGAAAUCAUGUCCCGUAAGUUAGAACACGAUCUUUUAUUAAGUCUUGAGAUCGCUUAAAACUUAUGUUUGAAAAGAUUCGUGUAUUUAGAUUUAUCGAGAAAAUUGAAACUUCGUAAGUUGGGGCACGACUUUUUCGAAUCUCAAAAUAUGUAGUUUUACUUGUUUUAAAGUCAUGUUUUAUGCAUUAAAUAAAAUUAAUUUAACACAAAAUGGCAGAAAUAAAAUACGGUGUUAAUAUACGUAAUAAAACAACGAUGAAUGUGAUGAUGUAAGCAUAAAUAAUACAAGCGACAACAACAAAAAUAAAAUAAAUAAAUAAAUAAUGACAAAUUAAUUAUAUAUAAAAUAAUAAGUAAAUAAACAAAUAGAACUAAAAUGUUUUUUAAAAUGAUAAUGGACACAUAAAUAAAUAAAUAAAUAAAUAUCAAGUAAAACAAAAAUAACAAUAACAAAAAUAAAAAAAUAUCUAUGUAUAUAUAUAACAAAGCUUGAAACUAAAAAAAGAUAUAAAUAAGUAAAUAAUAAUAUUAAUAAUAGAAUAGCAAAUAAUCUAAAGUUUAAAAAAUACAAAAGAUAUAAGUAAUUACAUAAUAAUAUAUAAUAAGACAUAUGUUUAAAAUUUAGAUAAGUAAAUAUAAGUAGAAAUAUAAUAAUAAUAAUCAUCAUCAUCUAAGUUUUGAAAGUAUAUAAAAUAAUAAUAAAUAAAUAAGUAAAAAUAAUAGGGGCAAAAUAAAAAAUAAAACAAGCCAAAUAAGAAAAUUGAAUAAAUAAAUAAGCUAAAUUGAUUUAGGGACUUAAUCAUAAUUCGAACCAAAUUUAAAGGAUAAAUUAAAAUAAAGUAAACAAAUAAAAAAUUUAAAUGAAAAGUGUGACAACAAACGAGGACCAAAUAAGUAAUUAUUUUGAUUUUCAGACACGCGUCCCUUCUCCCGGAAGUCAGUGAACCGAGGACUAAAUUGAAUGCAGGAUGAAAUUAAAGGGUAAAAUCUUUAAAAAUAAAAAUAGUGAAAUUAGGACUGAAUUGAAACAACCCAAAAAGGCGGAAGGGCUAGGAGCGCAAAUAUCCCAUUAGCUGCGGAAACACGCGGAUCCUAGAGUGGGUCGGGUCGGGUCGGUCCGAUUCAGGUCAAAACGGCGUCGUUUUGGGGCUUAAGGAUGCCGACCAAAACGGCAUCGUUUCAUUUAGGCUAUUUAAACUAAAUUUUUUUAUUAAAAAAAACUCAUUUCUCCCUCAAAACAAAAAAAAAAAUCUAAAAAACUCUCCCCCCUCUCUCAAAGCCCUCAAGUCCGGCCUUGGCUCUGGCAGUUCGCCACCGUGCCGGCCAUCGGUCACCGGCGACGACGCCACCGUCUACGGUGGCCGAAAAACCUAAAAGACGUUGCUUCGAACGUUUUGACCUCUGGAGUCCGAAUCUAAGGGAAUAUUUCCCGAGAAUCUUUCAAAAAACUUAAAAAAAGGGCCGAAAGGGCUUUCGGUAAGUUUUUUUUUUUUGAACUCUUUUCCCUUUCUUUUUAUUUUCGUAUCUAAAAAUGAAAAAAAAAGGUAGAAUAAAAAUAAAACAAAAAUUAAAACGAGAAUAGCAGUAAACCUUUUGAAAAUUUUUUCUAUUUUUGAUUGAUUUUUUUUGUUUCUUUUUUUUUUGUUCCUCUUCCUUUAAUACAUUUGUUUGAUCUGGCUUUUAUAGCCGAAAAUAAAAAACAUGCUACUGUUUAUUGCUAUUCUUUUUGCGCUGCUUUUGUUUCUUUUUUCAUGUUUGUUUGCAGGUCUUUGGCGAAGGCGGAGGAGAGGCUUGCUAUUUUGGUGCAAGUGGAGGUAGCUAGGGUGUCAGGCAGGCCUCGGGACGAAGCGCGGGCGUUGCGCCCGAGGAGCGGCGGCGCAACUAGGUGCUAGGGUUUAGGGUUUUCUUUUAGUUUGUUUAUGUUUUUAGGCCAAUGGGCCUAUUUUGUAUUUGGGUUUGUAGUUAAUAAUAAUUUGUUGUUUGUAAAUCGGGUCCGGGCUAAAUUGGGCCUCUACAUAGCUCAUACAUAAUUUAGUUGAUUUAGAUUUAAAUAUAGUAACCUAACUCGAGGUUUUAUGUAUGUGAUAUAGAAUUGCUUAGGUGCUUUAGAUGGAACCCACAUCAAGAUUAGGGUUUCAACAGUUGAUAAACCUAGAUAUCGAAUGCGAAAAUGUGACAUAUCAGCAAAUAUGUUAGGUGUUUGUAAACAUGAUAUGCAUUUUGUUUAUGUUUUUCCUGGUUGGGAAGGUUUUGUUGUUGAUGUACGGGUUCUUCAAGAUGGCAUUAGUAGGAGACACAGACUAAAAGUUCCUCAUGGUAAAGUGCAAAAUUGGAGGAAUUUGAAUUAAUUUUUUAGGAUCAAACUUUUUUGGGAAAGUUAACCAUGAUAAAUAGUUUUCUUUUUUAUAGGUUGCUAUUAUCUAGUUGAUGUUGGUUGCACAAACUAUGAAGGAUUUCUCACGCCUAUUAGAGGAAAAAGAUAUCAUUUAAAUGAAUGGCGUCAGGGUUACCAACCAAGUACUCCAGAAGAAUUUUUCAAUAUGAAACAUGCUUCAGUGUGCAAUGUUAUUGAAAAAUGCUUUGGGUUAUUAAAACUUAGAUGGGGAAUACUUAGAAGUCCAUUACUCUAUCUUGUGAGGGUGCAUAAUAGAAUCAUUAUUGCAUGUUGUUUGCUCCAUAAUUUUAUUCGAACUUAUGAGUCUUGAUCUUAUUGAAGCGGAGUUGGGAGAAGGAUUGGCUAGUAAUGUGAUAGAUGACGUUGAAUCGAAUAUCGUAAAUAUUCAUCCAUCAGAUACAUGGGCUACUUCGAGGAUGGAACUAGCCAAUCAAAUGUUCUAUGAAUGAAAAGUAUAUAAAAAUUAGUUAGGUUUAUUAAAACAUAGUAAAAGGUUAAUUUGUUUAUGUUAUUUCAUGUAUCUAGUUUACGAAACUUUGGUGUUGUUUGAAUUUUCUUUAUGUAUUGUACUAAACUUGUUGAAUUACAACUUUAAUUUAUUUUCUUUUGAUUCGUCAUGUAUUAUAAUUUUAUAAAGUGUCAACCUUUUGAUUCAUAAUAUCGAGCGUAAUCUUAAUUUGCAUUUUUUCUUAAGAUUAUUAUGUCAGGUUUUUCAUAAUCAAGUGUUUCUUCUCAAAAUUCUCGAGGAAUCAAAAGGAAAUUGGUUCCAGAAGAAGAGGUUACGUUGGUUUCUUGUUUGGUCGACUUGUACAAUGUUGGAACCUAUAACACAUAUACGAGAUUCAAGGCUGGCUAUUUAAAUGAUUUGGAAAGAAUGCUAGAAAAAGUUUUACCUCAUGCUAUGUUGAAGGCUAAGCCUAAUUUUGAAUUGAGGAUUAGGACAUUGAAAAGGAAUUGAGUAAUCGUUUACGACAUGCUUAGUGGAAAAGACAAUAGCGUCUUUGGUUGGGACGAGGAUAGACAAAUGGUUGUUAUUGAAGAUGUUAUGUGGAACUCAUAUAUAAGUGUAAGAAUUAUUUCUUAUCUUUGUCGAAAUAAUUUUUUUGAAAACGGGAUCGACUUGGAUUUUGAAAAAUAAAACGAGUAUGGGAGUCGCCACCAAUCUUUCUUUGAUGAGGUGUGAUCGGACCACCUUGAAAAAUGGUCGUUUUUAAUAAACAAUUUGAUUUUAUCAAAACAACAGUUUUGGUCUACGAAAAUCAAAAAACGGGUUCGGGAGUCAGUUACGUACGAGGAAGGAUUAGCACCCUCGUAACGCCCAAGAUCGAAAUUUUUUUAGACAAAUACAUAUUUUUCUCAUUAAUCGAGAAAGAGAAUUACGUCCCGUAAGUUAGGAUGCAAUGCCCAAAAUUCUCGAUACAAGAAUGAAUGCCAAAAAAAUUUAUUUAAAAAAAAAGAUAUUCAAUUAUCUCGAGUUUUAGAAAAGACCAUGUUCCGUAAGUUAGAACACAAUCUUUUAUUAAUUCCCGAAAUUAUUUUAAAAAUGUUUGAAAAGAUUCGUGUAUUUGGAUUUAUCGAGAAAAUCGAAACCCCGUAAGUUAGGGUACGACUUUUCCGAAUCUCAAAAUACAAAAUGCUAUUCAUUUAAAACAAAUUUUGAUAUAUCGAGUAAAAUGAAAUACAGUGUCAAAAAAAAAUGUGAAAAUGGAUUAUAUAGUUGGCAUGCAAGACAAGCAAGAAUAUACGAUGACCAACAUGAACAACAAAGUGCGAGUAAAAAAACAAAUUAAAGAGAAACGGUAAACAAACGAGUUGAAUUAAAAUGCUUUUGAAAUUAAAUGGGCAUAAAGGCAGACAUUACACGAAACAAUGGAACAAUAAAAUAUAUCCAUAUGUAUAUACACAAAAUUAUAAAAAUAAGAAGAAUAUGUGCAUAUAUAUUAUGAAAUAUAAAAAUAUAUGUAAGAAUGUAUAUAUACAUAUAUAUAUGUAUGUAAAUUAAAAUAUGUACCUAUGUGUCUAUAUGUAUAUAAGAAUCAUGAAGUAUAAAAGAAUAGAUAAAAGCGUGUGUAUAUGUAUAAAUAUUUAUGACAAUCAAAGAAAAUAUUUGUAUAUACAUAUAUUAUAAAAAAUGUAUGCAUGUAUUUAUAUUUUGAAAUUAUAAAAUAUGUAAAAAAAACAUAUAAAGAUGAAAAACCGGAAAAUGUAUGCACGUAUAUAUGUUAAGAUAUAUGUAUAUAUAUUUAUAAAAUAAAAAUAAAAAAUGUAUAAGUAUGACAUAUAUAAGUAAAUUAUGAAAGUAUGUAUAUGUAUGUAUUAAAAUACGUGUAUAUAUAUAAGUACAUAUAUGUAUAUAAAAAAUGCAAAAUAUGCAAAAAAAAGUAUAUUCAUAAUAAUUUAAAAAAUGUAUGUGUAUAUAAUAUAGAGAACGUAUGUAUAUUUGUAUUUUAAAAAUAUAACAUGCAAAAGAUAAAUAUGUAUGUAUAUAUAUUAUGAAAUCUGGAAUUUAAAAAACAUAAAUACGUGGCAAUAUUAAUAAUAAAAAUAAUAAUAAUAAGAGUACAUAAAUGACAGAAGGACUAGUUUGAAAUCCAGGUAGAAAUUUAAGAGCCAAUUUGGAAUAAACACAAAUAUGCGAACCCCAUUGAACAUGCACAGAACAGAGAAGGAUCAAAAGGGAAAUUAAUCCCUGCCCCCUAAAACGCUGCGUUCCAAUAAGGAUCGAAGUGCGACAUGCAAGAAAUUAUGUGGCCUUAUUGAAAAAAUCACAGGGGAACCACAUUGCACAACAGAGAAAACACGGGGGACCAUUCGUGCAAAUAUCCCCCCAAAUGAAAACACGCGGAUCCUGAGAAAGCGAGUCGGGUUGCAUGCGGGUGGCCCUAUACGGCGUCGUUUUGGCACCGAGGGCACUAACCCAAAACAGCGCCAUCCUCAUUUAAUACUAAAAUCAAAAUUUUCCUUUAAAAAACAUUUCUAUUUAGUUUUCUUUAAAAAACAGAGGGGAGGGGGAAAAUUCUCUGCUAAGGUUUUGACCCUAGCACCUCCAUGCCGCCGCCGUCAUGCCCAUCGUGAAGCCACCACGAGCGGCGCUCGACACCAGGUAAAGCGCCUUUUCUUUUAUUAUUAUUAUUAUUAUUAUUAUUUUAAAAAGGUAUGAAACAAAGAUGAAAAAAAAACAAUAGAAGAAAAACUCGAAGUGAAAAGAAAAGAACAAACCCCCUUCAAACUGUUCUCUGAUUCUUUUUAAUAGUUUUUGGUAUCAUAUCCGUCCCCUUUUACAAAUUUCAUUUGGCUUUAUAUAGCCGAAUCCUUACAGAGAAAGAAAGAAAAAUAAUAAUAAUAUUUUCUUUUACAAUUUUGCUAUGUUUUCGAUUAUUCUCACUGUUCGCAGUUCGUGGUUCGCUGCAGGGAGAACGCGAUGGAGCGCGGGGCGACGUGCGCGACGUGCGGGAGCUGCUGCGGCGCCAGUUUGCUGCUGCGCUGAGGAAGGGAAGCUAGGGUUUCUUUUUGUUUUUUUUUGGUUCUAGGCUGAUAUGGGUUUGGGUAAAAUUGGAUAUUGGGCCUUAGUUAUUUGGGUUAAUUUUGGAUUGGUGUAAUCAGUAUUUGGGUUAAGUUAGUGGUUUUUGGGUUGGUCUUAUUUUGAGUGGGCCAGGCAAAAUAGGCUAUUACAGUCUUUAUUAUCUUAUUUUGACCAAGCUUAUAUCUAAUGUGGGUUCCUUUUAUUAUGACCAACUUAUUUCCAUAUAUGCAAAAGAUCGAGCCAUUGAGAAAGAUGCUCAAACAGUUGUUGAUAUUGUUGAAGAAAUAGAUGCUGAGGAUGUAGCUACUGCAAAUAAUCUUGAAGAAUGAAACAAUUAUCGUGGAUGUGAAGAUGAUGUUUUCUUGGAUGAGAUGGAUGUCUCGGCUACACAAUCGCAACCGUAGAAGCCAAACCAAGAUGGUUCUACAUAUUCAAAAAAGCAAAAAAAGAUUUCUGAUGGAAGUGAAUAAAUUUCUACUUCAAUUACUGAUGAUGCCAUGUUAUUGGGGGAAAACAUAUGGACUGUUGGCCUUGAAUUAAGUAGGAGCAUUGCCUCCGAGAAAGUGAUUCAAGAAAGUGCUCAAAAAUUAUAUCUCGCCUUAUGCAAAGUAGAAGGAUUAACUGAGGAUGAGCGUUAUCGUGCGUUGAGCAAAAUUCCUGACCAUCCAACGCAAAUGCUCAUUUUUUUCAGUCUACCUUUAGUGCAAUUGGAAUGGGUGAGAAAAUUUCUUUCUGACCAUUAAAAAUCAUGAUUGUGUUGGUGAUGUUUUGGUAACUUUUUGUAUAUGUAAUAUUUGGAUGGCAAGAAGCAAUUAGUAGAAUGCCACAAACUGUUGUAACUUUUUGGUGUUGUAAAAUUUAACAUACAGAUUAUAAUAUAUAAGCUAAUGACAUCAUGUAACUUUUUGCUAAUAUAUGAAUAUUAUGUUUGGAUGUAAAAUAUAAUUCUCGAGCUAUUUAUUAAUUCUAAUAUUUUUUCUUUUUAGUUUAGAAGAUAAUUAAAUUAUUUAUUUCGCUAAUGAUAUUUUAGUACAUUAAAUAUGCAUUGUAGUUUAAAAAUUAUAAAGUAAGUUAUUUAUUAAUUCAUAUUUUAAUAAUAAUUAUAUUAAGAAUGUUAUUAAAUUAUAUAUUAUUUUAUUAAAUUGUAUUUAAUAAAAUUAUGUUAAAAUAUGAUUAAAUUAUUUAUUAUUAUUAAAUUAUAUUUAAUGAUAUUCUUAUUAAAAUUUAAUAAUAAUAACAACAAUCAUCUACUUAAAAAAAAAUUCUGUUAAGGGUACUUUGAUCAUUUAAAUAUUUUCCUUUAUACUAUUAAAACAUUUAUUCCAUUCAUCUAAACAUAAUAAUAUUAUUACAGCUCUAUUUCAUUCUAUUCAACCAAACAACUGAAUUACUAAGUACAGCUCUAUUCCAUUACAACCGUAUUCCAUCCCUCUAACGUGUUGUAAGGGAAUUUUACAAAUGUUUGUUAUCACCCAAAUCAGCUACUGCCAGUUCCGUUGCAUCAAGCUGCAAUUUUGGCCCAAGUAAAUUACCUACAGAAUUUUCCUUUGGGUUUUUUUAUCGAUUGCAACCCAGCAGAGGAAAAGAAAGGUCCAGCCAUAAUUUUAAAUGGCCCACUACUUUUGUUCUGCCUCUGGGCCAACGCCUUAGCUACCUGCCCAACAGACCUCAAGCCCAAAUCUGUUCCAUCAUUUGAAUCCAGCACAUGUCCGUUAACCCCUGUAGACCGAACCUCCCCCAACUUGGGCUUACGGCUUGCACCAUUUGUGAGUGGACAAGGGCCUUCACCAACCUUGUUUUUGCACGAGUGUUCCUUACUUUUUUCAAUGACCACUGCAUAUCUGGAGCCCACAUCUAAAAUUCCAAUGCCCCAUAUUAACAGCUAUACCAUUCUCUAGACUUUCAUUAUUUUCCACGAAAUUUGCGCAGACAGAUUUUCCUUUCCUUUUGAAUUUCCACCUUUAACCACCGAAAUCAUCUCAACCCUAUCAUCUGUCCUCAAUUCCUGAUUUUCCAAUCCCUUCAAUGCCGAAAAUAUUGAUCCCAAAAUUUCCUUUUCUGUGUCACCCUCCCUCUGAUUUUGCAGAUUCCUCAGUCCUCGCUUGAAUUUUUGCUCCACCACCAUCCAAGGUCCGAAUGCCAGUCCCUCACCACCAGUCGUCGAUUCCGUUACCUCCGAAAAACCACUUAUUUUCCCGGUCUCAUUUCCUUUACCAGUCGCCGGUGAAGCACACAACUUCUUCAGAUGGCCAUAUUUACCACAGGAAAAGCAAAUGGUAGGUAGAGCCUCGUAUUCGACCCGUUGUAGUUCUCCAUUUACCAGCACUUGAGAAACCAAGGGUUUGUCAAGAUCAACAAACACAGCCAUUCUCGCAAACCGACCCCUGGUUUUGCUAUCCGUAUUGAAGUCGAGUUUGACCACUUUUCCCACCAACUCUCCAAUUACUUCUAAAAUUCUUCUUUUAUACAUGAAUCCUGGGAGCCCCGAUAGCCUGAUUCACGCCAACACCAUACUCGGGUAAGGUUUCUUGGGAUUAAAAGAUUUUUUCCAUGGGCGAACAGUAAGGUAUUGGCCAUAAAUGGUCCAUGGUUCUUGCGUAAGGGCUGUGUUGUAAUCCUCGACACACUGAAGUUUAGCCAGAAAGUAUCCGUUCACAUUAUCCAUCAGAUGGAACGGUUUUGAUGGGCGCCAUAAACUGUUGGUCCAAUUGUACAAGGCGUCAUAACCAAUAUUACGGCCCAACAACUUCAGAACCACCAUAGUUUCCAUAUCCUUGAACAAGAUCUGUUGGAUACAAUCUGAAAAUUCUAUAGCCGGAAUACUAUUGAAAAUAGUUUUUUUAACAUCGCCUUCUAGGAAUUCAAAAUCUUCAGUGCAUUCGGUCAUCAGUCGACCGGGAUUCAGUGACCGGAGCAGUUUCCAGAGAAGAAGCCAUCUUGACCGAUAUCAUUUUCAAUAUAUAUUAUUAAACAUCAUCAAUAUUGUUUUUAUCCUUUUAUUACCACUUAAUUAGUGUAAGAGUUUUAUACAAUUUAAAAUCUAAGUUUAAAUCUAUAAAUAACAUUUAUUAGUAGCAUUUAAGAAAAAUUAUUAGUAUAAAGAAAGAAAAUGGUUAGCAUUAAUAAGUUCAAAGGAUCUCAAAAAGAAAUAUUCAAAUGACAUAUUAAUGGCACUGGAGAGCACCAGAAAGAUAUGUAAGAUUAUUUUAUCACCUAAUUAUCUUAGAUUUUUGGGUGUUUCUAUUCUUACAUUAGCCAGCUGGUGACCAAAAGAAAUAAUUGAAUAAUUGGGUGAUCAUUUUGUAACUUUUCAUAGUUAGAUGAUCUAAAAAGAAAUGUACUAUUAGUUAAGUGGCUACUAGUGUAGUUUGUCCUAUAAUUAAUUGUGCAUGCAAUAUAUAAAUAUAAGAUGAUGUUAUAUGGAUAAUUGUAUUAAUAGUUUACAAGAAUUGAAUCAAAUCAAAAUUUUAUGCAUAAAUUUGCUCAAAGUCAAAGCUCUUAUAUAAUAUUGCACAUUAAACCAAAAUUUGUGUAAUGUUGAAAUUUAUCACAUACAAUAAUUCUUACUUUGUCAAAACAACAUAAAUGUAUAGGGUAAACUACAUAGAUUAUAAAAAAAAUCCUCAUUUUAGGCAUCCAAAAUAUUACAAUUUAAGCACCCACGUUACAUGCUUCAUUCAUUUUGGUCACUCUCAUUAAAAGUUCUAACAAAAAUCUAACAUGGCAUUUUUUUUGACAAGUGGAUCAAUCAUUGGAUGCCACAUGGUACAAUUUACCAUUGCAUACCACUUUAAACUUGAAAGGACUAAAAUAUAAUUUCCCCAAUACUAAUUAUUAACCAAAUGAAUAAAUUAGUAUUGAGUAAAUUAUAUUUUAGUCCAUUGAAGUUUAAAGUGGUAUGCAAUUGUAAAUUGUGCCAUGUAGACAUCUAAUGAUUGAUCCGCGUGUCAAAAGAAAAUGUCAUGUAAGAUUUUUGUUAGAGUUGUUAACGAGAUUGAUCAAAAUGAAUAAAUUAUUUAAUGUGAAUGUUUAAAUUGCAAACAUUUUUAUUUUUAGUGUUUAAAAUGAAACUUUUUUAAUAUUUGAGUGACUAUCUAUCUAAAUUACCCGAAUAUAUAUCCCAUAUAAGUGAUAGCGUAUCAAAGUACAACAAAUUACAAACAAAAAGAAAGUACAAGAAAUAAUGGGAUUUGGGAAACUCCCAUUCAUACAGACAAAUAUAUGUGGUGAAAAAAAAGAACAUACAAUACUCAAAAUCAAGAGACAAAGACGACUAAAAACACAUUCAAACAAAUCCAGUAUGCGGCAGAUAAACCAAAGGGUAUUUCAAGGAGUAGAAGGAGAAGGUGGUGGAGAAAGGAAAGGAACAGAGGGGAUUGCAGUUGGGAUUGAGGGCAUGCUUGGCAGAGGAGGCAGUGUGGCCCUUGGUACACUUGGCAAUGUGGGCAACCCUGGCAUUGUAGGAAGUGGAGGAAGCGCCCCAGGCCUUGGCAAUGCUGGUUUGGAUGGCUGUGGGAGAUUAGGGAUAGAUGGAAGUGGGGGGAGUGUGGUUGUAGGCAAAGUUGGCAUUGGAGGCAAUUGAGGCAGCUGCAGAAGGUGACGAGCUGCUAACCCAACAUCAGUGCUUGCAAAUGACAAAGCCAUCACGAAUGCUAAAGCAAAGCAAUUGAAAGAUGCCAUUUUUCUAGAGAUGUGAGUCCAAUUAAGCAGACGAAAGAAAGCUCUGGUUUUGAUAGUUGUGGAGUGAGGGAGAGAAAGCAUGGUGUUGGGGUUUAUAUAGGUCAUGGAUCAGUGGAGUUGGUAAUGUUUGAUCAUGUAUGGUUGGAAUGGAGAAAACAUAGUCGAUAUUAAAGGAUUUGGUAGGUCAACUUCCCAUGGGUAUUGGAGUUUAAAACAGGUGAAAUGCUGUUGUGGUUGGCAUAGAAGCUUCAUCCAGCCACUUAAUUAAACAGUAUACUUAAACAAUCCUCCAGGUUAGCAAAGUUAUUGCUAGUUGGCCAGAUAUCUAACAGAAUUAGGAUUUGUUUACUUAACAUGUCAGGUAUGAUACUAGUAUUUCCAAUGCUGAGUUGAGUGGGCUUUAACAUACCUUCAUAUAGAUUUAUUAAUUUUGACUUGAAGUUGAAAUGAUUCAAUCAAGUAUUUUGAAAUGACAAAUAAAUAACUCAAAAUGACCUAAAUUUGAAGUAACUAAGAUAUGAAAUAAUCAAAACCCAUAAUGACUCAGCCAAAAAACUCGAGCCUCAAACCCAAAUUAAAUUAAAUCAAAAUCAAAAUUUAUUAUAUACAAUUGCACAAAAUUAACAUAAUUUAAGUGUCAUAGUGCACAUAAAAUUAAAAUUUAUGUUUGACAUUAUAAAUUGAGGCAAUAUUCAUGCUUAAAAUUUUGAGAUUUAUUCCCUUAAUUAAAGUAAUAUGUCAAAUAGAAUACUUGAACAAUCCUCCAUGUUGGCAAAGUUUAUGUAAAUUAGAAGCGAACUAAAUAAUUAGAAUAAAUCUAAAGCAUGGCUUACAUAUAAUUUAUCCACAAUCUGAUUUAAACUUUGGUCUUCAAGAUUUCAUGGUCUCAAUUUAUGUCUUAAAAUUUUAACAUCAUUUUAGGUUUGUUAAAAAGUCAAAAGUUUAGAAAAUUAAAAUUGUUGCUUGAGGCGUGAAUAUACCUAUUCCUAAGGAUAUUCGCGGAUUUACUACCUCUCAGAAUUUAGUUGGUAUCAUGUGCAAAGAAAUAAAUGGCAAAAUUUACCCAUUUAAAUGGAAUUGAGCUAUUAAGCUCAAGCCUCAUGUGCGCAUACAUAUUUUCUUAUUUUGAGUCUUACAAGUUUAUAGUAAACCAAAUCUAUAUAAACAUCAUUUAAUAGGUAUAUCUAAAAUAUGUGUAAUGUGUAAUUCUUUAAAAUACAUGAAAACUUUCAAUAUGGUUUAGGUCAUUUUCGGAUUUGUCUUAUUUUAGGUUCAAAUCAUUCGAAUUUGAGGCUAAGUUUUUCAUGUCUAAUCAUUAUUGAUCUGAAUCAUUUUAAAUUUUGAUCAUUUUAAGUUCGAGUUAUUUUGUGAUCAAAUCAUUUCAAGUUUAGAUAAAUUAGGGUCAAUUCGAAUUUGAUUUAAUUACGUAGUUAAUUUUUUUAUAAUAAAUUAAGUUGAAUGAAAUUUGGAUUGAAAUUUAUUUAGUGUGCUUUUGUGCUUAAGUCGAAAUUUAAAUAUCUACCUCUGAAAUAAAUAUGUUAAGACAAUUUUAUUUUAAAAACAAUAAUACCACAGAGUUGAUUUGAGAGAUAAGUAUGUUAAUUUUUUAAUCUCAACCCAAAAAAUAAAAUAUACGCUUAAGCCGUUCCAUCCCAAAAUUUUACAUAAUUCUUUUAUGUCAUAUUAAAUAUAUGUAACGUCCUAUAAAAAUUGUCAAUAAAUUAUGCCUAGCGACAACAUUAUUCAAAUCUAAUUUCAUUGUUAAUACCUAUUUCUAUUUUUCUUCUACUGUCUUCAACUUUAAAUAUAAAGGGAUUGAAAUUUUAAGAAUUGAGAUUUCUUUUCUUUGUAUUUGUGGACGUUUGAUUUUUUAUUUGAUUUUAUUUUCCUUGAAAUUGAUAGAUAUCUUUUCAGAUUUAUCAAUAUUUUUUAAAAUUAUUUAAGAUAUGUAUAUAAAUAUAUUACAAAUAUAAAAUGAAUGAAACUAAAUACAUUUCAAAUAUAAAAUAUUCAUUAAUAAACUUAACAAAUAAAAAUUUAUCAUUCAAAGAAAUCCAAAAUUAUUAAUAAUAAUCCAUCAUUUAAUAUGAAAUUCUAAAGAUUUAGCUCAUUUACUUAAUAAAAGAAGGUGAAAGGUGGACAAAUUUUUUUUGAUAAUUGGGUGAAUGAUUUUUUCUUAAUUAUAUUUUGAAUGUGAAAGUAUAUUCCAUUUUUUAAAAAACUUUACAUUCCGAUGUAGCAUUUUUAAUUAGUCACGUUUCAAUUAAGUUCUUAGCAUAAUAGUAAAUAAUUAAAAGUUUUAUAUUUUUAAUAUUAUUCAUGCAUAGGACAGUGCACUAUGUUCUGGUAGGUGUGACUGGAAUUGACCGGAAUGAGUUGGUGCAACUGGUACGGACCGAAAUUUUCACCAGUGUAGAAAAAGGGUGUUGAGUGUUUUGCAAUGUUAUUGAAAUCAGACCAAACAGACCGAGAACCAAUGAACCCGAGAACUAGAGUAAACUGCAGUUAAAUUGCAAAUCGUUAGCCAAUUAAGUUGUAUUUUUACAUUUCUAGAUUGGAAAAAUAGAAAUUUCACUUCAAAUCCCUUGAGCUUUUGUUACACUUUAUCUCAGCAUUCAAUGGAAUAUAACACAACAUAAAAAAAUAACUACCAUUUCUUUUCUUACUUUUUCUACUAAAAUAAGUUUUUUUUUUCUGGUAAAAAACCUAAGAUGGACUUAUAACAUUCUAUCAAGGUGGGUUUUAAGGUUUAGGGUUUUUAAUAAUUAAUAUUAUUUUAUAUUGUUGAAUAGUAAAUUAAUUGUAUUUGUGGUUGAAUCUAUUAGAUCGAGAAUUAAUGAUUUGAUUGAUUUGAUUAUUAAUUUAAUUUUAAAAAUAUUAAUAUUUUGGUAUAAAAUUAAAACAGUGCACACAAAUUAGUAUAAUCGAAACCGACCACCCUAAUUUAGUACAUAAUUUGACAUUCAUAUAAAAUAUUAUCUCGGAAAUAUAUUGAAAGAGGGAAAGUAAUCGUAUGUAAAUGGAUAACUUGGAACAGAUAAUGAAGCAGGAAUCAUUAUAUCAGCAGUGUCAUCUUCUCGAUGUAUGGCUGCUCACUGUCUUGACUGCAUUUAUCAAUUGAUUCUUUUCUUAAUUAGCCAAACUCAUGUUAAAAAUGGUAUAACAGUAAUUAAUUAUUUCAUGGACAGAACAUCAAUAUAUAAAUACCCCAUAUAUAAUAAGCAACAACGUAUCAAAGUACACCAAAUAAUGGGAAUUGGAGAACUCCCAUUUAUACAAACAAAUAUAAGUAGGCAAAAUCAAUACUCAUAAUAAAGACACAAAGAUGACUAAAAACCUUAUUAAACCAGAUCCAGUAUGCAGCAGAUAAAAAAAGGGGGUAUUUCGAGGAGUAGAACGAGAACAUGGUGGAGAAAAGAAAGGAAUAGGGGGAAUUGCAGUUGGGAUUGUAGGGACUUAAGGAAUGCUUGGUAGAGGGGGCAGUCCUCUUGGCAAUGUGGUAGGAAGUGGAGGAAGCGCCCUAGGGUUUGGGAGAUUAGGGAAAGAUGGCAAUGGUGGAGAAGAGAAAGGAAUAGGGGGAAUUGUAGUUGGGAUUAUGGGGACUGAGGGAAAGUUUGGCAGAAGGGGCAGUCCUGUUGGCAAUGUGGUAGGAAGUGGAGGAAGCGCCCCAGGCCAUGGGAAUGAUGGUCGGGAUGGCGUUGGGAGAUUAGGGAAAGAUGACAAACUUUGCGUUUGAGGCUGCUGUAGAAGGUGAUGAGUUGCUACCCCAACAUCAAUGCUUGCAAAUGACAAAGCCAUCAAUAAUGCUAAAGCAAAGCAAUUGAAAAAGGCCAUUUUUGUUCAGAGAUUUCGAAACAAAUGAAGCAAAUGAAACAAAGUUCUUUAUCUGAAUAGUUGUUAGUGAGGAAAACAAAGCAUGGUAUUGAGGUUUAUAUAGGCAUUGGAGCAGUGAAUAAAAAUCCCCUGCCCCUAAACAAUGCCCCAUUCAUGCCCCCAAAACAAAAUAGCGCCACGUGUUUUUUUUUGUAGUUUAUUUUUUAAAUAAAAAUUUAUAAUGAUUAUUAAUUUUUAACUUAUUAUCAACGUUUUUGUUUUAUUUUUAUUUUCUAUUAAUUUUACCUAUUUUUUAGUUAACAAAUUUAUAAUGACUUAGAGUUAAUUUAACAGAGUUUUUUAUAAUCGUUCUUAUAAUAAAAUUUUACAAGGUGGGAAUAAGUCCCACAAUGAUAAAAUGAUCCUUAAAUUUUGGGUGGUGGCAUGCCUUUAGUCAAAGGAUCAGCUAACAUCUGCUCAGUGUUAAUGUGCUUAAUUACAACUUUCUUUUCUUUAACAUGUUCCCCUAUUCCUAGAUACUUAAUGUCGAUAUGUUUACUUUGACUUUCACUUUUGUCGUUCUUAGCCAUAAAGACAGCAGUUGAAUUGUCACAAUAUACCAUAAAUGGCCUAGAAAUCGAAUUCACAAGUCUAAGCCCAAAAAUGAAACUCUUCAACUAUACUCCAUGUGAGGUAGCCUCAAAACAUGAAAUGAACUCAGCCUCUAUAGUGGAAGUAGCAGUUAAUGUCUACUUGACGCUCUUCCAAGAUAUCUUCUGUUGGAAAAUAAUUAUUGAGUGAUGAAUGAUAAUUGUAUCUCUUGGUUUAAUAUUGCAUUUUUCCAUACAGUUGUAUCUUUUGAAAAAAAUGUAUCUCUUGGUUUAAUAUUGAAUUUUUUCAUUCAUUGUCUCUAUUCACUCAUGUCUAUUGAUUUUUCAACAAAUCUUUUCAUUCAUUUUCUCUCCUCUAUAUAAAGCCAAGUUAGGAGAUUUCAAAAACAUAUAAUCAAAACUAUCAAUAUCAAAAAGUUCUUCUAAAUUCAUUUCUCCUGGUAAUAGAGAAAUGCAAGAUUGUGUUCAAUUAAUCACUGUUGUUGUGCUACUACUGUGAUUGUUUGUUGUUGUAUCCUGGGUUACAGACGUCCAACAUUACUCAAAGCACUGAGGAGAGGACGAAUUUGUCUUAAGGAAAUUGUUUAUACAGGACUUGACAAAAUUCUUCUUCUAAAUUUUAACUUUGUCCGAUUACAAGUAUUCUGUUGUGUUACUACUACUGCAUUGUAUUGCAUUAUCAUUGUUAUUGACAUAUUAAUACUACAUAUGAUAUCAAAAUUUUUACAUUCUUAAGACAUUAAUUGUUGUAGUUUUAAUCUAAGGCAUACAGAUUGCCAUCAUAACUUAUUUAAGAUUGGUUUAUACUUUUGUUUCAGAUUUUAAUUUAUUUAAAGAUUCUGGUUUUUUAUUCCGAUUACGGAAAUGUCUCAUACAUCAAACAACUCAUCCAAUUCAAAGGCUGAGGCGAUUGUCACUGCUCAGGCUCAGGCUACAAGCCAAACGUUACCUGUGACUAUGAGUCACAAUGAAAAGACUACGAAAUUAACUGGAGAGAAUUUUAAAACAUGGCAACAGAAAAUGUUGUUCUAUUUGACCAUGUUGAAUAUGGAAAAAAUUCUGAAGGAUGACACUCUUAUUUUUAGAGAGGAUGAGGAAUAUGCUAUUACCGUCUUCAACAUUUUCGAAGCAUGGAACAACUUUGAUUUCCUAUGUCGUAACUACAUUUUAAAGAAUUUAUCUGAUGAACUUUAUGAAGUAUAUAGUAUUAAGAAAACGUCUAAGGAAUUAUGGGAAUCGCUGGACCAUAUAUACAAAAUUGAAGAUGCUAGUGCUUAGAAAUUCUUAGUUUUCAAGUUUUUAAACUUUGUAAUGGUUGAUUCUACAGUUGUUGUAAAUUAGGUGCAGGAAUUCCAACUAAUCAUUCAUGGUAUUCUGGCAGAAGGGAUGGAGAUAAGUGAACCUUUUAGGUGGCAGCCGUUAUUGAAAAACUUCCCCUUGUAUGGAAUGACUUUAAGAACCAUCUUAAGUAUAAGAGAAAGGAAAUGAUGGUGGAAGAUCUGAUUGUCAGACUUCUAAUUGAAAAUGAUAAUCGAGGUGCGACUAAAAGGCUAAACAAAGCAACCAAUCCUAACCUUGCCAAGGCAAACGUAGUAGAAGCCAAGAAGGACUCCAAGAAAAGAAAACAUUCUCAGACUAGGUCUAAACUAGGACCAAAAUGCAGUGUUUUCAAGAGCCAAAAUUACAAGGAAAAUGCUUUAAUUGCAAUAAGAUGAGACACAAGUCAUCCGAUUGUAGGCUUCCAAAGAGGGUCAGAAUAAACGAGGCCAACGCUGUGGAAAAUAUUUCUAAGGAAGUAUUUGAUCUUGACCUCUGCGCUGCAAUUUCUAAAGUCAACUUGGUUGAUUCAAGUCCAAGAGAAUGGUGGCUUGAUAUUGGUGCCACAUGUCAUAUUUGCUGUAACAAGGACUCCUUUGUUGAGUUGGUUCCUUGUGAGAAAGGGGAGAAACUCUAUAUGGGCAAUGCUGCAACUUCCAAGAUUAAAGGUAAAGGUAUUGUGAUUUUGAAGUUGGCUUCUGGCAAAAAGUUGAAACUUCAAAAUGUGUUGUAUGUGCCUGACAUACGCAAGAAUCUUAUCUCUGGGACCCUUCUAAGUAUACAUGGCUUUAGGAUGAUAUUUAAAUCCUAGAAGUUAGUUUUGUCAAAAGGGGGAACAUUUGUGGGAAGGGGAUAUGUAUUAAAUGAUAUGUGGAAACUCAAUGCUACCUCUGUAAAAGCUAAUACUAUGAAUAAGAAUAAUGCUUCUUCUUCUAUUUAUAUGCUUAAGUCAUUUGAUUUAUGGCAUGGUCAGCUUGGACAUCUUAAUUAUAAUACUUUAUGUAGAUUAAUUAACUUAGAGCACUUUCCUUCAUUUCACAUUAAUUAUAAUCAUAAAUGUGAAAAGUGUGUUGAGGCAAAACUAACAAGGUCUUCAUUUCAAUCUGUUGAAAGACAUACUGAAUCACUUGAUCUAAUACAUAGUGAUAUUUGUGACUUAGAAGUUUAUUCAAACUAGAGGAGGGAAAUGUAUAUUUGCUUAAAAGAAAAGAUGAAGCUAUAGAGAAAUUUGUUCUCUAUAAGCAAGAAGUUGAAACCCAACUUAAUAAAAGAAUUAAGAGGGUGAGAAGUGACCGUAGUGGUGAAUAUGUUGAACCAUUUGGUAAAUUUUGUGCAGAACAUGGUAUUAUUCAUGAAGUGACACACUAUACUCUCUCUGAUCCAAUGGAGUAGCAGAUCGUAAAUCGAACCCUAAAGGAAAUGAUGAACGUAAUGCUAGGAAGUUCUGGGCUGUCACAAAACAUGUGGGGGAAAGCUUUUUAUAAGCGAACUACCUUUUAAAUAAUGUGCCUUGUAAGAAAAAGAAGAAAACACCAUAUGAAUUAUGGAAGGGCAAGAAACCUUCCUACAACUACUUGAAAGUGUAGGGGUGUCUUGCAAAGGUAAUGGUUCAUUUGCCGAAGUAAAUGAAAAUAGGUCCUAAAAUGGUAGAUUAUAUUUUCAUUGGUUAUACACACCACCACAAUGCAUAUCAGUUUGUUGUACAUGAAUCAAAGAAUCCUAAAAUUUACAAGAAAAAGAUAUUAGAAUCUAAAAAUACCUCAUUCUUUGACAAUAUAUUCCCUUGUAAAAACUAGGGAAGAUGGGUCAAGUUCAACAAAAUGAACUUCAGAAACUAUUGAUAGUUAAGACUUUCAACAAGAAGUUGAAGUCAAGGUAGAACCAAGAAUAAGUAAAAAGGAAAGGGUGGAAAAGUCCUUGGGAUCAGAUUUUCUAACCUAUAUGCUAGAAACUGAACCUCAAACUUAUAGUGAAGCUAUAUGCUCAUCUAAAAACAUUUUUUGGGAAGAUGCUAUCAAUAGUGAAAUUGAUUCCGUCAUGAAAAAUCAUACGUGGGAAUUAGUGGAUCUACUUUAGGGAAUUAAACCACUAAAUUCUAAAUGGGUUUUCAAAUGAAAAAUGAAAGCAUAUGGAACAAUUGAUAAGUACAAGGCCAAAUUGGUUAUAAAAGGUUAUAAACAAAAUGAAGGCAUUGAUUACUUUGAUACAUUUUCUCCUGUAUCAAGAAUAACUUCUAUAAGGGUGAUAUUUGAUAUUGCCACUUUGCGGAAUCUAGAAGUUCAUCAAAUGGAUGUUAAGACAACUUUUCUAAAUGGAGAUCUCGAUGAGGAGAUUUACAUGAAACAACCUAAGAGUCUUGUAGCUCUAGGACAAGAAAGAAAAGUCUGUAGAUCGGUAAAAUCUUUGUAUGGACUUAAGCAAGCACCAAAGCAGUGGCAUGAAAAGUUUGACAGUGUCAUGAUAUCAAAUGGAUUUAAAAUUAAUGAGUGUAACAAAUGUGUAUGUCAAAACCACUGUUGAUGGAUAUGUAAUUCUAUGUUUAUAUGUUGAUGACAUACUCAUUGUUGGAAGUAACAAUAAAAUGGUAAAACGUACCAAAAACUUGUUAAAUUCAAGAUUUGAUAUAAAAGAUAUGGGACUUGCUGACGUGAUAUUGGGUACCCAAGUCAAAAGGUCAUCUGAAGGUCUCAUAUUGACUCAAUCACACUACAUAGACAAGAUUCUUGAUAAAUUUGGCAAGGAUGAUUUUGGUGUUGCCAGACUCCGAUAGAUAUAAAUCAACAUCUAUCCCAAAACAAAGGUGAAAUUAUUGACCAAGUAGAAUAUGCAAGAGUCAAAGACAGUCUAAUGUACCUUAUAAGUUGCACUAGACUUGAUAUUGCUUUCACUGUAAGCAACUUAAGUAGAUUCACAAGCAAUCCAGGAGAGAACCACUGGAAAGCGAUUGUGAAGGUGUUGAUAUAUCUUAGAUAUACUUAGAACUACAGAUUAUAUUAUUCCAGAGAUCCUGCUGUGUUAGAAGGAUUCUCCAGUGCCAGUUGGAUAUCUAAUAUUCAAGAUGCCAAAGGCACAAGUGGCUAUAUUUUCACAUUAGAAGGAGGAGCUGUGUCAUGGAAAUCCUCAAGGAAAACAAUUAUAACAAGAUCCAUAAUGGAAUUUGAGUUUGUAGCUCUAGACAAAUCUAGAGAAGAGGCAAAAUGACUACGAAAAUUUUUAGAGGAUAUUUCUAAAUGGCCAAGGCUUGUGCCCACAAUAUGCAUAUAUUGUGAUAACCAAGCAACAAUUGGUAGAUCACAGAAUGUAAUGUAUAAUGGUAAGUCGAGACACAUGCGUCGUCGACACAAUACCAUUAGACAAUUAAUCUCAACUAGAGUUAUCUCUAUUGAUUUUGUAAGAUCAAAAGAUAACACUGCUGAUUUGUUAACCAAAAGGGUAAACUGAGAUCAAGUUGAUAAAACAUCGAAAGGAAUGAGACUAAAGCCUAUGAAUAUUUAAGGCGCUAUGUGAAGGAAAACCUAACCUAGUUGACUGGAGAUCCCAAGAUCUAGGUUCAAUAGGACAACCUACUUGCAUAGACCUUGUGAGGUCACUGUGGGGGUUCUUAUCUUGAGUUCAUUCCUAUGAUGAAAAUAAUGAUUAAAAUAUGGAAAAGGUUAACCAAUGCUUUUAAUGACCAUUGUUUGUUUCAGUGAAACAUACAACAUAAGUCACCUAUGUGAGAGUGAAGUGAAUUCGCUUUAAGGAGACUAUUGGGGCAUAAUUCUCUAAGCUCUUGUAGAACCAGGAGGAUGUUCACGGCUAUAUGAACAUUCCCAUGAGAACCAAAAAUGUUACCAGGGAGGUAUUUGUGUGAAGAACAUUAUCGUUUACACAAACGGCAAAACAGUUCAAGGACAUCGCGUCUACUGGUUAGCUGGUAAAGUAAAUAUACUUUUACAAGGGAAGGUUCAAAGGUUGAUGCUUACCUAUCCUAUGCAAAUAUCGAACGUAGAAUCUAUUACCUCUUUGAGUCUUGUUGAUCCAUCAACUUCAUUUAUGUGGGGGAUUGUUGGAAAAUAAUUAUUGAGUGAUGAAUGAAAAUUAUUGAGUGAUAAUGAUAAUUGUAUCUCUUGGUUUCUUAUUGCAUUUUUCCAUAUAGUUGUAUCAUUUGAAAAAAUGUAUCUCUUGGUUUAAUAUUGAAUUUUUUCAUUCAUUGUCUCUAUUCACUCAUGUAUAUUAAUUUUUCAACAAAUCUCUUCAUUCAUUUCCUCUCCUCUAUAUAAAGCCAAGUUAGGAGAUUUCAAAAACAUAUCAUCAAAACUAUCAAUAUUAAAAUUUCCUUCUAAAUUCAUUUCUCCUGGUAAUAGGGAAAGGCAAUAUUGUGUUCGAUUGAUCACUAUUAUUGGGCUACUACUGUGAUCAUUUGUUGUUGCAUCCUGGGAGACAUACAUCCAACGUUACUCAAAGCACUGAGGAGAGGAUGAAUUUGUCUUAAAAAACUAUUUAUACAGGCCUCGACAAAUUUUUUCUUCUAAUUUUUAACUUUGUCCGAUUACAGGUAUUUUGUUGUGUUACUGCAACUGCAUUGUAUUGCAUUAUCAUUGUUAUUGACAUAUUAAUACUACAUAUGAUAUGAAAUUUUCUUACAUAGCUCCGCCAGCAAACAUAAAUAUAUAACCUGAUGUUUAUUUACAUGAAUCAACACAACUAGAAAACUCUAAAUUGGAGUAGACAAUCACCUCCAAAUUGUCUUAUUGUUUGUACGUAAGUAUGUAGUCCUUUGUCCCUUUAAAACAUCUCAAAAAUUUUUUGUAUCUCUCUAGUGGCCAAUACCUGGAUUACUCUGAUAUCUUCCUGUCGAGACUAUAGAGUAGAAUAUUAAAAAAAUGGCUUGAUUUUCCAUUGAUUAAGAAGGAAUAUAUAUACACAAAUUGGGCAACAUAUAUAGGAACUAUUCUAAAUUUAGGGGAUUGCAACUAAUUACAAUAUAGAGAAAAUCUUUGGGAAUUAAUUCUCUAAUAUGCCCCCUCAUGAUAUAGCUCCGGAGGAGACACCAAUCUUGACCUUUAAUUCUUGGAAGUGUUUUUGUGCAAGAGGUUUGGUAAAAGCAUCAACAAGUUGAUCUUUUUAAGAUUCUAUAGAGAAAAGGAUAGAGCAAGUUUUCUGGUUCCAUUCUGAACAAGAGCAUUAAAGUCAUCAAUCAUAGCUUGUGUUUGAGAUCUUUUAAGGCUUGGUUAACAGUAUGAGGCUCAACGUUUGAUCAUUGAGGAAGGAUAGUAGUGAGAGUCAUAUUAGUUAGGGGCUUGUGGAUGUUGUUUUUUGCUCUAGUGGUCACGUGAUAAGUAUUUUUGAUGGGUGAGUUGAGUUGUGGUUGAAGUAGAUUUAGUUUUAGAAUUGUGUGGUUCAAGCUAUAAACUUUUAAUUAAACUAUGUCCAAGUAAGAGAGAUUUGAGGACUGGGGUGAGCAAUCGAUUGGUAAGGGGGUUGGGAAACCGUUUGGGCAUGUAGUGAUGAAUGUUGACAUGAGGAAUCCUUUUGUGGAGAUGUAUUGAGUGAGCUACGUGAAAUGGGGAGAAUUUGGAUUAAGGGAAGCCAUUUGGAAAUAAUCUCUGGAGUGUUACAAGAUAGAUGGGACUGGUGAGUAGUAAAGGGAAAGGAGUUUUCAAGAAAUUUGACAUGAUGAGAAAUAUAUGUUUUAGAAGUGGGCAGGUUAAGACAGAUAUAGACACUUUGUGUGGAAGAGUAACCAAGAGAAACACAAGGUAUGGAACGAGAGUUAAGUUUAUGUUGAGAAUAAGGAUGAAGCCACAGAUAACAUAAGCAACCGAACACCCAAAGUUUAGUGUAGUUGGGUGGAGACCCAAAGAUUUUUUCAAAAUGAGAUAAAAUAUGUAGUGUGAGUGUGGGUAUACGGUUGAUGAGUGACUUGUAGCCAAAUGUAGUAGUUAAUUCGGUUAUUUUUGCACUUAAGGAGGUUGUUUCUUAGGCAAUUUAGUAUUUCAUAUCAUGUUUUCGGUAUUGAGCACUUAGGAUUAAAUAUUAGUAAAAUAAGUGUUUUAGACACAUUUUGUGAGUGUUGUGACCUAUUAGGCUGACACGGGCCUUAGGUAGUGGUAAUAUGUUAAAUUGAGUGUGUAGGAUUGAUCUGUUGUAAUUUGGUGUAGUAGAUUAAACUAGUUUUAAUACUUAAGGAGCUUAAAUAUGAAAAUUUUCAUUAUGUUUUAGUUAGUUUUCUUAUUGUAGUUUGAAUUCAAUAAAAAGUGUAAAAUGAGUCUUUUUAUGACCUUUGGGGUUGAAUGAGACCUAAAGGUGAGCUAACGUACUUAGUGAGUGUGUAGGACACCAUUAAAAGGAAUAGGAACUUAAGGUUGGUCACUGUGUUGCAACAUGGGAAAUUCAAUGUCGCAACAUAGGGAGCAGAAUACAAGAAUUACAAGACUGCCUUUGGUGUCACAACACAGCCAUAGGAUGUCACGACACGCCCCUGAAUCCAAACUUGAACUAGAGUACACUGCCUUCAAUGUCACGGCACAGGCACUGAGUGUCACAACACCGACUUUGCAUGAGAAGAAUUAAGAGCGAGGGUCAUUUUAGUCCGCACAAUGAAAAUUAACACAAAAACGUCAGCCAACCUAGGAUUAAUGACGAUGACAGAUCCUAACUCUAUAAAUAGGCUCAGUUAACACUUGUUUAGGGACAAUUUUUACAGUUUAGAAUUAUCUUUGUAAUUUUAGUUUUAGUUUUCUUUUCUUUCGGCUUUAGAUUUCUUUUUAUUAUUUACGUUCGUGUUCUUCAGAUAACUUGAUUUGUAGACCCAAUCAAACUAUUGUGGAUUUUUGUGCUUUCAUUAGUCAAAUACAAUCAGGAUUCUCUUAACCUUUAUUCUUGGUUUAUUCUUUAUACAUAUCUUAUUUAUCAAGUUUAUUGUGUUUAUGGAUUCCAUGAGGAACUAAUCCUCUUAUGGGACGUUAGUGAGUGGAGGUGUGAUUAACUAAUUACUAUGUAGGGUUCUUUUAGCGGAUUAGUUUUUUAGGAGAGGAAGAAAUUAGACCCUAGGCUUGACGACUCUAAGAAGUCAAUUAGGUGGGAAUUAACUCAAAAUUGGUAUGGCCUAUCUGUGAACACCUUAGCCCCGAAUCGGUCUAGACUGUGAGGUCGAGAGAUAAGUAGUCUUUGCCAACUCAUUUGUUUAGUGGAAGAUCGAGAGAUCCUGUUAGGGUAAUGACUAGUUGAUUGGAUAGAAACCUAAAAUAGGAAUUAGUUAAGAUCACUGAAAUGAGCUAAUUACCCAUGCAUAGAUUUGAUUAAGUUUAGGUUUCAGUUAUUCGAAGUUCACUUUAUUUAUGCCAUUUUUAUUUAUUUAUUUUUAAAAACCUUAAAAUCUCUUCUUUAUGUUCUCUCGCAAUAUAAUUUAUGUAAAGUACUAAUUAAUUCUAUUUGUGUUUAGGUUAACUUUAAUUUAGUACUCGUCUCCCUUGGGUACGAUCCUUAGAGUACUCACCUACUUUGUUGUAAAAAAUCUAUUACAACCUGACCCGUAUACUUACGGACCCCACCUCAAUAUUAUAUCUUUAGUUGCAAUAUUCACACUCUAGACGUUAGUACAUCCAGAGGCGGUCAAGUUGUUGGCGUCGUUGUCAGGGAGGCAAAACUACUAGAUUAAUUUUAAUUUUUGUGUUUUUAUAGAAUAAUUAAGAAAUUUAUAAAUUAUAUAUAUAAUUUUUUUACUUUAUUUUCUGUAGCGCCCUAUUCCUAACCCUUAAGGAGGAUCUAGGAAUAGUGUGUUAUAGCCUUAAAGUCUUUUCCUUACAGAAAUGUAUUUGGCGGAACCUUAGGUUUUACAAAAAUAGUUAGGUAUAUGCUAUGGCAGUAAUAUAUAAAACAUUUAAGCUUAAGGACCCAAACACUUUUAAAACAUAAAACUUCAUUGUAAAAAUUUAAAGGAAGAGAACAGUUUGGCGAAUACAAAUUUUAGUUACAAAAUAUUGUUCUUCAAAUUUUAAGCAUUGACACCACCCUCAUUUGUCAUAUGCAAAAUGUAUCCUCUGGUGUAGUCCUUGAAGGUUCCUUUUAUUUCUUCGGUGGUCAUGAGAAGGGAAGAUAAACGGAUUAAGUUCAUAGAACUUAGUGAGUUCUAGAGUGACCAUUAGGAUAUCUAUACGUCAUAGAGACAGAAGGACUCUUUCCAACUCAGUAGAUCAUACAGUUCACCCAUUGGCGAAUUCACCACACAAAUUGACUUCAUGUAGCUCGCCUAUUGGUGAAUACUGAACUUACACAGACUUUAAUAGAAUAGGACUUAUUUUGGUGCAUACAUUGCGUCCAUGUAUUCAUGCAGACAACCUCCAUCGUGCUAGCCAAAAACCCUAGUCUAUGUUUAGAGAUCGUAUCGUUUAUUCAUUGCUUUUUCCUCUGUUAUGCUUUGCCAAUUUGGUUUGCAUUACACUCUCCCUACCAGAGGCUACAUAACAUCAUUCAUGUAUUUUGAUCUGUCGGUUCAAUGCUCUUUGCAAUAAAGGUAAUACCAUGAAUUCACUUCUUUUGUUUUGGCCAUAUGGUUCUGUUUUCAGAGUAAGGUGGGUAAUGACUCAGAACGAAGUAAGGCCCUUUCAUUUUUUGCAUAGACAUGCAAAUCCAGACUUUUCACCAGACAUGUAAACUUACCUUGAAUGAGGCAUGUACAACACACACAUUGGGUAUGAAGGAACUCGCCAGAAGGUGUAGUAGAGACUAAACAAUAGGUCACUUGCCCUUUUCUUGAGAGCCUUCGGGAGUUUCUUGAGCUAUAACAUAAAUAGUUAACUUAUUACACCAUGCUUUCUGAAGAACUAAACAAACUUUCAAGAACACUUAAUUAAGAAACCCGAAUCUAGAAGUUUCCUUCCUUUAGUCUUUAGUCUGUCUGUAAUGUACGAAACCCUAGGACCUUAUAAAUAAUAACAAAAAUAGCUAUAUUUUCAUCAUUAUUUACCAGGUUUUAUGAUGUUUAAGUUAGUUGAUUACAAUGAGUUCUAAUCCUUCAAACAGGCCUUGGCUCUAACGCUUUCCCAAAAAAUGCAGAGAAAAUUUUGAAAGGAAGUAUGAAUUGCCAGAGAAAGUAUAGAAAUUGCUUAGGAAGCUAAGGUUGGCUUAUAUAGGUGCACAAGAAAGGAAAACUUAGUGGACAAGCUUAUUUGCCUCCGCUAACUUUCUUUUGGUACCCGUGACUAAUAGUUUUCUCUCUCAUCUUAAAUGCAUGUCCUUUCAUUUUUAGAAACUUUGUCCAAUCCUGACUAGUACUCAUUAGGCCACCUAAAUAGUUUAAGCAAAUAAUAAAAUAACAAUAUAUUUAUCGUUCCUACUAGAUUAGGGAUUUAACAAUAGGACUGACUAUUUUCAUCUAUUCGCUGGGGCAAUGUAUACUUUAUCGAAGAGUCUAGCAAACCUUAACGCUCUCCUUAAUCAAGGCUUCGUCCAAGGGUGUAUUCGUAGACCUUAAGUACCUAAUAAAUUUGUAAUCAUUUUCUUACUCGGGGGCCACAUUAUAAGCAUAAGUUCAAUUAACAUUACUUAGGUACUACACUCCGUCGGGCGAGAUGUUACAACUCUCCCCCGCUUAGGAAAUUUCGUACUCGAAAUUCAUACCUGAAAAGAAUUAUAGAUAUUGUUCUUUCAUUAUGCUCUCCCUUUCCCAAGUGAAUUCCUUAGUGUUAUGAUUCCUCCAUAGUACAUUUACUAAGGGAAUUCUCUUAUUCCUCAGCAUUUUAAUUUCCUUGGAUAAAAUACGGAUUGGCUCUUCCUCAUAAGAUAGGUUUGGUUCAAUCUCAAGCUAUUCAAUUUGUACCACGUCCUCAGGGUUGGAUCUAUACCUUUGCAACACUGAUACGUGGAAGGCGUUAUGAAUCUUAGAUAGUUUAGGAGGCAAAGACAAUUUAUAUGCCACCGGAUCACAUCUUUCCAGAAUUUCAUAAGGUCCCACAAAUCUUGGGCUUAGCUUUCCUUUUUGGCCAAAUCGUAUAAUCCUCUUCCAAGGGGAUACCUUUUUAUAAUAUUGAUUAUUUUUCCCUCUUUUUAGAAACAUAGUGAAUUCUUCUUCACUAUUUACUAUCUCCAACAAAACCUUUCACUAUUCAUUCUGUAAUGCCCUAAAAUUUUGAGAAUUUAAUUGUGAGAAUCUGCAGUAAUUAAUUUCUAUAUCUGUGGCUAUGUGUUCUGCUAUCGUGUUUAAGGUCUGGAGUUCGAGUCGCAUCGUUAAAAGUUUUAUUAUUUUGAAAACAACCCCUAUCCAUGCGUUACAAGUUAAGUGCAAUUCUGCGUGAAUCUAUGUCAGGAAUGAGCCUGUUGGUUCACUGGUUAAGCAUCUGUAUUCUAUAUGGUCCCGAGUUCGAAUCCCAUCGUAUGCAUUAGGAAAUAUUUUGCUUGUUGUCGAAAAACUUGCUGGUGGUUAAGACAAUAUGUUUCAAACGUUCUUUUUCUUUUUCUUUUCCUCUUACGUUUUUCUUCCUUCCCUUUUAUUUUCUUUUUCCUCUUCUUUUGCUUUUGUUUUUUUAUAUAUCAUUAGAGCUCUGUUGAUGAUAGUUAGACUCUCAUUCUGAUCUGUUGUACGAGUUAGGUAAGUACAUCUUUUGUGAUAUCAAUUGUAGUAAUUUGUUAAGAGUUCUAAGAACGCCAGUGUCAUAUUGUUGGUUGUUUGCGUUAAAGAAUGAUUUCGCAUUGUUAAACGAUAUUGGUUCCUUAUUUUAGGAAUAGGUGUUGGAAAUAGUGAAUCUCGGCAGGAUAAAUCGAGUAGUCGCAAGUAAUCUUUCGGUAGGUGACAAUUUUGUUGAAGGUUUUGUGUCGACAUAAGUUUUUGUGUUUAAUUGUGCUUCAUUGGCAUUAAGUUCGGUUGAUUAAACGAUUGGAUGGUUGUUUUAGGCAUUAGGGACUCUCUAUAUUCGUAUUACUUCAAAAUCUCUUCAGGUGCGUAUAGAAAACCUUAAAUUCUGUGAUUUUCGGACGCCAAAAAAUGUGGCAGUCAAUGCCACAUGGCUAGCUACAUGGGCGUGUGCGCAGGCCAUAUGAGCCACAUGACCGUGUGCCAAGCCAUGUGGGUGGCCGUGUAACUCACUGUUCAUUGAUUUGGAGCCACACAAGUAAGGCACACGGGAAUGUGUCAAGGCCGUAUGUGGCCAUGUUAGUGUAGGGUUCCCACGGGCAAGGACACGAACGUGUGUCUAAGCUGUGUAACUCUCUAUUUGUGACUUAGGGCCACACAGCCAGGGUCCGUUAUGUCCAGGUCGUGUAACUUACUGUUUAUGUUUUAGAACCACAUGGGCAGAGGACAUGGGCACGUGCCCAGGCCGUGUGAGUCACACGGUCAAGGACAUAGGCGUGUUUCUAGGCCGUGUGGCAUAUAAAUAGGGUCUGAAUCUUGUUUUUGAGGCCAUGAGUGUUGCCCAACACUAAUAUUGACCUCCCCAAUGUGUGAAUGAUCUAAAUUUUAUUGUCUGAGAACUUUCUGAUGCUCUAUAACUGACAUAUGAAUAACAUAAUUGUGUAUGUACUAUGAUAGUUAUUUUUGAUAUUGAACUGUUCUAUCUAAUCGUGAAAUAAUUUAGAAUGAUUGGACACAUAUUGUGUAUAUUUGUACUUUGCAUUUGCAUGGGUUAGGAUAUUUUGAAGAAGGAAGUAAUAUGCUCUGAAUUAGUGGUUAAGCCACAAUGCGUAUAAUUUUGAAUUUGGCGAUUUGUCGCAUUUUGAUCUAGCAGCUAAGCUGCGCCUCUGUAAACGUGUUAGACAUACACUCUAUGGUGUGUAGUGUUGGUUGGGCAUUGAACACCCUUAAUGGUGUGUUAGGAUGGCUGAAGACGGUGUGUAGAGUAUGGGGUUAGUAAUAUUUGCAUCCGAAUCUUAGCUGUUCUGUAUGUGAAAUUGAAAUUGCUUCUGCAUAUGCAACUGAUCUGUUCUGAAUCUGAAUUGAAAUUUCUUCUAUUACCAAAAUGAAUCUUGGGAUUCGAGAACUAUUUGAUAAAUGUGUUCUAAUUGAAUGAACGUCUUUUACGAACUGAGUUCACAACUCAUUUUUUUGAUUUGAUUUCAAGUGGUUUUCAGGCUUGAAUGGGUCGGCACCAUGGGAGUUCGGUCAAGCUUUUAUCUUUUCUUUAAAUACUACUAUUAGGGGUUUUGGUAUUAUAUGAUAUUAUGAUGUUUGAGAAGAUUCUAUACUUAGUUAAUCGUGGUGUUUUAUAAUUUAUGCUGAAUGGUUAUUUUGACUACGUUAUAAAUGCGGUAUGUUUAAUGUUGAUGAUGUAACCCUCUGGACUUGGUUUGGACGUCUAGGCUGGUUUUAGGGUGUUACACAUUCUUAAUAAUUAAUACAAUUGUAACUGAGAAUUAAUUACAUUAUUCUUACUAAUUAUUAAUUUUGUAACUCCUAUUCUUGAAACAUUAUAAAUAGGAGUCUUUCUUAAUAGGUGAAAGGACUUUUAGUACUUUUGGCAUUUUCAGCAUUUUGAACUCUCAAAGUGUUCUCUUUGAAAUUCUCUUAACUUACUUCUUUGUUAAGUGCGACCGGUAGCCAUAUUUUCCUUUUUCCACUUUACUGACUAUCACCUACUACUGCUAUUAGUGCAAUCGGAUCUUCUCCAGUCUUCCUUUUUGCCUUCUUUUAGUAUAUCUCUUUCACUUGUUUGUAGUGCUUCCUCUCUCUAUCAAAAGAAUCCUCUACACCUAUUUAUACCCAAAUCUUCUUACACCUAUUGGACCACAUUCCUAACCAUCAUUGGUUAUCUACACUGGCCAAACCCCAUUAGUCGAAAAGAGGUUGUUUAACGUGAAUAGGGGUGCUCUAACACCCAUAGGUGCUGUAAAUAGUGCCCCAGGUAUGCAAGCAUAUAUGUGAGGUGGUUAAAUCCCCACACACUCGAUUCAGGCAUCCAAGUAGGUAAUCAUCUACCUGGCAUAUCUAAAAGACCCAUUAGGGGUGACAAGAUGUUGUCGGCACCUCGUCUAGUGGCCACGCAACUGGCUUGCCUGUCUGUUACCUUGUCUUGAGCAUAUUCACACCUACCUAGUUCAGAUGACCGUGAAUGUUGUUUAAUUAGGCCCUUGGCUUCCAAGAGUAAUUCCUUGACUCUGGUAACUUGCAUGUUCCUUGAGAAUGUCCAAAACUUAUUUAUCAAAAGAUUCCCGAGCUGCGGGUUUAGUGUUUCUUUGACAAGCUUCCUUGUCCAAUUGCUCCCUUGUAGCUCAUUCCAAACACCUCAAUCUCUUAGGCCAUGACAAGCUCCUUUAGCUUUAGUGAGUAAGAACUCACUCCAGUGUGAAGAUGUUUUUACAAAUAUAGCCCUACUUAUUUUUCUUUCUCAAUCUUUCCUUUAUUUUAUUGGAUUUAAAGGUAGAUAAUGAUCAGGUAAUUUGUUUCCCUAAUUUUUUUAUCAAAACAAAAUAUAGUUUAACUAUUUUUGAAUACAAGGUGAACACACAAACCUAUCCUAUGAACACCUAAUCAAAAUAGAUUUGUCAAUUGGUUGAGUUUGGUUAGUUUUGGUGUGAGUCAAUUAAUUAGAUCGAGUUUAUUUGGUUCUAAAGCUUUUAUGCCAAUUCAGGUUUGGAUAUAAGCUUGCCUCCAAGUUAAACUUGUUGUAUGGCAUUAAGUUACCUACAUGCAAGAAUCUGGAAGUUAGACCUAUCAAUUUGAGGUGGUAGUUGUUUUUUUAUAAGGAUGAAAAUAUAUGUUGCCAUUUUAAGUUACUUGUUAGUUGAAGUACAAAAUUGUAAAUGGAAGUGUGUAAUUGUAGCGAUUAGUAUGGCUUAACACUGCAAAAAACUGUGCAAACAAAACUAUAUAACACCAAGGAUUCCACUAUCUUUGAUUGAAAAUAUAAUAAGUGAUUCACACUCUGUCACUGCUCAAGUAUAGAGAUCUCACCUUUCUAGCUAAAAACUAGAGCACUUACCUCUAAAUUCUCAGCAAACACUCAAGAAUGUUUACAAUAACAGUUUUCACUCUCUCAUAAAAUAAUUCCUCAAUGAACAUAUUAAAAUGCUCUCAAUAAGCUCUUAUAAAAAACAAUACAAGCCUUCAAAUAUAUAUAAAUUUUGGCUACCUAACAUAGAAUCUAAGUGAGUACAAAGUAACUCUGUAACCUCCUUAACCCAACCCAGAAGUUAUUGUUGGAUUCUGAAGGCCAUAUUGGCCACCGAAAUGGCGCAAUAAAAAAAAUGACCAGAUUCUCAUAAACUUCCUUUUUAAAUCAUUUGCCUAUUUUAUUUCAAAAAAAUUGUAGUGGGCUUAUCUUAUUUUUAUUAUUCUCUUAUUUUUAUUUAUUAAAAAAACAUUUUUACAUGCUUAUAAUCACCAAUGUGUAGGUUCGUCCAAUUAUCUAACUUAACUAGUUUUAACGAUAUUGCAUGCAAAAUACCAAAAUAACCCAGAAUAUCAAACGCAUACCAAAUUCUAUAUAAAAAUUAUUACAGUCCCAAAUAGUGAUAAAAAUUAUAAUAUUAAAUUGAAAAAAUGAGACGAGACCUCCAAAUGCCGAGUUCAGGUCCUAACCUGUCAGGUAACCUAUAAGAUAGUUAUAAGGUUUGGGAAGCAAAAAUAAGCUGAAAAUAAAGAUAUGAGAGGGGAAGGAAUCGAAAUCUAGUCUCAAGGAUAAUUUCACUAACAUUUAAUCAUUAGACCAGUAGCUCAUUUUAUGCUAACAAACACACAUAAGAUAACAUUAUAAAAUCGGGGCGUGACGACUCUCCCUCCUUAGAAGAAAUUUGUCCUCAAAAUUUCCUACUGAUAUACCAUUCACUUAGCCACAAAGUCUGUUACCCCUCUUUUCAACCCAAACCAACACUUUUUCACUGCACAACUUUGAUUCCAAUGUAAUUCUAGGCAAAACUUCACCCUGAACUUCUACAGACAUCUCUUAAAGAACUAAUUACAGAAACAUCACUAAUAGAUUCUUCCACCCCAAAUUCCCAGUUUUAACAGAAACAUUAUUAACAUCAAACAAUUGAGUAAAACCAAUAUUAAUCAAUACAAAGUACAAAUUUUGAAUGGAUCAUAAAUUACCUGCAUUGAUAUUGGAUACAUCUCGGUCCUCUCAAUGCCUAGCUCCAUAAACCAGUGUCGACUAUCUAGCUCGAUUUUGAUCGGACCCCCCAAAGAUAACUUUCUAGCUUUCUGAUUUUGAAUCUGAUUCUAAGCUUGCAUCUGACCAGGAGAAUGACGUAGACAAUCUUUUAUUUGAUGCUCGACAGACUCACAUCUGAAACAUACACCAAUCUUAUUGUAACACUCACCUAGAUGUCGCUUAUCACAAUAUCCAAAAACCUGAAUCCUUAUUAAUCUAAUAGAACCUCCAGUAUUAGCUCCUGCAUUAAAUUGUUGUGGCUUCCCUUCUCUAGCCUAUAUCAAGGGUUGUAAAUACGAGCCAGUAGGUCCUGAAUCCCUCUCAUGUUGAACUUUAUUCUUUUCCCUUUCCUCACUCUCUAAGUGCUUAGUCUUCUCAAUAAUCUUGGUUUUCCUGAUGCAGGGCCACUUGGAUUUUCAAGUCAUAUCUCAGCCAAUCUUCAAACUGUAGGUUCUUGUCCUUCUCAGUCAUCAGCAUACCCAGAGCAUAAUAGCUCAAUCUUAAGUUCUUUAAAUUCAAACCGACGGGCCUUGACAUAUGAAGUAUCCACAUAUUUCUUUUGAAAGGCCUACUAAAAGUAGGUACAAGUUAUACGAUGAGCCUGUAUACCUCUAACCAGAGAUUACCACCAACGAUAGGCUUCGACCCUCAAAAAGGGCACAGUACCUUUAACCCUCUAUUUUGGAGUGCAGUUCAUAUCCUCUAGAAUCUUUUUAGUGGUCUCUAUCCAAUAUUCUACCACUAUAGGGCUUGUUCAAGAAGACUCCUAAAUAAUUCGGCCUUAUUAGAUCGUAGCCUCUCAGUAAUAAGCCCACAGUUUCCAGUCCUAGUCUGGGCUUUUUUCAAGCAACCCUUUGUAAAACGCUUAACAUGGCUUGGGUCACAGCCUCAUCCCAAGACUCUUGAUUUCCACCUUCAGUGAUAAGCGCAUCAACGGUGUUGUUUGUCUUUAGGUCAGGCAUACAUCCUAAAGAAGAAAAUGACUCAACUUUAGCCACUUGACGUCGCCCUUCACGGGUUCGCAUACCACAAGCUCGUGUACCACUAUAUUCAUAGCUGAUUAUACGGUCUUAAGUUUUAUCUACAGUUUGAGAAAGAUACAAACUCUAAUUCAUUCUUGAAAGUUUUCACUUCUAAUGUUUAUAUUUUUAAGCAACACAAUCCUUAGUGUUUGUCUAUAAUUUCACGCGUACUAUGAGGACCGACAUUCAUUUUUUAAAAUAACACUGUCUUUUUUCAAAAUAUUGUGGCAUGCUUUUUUUCCAGAAUACCACUUUUCAAAAUCAUGCAUGCAAACUCACUUAAAACCUCAGGCUGAGUUUAUGAACCAAGCUCUGAUACCACCAAAUAUAACCUCUCUAACCCGACCCGAAAGUUAUUGCCAGAUUCUAAAGGCCACAUUGGCCACUGAAAUGGCUCAAUAAAAAAAAUUAGAUUCUAAGAAACUUCCAUUUUAAAUCAUUUACCUAUUUUAUUUCGAAAAAACUAUAGUGAACUUCUCUUAGUUUUAUUUUUCUCCUUUUUAUUAAAAGAAUUCUUACAUGCUUAUAAUCACAAAUUUGUAGGUUCGUGCAAUUAUUUAACUUAACCAUUUUUAACGAUAUUGCAUGCAAAAUACAAAAAUAACCCAAAAUAUCGAACCCAUACCACAAUCUGUUUAAAAAUUAUUACAGUCCCGAAUAGUGAUAAAAAUUAUAAUAUUAAACUGAGAAACUGAUACAAGACCUCCGAAUGCAGAGUCUAAGUCCUAACCUCUUAGGUUACCUAUAAGAUAGUAAACUAAGGGAAUAAGCUAUAAAGCUAAGUGUGAGUUUUAAUCAUAAGAAAUCAGUGUACCAUAGAUCCCAAAAGCAUGCAAGUAAACAAAGAUAAUAUCCUAACAGUGUCAUAGAUCAUAGUGUUUCAGAAUAUACAGAAUCACAGAGUUUUCAUAAUUUAUGAACAUGUCCCUGAAUGUCAAUGUAGUUUCCUACCCAUCAAUCUGCUCAUUUUGUAUAAACUACCAGUAAUUUACGGUUAAACCACUAGUAAAAAAUUAGUAGACAGAUCGCUAGAACUUCAAACAAUACUCUAGUGUUGCGGCUAUACCGCUAGAACUCUAAUAUUUGUGGAUAAACCAUUAGAACUCCCAAAUUUAUGGAUAAACCACCGGAACUACUCUGUCACCAAUCUUCCCAACCCUAUGCAACAGGAUGGCAUAACAUGCAUGAAAGAAUCGGGUACAGUACAAAAUAGUGGCAUGUAUUAACCUGCUAUCAGUAACUCAGUAACAGUGGCAUACUUUACAUGCGAUCAGUAAAUACAAAGCAAUAGGCAUGCUCUCAUGCAUUCAGUAAAACAAGUAAUAAAAAUACAAUAUCCUAGAUUAGCAGUUUAUACUUAUUCAAUCGUAGCAGACAACCCUUAGGCACAAUCGGGCAAUCAUAGAAGUAAGCACAAGUCACAUUCAGCUGUUAGGGAUAAGGGCACAUAUGCAUUUAAUUUACAUAGUCAAGGCUCGUGACAUUUGAUUUCCACAAUUUAGGGUUCAUGGCAUUUGGUUAAUCUUAACUUGGUGAUGCGGUCGUUGAAAGCACCAAAAAUAUCAUAUCCCUAAUAAAUAAUGAAAAAGAAUAGUAAAAGGGAAGUAGGGUCUAAUCCUCAGGGACUGGACUUGCAAAAUAUCUUGUUCCGUGAAAUCCCAGGCAGAGUCUUGCCCAAGACAACUUGCGUGCCUAAAAAAAACAGAAUUAAAUGUUUGGAUUUGAAAAUGAAAAAUAAAAUAAAAACAAAUUUAACAAUAUUGAAUCAAAAAUUAGAGAAAUUAAAAAUAGAAUUGAGAGAAAGGAAAUUCUUAUGGGAGAUUCCAGCCUCCAGUUGUCACGUUCCGCCUUGGGUUCAAUCCUCGGCUUUUAGAUGAUCCUUCCCAAACCGAAUAAGCCAGUUAUAGUGGAAGAGGACGCCUACGACCACCAGCUCUAAGGAUUUAGACUUACGAUGUGUUGGAACCUGACUCUAGCCAACAAUCGCUUCUGUGGGAUCGUCUUAUGCUAGAUCAACGCUUCUCAAUGGUGAAUCCCACGCCAUUUUGUCUCUUGGGCUCGCCAACCUCUGACGCAGUAAGCUAACGAACCGACUGUGCAACCUUCCCAAAACAUACAAAGCGAUCGCCUUUGUAUACGUUGAAAAGCUUACUUCUUAAGGGACAUGGACGGAAGCGUCUGCCCCGUAGUGCGGAGAAAUGAUGAAUACUCAGCGAGGAGGCUAAUUAAGAAUUCUAAGCCUCAUGAACUCUUGUGGGGAUUUUUGACAACCUUCGACUAGAUGGGUUUAGUGGCUCAUGGUUGUGGUAGAAAAGAAAAUAAAUAAAUAAAAAAUAAAGAUUUUAUUAAAAAGAAAUAUGAGAAGAACAAAAGCAUAAACUUUUGGGGAGAGAGUGUUUUUAGAAAAAUAUCUGGGAUCCCCUUUUGAGUCACUUCACCCCCUAUUUAUAGUGCUAAGGGAGAUAGUCUAAUCCUACUUAAAUUCCUAAAAGAUAAAUACAUUUAAUUGAAGAUAAAUAAAGAUAAAAUAAAAUCCUAAAAAUAAUCCUUAAUAAUUAUCUCAAUAUUAAUUAUCCUAAUAUAAUUAAAAUAGAGUUUAAUAGAAUAAAAUCUCUUCUUUUUGCAUUUCAACCCUUGUGUCCUCCAUGCUUGCACUUUUGGCACCAACUUUUCCUUGUGUCGCACAUUGGCCCAUUUUAUCUCUAAAUUCACGCUUUUGGCCCUUAAUUUUGCUUUUGCCUCAAAUUUAGUCCCUAUGAGAUAAAAGAUCAUAAAUAGCUCAAAUUAGCAGGAUCAUACUCAGAAUAAAUACAUAAUUAAUACAUAAAAAUCCGUUAUUCUGGAGUGUUAUCACUUGGUAACAUACACAAUCGGUUAAGUCUUAUAACAUUCACCAUACAAUCGGCCACCCACGUACACUUACUUAACAUUCAGCCAUAGCACAAGAAGACAUACAUAUUCGAACAACUUGCAAAACAUAUGCAUACAUAUUCAACCAACUUACAAAACAAAUACAACACAUUCGACCAUGGUAUAAGGGUUACACACACAUACACACACUCCAAUCACAAAUGUUUAGGACACAUACCUCAAUACACGUCCACAAAACACUGUCAAUUGUUCGAAGCACCACUACAAUUCGGAUCUGAAACUUGGAUAUGAAAUACACACAAAACAAAAAAUAAGAUUUGGUCAAAUACCAUAAUAAUAUUUGACCAACACAAGGAAAAAGAAAUCAAAUACGAGAUUGGAUCUGAUUUUAAUAUCAACUUACUCUUCCACCAAAUUGUAGAUCUGAGAUGAAAAUUGAUCAAAGAAUUCAAAUGUCCACCAACAAAAACAUUAAAUAAGCUUCGACCAAAUGCAAAUUGUGAUUUCAACGACAAUAAUAAUGAAAGAAUAUGAGGGAAAGAAUGAUGCGACAAUGGUGAGAAAAAAUCAACAGAGAUUUGACCACAAAUGGGGCAAAGUAGAAGAAAAAAUAGAGAGAAAAGAGAUGAACCGAGUGCAACAAAAAUUCGAUAGCAAUGGUGAAAAGAAGAGGAGACACAAACAAAAGUAAAACUAGGGUUUAGGGAUAGAAGAACAGAAAAAAGAAGAUAAAAUUAAAGAUGGGAGAAAUAGGGAAGAGGGGUGGUAACAGGAAUGAGCAAAUAAGGAAGAAAAGAAAGGCUAAACAGGAAAAAAAAAAUAUAUAUACUAGGGUUUUAAUAGGCUUAUGCACGACACACUCUAGGGUUUGGGAAGCAAAAUUAAGCUGAAAAUAAAGAUAUGUGAGGGGAGGGAAUCGAACUCAAGUCUUAAGGAUAAUUUCACUAACACUUAACUAUUAGGCCAAUAACUCAUUUUAUGCUAACAAACACACAUAAGAUAAAAUUAAAAAAUCAGGGCGCGACAAACUCCUUAAAAAUAGUUAUUACCAUAUCAACAUUCAAAGCACAAUUAAUCAAAGAUAUGCUCUCCAAAAUCAACAAUGCAAUUUCGAUCAAAUCUCCACAUUCUAAGUGUUGAAUUUGACUCCUAUUUCAGUCAAAUUUGAGAAAUAACCUUUCAGUUAAACUCUGUUUAUUUGUUUCAAUCAAACUCUGAUUAGUCUAUAUUAUUUUAUUAUUAUUUGACCUAUGAAUUUAGCUUCACUACACCAAAACAGGCUUUUAGCAGCGCUUUUAGUGGCGCUUGGAUAAAAAACGCCGCUAAAAAUCGAGCAUUAGCGUCGCUUUACAAAAAACGCCGCUAAAGAUCGAGCAUUAGCGGCGCUUUAAGGAAAGCACCGCUAAAAAUACCUUAAAGCGCCGCUAAAAAUAAGAAUUAGCGGCGUUUUUUGAGAAAAUGCCACAAAAAACCUAAGCCCAAUGACAUCGUUUUUUGACCUUUCGGGGCUUUAGCGGCGUUUUUAGAGAAGCGCCGCUAAUGCUCCGGGCUUUAGCGGCGUUUUUGGAGAAGCGCCGCUAAUGCCGGUGUUUUAGUACAAACGCCACUAAAAUUGUAGAUAAAAAUGACAACGUUUAGCGAACACUUAUAACAUAAUUGCGGCAUUUUUAUAAAAACGCCACUACCACAUAACCUUUUGCGGCGUUUUUGUAAAAAUGCCACUAAUAAUGUAGAUAAAAACGACAACGUUUACAAAAGACUAAUAACAUAAUUGCGGCGUUACCUGAAAAUGCCACUAACACAUAUCAUUUUGCGGCGUUUUGGCAAAAACGCCACUGAAAACCUAGAUAAAAAUGACAACGUUUAAAAAAGACAAAAAACAUAAUUGCGGCAUUUUUUGUAGAAACACCACUAAUAUAACUCGUCUUGCGGCAUUUUAGUAAAAACGCCACUAAAAAAUCAGACUAAACGAAACUGUUUUGCUAUCUUUCAAUGAAUAUUUGUGGCAUUUUCACGAAAAACGCCACUACUGGUCAAACUUAAAAUUAUUUUCAAAUUAUUUUAAAUAAUACUAUUUUAUUUUUUUCUAUUUGUAACAUAUAUUUUUCUAUGUUUUUAGCAUAACCCUUAAAUGUGAAAAAAUAAAAUUUAAACCCUAAAUCAUAAGCCCCUAACCCUUAAACUCUAAACCUGUAACCUUUAAACUUUAACCUCUUAAACCCUAAACAAUAAACACUAGACCAUAAACCUACACCAUAAAUCGUAAACAAUAAACUCUUAACACUAAACCAUAAACCUUAAACUUUAUACCCUAAACACCCUAAGCUAUAAACCCUAAAUUAACCCUAAAAUUGUAAAUCAUAAAUUAUAAACCCUAAAAUCAUAAAUCUUAAACCUUAAACCCUAAACCCUUAACCCUAAACCAAUAAACCCCAUGAACCCCUAAACCCCUAACCUAUAAACCCUUAAACCCAAAACUCUAAGCCACUACCCCUUAGACCUUAAGCCCAUAACCCCUAAACCAUAUGCUCCUAACCACUAAACACUAAACCAUAAACCACGAAUGGUAAAUCGUGAACUCUAAACUUAAAACUCUAGUCCCAAUAUAAUAAACAUUACUUCAUAAAUCCUAAAACCCUAAACUAUAAAAAUUAAACCUUAAAUACUAAACACUUAAACCUAAAAUAAAUUUAUUUUUACUUGUGGCGCUUACAAGAAAGUGCCACUAAUGUCUCUAAACCUCCACAACAAAACAACGACGUUUGCUUAAAUAUAUUUGCGGCGCUUAACAUAAAGCGCUGCUAAUGCUUGACAUCUGCGGCGUUUUUAAAGUUACGCCGCUAAUGUAACUAAACCUUAACAACAAAAUGUUGCCGUUCGCUUAAAAAUUUUGCGGCGCAACGUAAAAGCACCGCUAAUUAUUGAAUUUUGCGGCGUUUAUGUCUACGCGCCACUAAUAUCUCUAAAAUCUGAAAAAUAAAACGACGUCGUUUGCCUAAAACUAUUGCUGCUAGUGCUUGACAUUUACGACGUUUUUCCCAAAGCGCCACUAAUGUCCCUAAGCACAACAGGAAACGACGUCGUAUGCUUAAAACAUUUUACAGUGCUUCCUCUUACGCACCGCUAAUGAUUGACUUUAGCGGCGAUUUCUUCAAAGCGCCACUAUUGUGUCUAAAACUCAACAAGAUUAAAAUGACUUCGUUCGGUAAAAUCUUUUGUGGCGAUUCAAGAAAGCGCCGCCACUAUUGUCCCUAAGACGGCGCAUACUUAAGACAUUUUCCAGCGCUUCCUCUAAAGCACUGAUAAUGAUUGACUUCAGCGGCGCUUCUAUAAAAGUGCCACUAUUGUGUUUAAAAGUCAACAAGAAACGACGUCGUUCGGUAAGAACUUUUGUGGCGCUUUGGGGAAAGCGCCGCUAAUACAUGAUCUUUUGCGGCGCUUCUUUAUAAACGCCACUAAUGCAAUCAAACGUAAACCAAAACGGCGUCGUCUGUUAAUCAGUUUUGCGACACUUCUUUAAAAGCGCCACUAAUGUCUUUUAAGCUGACAAAGAAAACGGUGUCGUUUACCUAACUCUUUUGCGGCAGUUUUGGUAAAUUGUCGCUGUUGCCUAUAAUUUACGGUGUUUUUUUUCACUCACCGCUAUUGCUUGGUUUUUGGCAGCGUUUUGUGUUAAAACGCCGCUAUAGACGCCACUAAAGGCCUGUUCUGGUGUAGUGAUACAUCAAAAACUCCAAAUAAGUAAUAAAUUCUAGGAAUUAAUAGAAAAUAGUCUAAAAUUUACAUGUGGCCACCGUCGAGUUCUCCACUGCACUGACCCUUCAAGUCUGAGGAUUACCUGUACAUAUUAAAUAGAGAAAGGGUGAGUUUUCGCAAACUCACUGUGUAAUCCCCACAGAAAACAUGCAUACAAUCAACAGAAUUUAGUUAGAUACAGUCUGGGGCUCGUGCCCAUCACAGAAUCAGUUUGGGCCUUAGCCGGUUCAGAUAUAGUCUUAGAAAUACAUUAGGGCCUUUGCACAUAUCAGAUACAGAAUGCAAAUAUAGUAAAUCAGAAUCAUACCCACCAGCCUCUACACAUCAUCUCCAUCCAACCUUACACACCAUGUGGGGAUUAAAUCAACCCACCCAUCCCUACACACCAUGCUGUACCAAAAUGCAGCACAUAAUCAGAAGGUUGCAGUUGAGCUGCCAGAUAACAGGCUUAAUAGCUUUUCGGACACUUCCUCCAAAUAUCAUCAACCCACCUCGAUGCAAUGCAACAUACAAAAUAUAUCAUGCCAUUAUGCAAUUAAUAGUACAUACAUUCAAAUAUCAUAAGUCAUGCUUGGUAUAGAAAUCAGACAGACAGAUCACACAUAUAGGGGUCCAAGUAAAACUUAUCGACCCUACAGUAGGUCCACAGUCGACUUGGGUGACCCAUGCAACCUUACAGAACUUUUUAAAAAAAUGGGCUCACACGCCCAUGUGGCCCACUUGGCCCAAAUUGGCCUUGGCCACGAGAUCCAUAUUUAAGGUAACCCGUGCUAGUUAAUUAUCCAUAUAUGUUUUCACUAUUUACUUAUAUGUUCCUUCAAAGUUGUCUACUUGAGUCACUAUUACUAAAUUAUUUAUAUCCUGAGGUACAGAAUUCUAAAUUAAGAUUUGCUUGAUGUCUUUGAAACUAGACUCAAAUAGCUUUCUACCAUAAAAUUUUCAGAAUUUUUGGUUUAGCCAAUAAGUACAGUAAAAUCUUCAAACUUACCCCUGUUCUGUUGUUUGACAGCUUCGUCCCUUCUUUGCUAAAAAUUAAUUAUCUCUUAGUAAAAAAUUUGGAUGAUGUUUCCAUUUGUUUCUAUUGAAAAUAGACUCAUUGAUAAUUUAAACAUGUAAAUUUUAAUCCCUAAUUAUUUUUCUCCAAUUUUUGAUGAUUUUCCAAAGUCAGAAUAGGGGAACCCGAAUUCAAUCUGACCUUAUCUCACAAAGUUUAUUAUACCUCACAAUUUACAAUUCCAUUACUUAUAUAGUUUCUUCUAUGAAAAACUAGACUCAAUAAGCUUUAAUUCCAUGUUUUUUUCAUCCUCUAAUUUGAUUUCCACAAUUUAUGGUGAUUUUUCAAAGUUAGCCUACUGUUGUGAUUUUUCAAUAAGCUUUAAUCCCUUUUUUUGUGUUUUGAGUACAGACCUGGUUUUAUUUGAUUCUAAAAUAGUCCCGAGCACUCCAAAGCCUAUAAUCAAGAAACUAAACAUCAAUUUAAUGGAUUUAUAAUCGAAUUGACAACCAAGAACGAAUUGAAACCCAACUUAUCACCAACGAUAACCCUCAGUUUAACUAUUGUUCAGACGAGAACACUGAAUUUACUAGUUCAAGCCUCCCCCUAUGCCCAAAUCGCAGAGAAAAAACAUUACAACUUUAGUUGUUAAGAGAUUCAUGAUUGAAACAAAGAGAAACAUUUACCGAAACUAAGCGAUCACUAACCGUGUAUGAAAACGAAGGAAAAUAAAUGGAUUAGGGAAAAUCAAGAAGAAGAAAAAGAAGAGAAAGAUGGAAAAACUCAAAGAAUUUUGGCAAGAGGAGAGAGAGAAGAAUAGACGACAUAAUUUUUUUUGAAAAAAGAGUCAAAAUUCGGUUAUGGGAAAAAAAUAAAUAGAAUCCUGAUAACCCCCAAAAUCAUGUCCCCUAAUUCCCACUACACAUCCACUACUCAGAAUUCUCCUAUUACACAACUCUAUCCCGAAAUUUGAGCAAAAAAAUAAUACCCUUGCCUGCAUAGGGAUUCGAACACAAGACCUCCACCACAAUAACACACCAUUUAACCACUAGACCAACAGGCCCAUUCUGAUGUAAUUUACCCAACAAUCAAAUAAAAUCCUACUAAACAAGAGUAAGACCUAAUUCAUUCAAAAUACCAAAAUUUUCCCAAGCGAAGGCUUGAACUUAGGACCUCCCAAACACUCCCAGGACACAUAACCACUAAAGCUGACAGAUAUUUGUGCAUAUUUUCAUAAUAACGAAAUUAGAAAUUUUGGGGCGUUACAUUAUAAAUAGGCUCUUUUACAACCUUAUAAAAUACACCCAUUAGAGAUUAGAACUCAUAACACAUUUAGAGAAUUUUAUGUUUACGUUUUGAGGGUUCUUUGUUUUCGAGUUUUCGGGGUUUAGUUUUUAUCUCCAUCUUUUGUACUCUUUAUUCUUUUGCCAUUAUAAUAAAAUUAUCUUUUCCCGUGGUUUUUUUAACUUCUUUGGAGGGGUUUUUCCACGUUAAAUUUGUGUGUUCAAUUUCUCAAUUUAUUCUGCUAUUCUUUUUUACUUGUUGCUUAAUCGGGUCGAUCCCAACAAGUGGUAUCAGAGCUAGUUUAAUUUUUAUAGAUUAACACAUUUAGAGAUGUUAGCAACAAGGUUUGAAAUUGAGAAGUUCAAUAGUGAGACAAAUUUCAAUCUGUGGCAAGUUUGGAUGAUAACAAUUCUAGUUCAAACUGGCUUGAAAAAGGUUGUUACUGGGAAAAAGCCUGAGAAUCUAAAUCAAACAGAAUGGGAAGAGCUUGAUGAAAAGGCCUUAUCUGCAAUCCAAUUAUGCCUUACGGAUAUGGUAUUGCAGGAGGUAUUGAUGGAGAAGACCUCAUCCGCCUUGUGGAAAAGGUUAGAAACUCUUUAUGUGACUAAGUCUCUGGCUAACCGUUUAAUGUUGAAACAACAUCUAUUUAUGUUUUGCAUGAACGAAUGUGAGCUUCUUAAAGAUCACAUCAGUCAAUUCAUUACUCUUUUAAAUGAUUUAAAGAACGUUGAGGCUCAUAUUGACGAUGAAGAUCAAACUAUGCUAUUAUUUUGCUCUUUACCCCAUUCAUACAAGUCUUUUAGAGAGACCCUGAUUUAUGGAAGAGACAAAAUCUCGUUAAAAGAUGUGAAGGGUCAUUUUUUGAGAAGAGACAAACUCGACAAUGAGUUUGGUUUGGAUAGCAAGGCAGAUAGGCAAGCUUCCAUUUUGGUAGCAUCAAAGAAACGAGAUAAAAUGUGUCGCUAUUAUAAAAAGUUAGGUCAUGUCAAAGCAGAUUGUUAUAAACUGCGAAAUAAAAGAGCUGUUAAGAGUAACGAGGAAGAUGUAGCUGAUGCUAAUUUGGCCGAUGAAAGUGGUGAUGAUUUCUUGUUAGUGUCAACGAGCGAUAACUCAAAGCUCACGUCUGAGUGGAUCCUAAAUUCGGGAUGUUCUUUCUACAUGUGUCCCAAUAGAGAAUGGCUCUCCACAUACAGUUCGGUUGAAGGUGGAGUUGUGCGCAUGAGAAUGAUUCAUCUAGUAAGGUAAUUGGUAUUGGUACUGUUAAAAUUAGGAUACACGAUGGGACGAUUAGGACACUCUUAGAUGUCAGGUAUAUACCUGAUUUACGAAAGAAUCUCAUCUCAUUGAGUAUUUUAGAAUUAAAAGGAUUCAAAAUCAACAUUGAGUCGAGCGGCAUUAAAGUAUCUCGUGGAGCUCUCGUUUUGUUAUAAGGUAAAAGAAUCGUCAGUCUUUAUAUUCUGGAAGGUUCUAUAGUGACCGGUGAAAUUGAACGUCUCUUGUCCGUUACGGAGUCGAAUUCAACUCGUUUGGAGUGGAGGCAACUUGGUCAUAGGAGGGAAAAAGGUAUGACCGUUUCGUUGAAGAGAGGUUCUUUUUUGGAUGUAGGUUUUGAAAAGUUAGGGCAUUGUGUUCAUGAAAAUCAGACUCGGGUUAAUUUUAAUUCGGUAGUGCACAAGUUGAAGGCUAGAAGUCUUCCAGUUUCUAAGCACAGAUUCAACUCAAUUAAUUCUCUGCAUAGUUCAAGAUAGGCCUGUGGCAGGCUUUGGCAAAGAUGGCAUUGUGAAAAUAUGAGUCAAGGUGGAGAUUUGUUGAGUAUGACUCCUAUUUCAGUCAAAUUUGAGAAAUAAUCUUUCAGUUAAACUCUGUUUAUUUGUUUCAAUCAAACUUUUAUUAGUGAAGAUUAUUUUAUUAUUAUUUGACCUGUGAAUUUAGCUUAUAAAUAGGCUCUUUUACAACUUUAGAAAAUACACCCAUUAGAGAUUAGAACUCAUAACACAUUUAGAGAAUUUUGUGUUUACGUUUUGAGGGUUCUUUGUUUUCGGGUUUUCGGGGUUUAGUUUUUAUCUCCAUAUUUUGUACUCUUCAUUCUUUUUCCAUUAUAAGUGGUCUUUUUAUACUCUUUGGAGGGGUUUUUCCACGUUAAAUUUGUAUGUUCAAUUUCUCAAUUUAUUCCGUUUUUUUUACUUGUUGCUUAAUCAGGUUGAUCCCAACACUAAGGACUUAAUUGGUUCACUUGAAUCCAAUUCAAUCUUCAAAAGUCAAUGAUUGAUUUCCAUAGAUGGACCAUAGUAUUUUCAAUAUGAUAGUACAUUAACAAAUCCAAAGAUAUUUUUCAUUAAACUGUCAAUCCAAAUAACACAAGUAAUUAAACUACCUUAGUGGCAAUGUGUAGUGAGCACUGUCGAGUGCCACUCAGCAUCAAUUGAUUCAUCUUGCCUCAACAACAUGUAUAAUAUACCUAUAAGUAUGAGUUUAGAAAAACUUUUGAAUUGACAAGAAUACCUUUUAUUUUUAACCAUAUUACUAAAUUGAUAUUUAAAAAUAUUUAUAAUUUAAUUUAGAAUUAUUAGUUAUAACUUUAUUUAUUUAUUAAGAAUAAGCUAUGAUAAUUUUAUUCACUCUAAAAUUGAAUCAUAACUUGAAUAAAAGUCUAAGCAUACUCAUUCUAAAUAACUAAUAAAUUAAGGUUAAAAUAUUAAAUUUAAAAAAUCCAAAUCAUUUUUAUUUUUUACAAGUACUUUUUUAUUUCCAUAUUUAUUAAUGAAAUAAAAAUAAAGUUAUAACUUGAAUAGAAGUCUAAGUAUAUAUUAAAAAAAGAUUCUUUUUAUCUUUUAAUUACCACUUAACUAGUCUUAGAGUUUUAUAUCAAUUAAAAUUUAAGUUUAAAUCUAUAAAUAUAAUUUAUUAUUAGCAUAUAAGAAAAAUCAUCAAUUCAAAGAAAGAAAGUGGUUAGCAUUAAUAAGUUCGAAGGUUCUCAAAAAGAAAUAUUCAAACGACAAUGGCACUCGAGAGCACCAGAAAGAUAUGUAAGAUUAUUUUAUCACCUAACUAUCUUGGAUUUUGGGUGUUUCCAUUUUUACAUUAAUCAGCUGGUGACCAAAAAGGACAAUUGAAUAAUUGGCUGGCAAUUUUGUAACUUUCAUAGUUGGAUGAUCUAAAAAGAAAUGUACUAUUAAUUAAGUGAUUACUAGUGUAGUUUGUCCUAUAAUUAAUUGUGCAUGCAAUAUUUAAACAUAAGAUGAUGUUCUAUGGAUAAUUGUAUUAAUAGUUUGUGAGAAUUGAAUCAAAUCAAAAUUUCAUGUAUAAAAUUGCAUAAAAUCAAAGUUCUUGAGUAAAAUUGCACAUUAAACCAAAAUUCAUUUGUAGUUUUGAAAUUUAUCACAUAUAAUAAUUCUUACUUUGUCAAAAGAACAUAAAUAUAUAGGGUAAACUACAUAGAUAAUCACUCAACUAUAAAAAAUUCUCAUUUUAGGCACCCAAAUUAAAAAAAGUUUACAAUUUAAGCACUCAUGUUACAUGGUUCGUUCAUUUUGGUCACUCCCAUUAAAAGCUCAAACAAAAAUCUGACAUGACAUUUUUUUGGCACAUGGAUCAAUCCUUGGGUGCCACAUGGCACAAUUUACCACUGCAUACCACUUUAAACUUGAAAGGAGUAAAAUAUAAGUUACCCCAUACUAAUUAUUAACCAAAUGAAUAAAUUAGUAUUGGGUAAAUUAUAUUUUAGUCCUUUCAAGUUUAAAGUGGUAUGCAAUGGUAAAUUGUGCCAUGUAGGCAUCCAAUGAUUGAUCCGCGUGUCAAAAGAAAUUGUCAUAUCGGAUUUUUGUUAGACUGUUAACGAGAUUGAUCAAAAUGAAUAAAUUAUUUAACAUGAAUGAUUAAAUUGCAAACAUUUUUAUUUUUGGUGUUUAAAAUGAAAAUUUUUUAAUAUUUGGGUGACUAUCUAUCUAGAUUACCCGAAUAUAUAUCCCAUAUAAAUGAUAACGUAUCAAAGUACAACAAAUUACAAAAAAAAAUAAAGUACAAGAAAUAAUGGGAUUUGGGAAACUCCCAUUUAUACAAACAACUAUAUGCGGUGAAGAAAAGGAACAUACAAUACUCAAAAUCAAGAGACAAAGACAAUUAAAACCACAUUCAAACAAAUCCAGUAUGCAGCAGAUAAACCAAAGGGGGUAUUUCAAUAAACCAAAGGGUAUUUCAAGGAGUAGAAGGAGAAGGUGGUGGAGAAAGGAAAGGAAUAGAGGGGAUUGCAGUUGGGAUUGAGGGCAUGCUUGGCAGAGGAGGCAGUGUGGCCCUUGGUACACUUGGCAAUGUGGGCAACCCUGGCAUGAUAGGAAGUGGAGGAAGCGCCCCAGGCCUUGGCAAUGCUGGUAUGGAUGGCUGUGGGAGAUUAGGGAUAGAUGGAAGUGGGGGGAGUGUGGUUGUAGGCAAAGUUGGCAUUGGAGGCAAUUGAGGCAGCUGCAGAAGGUGACGAGCUGCUACCCCAACAUCAGUGCUUGCAAAUGACAAAGCCAUCACGAAUGCUAAAGCAAAGCAAUUGAAAGAUGCCAUUUUUCUAGAGAUGUGAGUCCAAUUAAGCAGACGAAAGAAAGCUCUUGUUUUGAUAGUUGUGGAGUGAGGGAGAGAAAGCAUGUUGUUGGGGGUUUAUAUAGGUCUUGGAUCAGUGGAGUUGGUAAUGUUUGAUCAUGUAUGGUUGGAAUGGAGAAAACAUAGUCGAUAUUAAAGGAUUUGGUAGGUCAACUUCCCAUGGGUAUUGUAGUUUAAAACAGGUGAAAUGCUGUUGUGGUUGGCAUAGAAGCUUCAUCCAGCCACUUAAUUAAACAGUAUACUUAAACAAUCCUCCAGGUUAGCAAAGUUUUCGCUAGUUGUCCAGAUAUCUAACAGAAUUAGGAUUUGUUUACUUAACAUGUUAGUUAUGAUAGUAUUUCCAAGGUUGAUUGUAUAAAUAAAUUUUCUAUGGUUGAGCAUAAAAUUGUUGUGAGUUAACCUACAGCUUCGUAUAGACUUAUUAAUUUUGACUUUAACUUGGAAUGAUUCAAACAAGUACUUUGAAAUGACAAACAAAUAACUCGAAAUGACCUAAAUUUGAAGUGACCAAAAUCUGAAAUAAUCGAAACCUAUAAUGACUCGGCCCAAAAAACUCGAGCCUCAAACCCAAAUUAAAUUGAAUCAAAAUUAUAAUUUCAUGUAUAUAACUGUAGAAAAUUAAAGUUUAUGUGUCAUAUUGUACAUUAAAUCAACGUUUACGUUUGACAUUACAUAUUGAGGUAAUGUUCAUUCAUAAUUUUGUGAUUUAUUCCCUUAAUUAAAGUAAUAUGUCAAAUAGUAUACCUCCUGUUGGUGAAGUUUAUGUACAUUGUAAGCGAAUUAAAUAAUUAGAAUAAAUCUAAAGUAGGGCUUGGGCCUCCAAGAUUUCACGGUCUCAAUUUAUGUCUUAAAAUUUCAUAUUAUUGUCCUUAAAGAUAUUUACGAAUUUACGUAUUUCUUAGGAUUUAACUUAUAUCACGCGCAAUGAGAAAAUUGCAAAAAUUUACUCAUUUGAAUGGAAUUGAGCUAUUAGGCUCAUGCCUCAUACAGGCAUAUCCAUCCUCUUAUUUUGAGUCUUACAAGUUUAUAGCAAACCAAAUCUAUAUAAACAUCAUUUAACAGAUGUAUUUAAAAGAUGUGAAAUAUGUAUAAUUCUUUAAAAUACACGAAAACUUCUAAUAGGGUUUAGGUUAUUUUUCGAUUUGUCUAUUUUAGGUUCAAAUCAUUCGAAUUUGAAGCUAAAAUUUUAAUAUCUAAUCAUUAUUGAUUCGAAUCAUUUUAAAUUUUGGUCAUUUUAAAUUCGAAUUGUUUUGUGAUCAAAUCAUUUCAAGUUUGGAUUGAUUCAGGUGAAUUCGAAUUUGGAUUUAUUAUUAUUAUUAUAAAUUGAGUUUGAGUCAUUGCAUUGCUUAAGUAAAAAUUUAAAGAUUUGCCUCUGUGGUUUGCAUUGAGCUGCUUACGAGGGAGAAGUUGGAAGUUAGACUUACCCAUUGAGGUGGUAGCGGUCUUGCCUUGGAAUAACGCCAUGUACAAGUUUGAAAAAAUACAUUUAUUAACAGAAUUUUAUUUUAUAACAUUCUCGGAUCCUGAAACACUUGUUUAAAGGUGAUAGUACGACGACGUUGAUUUCUUUUAUCACCACAAGUCUAAUUAUAUAUAUUGGAUUUAAUUUUUUAGUCCCAACCCCAUAAAUAAAAUAUACAUGUAACGUCUUAUAAAAAUUGUCAAUAAAUUAUACCUAGUGACGAAGUUAUUCAAAUCUAAUUUCAUUGCUAAUACCUAGUUUUUUUUUUCUACUGUCUUCAACUUUCAAUAUAAAUGGAUUGAAAAUUUAAGAAAUUUAUGUUAUUUGACAUAUCUUUUCUUAAAAAAUUGGUGUUUAGUAUAAGAUAAUUAGUAUCGUAUCAGUGGAUGUUUGAUUUUUAUUUUUACUAGAAUUGAUACAUAUCUUUUUGAAUUUAUCAAUAUUUUUUAAAAUUAUUUAAGAUAUGUAUAUAAAUAUAUUACAAAUAUAAAACGAAUGAAACCAAAUACAUUUCAAAUUAACAUAUUUAUCAAUAAACUCAACAAAUAAAAAUUUAUCAUUCAAAUAAAUCCAAAAGUAAUAAUAAAAAUCCAUCAUUCAAUAUGAAGUUUUAAGGAUUUAGCUCGUUUCCUUAGUAAGGUGAAUGGUUUUUUCAUAAUUAUAUUUUAGUCUUUAUAUUUUGAAUGUGAAAGUAUGUCCCAUUUUUUUUAAAACUUUACAUUCUUGAUGUCCACGAAACUAACUAAAAAUCUGACUAAGACAAGUGCAUCUAUCAAUUAAUAGUAUAGCUAUGGUGAGCACAAAUAUCGUUACCACAAAGAUUAAAAGUACUAGUAAUUAUUGUCUUUCUAUUAUUUAACUGAAUAAAUCGAGUGAUGGAUUAAAAACAAAAAUUAACUAACGAACAUGACAAAGAAAAAAUAGAAAGAUAAUCGAUUAACAACCAAGAAGUAAAACAAUACCUGGGAAAUAAUUCACCUAGAUUUCAUCUGUCACUAUCAAUCUAAAUUACAUAAUUUCUUUACUUGGUAUCUUGAUACGCAGAAAUCCCUGAAUUAUGCUAAUAUCUCUUUCGAGAGUAAGAGCAACUGACUCUAGGUUGAUUAAUUGAAAUUUCUUUCUAAUUAAAACCCCUAUUAUCGCAUUAACUCGAUCUAUGGAUUCCUCAAUUAAAUUUGACUCUAAUCUUGUAGAUUUAUGUUGUCCUAUUUCUAGGAUUGCAUGCAACUCCACUCAAUUAUACAAGAUCUACUCUUAAACUGGGUCUAUCCUCCUUUGAUUUAAGCACAUCAAACGUGAAUCAAUAAUCUAGAAAUAUUAAACCAAGAAUUAAGCAUACAUAAUUGAGAACAAGAUCUAAGUAUUUAUUGCAUAAAAUAAAAAUCAAACGAUAAAAUUCAUCAUAAGGUUCAUCUCCUUUAGGUAUUUAGAAAUUUAGUUCAUGAUUGAAAGUAAAAAUAUCAAAAAUAUAGUAUAAUCGAAAGAAACAAAGAAACUCAUGAUAAUUUCCUAAGAAAUCAAAUGUGAAUCUUCAAUCUUGACGGGAAUCUGCUUUAGAAUCUGCUUAAAUGAUUUUUUUGAGUUGUUUUCUUGAAUAUUCUAUGACAGCUCUCUCUUAUCUUCUUAUUUUUUUCCAUAUAUACGUCUUAGAAUGCAUGAAAAACCUAAAAAUUGCAUUUUCCCGCAGUUCAGAGUGCUAAUUCACGAAAUCGGCAUGGCCUGCCACAUGGCCGUGUGUAAGGGGCCAGCUCGUGUGACCCUUGUACCUUGCUUCGAUUUUUUGGUUUUUGUUCGUUUUUCACUUGUUUUGCUCCUAAAUGCUCUCCUGAGUAUAAAAAACAUGAAUUUAAAGGAUUAGGAGCAUAAAAUUAAUCAUUAACAUCGAAUAAUCACCCAAAAACACAUUGAGGCUGAGAUUAAAACAUGUUCCUUUUGGCACUUAUCUAAUAUCCCUACAAUUAAGCAUUUGCUUGUCCUCAAGCAAAAUCCUCAACUCACAUUCAAGUUAAUUUCCCUCAAUUUAUUGUUUUCACUGAUAAUGUCUUAAGAUAAUUUACAAAUAAUCAUGCAUUAGAAAUUCACUCUAAAGUGACACUAAACAGUACAAACAAUCCAAGCAGAGAAUUUUUAAGGCUUAAAAACAUUAGGCAUCUCCCCUAUCUCAAUAAUUACCUGAAAUUCAAACUCAACAAGAAUUAUCAUCCUUACUAAGGAUUCACUCAAAGCACUCAAAGUGUUUUAAGGUUCAAGUAAUAUGCACUCAAUAGUUGAACAAGAAAUGUCAUUACUAUAGGCUUUCUUGAAAAUCAAAUCUCCACCACUAUAUAAAUGAGAUGACACACCAAUCAAGAGGUCUUAAUAAGGUUGUAAUGAGGCUUAGAUUAAGGGUAUUGAAUAGGUUAGAAGAGUUGGUUUUAAUAGAGAAUCAAAUGGAUAAGUUACCAAACUAGAAAAAAAUCAGUUGUUGAAUUAAAAGAAUUUACAUAAACAAGAAAUAAAUAACGAAAAUGAGCUUUUCAAUAGAAUAUGAAACUAACGAUUCAAGCUCAAUCAAAUUUUUUAAUUUUUAGAUUUUUUCACUUUUUUUUUUCAAACAGAAUACAAUUCAACAAUACAAAUUAUAGAACAUAGUUAGACAACUAAGCAAAUCAGGUCUCGAAAAAAGUGGUCAAUAAAAAGGAUAAUUUUACAACAUAGAUAUAGGUUAUGUGUUAACAUUAAAGGGUGAUAGAAAAAAUGUAUUAGGAUCAACGAGAUUUACUAGGGGUUAAUUCAACGGGUAAGCUAUUUAAAGGUUAAAUGGGUUAAAUCUUAAAUGCCUCUAUCAUCUCAAUAUAUCAAAUCAUUAAUGUGGUCUCGACAUAUAUAAACGAAGCAAGUUCUAGAAUAACAAAUCAAGUUGACAUACUCACAAUAGAACCAACAGGAAAAAAAUAUAUGUUAUAUAGGAUCAAAAGCUCACAAAAAAUUAUGGUUUUGAUGUCAAACUUGCAAAUUUAAAAUUUCAAAAUAAUUCUUUAGUUCAGGGAGACAACCUAAAAUAAUAAUUUUUGAAAAACAACUUAUCAUGCUUGACUCUCUCGUGUCUUAAAAUAUUAAUCACACAAUGCACAAAUAUCCACAAAUUAUUCCCAAAAUAGAAUCACUAAAAACUCUAAAUUAAAAAAAUAACUUUAAUGAUAGGUUGAGAAAAUCACUUAAACACGAACAAUAAUUCAUGGAGACACCUAAAAUAAUAAUUCUGAAAAACAACUUAUCAUGCUUGACUCUCUCGUGUCUUAAAAAUAUUAAUUACACAAUGCACAAACAUCCACAAAUUAUUCACAAAACAGAAUCACUUAAAACUCUAAAUUAAAAAAAAAAUAACUUCAAUGAUAGGUGUGAGAAAAUUACUUAAACACACAAACAAUAAUUCAGAGAUUUCAUCACAUAGGCAUACAAACAUCCACCCCACACUUAAGAUGUACAUUAUUCUCAAUGUACAAACAAAUAUAAACAAAAUACGAAAAAUAUCAUAGGGGAGGAAGAGAACUAAAACUGCCUUGAAUUUAGAUGAAUUCGUUGGAAUAGUGAAAACCAGAAUCAUAGGCAAUUCUAAAUGAAGUACAUGUUUCCGAGCAAACUAAUAAAAAAUAGAAAAAAAAGAAGAUAAAGAGAUACAAAAUAGAAAAACAACUGAUAAAAUAAUAACACUAAUGUUUAAAAUAAAAAUAAAAAUAAAAUUAAACAAAUAAGUUGAAGAAUAAAAUAAAAACGAAUAACAAGAAAAAUAAAAAUAAAAAAACAUAAAGCUAAAUAAAAUCUAAAUAUUUCAAAAGAAAAUAACAAAAAAUUCUAAUACUAGUUUAAUAACAAAGUUAGCAGAAUAAAAAUGAAAAUAAUAAUAAAUAGGAUGGUUGGUUUGGAGGGUACCAACGGUGGUGUUGGGGGAAGGAAAAAAAAUGAAAACCCACUGGCAUUAAAAAAGGGUACAUGGCCAUGUGAUAGACCAUGUGAGCCACACGGCCGUGUGGUCAGACCAUAUAUUUCUUUGAAGCUAUGUGGCCUAUUAGAAAAUUUUAAAAAUUUGCUCCAAUGUUCACACGACCUGUGACACGCCAGUGUCUCCAGGCCAUAUGUUGUUACCGUUCGCUUCUCCCACGCCCGUGUACAUGGGUGUGUGGGGCACACGGCCGUAUCUUUAGGCCAUGUGCCUUCGACUCAGACCGUGUGGUCAAAAAAAUAAUUUUGAAAAAUUAGCUACAGUGUUCACACGGCAUGUGACACGCUUAUGUGUCUAGGCUGUGUGUCCUACACGGUCGUGUGGUCUACCCCAGACCAUGUGGACCAAUUUUUUUUCCAAUUUUUUAAAUAUUUUUUUCAAAUUAUUUUUUAAUUUUUUAGGUAAUAAUAAAAAAUAAGUGUACUAAUCACUCAACAUAAUUAAAAUAAAAUAUAAAAAACCACACUCAGGUUGUCUCCCGAGGAUCACAUAUUUAAAGUCUAAGUUCGACUUCCCUUUUCAAGAUAACGGUUAAAGCGGAUCUUGGAGCUGGAGCUCCUUUCUCUCGUUAUCAAUAUCACCACCAAAAUAAAGUUUGAGUUGAUUACCAUUUACCUUAAAUGUGUUGUAUUCAGGACAUGUUACCUCAAUGGUUCCGUAUGAUAAUACGUUCAGUACCACAAUUGGGUUCGACCCUCUUGACUUAAGCUCUGCAAGGAUCAUUCGUGGAUCUGACUUAUCUACCAGCACUUUGUCUUCAACUUUGAAUUGAUUUAUCCUCUUUACAUGCGCGCCAUGGAGUUGUUUUGUUACUUCUUUGAACGUUCUCGAUUUCUCAUAAGGCUUUGGUCGCCAUUCAUCUAAUUCAUCAAGUUGCACCAUUCAUUUUCCACUCGUCCCUUGAUUUUUAUCACCUUGAAUAGGAUACGAUUCUAACACGUAUUCGUGAUUGAUUUCCUGCAAAGAUUGUUGAGUUGCACGAUUACUAACAUUAUUAGAAUAAUGAGUAUCAUCUCACUCAUUAGAAACUCUCACAAUUUCAUGUGUUGGAAGAGUAAACCCUCAUAAUGGUCACUAACUAUAAUUACGACAAAGACAAGUGCACCUAUCAAACAAUAGUAUAGCUAUGGUGAGUAUAGAGUAUAGUAUCCACGAGGACUAAAAGUACUAGUAAUAACUCUUUUUCUAUUAUUUAGCCAAUAAAUUAGGGUGAUUGCUUUUAAUCUAAAUUUACUAAUCUAAAUUAACUAAGAACACAACAGAAAAUGAAAUAGGAAAUAAUCGAAUAAUACCAAAGAGAAAGACAAUACCCAGGAAAGAAUCCACUUAGACUUCACUUAUUAUUCUGAAUAUGAAUUAAAUGAUUUAUUCACUUGUGUCUUGAUCCAUAGAAAUCCUUAAAUUAUAUUAAUAUCUCUUUCGAGAGUAAGAAUAAUUAACACUAGGUUGAUUAAUUGAAAUCUCUUUCUAAUUAAAACCCCUAUUGUCGCAUUAACUCGAUCUAUGGAUUCCCCUAUUAGAUUUGACUCGAAUCCGGUAGAUUUAUGUCAUCCUAUUUCUAGGAUUGUAUGCAAAUCCACUCAAUUAUGUUAGAUCUACUCUUAAAUAGGGACUUUUGCUCCACUAAAAUAAUCACAUUAAACAUGAAUUAAUAUCCCAAAAAUAUUAAAACAUUAAAUAAGCAUAUAUAAUUGAGAACAAGAAUCAAGUAUUUAUCAUGUAAUUCAGAAAUCAAAUAAUAAGAUUCAUCAUAGGUUUCAUCUUCCGUAGGUAUCUAGGGAAUUUAGUUCAUAAUCUGAAAUGAAAACAUCUCAAAGUCAGAAAAACCACAAGACAUAAAGAAAUUCACUAAAACUUCAAAAGAAGUUAAAAGGAGAUCUUCAAUCUUGAAGGAAAUCCGCUUCUGCGUUGGCUUCGAUGGCGUUCUUUGAGUAAUUUCUUCAAUCUUCUCUGAGUGCUCCGUUAGGUCUUCUUCUAAUUGUUAUUUAUAUAUGUAAAAAAAUAGAACGUCGGUAAUGAUAAUCUAUUGUAAAGAAAAAGAGAGAAAAAUAAAGAACACACAGAUUUUACUUGGAAACCCUUUCGAGAACAAAACCACGGGCAGAGAAGAAUAUAAUUCACUAUGUCAAAUUUGAAUAAUUAUAAGAGAAGUAGACUAUGUCUAUUUAUAGACUUGUAAAACCAUAUUCUAAUAAAAGUGUAGUAAGAUUGAAACACCUUAUUCUAAUAAAUAUCAAAUAGAUGGAGCUUAAUAAGGUUUGAAAAACCUUAUUCUAAAAUAAAAUAAAAGAAGUGUAGUUCUAUAUAGAUUUUACUUUUAUUUUAUUUUACCAAUGUAUUUUAUUUAAAUAAGGAUUCGGGUCACUUAAUUCUAACAAUCUCCACAUUGACACGAAUUAUCAAUGAACAAGUUCUUCAUCGUGAACUCUCAAUGAACAAGUUCUCCAUCUCUUCCAUAAAACCCUUUAAGGGUUUAACUUCAACAAUGAACACCAACCAAGUCUAAGCAAUGUUCAAACUUGGUUAUAAGAAGUGACUUAGCAUCAUAUCUGUAGGAUUUUCAUGAGUACUAAUUUUGCUCAUAACAAUAUCACCACGAGAAAUAAUAUCACGAACAAAAUGAUACCAAACAUCAACGUGUUUUGUUCUCUCAUGAAACAUUUGAUCUUUUGUAAGGAAGAUGGCACUCUGUCUUUCACAAAAUACUAUACUGAUUUGAAGGUCUUCAUUGAGUUCACUAAAGAGUCCCUUCAACCAAAUGGCUUCUUUACAAGCCUCAGUAAUCGCCAUGUACUCAGCUUCAGUGGUAGACAAAACAACUGUAGUUUGCAAAGUGGCUUUCCAAUUGAUUGCACAACCUCCGAUUGUAAAGAUAUAACCUGUGAGAGAUCUUCUUCUAUCAUGGUCUAUAGCAAAAUUAGCAUCAACAUACUCAAUGACUCCAUCUCUAGUUCUUCCAAACUGUAAGCAAACAUCAAUAGUACCUCAUUAGUAUCUUAAAAUCCAGUGAACUGCUUUCCACUGUUCUUUAUUGGGAUUCGCCAUGUAUCUGCUAACUGCACUGACUGCAUAUGAUAAAUUUGGACGUGAACAAACCAUAGCAUACAUGAGAGAUCCUACUGCACUAGAGUAUGGAACAUGUAACAUGUACUCAAUCUCAUCAUCUGAUUGUGGAGACAAAGCUGAUGAAAGUUUGAAAUAGGCUGCUAAAGGAGUACUAACAAGCUUAACAUUCUGCAUAUUGAAAUUGCAAAGAACUUUCUCAAUGUACCCCUUCUGAUUUAGGUAGAAUUUACUAGCUUUUCUAUCUCUGAGAAUCUCCAUACAAAUUAUCUUCUUUGCUGGUCACAAAUCUUUCAUCUCAAUUUCUUCACUUAGUUGUGCUUUGACCCUUCUUAUCUCCUAUUUAUCUUUCAUUGCUAUCAACAUGUCAUCAACAUAAAGGAGUAGAUACACAAAAGAACCAUCACUAUUUUUCUUAAAGUAAACACAACUGUCAAAGCUACUUCUUUUUAAAUCAUGAGAAUUCAUAAAGGAAUCAGACCUCUUGUACCAUUGUCUUGGUGACUGUUUCAAACCGUAAAAGGGACUUUUUCAGCAAGCAAACAUAGUCCUCUUUUUUUGAGACUGUAAAACCCUCUGGUUGUUGCAUGUAAAUAUCCUCCUCAAGUUCUCCAUGCAAAAAUACAGUUUUUACAUCUAACUGCUCAAGCUCCAAAUCAUGCAUGGCCACAAUACCAAGCAAAACUCAAAUCGAACUAUGCUUCACAACUGGGGAGAACACAUCUGUGAAAUCCACUCCUGGAAUUUGACUAUAACCCUUUUCAACAAGCCUUACUUUAUAUCUGGGUUCUUCAACUCCUGGAGUCCCUUCUUUCUUUUUUAAAACCCAUUUAUAACGAACAACAUUUUUACCUUUAGGAAGUUUCACAAGAUCCCAUGUUUUGUUUUUGUGGAGUGAUUCCAUCUCUUCUUACGUAGCAAACAUUCACUUUUCUGAGUCUUCAUAGCUAACUGCAUCAGAAUAAUUAGAUGGCUCUUGGUUUGCAUCUAUAUCUUCAGCCACAUUUAAAGCAUAAACAACUAGAUCAACCUCGACAUAGUUCUUUGGAGGUUUAAUUUCUCUUCUAAAUCUAUUUUUGGAGAAAGAGUAUUGUGGUAAAGAUGCAACUCUAUUUUGAAUUUUUGUACUGGCUUAAGUAGUCGACUCUAUUGUAGAUUCUGGAUUAAUUUGAUGUUCCACUUGCUUUUGAUUUUCUUUAUUGGAAGAGUCUUUAAGAGAUAAGUUAGGUAGCAUAGCAGUUUCAUAAAAAAACAUCUCUGCUAAUCACAACUUUUCUAUUUUCAGGACACCAUAACUUAUACCCUUUUACACCAGCUUUAUAACCAAGAAAAACACAUUUAAUGGAUCUCGGUUCAAAUUUUCCAUUAUCAACAUGAGCAUACGCAGGACACCAAACCAUACUUUUUGUGAAGUCUUUUUCUCAAUGACAAUGGAUUGAGAUCGAUUGAUAAAAAAACAUACAGUAGAGGCUGCUUCGGCCCAAAACGACUUUGGUGAGUUGGCAUUUGACAACAUAUAUUGAACUUGUUCCAUGAUCGUUUUGUUCAUUCGUUCUGCAACACCGUUUUGCUGUGGAGUAUGAUGAACUGUCAAGUGUCUCACGAUCCCUUCUAACUUGCACAGUUUAUUAAACUCAUCAGAAUAGAACUCUAAGCCAUUGUCUGUGCGAAGGUAUUUUAUUUGUUUUCCCGUCUAUUUUUCAAUCAUAGUUUUCCAAGACUUAAAUGCGGAAAACAUAUCACUUUUCUUCUUCAGGAAGAACGCUCAAACUUUUCUGGAAAAAUCAUAAAGAAAAGUUAGCAUUUAAUUAGCUCCACCUCUCGAAGGCACUCUAGAUGCCCCCACAUAUCAAAAUGAAUAUACUCCAAUGUUCCCUUCGUGUUAUGGAUUCCUUUGGUGAAUCGAACUCUCUUUUGCUUCCAAAAAAUGCAGUGCUCUUAGAACUUCAGUUUUCAAAUUCCUUGCCCAUCAAGAAGUCUUAUUUUGCUCAAUUUUUCCAUCCCAUUCUCACUCAUAUGCCCUAGGCUCAUAUGCCAAAGUUUAGUAAUAUCAUCAUCUGACAAGGAAAAGGAAGCGACAGUUGCAUCACCAGUAACAGUAAAACCCUACAGAACGUAUAACUUCGCGGUCUUUCUCUGCCCUUUCAUCACAAUGAUGGAACUUUUGAAAAUCUUCAAAACCCCACUUUCAGCUGUGUAUUUGUACCAUUUUGAAUCAAGAGUACUCAAAAAAAUUAAAUUUGUCUUCAAUUCUGGAACAUGUCGUACGUUACUAAGUGUUUUGACAACACCAUCAAACAUCUUAACUUUAAUUGUUCCAACUCCUGCAAUUCUACAUGAAGCAUUAUUUCCCAUCAAAACAACACCUUCAGACACUAUUUUGUAAGUUGUAAAUCAAUCCUGAUUGGGACUCAUGUGGAAAGUGUAGCCCGAAUCAAGGAUCCACUCCUCGCUCACUUUAGAAUUGUUUACAGAAGCGACUAAAAGUUCACCACCGCUGUAGUCUUCUACAACAUCAGCUUUACUGAAAUUUUCUGGUUAUUUUCCAUUUUGAUUCACAGCCUCCCUUUUGAUCUUGUUCUGUAGCUUAUAGCACUCAAAUUUAAUGUGUCCUUUCCUCUUGUAGGAGUUACAAGUUUUACCUCUGUUUGAAGACUUUGAUCUACCCUUAGAUUUACCGUGAGGAUUUCCCUAUGUCCUUCCACGAUCAUUAUUAACAUUCUAAUCUUGUUUUCCACGAACAAUGAGACCCUUUCUUUGAGAGUUGAUUUAACUAAAAGAUGCUUCAUCUUAUCAUUCAAGGUUAAAGAAUCAUAAACCUCAUCAUCUGUGAGAGACUCGCGGCUAUAUAAAAUCGUACCUCUAAAGGUUGAAUAAGACGGGGGCAACGAACAAAGUAGAAUCAACCCUAGAUCUUCCUUAUCAUAUUGAACCUCCAUGGCCUCCAAGUUUGAGAGAAUUUCUUUAAACACUGUUAAGUGUUCGUGCACAGACGCACCUUCCUCUAAACGAUGAGCAUAAAGAUGCUGCUUCAUAUGCAGCUUGCUAGUUAGAGUUUUCGACAUAUAUAUUUUUUCCAACCUCUUCCAUAAUCCAGCGACAGUCUUCUCCUUCAUCACAUCCUGUAAAAUUUCGUUAGAUAAAUGUAGAUGUAACUGUGUUAAUGCCUUUUGAUUCUUGCGCUUCUUCUCUUUCUCCGUCAAUGUUGAAGGCAUUUUAUUUACCCCUAGCAGGGCUUCCUCUAAGUCCAUAUGUGCAAGAACUGUCUGUAUCUUUAUCUGCCACAAUGUGAAUCUGGUGUUGCGAUCCAAUAGUGGAAUUUCAUACUUCAAAGAUGUCAUUACCGUGAUUGAGAUGAACAACCCAAAAGCUCUGAUACCAAUUUGUAAAAAAAUAGAAUUUAAGUAAUAACAAUUUAUUGCAAAGAAAAAGAGAGAAAAAUAAAGAACACACAGACUUUACGUGGAAAUCCUUUGGGGGAAAAAAAACCACGAGCAGAGGAGAAGAUAAUUCACUAUGUCAAAUUCGAAUAAUUACAAGAGGAGUAGACUAUGUCUAUUUAUAGGCUUGUAAAACCAUAUUCUAAUAGAAGUUUAGUAAGAUUAAAACACCUUAUUCUAAUCAAUAUCAAAUAGAUGAAGCUUAAUAAGGUUUACAAAACCUUAUUCUAAAAUAAAAUAAAAGAAUAGUUCUAUAUGGAUUUUAAUUUUAUUUUAUUUUACCAAUGUAUUUUAUUUAAAUAAGGAUUCGAGUCACUUAAUUCUAACAAUAGACUUUAAAAUGCUCAAGAAGCCUAAAAAUUGAGUUUUUCCGCGUGUUUAGGAAACAGGGUGCGAAAUCAACAUGAGUUGGCACAUGGGCGUGUGGCCAGCCCGUGUGACUCAGACGAGCGUGUGGCCAAUCCAUGUGGAAAUGCUCAGGCUGUGUGGAUGCUGAAAAUAACUCUUUUUGCUCAAUUUUGGCUUCUAUUUUGCUCAUUUAGCUCCCCUAUGCUUUCUUAAGUAUAAAAACAUGAAUUUGAAGGAUUAGGAGCAUCAAAUUCACUAAUUUACAUAAUUAAUCAUCCAAAAAUGCAUUAAGAAUGGGAUUGAAAUAUGUUACUUUUACAGCUUAUCAAAUGUCCCCUCACUUAAGCGUUUGCUUGUCCUCAAGCAAAAUCCUCAACUCACAAUUAAAAAUUAAUCUUUCUCAACUUAUAAUUCUCAUCAAUAAUGUUUGGUCAUAAUUCACAAAUAAUUAUACAUUGAUAAUUCAACUAAAAGAGCACUAAAGAUUCAAACAAUCCAAGUCGAGCAUUUUUAAAGCAUGAAAACAUAAAUAUUUCCCCUUAUCUAAGUAAUUACCUUUAAUUCAAAAUCGACAAGAAUCGACAUCCUCACUAAAGAUUCACUCAAACCACUCAAAGUGUUUAAGGUUAAAAAAUAAGCACUCAAUAGUCAAACAUGAAAAGUCAUUACCAUAGGCUUGCAUGAAAAUCAAAUCUCCACCACUAUAAAAUGAGUUGAUACACAAUCAAAAGGUCUAUAAGAGAUUGUAAUGGGGCUUAGGUUAAAGGUGUGGAAAAAGACUAAAAAAGAUGGUUAGAAUCGAGAUCGAAUUGAUAAAUUACCAAACUAGAAAAAUAAACAAAUGUUGAAUUAAAAAUAAUUACAUCAAUCGAAAACUAUUCAAGAAUUACUCGAGCUUAUUCUCAAAAAAUGAAUUUAACUAUUUAAGCUCAAUUAACAUAGAACUAAGUGAUAAUUAAUAUAUAUGUAUUUUUAUUUUAUUUUUUAAAUUUUCUUCUUUUUUUAGAAUAAUAAGAAAUAAUUUAGCAACUUAAACAAAAAGCUUAAUAAAAAAAUUAACCAAAUCAAAUCUCGAUAACAAUGGAGUCAAUAAAAUAGGAAAAAUUCUCAAUGAAGAAAAAAUGAGUUAUGGGUUAACAUUAAUGGGUAAAUCAAGAAACGGUGUGUUAAGCUCAAAGGAGUUCACUAAGGGUUAAUUAUGUAGGUAGGCUUUUUAUGGGAUAAGUGGGUUAAAACCUAAGUGCCUUGAUCAUAUCAGUAUAUCAAAUCAAAGGUGUGGUCUCGACAUGCAUAAUUGAAGCAAGUUCUAGAAUAAAAAAUCAAUAUUGACACACUCAGAACCAAUAAUAAAAAUGAGCAAGAAAAAUGUAUGCUCUAAAGGCUUAAAAUCUCACAAAAAAUUAUAGUUUUUGAUGUCAAUCUUGCAAAUCUCAAAUUUCAAGGUAAUACCUCAAUUGAGGGAAACAACCUAAAAUUUUUUAAUUUUGAAAAUAGACUUAUCAUGCUUGAUCCUCUCAUAUCUUAAAGUUUAAAACAACCAAUGCACAAUUAUCUAUGAAUUUAAUCUAAAACACAUCAAUAAAAAUCACAAAUCGAUAAAAAAUCAUUCUAAUAGUAGUAUGAGAAAAUUACUUAAACACAAGACAUAAUUUAGAGAUUUUCUAUUAAUUAUAUAAAUAACCUCCCCACACUUAAGAUGUACAUUGUCCUCAAUGUACAAACAUAGAUAAUCACAUUAUAAACAGAAUAUCAUAAGAGAGGAAGAAAACUGAAACUGCCCUGAAUACUGGAUGAAAUCUCUAGAAUAGUGAAAAGUGAUGUUGUAGUCAAAUCUAAAUGUAGAGCACGAUUUCGAACAAACUAAUAGGAAAAUAAACAAAAAUUGUGAAGAAGAUUAAGGGAUUAAAACUCAAUUAGAAAUGACCAUAAAAAUAAAAAAUAUAGUUCAAUAUAUAAGAACGAAAUAAGUCUAAGAAAAUAACAAUAAACAUAAACAUAAAAAUAAAAAUAAAAUAAAACAAAUGGACUCAAUGGUCCUCAUCAUCAGAUGCGUCGGUGUCGUGAGUCGUCGGCGCUGAGGAGGAGAUAUAGAGAUGCUGACAGGUUUGCUGCAAUGUCGCAUCAAUACUGUCGAACCUCUGAAAGCAAUGCUACUUGAAACAAGUGAAUUGCUCGGAGAGGUCUGCUAAAGUAGCAGUAGAAGAAACAGGAAGGUGACUCGAAGGUAGAGGAUGAGGUGGAUCCUCGUGAUGGAAGGGGACAUCAUCAGUGAAGUCCUUGGGUUCAUUCUAAGAGUGAGAAUGAACGAAUUGGUACUGAGCAAGAUCUACUCCACGACGGCGCUCAAUCAUCCUCAUAUGGAUCAUGCUCGAGCUUCUUGUGGGGACAUCUGGUCACGAGUGUAAGUGUAGGGGACUACUUUGGUGUGUCGAGGAGAUCGAAGUGUCGAGCAAGUCGAGUCACAUAAAGGCCUAAACAGAUGUGACCCUUCUUGUGGCAGUCUGUCUGAUGGUGGAAGGCUAAGGCGAUGAAGUAUGCCAAAUCAAAUAUAUCCUCGGUGGCCAUGCUCCAUAGAAAAUAAACAUCAGUGGUAUUGACGACUCUAGUGCUCUCUCUCAUACCGGUCAAACUGUGAGCUAAAAGGGCAUGAAGAUACCGUAAGGUCAGAGAGAGUGAAGUCGCGUUCGAGUUACUCGCAUCAUAAAGUGUCCUACUCACCUUAAGCUCUGGCCAACAAUGAGAUGGCGAGUAAUGGAUGUGCUGGUGUAGGUGCAGGAAGUUCUCGGCACUCAUAAACACCUCAACGUAGAGUCCUAUAGCAGUGCUAAACUCGGGGACACUCAUAUGGCACACCAAACCACCAAGUCUAAAAGUAAUGGUGCCCGAUUGGUCAUUAGUCAUCAUUACCUACUGUAGAAUAAAUGUAGAACAAAACUCCAAAGUAAGCUCUAUGUAUGUGGGCUCGAUGAUGGAGAAAAAUUGGUCCUACGUGGCUGUAGUAAUAAAGACGCGCACGUGAGUAGCUAUUUGGACCUACUCCAAAGCGGCCCAAUCAAUACAUCGGCCUAGGCCGAGUGGGUGCUGUCGAAAUAGUUGAAAUAAAUUCUCUUGGGGCUCCGUAGAAAUUGGAGAUAAGGGUGGCGGGCCUCGACAGAAGCGCUCGAAGAAGAGGUCGUACCAAGGGUCUUUCGCUUUUUCGAAGCAGGGACGACUACCUUAGACUUGCCUCAUGUUUUCGUCAUGGUGUGCCUGGAAAACUAAAUAAUUCAUCAAUAAAUAAAGCAUCACCAAGUAAACAAACAAAGAAGCUGAGAAAUAGUUGUGUAAAUUAACAUACGACACUAAGAAUCAUCCUAAGACGCGCAUCGAAGUCUAAAUUGCCUAAAUAGAAAAUUCAUUCCAAAAACACUAUUUACUAGUAUCAGCCAUGUAAAAAUAAUAACAGAAAAGAAAAAGAAUAAAAAGGGUAAACAAUCAAAAAUAUGAAACUAGGGAUGAAUCAUAGAUGUAAUAAUAAACUACACAGUAGCAUAAAGAAUAAUAAAUGGAUGAUAAGAACAGGAAUUAAAAAUAGUAUUAAUGUCAGGAAACAAUUAGAACCAAAAAAAUAAAAUUAUAAAACUAAGAAUAGAAAAUAAUAAAGAGUAAAUAAUGAAUAAAGAAAAUAAAAUAAAAUAAAACUAAUAAUAAUAAGAAGAAACAAGAAAAAAAUAAAUAAUAAAGAAAAUAGGACAAAUAGUGGUUGACCGACAAGGGAAUAGUGGUAGCGACCGGACGGCUGUGGAAUGGGGGACGGUGGCGGUAGUGCGCGCAAGGUGGGGGUUAAAUGUUGGUUAGAUGGUGAGAAGGGAGAAGGGAAUGGAAAGGGGAGAUGGUGAAAGAGGGAAAGGGCUAGUGGUUUGGGGCAGUUGCGCACGUGGAUGCAAUGGGUCGGGUCGAGGUUUGUGGCGCGGGGGGCUUGGUGGUGGUUGAAUAGGAGUAAAAAGGUAGAGGAGAAGGGGUUGGUGAGAUGAGGCAAAGGGAGGGGAUCUAGUCAUUCAGAUGAGGGCUUGGAAAGAGAAGGCAACAAGAGGAAGAUGUGGUGGGCGUUAGAUCGGAAUUGGGACGACGGGAAAGGUAUGGCGAUUGGAAAGGGAGUGGUUGGCGGCUAGUGUUUGUUGGGAAGGUGGGGGAAGAAGAUAAAACAAAUGAAAAGAAAAGUGGGGCUAGGGUUUUUCAAGGGUGAAACGGUCGUGUUAGGGCUCGUGUUAGGCCACACGACCGUCUCACAUGCCCGUGUGGCUCUCGUUCAGCCCGUGUGCGUUAAAAUUUUUAACCUUGUCUUCACAUGGCCUCAGACACACCCGUGUGUCAAGGCCAUGUGGCACACACGGUCGUAUCACAUGGCUGUGUGCAACCUCCUUCACUUCUUCCACGCCCGUGUGAACUCUUACACGCCCGUGUGGCUCGACCGUGUCUUGCACACGACCAUGUGCUUGGCCCGUGUAACUCUCUGACUUGUUUUAAAAAUGAAAAAAAUUAGCUCCAGGUUUCACAUGACCUAGGACACACCCGUGUGGACUAUUUUAGGCUGUGUCUCUGUCGAUUUUUGAAAAAACUAAGUCCCAAAAUCCACACGGCCAAGGACACGUCCGUGAGUCUAGGCCAUGUGGGUCAAAUGGCCAUGUCACCAGGCCAUGUAAUUCACUAUCGAUUUUUUUAAAAUUUUAAAACUAAGUCUUAAGACCCACACGCAAAGGACACGCCUGUGUGUCUAGGCCGUGUAGGUCACACGGCCAUGUCGCCAGGCCGUGUAACUCACUAUCCAUGUGGGUUAAAAAACCUACAUUUUUUUAAUAUUUGAAAAUUAAUUAAUUUUAAAAAUAUCAUGAGAUAAAAUUAAGAAAAUUAGCAGUGUUAACACUCAGGUUGCCUCCUGAGAAGCUCUUAUUUAAAGUCUAAGCUCAACUUACCUCAAAUUCGCACGGUCACGGUGGUUCACAGAGUUGAAGCUCCUCUUUCUCGCUGUCAAUUCUAUUAUCAAAAUAAGGUUUGAGUCGAGUAAUAUUUACCUUAAAAUUGUCGAAUUCAAAAUGAGUUACCUCGACUGUACCGUAUAUGAAGACAUUCAGUACUGUAAAAGGAUUUGCUCCGUUUGCAUUAAGCUCUAAAGUGGAAAUUCGAGGGUCCGUUUUAUCUAAUAGUCCCUGGUCCCUAACCUUAAAUUGGUUCGUUCCAUCCUUAUGCUCGUCAUGUCAUCGCUUUGGUUCUGCAUUGUGUAUUCUCGGUUUCUCCUUGACAUGUGUCUACCAUUCAUCUAGUUCAUUGAUCUGUAGCCUUCGUUCUUCAUGAGUUGUUCUGUUUCUGUCGAAUGGACUGGAACGUGGGUCCAUUACGUUUUUCCGAGUGUUUUCCUGAAAAGAAUUUUGAGCCACAAGGUUACUCAUAUUUACAGAACUGGUAUAAUCAUCUCGAUCAUUAGAUGUCUUAACAGAAUCACAAGCUUGGAGUUUAAUCGUAUUAUCACCUACACAAAGUAUCAAUUCACCUAUACCAACAUCAAUAAUAGCUCUGGCAGUUACUAAAAAGGGCUGAAUUAGAAUCAAAGGUACGUCGCUAUCCUCAUCGAUGUCUAAAACAACGAAAUCAACUAGGAAUAUGAAUUUAUCAAUUUUGACAAGAACAUCUUCAAUAAUACCCCUAGGAAAUGUAAUGGUUCUAUUUGCUAAUUGAAUACUCAUCCUAGUUUGUUUGGGUUUCCUGGGACCUAGUUGCUUAAACAUUUUAUAGGGCAUGACAUUAAUACUAGCCCCUAAAUCAGCCAAAGCAUUAUUAACAUUUAAACUACCAAUUAAACAAGGAAUAGAAAAACUCCUUGGAUCUUUCAAUUUGUUGGGUAGUUUAUUUUGAAAAAUGGCCGAGCAAACUGCAUUUAGCUCCACUUGCGACGAAUCAUCUAACUUCUGUUUGUUUGCCAAAAGCUCCUUUAAAAAUUUAAUGAAAUUGGGCAUUUGCAAAAGAGCUUCAAUAAAUGGUAAGUUAAUAUGUAAUUUUUUCAAAAGUUUAAGAAAUUUACCAAAUUGUUCGUUUGCGUGGUCUUUCUUUAUCGCGUUGGGAUAUGGAACACGAGGUUUAUAUUCCUUACCAACCCUUUUUUGCUCAUUUUGGCUUACCUAAACCUUACCUUUACUUACCACACUUUCUUGCAUCGGUUCUGGUUCAGAUUCAACUAACCCUUCUUCAUCUCGAACAGUAAUUGCAGAAAGCUGCUUUCUUGGGUUAGUUUUGGUGUUGCUAGGCAAGCUACCUUAUGGUCGUUCUGAAAUCAACUUCACAAGUUGACCGAUUUGGUUCUCAAGCCCUUGAAUUGAUGGUUGUUGAUUUUUAAGUGUUGUUUCAGUGUUUUGGAAGCGAGUUUCUGACACUGAAAUAAACUUCGUCAACAUCUCAUCAAGGUUCAGCUUUUUUUUCUUAUUGGUAAGAUGGUUGAAAGCCUAGAGGGGGUUAUGGUCUUUGGUUUCCUUGACCACCCCAAGGGAAAUUGGGAUCGUUCCUCCAACUUGCAUUAUGAGUGUUACUGUAAGGAUUAUUCUGAGGCCUAGAAUUAUUACCCAUAUAGUUUAUUUGUUCGUUCUCUCUGCUGGGACCGUAGGGUAGACAUUCUAGAUUGUUCAUCCUUCCUCCAUUCGUAUUGCACUGCAUCACUGGAUGUACCUGCGUAGAAACACAUAAACCAUCAAUUUUCUUAUUUAAUUGUUCUACCUAAUUUUAUAACAUGGUAACUGCAUCUAAAUUGAAAACACCGGCUGCUCAAUUAGGCUUCAUCUUCUUGACUUGCCACUGAAAAUUAUUCAGUGCCAUCUCUUCUAUAAAUUCAUAAGCCGUUUCAGGUGUUUUAUUGUUCAGAGUACCACCUGCGGUUGCAUCGAUCAAUUGCCUAGUUGAGGGGUUCAAAUUGUUGUAGAAGGUUUGAACCUGUAGUCAUAAAGGUAACCCAUGGUGAGGGCACCUUCUCAAUAAAUCCUUAUACCUCUCUCAUGCAUCAUAUAGAAUCUUUAAGUCAAUCUACACGAAAGAAGAGAUAUCAUUCCUCAACUUAGCUGUCUUAGCCAGUAGGAAGUACUUUAAUAGAAAUUUCUCAGUCAUUUGGUCCCAUGUAGUGAUAGAACCGCGUAGUAAGGAAUUCAACCACUGUUUAGCUUUGUUCCUCAACGAGAAAGGGAACAACCGUAGGCGAAUGGUAUAGUCAGAAACACCAUUUAUCUUGAAAGUAUCACAAACUUCCAGAAAGUUAGCCCUAAUGAGUAUUUGGAUCUUCAUCCUACAAACCAUCAAAAUGAACAAAUUGUUGUAUCAUUUUAAUAGUGUUUAGCUUUAGUUCGAAAUUAUUCGCAGCAAUGGUAGAACUUACAAUACUCGAUUCAGCCCCAGUUAGAGUAGGCUUGGCAUAAUCGUACAUAGUACGAGGAGCAGGAUUUGGAUUUGAAGGAUUUGCAGCAACCACAGGGGGUAGCUGAUUAUUCUGAUUAUCAGCCAUCUCGUUAGUAAUAAUAAUGUCUUCUUGCUCUUCCACUGUACUCUGUUGAUUUUGCCUUGCUUCUCUACGGUUUCUGCGAGCUGCACUUUCAAUCUCACUAUCAAAUACUAAUGGUCUCGACGGGUUUCUUCUAGUCAUAAACUAAAGGAACCUGCCAGAAGCAAAUAAAAGAAAAAAUUAGAAAACAAAAAAUAAACUAAAAAAAUAAAAUGCAAUAAAAAUAAAAGGCUAAAUUAAUAAAGAUCGAGUGUUCCGAAUAUUUUAGUCCCUGGCAACAGUGCCAAAAACUUGAUGAUCACUAAACUAACGAUAAUUAUGAUAAAGGCAAGUGCACCUAUCGAACAAUAGUAUAGCUAUGGUGAGUAGAGAGUAUCGUAUCCACGAGGACUAAAAGUACUAGUAAUAACCGUUUUUCUAUUAUUUAGCCGAUAAAUUUGAGUGAGUGUUUUUAAUCUAAAUUUACUAAUCUAAAUUAAAUAAGAACGCAAUAGAAAAUGAAAUAGGUAAUAACCGAAUAAUACCAAAGAGAAAGACAAUACCCAGGAAAGAAUCCACCUAGACUUCACUUAUUAUUCUAAACCUAAAUUAAACAAUUUAUUCACUUGUGUCUUGAUCCGUAGAAAUCCCUAAUUUAUGUUAAUAUCUCUUUCGAGAGUAAGAACAACUGACUCUAGGUUGAUUAAUUGAAACCUCUUUCUAAUUAAAACCCCUAUUGUCGCAUUAACUCGAUCUAUGGAUUCCUCUAUUAGAUUUGACUCUAGUCCAAUAGAUUUAUGUCAUCUCAUUUCUAGGAUUGCAUGAAACUCCACUCAAUUAUGCUAGAUCUACUCUUAAACAGGGACUUUUGCUCCACUAAAAUAAGCACAUUAAACAUGAAUUAAUAUCCCAAAAAUAUUAAAACAUGAAAUAAGCAUAUAUAAUUGAGAACAAGAAUCAAGUAUUUAUCAUGUAAAUCAGAAAUCAAAUAAUAAGAUUCAUUAUAGGUUUCAUCUUCCCUAGGUAUCUAGGGAAUAAUCUAAAAUAAAAACAUCUCAAAGUCAGAAAAACCACAAGACAUAAAGAAAUUCACUAAAACUUAGAAAGAAGUUAAAAGGAGAUAUUCAAUCUUGAAGGACAUCCACUUGUGCGUUGGCUUCAAUGGUGUUCUUCGAGUAAUUUCUUCAAUCUUAUUUGAGUGCUCUCUUAGGUCUUCUUCUAAUUGUUAUUUAUAGACUUUAGAAUGCUUAGAAAGCCUAAAAAUUGAGUUUUUUCGUGUGUUUGGGAAAAAAGUUGCGAAAUCGACAUAGGCUGGCACAUGGGCGUGUGGCUACACAGGCUCACUACACGCCCGUGUGAGAGUUGAAAUGCUCAGGUCGUAUGAAUGUUGAAAACAACUCUUUUUGCUCAAUUUUGGCUUUCUUUCGCUCCUUUCGCUCCUUUAUGCUCACCUAAGUAUAGAAACAUGAAUUUAAAGGAUUAAGAGAAUCAAAUUCACUAAUUUACAUUAUUAAUCAUCCAAAAAUGCAUUAAGAAUGAUAUUAAAUAUAUUACUUUUACAGCUUAUCACCUCGGCACAAGUUCAUCAUUACCCACAUUAAUAAUAGUUCUAGUAGUGCCUAAAAAUGGUCAACCUAAGAUCAUGGGUACCUCAAUAUCCUCAUCCAUGUCCAAUAUAAAAAAAUCAAUAGGGAAUAUAAAUUUAUCAACUUUAACAAGUACAUCUUCAAUAAUGCCCCCAGGAUACUUAAUUGAUCUGUCAGCUAAUUGAAUACUCAUCCUAGUGGGUUUUGGUUCACCAAGACCAAGUUUUUUUAACAUUUUAUAAGACAUAAGAUUUAUACCAGCACCCAAAUCAGCCAAAGCUUUUUCAACAUUUAAGUUACUAAUAAAAUAAGGAAUAGUAAAACUCCCUAGAUCUUUAAGCUCGGUGGGUAGUUUGUUUGUUAGAAUAGACAAGUAAUCCUUGUUGAUCUCCACAGUUGACAAGUCGUCUAACUUUCUUUUAUUUGUUAACAGCUCCUUUAAAAAUUUUGUAUACUUUGACAUCUGCAAAAGGGCUUCACCAAAAGGUAAAUUAAUAUGUAAUUUCUUAAAAACUUCUAGAAUUUUACCAUAUUGUUCAUUCAUGUGGUCUUUCUUUAUUGCUGCCGGUUAUGGGAUUCGUGGUUUGUAUUAUUUGACCACCAGCUUACGCUCUUUCUUGCUUUCAUCAACCCUAUCAUUUUUCAAAACAACUUCUAGGAUCAUCUCCUUUUCAGGCUUGACUAACCCUUCCACGCUUCGAAUAGUGAUUGUAUGGACUUGCCUCUUGCCUCUUUGGGUUGGUUUCAAUGUUUCUAGGUAAACUACCUUGCUAUCUCUCCAAAACCAGUUUAACAAGCUAUCCAAUAUGAUUUUCAAGCAUUUGACUCAAUGUUUGUUGAUUUUUUAGAGCUGUCUCAAUUUUCUGAAAUCUAGUCUCAAACACCGAAAUAAAUUUAGCUAACAUCUCCUCAAGGUUUGGUUUCCUUUCUUGCUGAUAAGGUUGCUGAAAUUUUGGAAGGGGUUGUGACCUUUGAUUACCUUGACCACCCUAAGAGAAAUUUGGAUGAUUCCUCCAUCCUUGAUUAUAAUUAUUGUUAUAAAGGUUGUUCUGAGGUCUAAAAUUGUUACCCAUAAAGCUAAUUUGCUCAUGCUCGAUGUUCGAACCGAAGGGUAAACAUUCUGGAUUGAUUACCAUUGCUCCAGUCGCAUCGCAUUGCAUUUCUGGAUUCGCUUAUUUAUCCCAACUAAAACCAUCGAUCUUUUUACUCAGCGCUUCCACCUAACUUGCCAACAUAGCAACUACAUCCAUAUUAAAAACAUUGAUUUCUUUAAUCUGUUUCAUUCUCAUAACUUGCCACUAAUAGUUAUUCAGUGUCAUCUCCUCAAUAAACUCUUGAGCUACCUCAGAUGUCUUAUUAUUCAAUGUUUCACUAGCUACUACAUCAAUUAGCUGCCUAGUCAAGGGAUUUAAACCGUUGUAAAAGGUUUGAACUUGUAACCACAAAGGUAACACAUUCUUAAAAUAUCCUUAAUUCUCUUCCAUGCAUAAUAUAAUGUCUCCAAAUAAAUUUGAGAAACUUCUUAGUCUUCUGAUCCCAAGUCGUGAUAAAACCAUGUAGAAGUGAAUUCAAACACUAUUUUUCCUUGCUCCUCAAAGAGAAUGCGAACAACUUUAAGGAUAUGGCAUUGUUAGUAAAACGAUUAAUCUUGAAUGUGUUGCAAAUCUCUAGAAAGUUAGCUAAAUGAGCAUUUGGAUCUUCAUCUUGUAACCCAUCAUACUGGACAUAUUGCUGAACCAUCUGAAUUGCAUUCGGAUUUAGCUCAAAAUUAAAUGCAGUAAUAGCCAAGAUGACGAUACUCAAUUCAACCCCAAUCAGAGUAGGCUUAGCAUAAUCCAACAUAGUACGAGGAGCAGGAGGUGCCGGAGGCUGCUGAUUAUUUUGAUUAUUUUCCAUCUCUACAAUAAUGUCCUUUUGCCCUUGAUCAUCUAUUAAGAUCUGUUGACCUUGCUUUGCUUCUCUAACCUCUCUACGAUUUUUGCAAGCAGUCUUUUCAAUUUCACUAUCAAAUGCUAACGGAUCCAACAGUUUUCCUCUAGUCAUAAACCAAAAGAACCUGUAAAAAUCAAACAAAAGAAAAAUUAAAAUGUAAAAAUUAAAUUUUAAAAAAUAUACAUUAAAAUAAAAAAUUGCUAAAUUAAUAGAAAUAAAGUUUUUCUAAUCUUCUAGUCCCCGGAAGCGGCGCCAAAAACUUGAUGUCCAUGAAACUAACUAAAAAUAUAACUAAGGCAAGUGCACCUAUCAAUUAAUAGUAUAGCUACGGUGAUCACAGAUAUCGUUCCCAUUGAGACUAAAGGUACUAGUAAUGUAACACCCCAAUAUCGUCUCCGUCGCUAGAUUAGGGUUACGGAGUGUUACAUUACAAUAUAGAACAUUUAACUUCAAAAAGAAACAAUUAUACAAAACUAAAUAAUACCAUUCCAUAACUCAUAUAAUUCAAGGUAAAAUUAAAUUUAUGGACCUUAAACCGAGCCCACAGGGCCCUAAAAAUAAUUUCAAAACAAUUAGGGGUCAUUUUGAAACAAAACAUAAAAACCUAAAAAAUUUGAAAACAGAGGUCACACGGUUGUGUGACAAAGCCCAAACCGUGUGGCUAAAAAAUAUCGUUGUGUGUCUAUUUCACACGCCCGUGUGGCUAAUUCACUCGUUUGUGUGGCUAAUUCACACACCUAUGUAUGUGGAUUGUAUAAGUAACUCUGCCCAUGUAAUAUAAAGUUAUACGGUCAUAUGGCCAGACCGUAUAGCUCGGGGUCACAUGGUCGUGUCGCCAGACCGUGUAACUCUCUGUGCAUGUGUGGGUCAAGAUCACAUGGUCGUGUUGCCAGGCCGUGUAACUCUCUUUGCCCGUGUGGACCAACUUGCACUUAAAAUAACAAUGACACACGGUCGUAUGGUGUGUUUUUGUGUGGCACAUGGCCGUGUGAUAACCCGUGUCCCAAGCCGUGUGCUCCAAUUCGUACCUUCAAAUUCAAGUUUACCAAAACAUGCCUACCUGGACAUCAAGAAACCCAAUUUUCAUCAAAUAGACUUACUCAAAACACGAUUAAACAAGCUUAAAACAAGUCAAAACAUCCAUCCUAAGUGUCUAACCAAUGUGCCCUCAUUGACACCACAAUUCAAUUUUUCAACCAAGUUGCAUUCAAAGCCCAUAACUCUUUACUAAGAACACAUGCCAAUCUUACCUUUCAUACAUACCAAUCAAGUUCACUUCUAUCAUAGUAUAGUCAUACAAUUGUAGCAUAUAGCCAAAUGAACGAAAACACUUAUUUAUGAACCAUUACAAGCCAAAUAUCAAAGAUAUAUAUUCACAUGAACCAAAAUCAUUUCAAGACCAAAAUCAUUCAAGUAUAGCAACUACCACAAGUAACUUGUAAUCAAGACGUUUACAAAACACCUAUUACAUGCUAUAUAACCCAAAAGUAAACAUUCAAAACAACCAAAAGAUAUCCAAAUAGUGUGAUUUCUUUGACUCAAUCUAAUCACCCGACUUCAACGAAAUGCUGUGUACAAAGAGAUAAGACAAAUAACAUGAAUAAGCUUUUAUAAAGCUUAGUAAGUUCGACAAUUGAAACAAAUAAGCUUACCAGAAUAACAUGAAAACUUAAAUAACAAGAUUAAUAGUCAGUAUUUCUUGUCAACCACAAUCCGUAAUAGGUGAGUUAAACACAAACGAGUACGAGUUACAUUUGAAUAUAAUCAUAUGAUAUCAAUCCGUAAUGUUAACAUGAAUUCAUAAUCAAUUCAUCGACAACUCAAUAUCAAGUCAUUUAACAAUAGAAAUGUUGCCCGAUGAACGAUAUACGGAUAUGAGUACACAAUUAUCUACCCGAAACACGCCAAACGCUCCAAUGAGCCAAUCCAACUGAAAACACUCAUUGACACCAAGUGCCUAGACCAAAAGGCUAUCAUUCCUCCAAAACCACGCCCGGGCACUAAGUGCCAAGCCCAAAGGCUUUACAUCCACCCCAAUAACACACCAAAAUCAUUGCAAUAUAACUUGAUAGUUCGCAACAAAUGAUGAACCUUGGGAUAUUCAGUGUAUAAACACAAACCAGGAAUCAUCGCCUCAUCACAUAUCAAUCCCGUAAAAUGCAUAUUAUAACCUAUUGGCAUGCCAAUCGUACUUUAUCCUACGUUCAUCCAACCCAAUAAAUAUCAUUGCUAAACAAUGUUCCAAGAAUUAACCAAUUCAGUUUAUACUAAUUAAAAGUAAACAUUUAGUAACUAAUUUAACAUUCAAUAUACAUUUCAAAUUAAAUUAAACUAAACUGAAUGAACUUCUAGGGCUAAACUGCAGUAAUAACAAAAGUCCAAGGACUAUUCUGUAACCCUCCCUUUUCCUCUGUUAUCAACUUGCUCUUGAUCUAUAAUAUAAUUUUAUUUCAAUUAUUAGCCUCAAUUUAAUAUAUUAUUCAAUUUAAUACAUGUGACUUCUUAUGUACAAUGUUACACAUUUACCCCAAACUUUUACACUUUAUUCAAUUUAAUCCCUAAACCCGAAACAAUAUUAUUUUCCAAAAUUAAACUCUAUUCCCAUAGAACCAAAUUUUUAACUAUACAAAAUAAAUUCACACAUGCUGAAAUUUCAUAAGAAAACCUUGCUUAAUUUAAUUUAUUUUCAAUUAAAUCCCUAAACUUAAGAUUAUAAAAAUUACUCAACAGAAUAUUUCUAUUUAACAACCAAACAUAGUAAUUCAUCAUUAAACUUCAAGAACACACUAAAUUCAUCAAUGACACAUUAAAAAACAUUCAAUAGUUUCAAAAUCAGAGGUACGAGUUAUCUGGACCUAGUUGUAACGAUCUCAAAAACAUAAAAGUCAUGAAAAAUUAACCAAGAAACACUUGCAAGCAAUCAUGAAUUCAAACCAAACCUCCCCCAAGUCUUCCAAUGGAGGCUCAGCCAACAUAAAAGAAAAAUGAAGAAGAUAGUACCAUUCUUUACAUUUUCUUUCACUUAAUUUAUACAAUAAAUACAAGUUUGUCAUUAUUUCAUAUUUUUAAUCAAUUUUCUACAUACCUACCGUCCACUAAAUAUGAAAAUGACUUAAUUUUCAUAAUAAAUCAUCCUAAAUUAUUUAAAUAUCCAAUUGGCACUGAAACACUAAUAAUAAUUGACUUUUUCACUUUUUACAAUUUAGUCAUUUUAAAUUAAUUACCUAUCUAAACGUUAGAAUUUAUAACCAAAAUUUAAUACAAUACUAUUUACCUCGUAUAUAUUAAAUAAUUAAUACUUAUAGACGACACGUCAGAAUUGUGGUCUUGGAACCAUUAUUUCCAACACCACAGAAAAACAGGUUGUUACAAGUAAUUACUUUCUAUUAUUUAAACGAAUGAAUCCAGUACGAAAUUAAAAACUGAAAUUAACUAAUGAACACGACAAAUAACAAAAUAGAAAAAUAACAGAUUAGCAACCAAGAAUCAAAACAAUACCUAUGAAAGAAUUCACCAAGAUUUCAUCUGCCGCUAUCAAUCUAAAUUACGAAAUUUCUUUACUUAGUAUCUUGAUACGUAGAAAUCCAUAAAUUAUAUUAACAUCUCUUUCGAGAGUAAAAGUAACUGACUCUAGGUUGAUUAAUUGAAAUUUCUUUCUAAUUAAAACCCCUAUUAUCACAUUAACUUGAUCUAUGGAUUCCCCUAUUAUAUUUGACACUAAUCCUGUAGGUUUAUGUCAUCUUAUUUCUAGGAUUGCAUGCAACUCCACUCAAUUACACAAGAUCUACUCUUACACAAGGUCUAUUCCUCCUCUGAUUUUAGCAAAUCAAACAUGGAUCAAUAAUCUAGAAAUAUUAAACCAAGACUUAAACACACAAAAUUGAGAACAAGAUCUAAGUAUUUAUACCAUAAAAUAAAAAUCAAAUGACAAAAUUCAUCAUAGGUUUCAUCUCCUCUAAGUAUUUAGAAAAUUUGUUCAUGCUUGAAAAUAAAAAUAUCUAAGAUACAGUAUAACCGAAAGAAACAAAGAAACUCAUUAUAUCUUAAGAAAUCAAAUACGAAUCUUCAAUCUUGAUGGAAUUCUGCUUUAGAAUUGGCUUCAAUGGUGUUUUUUGAGUUGUUUUCUUGAAUAUUCUAUGACGACUAACUUCUAUCUUCUUAUUUUUUUCAUAUAUACGUCUUAGAAUACCGUGUAUAAAAGGUUAGCCCGUGUAACCCCUGUACCCUAUUCUGAUUUUCUAGUAUUCGCUUGUUUUUCGCUCUUUUUGCUCACAAAUGCUCUCUUAAGUAUAAAUGCUUGAAUGUAAAGGAUUAAGUGCAUAAAAUUCAUCAUUAACAUUGAAUAAUCACCCAAAAACACAUUAAUACUGAGAUUAAAACAUUUACUUUUAUCACUUAUCAAUUAUGAUGUAGCAUUUUUAAUUAGUCAUGUUCCAAUUAAGUCUUUAGAAUAAUAGUAAACAAUUAAAAUUUUUAUAUUUUUAACAUUAUUCAUGCACUGGACGGAGCACUAUGUUCUGGUAGGUGCGACUGGAAUUGAUCAGAAUGAGUUGGUGCAACUGGUACGGGCCAAAUUUUUUUCCAGUGCAGAAAAAUGGUGUUUGGUGUUUCACAAUGUUAUUGAAACCGGAAUGAACAGACCGAGAAAUUAACCCAAGAACAAGAGUAAACCACAAUUAAACCGCAAAUUGCCGACCGGUUGAACUAGUUAAACCGUAUUUUCACAUUUUCUAAACCCAAAAAACAAAAAUUUCACCCUAAAUCCCUUAAGCUUUGGUUACACUUCAUCUCUGCUCUCAAUGAAAUCUCUGCUCUCAACAAAAAACCACUUCAUUUCUUACUUUAUCUACUAAAAUAAGUUUUUUUUUUGGUAAAAAAACCUAAGCAGGACAUAUAACAUUCAAUCAAUCAAAGCAAAGAAGAAGAAAACUUAGGAAAGAUGAAAGAUGGGGAGAGGGUAGGCGGAAAAGAAAUGAAAAAAUGAAUUUGAAAAGUAUAGAUUAAUGAAAAGAUUCUUCAAGGCUUCAUUAUUUUACCCUUUCUUAUCACGGGCCUAAAAUAGAUGUGCUUGAUUGGGUUUUAAAACUUAAAGCCUCCAAAAUAGAUGAGUUUGAUUGAAGUUUCUAAUAAUUAAUAUUAUUUUAUAUUGUUGAAAAGUAAAUUAAUUGUAUCAGCGGUUGAACCUAUUAGAUCAAGAAUCAAUGAUUUGAUUAAUUUGAUCAUUGGUCUAAUUUUAAAAACAUUGAUAAUUCGAUAUAGAAUUAAAAUAAUACACACAAAUUAGUUUAAUUGAAAUCGAUACAUAAUUGGGCCACCCUAAUUUAGUACAUAAUUGGGCAUCCAUAUAAAAUAUUAUCUUGGGAUUAUAUUGAAAGAGGAAAGUAAUUGUAUGUAAAUGGAUAACUUGGAAGAGAUAAUGAAGAAGGAAUCAUUAUAUCAGUAGUGGCAUCUUCUCGAUGUAUGGCUACUCACUAUCUUGACUGCAUUUAUCAUUUGAUUCUUUUCUUCAUUAGCCAAACUCAUGAUAAAAAUGGUAUAAAAAUAAUUAAUUACUUCUUGGACAGAACAUUAAUAUAUAAAUACCCCAUAUAUAAUAAGCAACAACGUAUCAAAGUACACCAAAUAACAGCAAUUGGAGAACUACCAUUUAUACAAUCAAAUAUAGGUGGGCAAAAUCAAUAAUCAUAAUAAAGACACAAAGACGACUAAAAACCUUAUUAAACUAGAUCCAGUAUGCAGUAGAUAAAAAAAGGGGGUAUUUAAAGAAGUAGAAUGAGAAAAUGGUGGAGAAAAGAAAGGAAUAGAGGGAACUGCAGUUGGGAUUGUAGGGACUGAAGGAAUGUUUUGUAGAGGGGGAAGUCCUCUUGGCAAUGUGGUAGGAAGUGGAGGAAACACCCUAGGGUUAGGGAAAUUAGGGAAAUAUAGAAAUGGUGCAAAAGAGGAAGGAAUUGGGGAAAUCACAGUUGGGAUUGUGGGGACUGAAGGAAUGCUUGGCAGAGGGGGCAGUCCUGUUCGCAAUGUGGUAGGAAGUGGAGGAAACGCCCCAGGCCAUAGGAAUGAUGGCCGGGAUGGCGUUGGGAGAUUAAGGAAAGAUGGCAAACUUUGUGUUUGAGGCUGCUACAGAAGGUGACGAGCUGCUACCCCAACAUUGUUAGGAUCGAUCCGAUUAAGCAACAAGUAACAAAAAAUAGCAGAAUAAAUUGAGAAAUUGAACACGCAAAUUUAACGUGGAAAAACCCCUCCAAAGAGGAUAAAAAACCACGAGCAAAGGUAAUUUUACUAUAAUGGCCAAAGAACGAAGAGUACAAAAGAUGGAGACAAAAAACUAAACCCCGAGAAACCCGAAAACAAGGAACCCUCAAAACAUAAAAACAAAAUUCUCUAAAUGUGUUAUGAGUUCUAAUCUCUAAUGGGUGUAUUUUCUAAGGUUGUAAAAGAACCUAUUUAUAGGCUAAAUUAGUAAGUCAAAUAAACUAUGCUAAUAAAUGCUAAAUAUAUUAUACUAAUAAAUACUAAAUCUUCUAGAAAGAAAAUAUAUUUUAUUUAACUUGACUUGCAAGAAAUCUCUUAGAAUUUCGGUCACACAACUCUAACAAUCUCCACCUUGACACAAAUUCUUACAAUGCUAUCUUUGCCAAAGCCUGCCACGAGCCUAUCUUGAACUAUGUAGGGAAUUAACUGAGUCGAAUCUGUGCUAAGAUGUUGGAAGACUUCUAGCCUUCGACUUGUGCACUUCCAAAUCAAAACUAGCCCUAGUCUAAUUUUUACGAACACAGUGCCAUAACUUUUCAAAAACUGCAUCCAAAAGAGAACCUCUCUCCAACAAAACAGUCAUACAUUUUUCCCUCCUAUGACCAAGUUGCCUCCGCUCCAAACGAGUUGACUUCGACUCCGUAACGGACGAGGGACAUCUAAUUUUACCAGUCACUGUAGAACCUUCCAGAAUAUAAAGACUGCCAGUUUUUUUACCUAUUAACAAAACAAGAGCUCCACGAGGUACUUUAAUGUCACUCGACUCAAUGUUGAUUCUGUAUCCUUUCAAGUCUAAAAUAUUCAAGGAGAUGAGAUUCUUUCGUAAAUCAGGUACAUACCUGACAUUUGAGAGUGUCCUAAUUGUCCCAUCAUGUAUCCUAAUUUUAAUAGUACCAAUACCAAUUACCGUACUAGAUGAGUCGUUUCCCAUGCGAACAACUCCACCUUCAACCGAACUAUAUGUGGAGAACUAUUCUCUAUUGGGACACAUGUGGAAAGAACAUCCCGAAUCUAGGAUCCACUCGAACGUGAGCUUGGAAUUAUUGCUUGUUGACACUAACAAGAAAUCAUCACUGCUUUCAUCAGCCAAUUAGCACCAUCUACAUAUUCCUCGUUACUCUGAGUAGUUAUUUUUUUCACAGAUUAUAACAACCUGCUUUGACGUGACCUAACUUUUUUUUACAAUAGUGACACCUUUUGUCUCAUUUCUUUGAUGCUACCAAAACAGAAGCUUGCCUAUCUGCCUUACUAUCCAAACCAAACUCAUUGUCGAGUUUGUCUCUACUUAACAAAUGACCCUUCACAUCUUCGAACGAGAGUUUGUCUCUGCCAUAAAUCAGGGUCUCCCUGAAAGACUUGUAUGAAGGGGGUAAAGAGCACAAUAAUAGCAUAGCUUGAUUUUCAUCGUCAAUAUGAACCUUAACGUUCAUUAAAUCAUUUAAAAGAGUAAUGAAUUUACUGAUGUGAUCUCUAAGAAACUCACCUUUGUUCAUGCUAAACGUGAAUAGACGUUGUUCCAACACUAAACGGUUAGCUAGAGACUUAGUCGGAUAAAGAGUUUCUAACCUUUUCGACAAGUAGAUGAGGUCUUCUCCAUCAACACCUCUUAUAAUAUCGUAUUCGUGAGGCACAACUGGAUUGUAGACAAGGCCUUUUCAUCAAGCUCUUCCCAUACUGUUUGAUUUAGAUUCUCAGGUUUUUUCUCGGUAAGAACCUUUUUCAAUCCAGUUUGAACUAGAAUUACCAUAAUUCAAACUUGCCAUAGAUUAAAAUUUGUCUCACCAUCGAACUUCUCAAUUUCAAACCUUGUUGCUAUCAUCUUUGAAUAGGCUAAUCUAUAAAAAUUACACUAGCUUUGAUACCACUUGUUAGGAUUGACCCGAUUAAGCAACAACUAAUAAAAAUAGAAAAAUAAAUUGAUAAACUGAACACACAAAUUUAACGUGGAAAAACCCCUCCAAAGAGGAUAAAAAACCAAGGGCAAAGAUAUUUUACUAUAAUGGCAAAAGAACGAAGAGUACAAAAGAUGGAGAUAAAAAACUAAACCCCGAAAAACCUAAAAAGAAAGAACCCUCAAAAUAUAAACACAAAAUUCUCUAAAUGUGUUAUGAGUUCUAAUCUCUAAUGGGUGUAUUUGUAACGCUAGGGUUUGUGUAAGUGUACACAGUCGUUAUCAAGUAAUAAGUAAGUAUGGAGUUAUCGUCUCCACAGGGAUUGUAUGUGUGUCGAGGCACUUAAUUUGAAAAAUUAUAUUAACAAUUUGAAAAAAUAAAAACAAAAUAUAGUUGAGAAGUGGUAUAAAUUAGAUGUAAUGAUCCCUAAUGUAAAUUAUCCAAAUAUGCAGACUAUAUGAAUGAAAUAGAUUUUAGCAAAAUUUAACACAAUUUGCAAAAAUUAUAACAUAACUGAACUAGGACAAUUACUUUAAUUAAACUUAAUUUAUUAUCAUCAUGCUUAAUAAUAUUCAAAAAAACAUUUCAUGGCAACUCUAUCUUUCAUGAGUUUGGAAACCAAAUUAGGUCCUUUUGGAAUCCUUUACUCAGUAAAUACGCAUUUUAUUGAUUCCUAUUUACUAAGGGUUUGUUAGCAUUCGUGUGAGGUAACAGGGACGUGUUAGGUUUGAAACAAUUUAAUCACACAAAUCUAAAAACUAUGCAGAUAACAGAGCCUAGUUAGGGUUGUUAUGCAACCUACAAUUUAAUCGGGUUAGGAUCUAAAUUGAGCAUGCACAUUUCAAUUAUGCGUCCAUUAGCCGUCGUCUGGUUAGGAUCGCUCAGCUAAUUCAGGUGUAUUUCAAUCAUGUAUGAACGAAAUACAGACUUGAUUUUAAUUGAAAACAUGAUCGAUUGAGGCACAAACAUUAUAAGCAUGAAUCAAAUAAAUAUUAUUUAAUCAAAACAAUCAUCCUAGCUUAAAUAAAAUUAAGCCAUUAUUGUUGUAAAGAAGAACAAAGAACACAUAGCAAACAUCUUUAUAUUAAAUUAAAGACAAGAAAGAUUAAACCCAAUUUAGAGUGGUUGGCACCCAAGACUCUGACUGACGAGACUCCAUCGCUUCUUCGCGUUGCUCCUUUGCUGAUAGUUCUCCAAUAUGGCCAACCAAGGACUUUUUAAUAGGCUAAUUUGCUAAAAUCCUUAUGCAAGGAUGAUGAUAGGUGUGAGAGCUAAGAGAGUUGAGAGAGAGGAUGAGAGAUGUGAGAGAUGAUGAGAUGAGGGAUGAGGGAUGAUGAGAAAUGAGCUCUUAUUUAUAGGUGAGGCAAGGGAGCUAGUUUGCUAAAAUUAGGAGUGUCGAUCCUUUGAAACCUCCUCCAAGAAUGGUAGGCCAUGAAUUGAGGAAAUGUGGCUGAUUUUUCCUUGAUUUUUGGUCAAUUUUAAUGCCACAACAACUCAGGACUAAGACUCGGUCUCCAACAAAUCUUCAGGUAAAUCUCUAAUUUCUUCAACUCUUCAAAGGCCUUGUAUAAUUAAACCAAAAAUUGGUUUAUAAUCAGCCAUGUGCAGCCAAAAAUUGGGUUGACUUGGUCCUCACUUUCGACAGUUUUGCAAUUAGAAGGAAACUCUCAGACCUGUCAAAGAUAACUACUUUAAUUAAUCAAUUUACUUAAUUAAUUAAACCCAAUUUUAUUAAUGAAAUAUUUACAAUGAAUUAUUAAAAUAUAACAUUAUAUUUUAUUAUUUAAUUUAAUCAUGCGUGGCCCACUUCAUAGCUUAAAAAUAUAAUAUGCUUAAAUUAAUAUAAAAUAAGUCAUUUUAUGCGUGAAAACUAUAUAAUAAAACAUAAAAUCACAUUUUAAUAAUUUCUAUGUCCUAAUUUCAUAUUUUCACAUAUUUCAUUAAUUUAUUAAACAAUUACUUGGUUUUAACAACAAUUUUAAGUAAAAAGGUGAUGAAUUAUAUAGAAAAAUCCUAUAUAUUUUUCCAUUUACACCCCCCAAACUUAAAUCAUUGCUCGUCCCGAGUAAUGUUCAUGCACAACACAAGGUCUUGCUAAGGCAAAUUUUGCUAAGAGUGUUAGUAGCAUCAAUCUUUGUCUCAUAAUCAUGCAUCAACAAAUUCAUGCUCAUAGAUCAUCUUUAUUAGCAAGUAACUCAUAUACAAACAUUUUGAAAAUUUUAUUCUAGGUUUCAAGAUAUGCCAACAUGAAUAAUAGUUUGCAUGUAUGUCAUAGCCAUAGAUAAUAUUCUUCAUUCAACACAAUUUAUCAUGAAUCAAGCAAACAAUCAUAAGGCUUAUUUAUGAUCUUCACAUGUUGAACUUAAUACUUCCUCUCCACUAAUGUAGGUGACAUAAUCAUCAAAUCAAUUGGUCUUUUAUAAGGUUCUAAUGGGGCUUGGUUUAAAGGUAGGGAUUUUAAGAGAUGGGACAUUUCGGUUUAAAAAAUCUUUACCUUUAACUUGUCUUGGAUUUCUCGAAAUUCAACCUUUUUCUUCAAGUGAACCUUUAGAACACCCCCAAACUUAUUUUGAACUCAAGCUCAUACAUUUUCCUUUUUAAAGACUAGGCGAACUUUUCUUCGCUCUUUCUUUGUCUUUGUGAUUUUUUUAAGCAUGAGCACAUACAUCUUUAUGAAAAUUUCCUCAAAUGUUGAUUCCCAAGACACUUAAGUUAAAACAGGUGCACAAAAUUAGGAAAAUUUUAAAAAGAUGGUAACCGGCUUAUAAUGUAGGUUCAUUUCAAAAACAGGCCUUAAAGCUCAAAAUUGUAGUUUCAAGGGUCUAAUAUCAUAAGGUGGGCUUGAAAAGGCUCAAACGAUCCAAAGAAAAAUGGUGUCUAUAUCAUUUUAGAUUUUUAUGUCCCCUAGGAUUUCGCCUCAAGAAAGUUACUAAGUCAAUUCUAAAGAUAUAAACCUUCAUGCAUGUCUGAUCUCAAGAGAAGCUAAGUUUUCACGGCAAACAUUACCUAAGACUAAGAUCAUAAAAACAUUCCAUUCUUCACGAUAACAUACAAUCACUCACAUAAAAUCAUCAUUCAUACUUGCAUACAAGCUAUCUUAUUAAAAAGAAUUUCUCUAAACAUUCAUUUAUUAAAACAUACUUAUGAAAGAAAUGAUUGAAACAUACUUGAAAAUUUUAAAAUUUAAGCAAUUUAUUUGCGUAACCCCCCUUUAAAAAGAAGCAAUGUCCUCAUUGCAAGAACAAAGUAUGAAUGAAACUUGAACACCAGGUAGGGUUGUCGAAACCAUUUUUUAUUUGAUUAACAAAAAUUUAGUAGUCGACUUAAAAAUAAAAAUUGGAGUCACCACCGAUCUUUUAUUGAGGUGUGAUCGGCUCACCUUAAAAAUGAUUUUGGUCUGCAGAAUUUGAGAAAAUAGGUUCGGGACUCGGUUACGUACGAGGAAGUUUUAGCACCCUCGUAACACCCAAAAUUGGUACCGAAUUGAUUAAUUAAUGUCUUAAUGUCGAAUGUUUGAAAAGAUUUUAAAAUACGAUCCUUUGAAAAGAAAAUUUGAAUAAAAUUAAUUGGAUAAUGAGACUCACUUAUUUCAAAGAAAUAAAUUGUCACACUCAGUAAGUUAGAGUGCAACAUCUUAAAUCCUCAAAAUUGAGUUUAUUUUUUUGACUUUUAAAACCUAUGCAUUUUGAGAAUGAUAUCUGAUUAUUUGGGUCAAAUGAAGAGAUCAAAACCCAGCAAGUUAGGGUUCAAUUUCUCAAAAUUCCAAAUACAGAAUAUUGCCUUUAUUUUUAGAAGAAUCCUCAUCUCGAGGAAACAACAUGUCAUACUCAAUACGUUAGGGCACAACGUAUCAAAUUCUCGAGAAUGAGCUUUUUUAUUUAUUUUUAAUUAAAGAGGAUAUUUGGUUUCCUAGAUCCCGAGGAAGAUUGGAAUCCAAUAAGUUAGGACACAAUCUUUUCGAGGAUCCCAAAUUCUGAGUGUCACGUUGUCUUGAAAGACUUUUGUAUAAAUGAUUUUGAUAUUUAAACGAUAUUAGACGUAAUCUUUAAUGUAACACGAUUGAAUGGUAAAGUAUGAGAUAAUUGGUAAUCCGAACACACACUAAAAAAUAAUGACCAAGCAAUAGAUAAAUGUUAACAAGAAUAGCAACAAUAAUUGUAAUCCUAUUAUGCAAACAUCAAUAUUACCAAUUAAACAUCAAACGAAUUAAUAAUCGAUUUUAAAACGUAUACUAAGAAAACAGGGGCAACAAGAGAAAUCAGAAUCAAUAAAUUAUACAUGCCAAAGUCUUGAAAUGAACAAUAUAUAUAUACCAAUACAUAAUAUUUUUCUUUUAAAAUAAUGCCUAAUAAAUCUGAAAUGAUAAUACAUAAUAAAUUUAAAAAUAAAUAUAUAAUAAAUCUAAGCUAAUAAUACAUAAAAAUUUAUGAUGUUAAUAAUAUAUUGUAAUUUAAAAAUAAUACAUAAUGAAAUUUAACGCUAAUAAAUACGAUAGUAAUAUAUAUGAAAAAAAAUUCAAGUGUAGUACAUAAAGUAAUAUGUACAUAUAUAUAUAAAUAGAUAAAUAAAAUAUAAAUAACAUAAUUACAAUAUCAAUAAGGCUAGUGGAGACAAUCAUAAUAAUAAUAAAGAAGAUUAAACUAAUUAAUAAAAAAAACAAAUAACAAAGAGGAUUAAGUUGAGUUUUAAACAAAAUUACAAGGAAAAAAAAAUGAGAAUAAAACAAAACAGAUGGCCAAAAUAUAAUGCACGAAUUACUUGGGGGACCAAGCAGGAAAUACUCCCUUCCCUCAAAACGCGGCGUUUAGAUCAAGACUGAAUUGAAACAAAUUCAAAAUUCAUGAGGGAAAUUUACAAAAAAAAAACAAAAAUGAAAUUAAAAUGAUGGAGUAAAAUGGAGGGAUCGAAGGCGCAAAUAGACCACACAACAAAAAUGCACAGAUCCUCCCCGGGUCGGGUCACCGUGCUAACCAUAAACCACCAAAUGGCGUCGUUUUAGAGCCAUUGGAACCGGCCUUAAACGACGUCGUUUUUUUAGACUAGAUAAAGACCACUUCAAACCCUAAAUUAGAAACCCCUUGCCAUUUUCAAAACUCAAGCCGCAAAACCUAUGUCUCUCUUCGUCGUUCGAACCCCUUCGACUCCGAUUUAGAUGGAAUGAAUAGGAACUCCGAUGACUCCUCCAACGGCAAGAUCCUCUCACAUUCUCUCUUUUUGGAUUUCGUAGAGGAGCAAAAAUAAUUUGCAUUAUAUCAGAAAAUGAAAUCUGCCAUUACUCUUUUAAAAAUCAAUCUAUUAUUAUUUUUUUGUUCAUAAUAAAAAAAUCAAAGAAAUAAAAGAAGAAGAGGAAAAAAAAGGAAAUCGGAGAAUCACCUUCAAAAAAUUUUGCUUUUUUCUUUUUGUAUUGAUAUCAUGUGUGUAAAAAAAAUACAAAGGUUCUUCCCUUUCUUUUAUAGCCGAGAGAAAAAGAAAGAGAAUAAAAUAAAAAUACAUAUCCAUUUUCUUUUUGUUGUAUUGUUUUCGUCCCAUUUGCAGGUGUACGGAGUUGGUGGACAUGGCGUGUACGAAGGAGAAGGUGCAGGCGUACAGAGGCUCGUCACGCGCGAGGGGCUUGGCUGCGGCGCCUGGAUCUUCUAGGGUUUUCGUGUGUUGUUUAGUGUUUUGGGCUCAUUUGGGGUUUGGGUAGAAUUAGAUGUUGGACCUUAAUUGUUUGGUCUAAUUUCUGCCUAGGAUUUCACGGAAGAAGAUAUUUUGCAAGUCUAGUCCCUGAGGAUUUGACCCUACUUCCCUUUUACUAUUCUUUUUCAUUAUUUAUUAGGGAUAGGAUAUUUUUGGUGCUUUCAAUGACCGCAUCAAAUUUUGGCGCCGUUGCCGGGGACUGGCAACGUAUUAAUCUUGUUUUUUGUUUCUUAUGACCAGAUCUGCUCCAGGUACUAUUGAGUUCGGUUCAAAAAUUGAGAAGACUACUAGAGCCAAUCGCAAGGAGACAAAGUUACGGAAAAAGCAGUCAGCGGAGGUUGGAACUCAAAGUAACCCAUCGCCAGAAAUAGAAGUCGACGACGAAGCUGAGUCUAGGGUUAACGAAAACCUUACUCGAACACUUGAAAGCGAAAAAGUAGAAGUCGACUCACCAGAAUAAGUGCUUAACGCUAGGGUUAACGAAAACCUAAAUCUAGCACACCAACCAAUGGCUCAAACGAUUCGGCAACUGGCCGAAGCUCCGACAGAACAAUCGCCAUUGUGCAUCUCGUAUCCUACUAUGGAUACUGAUUUUGAGUUGAAGACAGGUUUAAUCCAGUUAUUGCCAACUUUUCGUGGGUUACAAAAUGAAAAUCCCCACAAGCAUUUGAAAGAAUUUCAUAUGGUUUGUCUUAGCAUGAAACCUCAGGGGGUAACUGAGGAUUAGAUUGAAUUGCGUGCUUUCCCUUUCUCCCUAGCAGAUUCUGCUAAGGAAUGGUUAUUUUAUUUACCCCAUGGAUCUAUUACAACUUUGGCUGAUCUAUCUCGUUUGUUUCUGAACAGGUUUUUACCAGCGUCGCGAGCAGUUGAGCUAAGAAGAGAGAUCGUUGGAAUAAGGCAAAAAGAAGUUGAGUCCCUUUACGAUUAUUGGGAGUGGUUUAAGAAGUUGUGUGCAAGCUACCCACAACAUGGUAUAAUGGAGCAAUCUCUCCUCCAAUACUUUUAUGAAGGUUUGAAGCCUAUGGAGAUGAAUAUGGUAGACGCUGCUAGUGGAGGAGCAUUGGUCAACAUGACUCCCCAACAAGCGAGAGACUUGAUCUCCACGAUGGCUGCAAAUUCUCAGCAGUUUCGAGCUAAUACUGAACCCCCUAGAAGGGUUCACCAGCUAAGUAAUUCAACCUUAGAGGAUAAAGUUGAUAGACUUACUAAUAUGAUGAACUCUCUUAUUGCAGAAAAAGCGAAGACAGCUCGGUUAUGCGGAAUAUGUGCUACACCUAAUCAUGCAACUGAUGCAUGUCCCAGUUUGUAUGAUGAUACCACGGCCCAUCUGGAUGUUAUGGGAAAUUUCCCUGGGCCGCCACAAAGGCAGUACGAACCCUACACUAAUACCUACAACCCAGGGUGGAGGGACCAUCCUAACUUAAGCUAUGGGGCCAAUCCACGAAACAACCAGCCAUACCAAAAUUGGUUUCCGCAACAACCACAAGGUUCAGGUAAUUUUCUAGAAACCAUGGUCAAUAAGUUAGCAGCUAAUGUUCUAGAUUUUCAACAGCAAAAUCUUAAUUUCCAAAAAGAGACGAAGGAUUUCCAACAGAAAAUCGAGGCGUCCAUCAGAGAGUUGACCACAUUAAUCGAGAAAUUGACCUCUCAAGGGAAGCUGCCGUCACAAACAGAACCAAACCCUAGACAAAAUGCAAAUGUAGUGACGUUGCGAAGCGAAAAGGUACUGGAACCAAUUCCUAACAGGAAUCUUGCCCAAGAAAUCACCGAGGAAAAACCCGAAAAAGACGAACAGGUUCGACCGAAGACUCCAUUGCCUAAAAUUCAACCUCCAUUUCCAGAGCGAUUCAACCAGUGUCGAAAAGGUAAAGAGGACAAGAAAAUUCUUGAAACAUUUAGGAAUGUCGAGAUCAAUAUUCCGCUGUUGGACGUCAUCAAGCAAAUACCGCGGUAUGCUAAAUUUCUUAAAGAGCUUUGCACCAAAAAGCAAAAAUUAACAGGUAAUGAAAGGGUGAAUAUUGGAGAGAAUGUAUCCGCAGUGUUACAGCGGAAAAUGCCGGCAAAAUGCAAGGAUAGGGGCAUGUUUGCAAUACCAUGCAAAAUAGGUCAUCUGGGAAUUAAGAAGGCUAUGUGUGAUCUAAGGGCCUCUAUAAAUGUAAUGCCAUAUUCUAUUUAUGAAUCACUUAACGCGGGUUUUUUGACAAAAGCAGGUGUUAUCAUUCAAUUAGCAAACAGGUCUGUUGUGCAUCCAGAAGGAGUUCUUGAGUAUGUUCUGGUAAAAGUUAACGAGCUUAUUUUCCCUGCAGAUUUUUAUGUGAUCAAAAUGGAGGAGGAUAGCAUUCCUGGAUCUUCAGAUCUCCUGUUGGGUCGACCGUUCCUUAGUACAGCUAGUACUAAAAUUGAUGUUCGAAGUGGAACUCUCACGAUGGAGUUUGAUGGGGAGAUCGUAAAGUUUAAUGUCUACGACGCCAUUAGCCAUCCAAGCGAAAUUUUGAGUGUAAAUCGUAUCGACAUAAUUGACUCUUUGGUGGAAGAGAAUUUUGAUUCAAUUUAUGGAGAUAAUUCUGAACUUUAUGAAAUUGAAUUUGUUAAUGAGCUAUUAUCUCCAAAUACUAAACUGUUACCUUCUGUUAUACAGGCGCCAGAGUUGGAGUUGAAACCGCUUCUUGAGCAUCUGAAAUAUGUACUUUUGGGGAAGGGUAAUACCCUAUCAGUCAUAAUCUCCAAUAGACUCUCCACACAUGAAGAGGAAAGUUUGGUUCAUAUACUAAAAAGUCAUAAGGAGGCGAUCGGUUGGACCAUUGCAGACUUAAAAGGGAUAAGCCCUUUGACGUGCACACACAGGAUCUAUUUGGAGGAAGACACGAAACCGAGGCGAGAGGCACAAAGACGGCUAAAUCUGAAUAUGAUGGAGGUAGUACAAAAAGAAAUAAUCAAGCUUCUGGACGCUGACGUAAUUUACCCUAUUUCUGAUAGUAGGUGGGUAAGUCUGGUUCAAGUCGUGCCCAAGAAAACGGGCGUGAUAGUAAAGAAAAUGCUGAAGGUGACUUGGUACCUACCCGAGUACAAAAUGGGUGGCGCGUCUGCAUUGAUUGCAGGAAGUUGAACUCAUACACUAGAAAAGAUUAUUUCCCUCUUCCUUUUAUAGAUCAAAUGCUUGAAAGAUUAGCCGAAAAAACUCACUUUUGUUGUCUUGAUGGAUACUCAGGUUUCUUUCAAAUUCCAGUCACACCGGAGGACCAAGAAAAGACCACUUUUACAUGCACAUUCGGUACAUUUACGCACAGAAGGAUGCCAUUCGGUCUUUGCAAUGUGCGGGCCACCUUCCAAAGAUGCACGAUAAGUAUAUUUUCUGAAUAUGUAGAAAAAAUUAUCGAAGACUUUAUGAAUGAUUUUACUGUAUAUGGGAGUUGUUUUGAUGAAUGCCUUAAAAACCUAACGAUAAUUUUGAGUAGGUGCAUAGAAUUUAAUCUUGUCUUGAAUUAUGAAAAGUGUCAUUUUAUGGUAGACAAGGGUUUAAUUCUGGGUCAUGUUAUUUCAUCUAAAGGAAUUGAGGUCAAUAAGGCCAAAAUUGAUAUUAUAAAUUCUUUGCCUUAUCCCUCCACUGUGAGGGAAGUUUGUUCUUUCCUUGGCCAUGCAGGGUUUUACAAGCGCUUCAUAAAAAACUUCUCGAAGGUAGCUGAACCACUGUGUGAGUUGUUACAGGAGGAUAAGAAAUUUGAGUUUGACCUAAAAUGUAAGGAGGCAUUUGAUACACUCAAGCAAAAGUUAGUUUCCGCUCCUAUAGUGCAACCACCAGAUUGGAAAUACCCAUUUGAAAUUAUGUGCGAUGCCAGCGAGCGCAGUGUAGGAGCUGUGUUGGGGCAAAGGAUAGACAAAGAACCACAUGUCAUAUGUUAUGCCUCGAAAACCCUAGAUGUUGCCAGAGCAACUACACCACUACGGAAAAAGAACUCUUAGCCGUUGUAUUUCCUUUAGAUAAAUUUCGACCUUAUUUAUUGGGAUCUAAACUAAUUACUUUUUCUGAUCAUGCAGCCCUCAGGUACUUGAUCUCGAAGAAAGAAGCAAAACCAAGGCUCAUUAGGUGGAUUUUACUACUCGAAGAAUUUGACAUUGAGAUUCGAGACAAAAGGGGAUGCGAAAAUUUAGUGACUGACCACUUAAGCAGAAUAAAAGUACCUUUUGAUGACAUCCUUAUUAAGGAAGAAUUCCCUGAUAAGAGCCUAUUCUCGACUGAGGCACGUCUCCCAUGGUAUGCAGAUAUAGUAAACUUUCUAGCCACAGGAUCAUUACCCACUGAGUUAGCACGCUCCGUGAGAGACAAGCUUAGACGCGACGCUCGAUAUUAUAUUUGGGAUGACCCAUACUUGUGGAAACACUGUUCAGACCAGAUAAUAUGAAGAUGUGUUCCAGAAACUGAGGUAACUUCUAUCCUUAAUUUUUGUCAUGCUGAAGCUUGCGGAGGUCAUUUUGGCCUAAACGGACCGCUCAUAAGGUGUUAGAAUGUGGGCUAUAUUGGCCCACAAUUUUUCGAGACGCAUAUAACUUUUGUAAGUCUUACGAUAGGUGCCAACAUACAGGUAACAUCACUCCCAUUUAUUUCUUCAAUUGGUAAUGUAUAUAUAAUUCUUACAGUAGACUAUGUUUCUAAGUGGAUAGAAGCAAAGCCUACUCACAAUGGUAAUGCCAAAACUGCUAUGGAGUUUUUAAAGCAAACUGCUAUCGAGCCCUAAUUAGUGAUCGUGGCACCCACAUUUGUAAUAAGGUCAUGGAGGCACUGUUGGCAAAAUACGGAGUCCACCAUCGUAUAGCUACGGCUUACCAUCCCCAAACGAACGGUCAAGCUGAAGUCUUAAACAGGGAAAUCAAGACUAUUUUGGAGAAAAAAGUUUGUCCUAACUGAAAGGAUUGGAGCCUUCGGCUAAAUGACGCACUUUGGGCCUAUCAAACUGCAUAUAAGGGAUCGAUUGGUAUGACCCCGUAUCGACUUAUUUUUGGUAAAGCUUGCCACCUUUCGGUCGAAUUGGAACAUAAAGCCUAUUGGGCCAUUCGACAGUGUAGCAUGGAGUUAGAACCAGUAGGAAAGGCAAGGAAAUUAGACAUCCAAGAGUUAAAAGAAAUUCGCAAUGAUGCCUACGAAAAUGGUCACAUUUAUAAAGACAAAACAAAGUUGUUUCACGAUAAGAGAAUAGCUCAGAAGCAUUUUUCGGUAGGACAAAAAGUUUUACUUUAUAAUUCCGUGUUAAAGUUAUUCCCAGGUAAGCUUCGAUCACGGUGGCAAGGACCUUUUAUUGUUACUAAAGUGUUCACACAUGGAGCAGUUGAAAUAGAGAGUGAAGAAUCUGGAAAGCGGUUCGUAGUCAAUGGCCAGCGGUUAAAGCCAUUUUAUGAGAAUUUUCAAGCCCACACGUUUCAAAAAAUCCAUUUGGAACCACCAUAGAACCAAUAACGGCGUCGAGCUAAUGACAUUAAACAAGCGCUUGUUGGGAGGCAACCCAAUUUUUAUUUUUAUUUUUAUUUUUUUCUUUACUUUAUUUAUUACUUUAUUUUAUUUUAUUUUACUUAUUUGGAUAUUAAUAAUUUUUUCUUCUUUUUCUUAGAUAAAACAGAGCGAAAAUGUGAAGAAAACCGUUGAGCAACGCUUAGAGCGCAUUGAGGCCCGACUUGAAACCUUUUGCCAGCAACUGACCAAACUCAUUGCCAUCAUUUGCGACCGAUAGUAAAAACAUGGGGAGUUUUUCUAAACUUUUCUACCUAUUUAUUUCUUUUCGUCCACAUUGAGGACAAUGUGCUUUCAGUAGGGAGAGGUACUCUUUGUUAUUACUAUCAUUUUCUGCUGUGAUUUUGGUUAUUGUUGCUGGUGUUGCUGGUGUUGCUGCUUGAGACUUUAUUUUGUCCAUAUUUAUUUUUUUUGAAUCUCCUGCCUCUUUUCAUGCCCAAGAUUUUUACCAAGAAUUGCCUACUGUUUGACCUACAAGCAUGAUUCUUUUUUUCUGAGAAAAUUACGAAUUUUCCAUAAUUGAUGCCAUCUCCACUGUUUUAUUCUUAUCAGACUAAAAAUAAUUGUGAUUCAUAAAGUUAACUUUAUCUUGCUUUUCGUAAAAUUGAUCAAGUUUAAAUACAAAGUAGACACUUAAUAUGUUUGCAUGCUAAAAUAUGUUGAUGACUAUUAAGGUAAUUACUAAAACUUAUUUUUGACACUUGAUUAUUUUUUCUCUAAAGUCCUCAUAAAAAAGUUAUUAUUAAAUGUCGUUUAAUGUUUCUGUGGUUAUGAGUGCAGCUUAAAAACGAGACUGACUGAGUAACCGGGGUAGGGUGCUUGGGUUGUCAUCCUAUUUCGCGUCAAAAAGUUGUGUGACGUGUUAGGUAAAACUCCGCUAACCGGAAUUAAUUUUUAAGAACAUGUUGGGCUGAGUAACUGGGGUGGGGUGCUUGGCUGUCAUCUCUCUUUGCGUCAAAAGGUUUGAUGUGUUCGUAAGAAAAAUUAUAAUAAAUUAGGAGUUUGCUGGGCUGAGUAACCGGGGUAGGGUGCUUGGUUGUCAUCUCUCUUCGCGUCAAAAGGUUCAGUAUAUUCCUAAAGCAUAAAAAAAGAGAAAAAAACAAAAAGAAAAAAAAAAUAAUUUGGGGACUAAAGGAGGAAACAAAUAGAGUGUCUUGGUAGGUUUGGUAAUUUACCUAAUUUUCAUUAAAUAAUUCAAGUUGAUUGUAAUUUUUGAGUGUAUUAAUUGGAAAACUUUUUCUGUUUUACUUAAAGCAAGCUUAGGGUUCUCUUUAUUUUUCAUAUGCAUUUUUGAUUGGUUUUUAUAAAACUUUGGAGUUGUAUUUCUUUUAUGGCAGAAUCUAACUUUCACAGUAGAUAGGAACCAUACUUGAGGGCAAGCAUGAGCUAUGUAAGGGGGAUUUGAUAACACUCUAGAAUAAUGUAUUUUUAUGUAUUAAUUAUGUAUUUAUUCUGAGUAUGAUCCUGCUAAUUUGAGCUAUUUAUGAUCUUUUAUCUCAUAGGGACUAAAUUUGAUGCAAAAGCAAAAUUAAGGGCCAAAAGCAUGAAUUUAGAGAUAAAAUGGGCCAAUGUGCGACAUAAGGAAAAGUUGGUGCCAAAAGUGCAAGCAUGGAGGACACAAGGGUUGAAAUGCAAAAAGAAAAGAUUUUAUUCUAUUAAACUCUAUUUUAAUUAUAUUAGGAUAAUUAAUAUUGAGAUAAUUAUUAAGGAUUAUUUUUAGGAUUUUAUUUUAUCUUUAUUUAUCUUCAAUUAAAUGUAUUUAUCUUUUAGGAAUUUAAGUAGGAUUAGAAUAUCUCCCUUAGCACUAUAAAUAGGGGGUGAAGUGACUCAAAAGGGGAUCCCAGAUAUUUUUCUGAAAACACUCUCUCCCAAAAAGUUUAGGCUUUUGUUCUUCUCAUAUUUAUUUUUAAUAAAAUCUUUAUUUCUAUUUAUUUAUUUUCUUUUCUACCACAACCAUGAGCCACUAAACCCAUCUAGCCGAAGGUUGUCAAAAAUCCCCAAAAGGUUUCAUGAAGCUUAGAAUCCGUACUUAGCCUCCUCGCUGAGUAUUCAUCGUUUCUCCCCACUACGGGGCUGACGCUUUCGUCUAUGUCCCUAAAGAAGUAAGCUUUUCAACGUAUGCAAAGGUGGCCGCUUUGUAUGUUUUGGGAAGGUUGCACAGUCGGUUCAUUAGCUUACUGCGUCAGAGGUUGGCGAGCCCAAGAGACAAAAUGGCGUUGGAUUCGCCAUUGAGAAGUGUUGAUCUAGCAUAAGACGAUCCCAUAGAAGCGAUUGUUGGCUAGAGUCAGGUUCCACCACAUCGUAAGUCUAAGUCAUUGGAGCUGGUGGUCGUAGGCGUCCUCUUCCACUAUAACUGGCUUAUUCGGUUUGGGAAGGAUCAUCUAAAAGUCGAGGAUUGAACCCAAGGCAGAACGAGACAACUGGAGGCUGGAAUCUCCCAUAAGAAUUUCCUUUCUCUCAACUCUAUUUAUAAUUUCUCAAAUUUUCGAUUCAAUAUUCUUAAUUCUGUUUUUAUUUUAUUCUUCGUUUCCAAAUCCAAACCUUUAAUUCUGUUAUUUUUUAUUUUUUUCAGGAACGCAGGUUGUCUUGGGCAAGACUCUACUUGGGAUUCCACAUAACAAGAUAUAAUGCAAAUCCAGUCCCUGAGGAUUUCACCCUACUUCCCUUUUACUGUUCUUUUUCAUUAUUUAUUAGGGAUAGAAUUUUUUGGUGCUUUCAACGACCGCAUCAGUGUUGUUUAGUGUUUUGGGCUCAUUUGGGGUUUGGGUAGAAUUAGAUGUUGGACCUUAAUUGUUUGUCUAAUUUUUGGACUGGUGUUUAGUGGGUUUGAGGUUUAAUGUAAUCCGGGCUUGGAUUUUAUUAAAUUUGUAAUACUGGAUUGUAUUGGACUUUUAAUAUAUUUAUUUUAUAUAUAUUUUUUUAUAUUUGGGUUUUAAUACUUGGGUUUGGGUUGAGCAAAAUUUGGGUAUUACAGCUGCCCCUCUUUGCUCGUUAUCGUGUAACGGGAACGGAGCAAAGACUCUAGAAAUGGCCAAUUUUGCCCAGUCAUGUUGGACCUUGGCGCUCUUCUUCUUCGAGUUGCCUCAUUCCAUCCUACUGCAUCUUCAGGAGUAUAGGAAUUGGUGCAUCGAUCCACUCCACCGCAACGUCGGGGAGAUAGGAUUUGUAACUUGUAACUUUAAUCUGCUUAACUGUGAUGUUAGGGAAGCAAGACUCGCUAUUGUAACUUCAAUCUGUUCCAUUACACCACCAGAGAAGUAAGAUUUGUUAUUCUCAGUCUGCGCCGCUGCAACUUCAGGGAGAUAAGACCUGAUGCGAUCCACUCUACUGCAACUUCAGAGAGAUAAGAUCUAUUAUUUUAAUUCGCUCCGCUGCAACCUCAGGGAGAUAAGAUUAGUGGCUUCAAUCUACUCCAGUGUAACCUCAGGAAGGUAAAAUCAGCCACCUUCAGUCUGCCCCACUGCAACUUCAUGGGGAUAAGACUUACUUACUCAGUCUGCUCCACUGCAACCUCAGGGAGAUAAGACUUGAUGCGAUCCACUCUACUGCAACUUUAGAGAGAUAAGAUCUAUUAUUUUAAUCUGCUCCGCUGCAACUUCAGGGAGAUAGGAUUAAUGGCUUCAAUCUGCUCCACUGCAACCUGAAGGAGAUAAGAUUUGCCAUCUUCGAUCUGCUCCACUACUGCUUAGGGAGAUAAGAUCUGUAAUUCUUCAACCUACUCCACUACUGCUUAGGGAGAUAAGGCUUACAAUCUUCAACCUAUUCCACUGUUGUCCCGGGAUAUAGGAUUCAUAAUCUUUAAGCUACUCCACUGCUAUCCAGGGAGAUAGGAUUCACAAUCUUCAACCUACUCUACUGCUGUCCAGGGAGAUAGGAUUCAUAAUCUUUAACCUACUCCAUUACUGUGCAGGGAGAUAGGAUUCACAAUCUUCAACCUAUUCUACUAUUGUCCAGGGAGAUAGGGAUGGGGUCAUCGAUCUACUUUGCUGUCGGUGUAGGAAGGCAAGAUAUGCUAUUUUUAACCUGCUCUGCUGUAACCCAGGGAGGCAAGGCUAGUGUCUUCAAUCUGCUUCACUGUCGGUGCAAGAAGGCGAGAUCUGCUAUUUUCACUGAUCUGUUCUCUGGGGAACAUGACCUGUAUAAUGAACCUAAUUAUGCCUAAUGAUUAGGACGACAUGAUCAAAAUGAAUCAAAUGCUCCUAACUAGACAUGUAUGAAUGGUGUUUGCAUGAAUGCAGAAUUUUAUUUUUUCGAGAAUGAUCCUUCUUUAUCACUUAGGUUAUCAUUACUCAAAGUUGAUUAAAGCUUUAUCACUGACUUGCUAUAACACCUUCGCUCAGUCGGUAUCUCCAAAGGAACACAUAAUCAGAUUGCCCCCACUGUGAACUUCAAAGUUAAUUCCACUAGGACGCAAAAUUUAUGCCAUCUUUCUCGCGCUGUGACCCAAGGGUAGAAAAAUUUGGUUUUUUCUCAAUCCUCUUCUAUCAUAAUUGAAGGCUACAGAAUAUGAAACUCUUUGGUCCUUUACAUUAUGCCUAUGCACAAAUGAAGAAUUCUCUUCUCCAAGAAUAGCUUCCUCUUAUUAUUCAGUGAUCAUUGCUUGCUUGUUCAUGACAUCUCGUCAUUUUGUUUAAUUAGACUCUUCCUUUUCAGAUUUCCAACCUUUAAACUUGGUACGUUCUAAACAUUAGUCCUGUUUCAGGCUCAUGUAUUAUUUAGAAACUUCUAGAGUAAUAUGUAAAACUUCCCUUGUGAAAGUUUUAUUUGUCCAUUAAUCAUUAUCCCAAUGCAACAUGCUUGCAAAAAAGGUCAUAACAAUGGACAAGAAUAAAGUUGGUUCUGAGCAUAGCUCGAAAGGAAUAAAUUACCAAAAAUAGUAAAGAAGGAUAACAAAGAAAUUGAUUGGGAAUGUGUAUCUUGGAAAAGAAUGAAAUAUUCCAAGAACAACAAAUUCAAUAUAAAUAGUAUGAAAAUUGGGUGCCCUAGAUAUCGCAGCUUGAACUUCUCCGUACAAACUUUCUGAAGACCAUUCUGAGUUUGACAUGUGUUUAGGAGAUCUACAGUAUUUUGUCGAUGCCCCAAGAUGUCACCUACCCUUUCCUAUUGAUUCAGGUAUAACAAGAUCACCACAUGCCCCAAUAUGAUCAACAUUUGAGCCACCCUUUUCAGGUUUUUAACUCAAAUUCCCUUUGGCAUAAGGUGCCCUUUGCGGGUUUUCCCCUUAGCCUCUCCAUUUUUACUUUUUCAUUUUUUCAUUUUUCACAUUUUUUUGACUCAAAGUGCCCUUUGCGGGUUUUCACCUUGGUCCUUUCUUAUUCUUUAAACGAAGUAUUUCUUGACUGGAUCUGAGUUUAUAGGAUUUGGCAAGUUUUUACCAUCCAUCUCACUUAGAAUCAAAGUUCCACCAGAAAAGACCUUCUUUACGACAUAAGGACCCUCCCAAUUUGGCAUCCAUUUUCCUCUAAAGUCUUUUUGUAUAGGAAGAAUUUUCUUCAACACCAGAUCCCUUCGUGGAAUUAUUUGGGACGACCCUACUUAUUAUGGGCUCGUAUCAUUUGUUUCUGGUACAUCCGACCUUGAUGAAUAGCUUUUAACCCUUUUCCUAGGUUCAACUGAUCACAUCACGAUUGGAUCCAUUCUGCUUCAUCCAAGUCUAGCUCAACUAAUACCCGGAGAGAGGGGAUUUCAAUAGGUAAAACUACCUCAAUCUCGUAAACCAAAGAGAAAGGUGUUGCCCCAGUACAGAUGUUUGACAAGCAAUGAGGGAAAAUGGUAAUUUCUCAUGCCAGUCCUUGCAAGUCUUAGUCAUUUUUCCUUCAAUUUUCUUGAUAUUUAUCUCUAGGUAAUUCGGUGACGAAUUGUGGUGUCUGAUUUUGGCUUGAUUACGGACCUCAGCUAUCGCGCUAUUGUUCAGGCUCAAUUCAUUAUCCAAUAUAAUCCUCUCUGACGGUCUAUAUCGUCAUAUGAUGACAUUAGUGUAUGGAGCAACCUCUACUAGUUUGAUGAAGUAAUUGAUAUCCUAAAAAAUAAGGCGAUGCACAUUAGAAGCCUUCGACGAUAUUGGCCUAAUGUCAUCCAUGCCCCACUUUGCUCAAAAUUUGAGUCGCCCUUUUCGGGUUUUCAACUCAAAUCCACAUUUGGUCAAAACGCCUUUUGCGAGUUUUCGCCUUGACCUCUCCUUUUUCUUUUCUUUUUCAUUUCAUCAUUUCAUCAUUUUUUUUUGUUUUUAUUUUAAUUAUUUUAUCUUUUUUUUUAUUUUUUGAUUUUGAUUUCUUUUUUUUAUUGAAUCUGAACUCAUAGGAUUAGGCAAGUCAUUGCUAUCCUUUUCGAUCAGAAUCAAUUUUUUUAUAGAUAAAGUCUUCCACCUAAGAUCUUCCACUCUCAUCUUACAUGUGAAAAUCUUAUUUGGCAUCUAAUUUCUUUCUUAGAGCCUUUUGGGGCGCAACUAUGAUAGAAAACUUUGGAUCUUACUCUUUAAUCGGGAUAAAAUCCAAUAAAACUUGAAGAGAUGGAAACGCGACUUCAAACGGGCAAAGCUAUAAUGAGUCAACAAGAAAGGCAUUACCCUGGCAAAGAAUUGCAUCGUUCAUACUGCAAAUUUCUGACAUCGUGCUGUUGUGCAGAUUUCAUUAUCAGCUAUUAACCCGGGCAUAUCCUGGUAUGAUCAUACAAAGACAUCUUUGAACUCUAGAGGUAACUCAACAAGGUCUUGCUUCGUUUUCGCGAUCAGGUCAAUUCUAAUCUUCACCAAGCUCACAAUUCCUAAUGAUUCCUUGUGAGGUAGGAUCUGUCUAUCCUCUUGUUCUACCAUCCUCAACAAGUCCGGAGAUAAGCUACGAUCUAUGUCAUUUUCAAAGUCAUGAGAUCCCUCUAAACACAUGCCUCGCUCAAAAGGAAAAUCUGAGUCUGUAGCAGCGUCAUUCAUAUAAUUGAUAUUGGGGGACCCAUAAUAAGUACCAAAGAAUGUACAAAAGAAUGUAUAAAUUUAUGAAUAAUUAUUUGUACAAUAUGAUUAUGAAUGAAUGAAUGAUGUGGAAGGAAAUUCAAAAGAAUGAAAGAAUAAUUAUUCAAAAAGACUGAAAGAAUAUUGGUUCAAAAAUGAUCACAAUGAUGCAUUUCAUUAAAGUAACAAUGUUCAGACAUGAGCCUAUUUCACAAAGAAGUUCUGAUUGCUUCUAGGCUAAAAGUAACAAGUGCAUUCUGACUAUUACUCUAAGUAAGCUCUAAAUACUAUAGGAAUUUCUUCCGCAGUCCAAUUGCUUAGAACACUCCCAAAUUUAUAAGGACGGAUAUCUAACAAGGUCCCUUCUUCAAUUGUGUCUUCAUACAUGUCAUUGAUUUGAACGCUUCCCAACAUCUCUUCACACAUCGCAUCAAUCAUGAUUGGGUAGAGGGUUUUCUGCACUAGAGUCAUCAAACUUGACAACACCCAUGUUGAUGAGCCUUUAAACAAGCUUUUUAAAGAUGGUGCAAUUUUCUAUCGAAUGCCUCGCAGUUCCUGCAUGAUAAUCACAUUGUGCAUUCACGUCAUACCAUUUGGGGUACGGAGGUUGCAGGGGUUUUAAGUAGGGGAAACAACGUGCGCAUCGAAUAAGCUUUGAUACAGCUCCUUAUACGACAUCAGAAUUGGCAUGAACUGGAGCUUCUUAGUAUUUUGUUUCACACCAGAUUCUUGUCUUGAUGAACCUUGUUGACUAGCAACCACUUUUCUUGGCUGGUUCACCAUAAUCGAUUUGUUGUAUGUGCUUACGUUGUUUACCUCGUUCUCCUUUCUCCUUGCGGCUGACUUUUUGUUACUCUCUCCUGGCUCUAUUUUCCCAUUCCUGAUGGCAUUUUCAAUCAUCUCACCAUUCAUGAUUAUAUCUGAGAAACUCUUUGAGGCACUUCUCAACAUGUGCGUGAUAAAUGGGGCUUUCAGUGUGUUGAUGAAGAGCAUCGUCGUCUCUUUCUCCAAUAGAGGCGGCUGAACCUGGAUAGCGACUUCCCUCCAUCUUUGUGCGUAUUGCCUGAAACUCUCGCUCGAUUUCUUCUCCAUGUUUUGUAACGUAAUCCUAUCAGGGGUCGUAUCAGUUACAUGACUGUACUAUUUUAUGAAUGCAUGUGCCAGGUCCCUCCAUGAACCAAUCUUGGUACGGCUCAAUUGAUUGUACCAUUUGGACGCUGCCCCUACCAAACUGUCCUGGAAGCAGUGUAUUAGCAGCUGGUCAUUCUUAACGUAGUCAGUCAUCCUUCUACAGAACAUGGUGAUGUGAGCCUCAGGGCAACUAGUUCCAUUGUUUUUCGAAUUCAGGCAUUUUGAACUUGUAAGGGAGUACUAAGUCCGGAACCAAGCUCAGAUCUUUAGCGUCGAUUCCAUGAUGGCUAUCAGCACUUUCCAAGGCUUUGAAUUUUUCCUCCAACCAUUUACACCUAUCCUCCUAUUGUUUUGGUAGCUCUACGUUUGCCUUUUCUUUUUCAUUCGUUUCGUCAAAAUUGGGAAUAAUAGGGUUAAUUGGGUUAUCUCUUAGGCUUGAACUUGAUCCGUCUUAGAGAUUCACGGGCAUCGAGGCACCAGCUUGGAAUUGUUGAGGCCUAAUUGUAACAGAUGGUCUCAUUGGGUAUAUUUCAGCUUGGGUUUGUGCAUUUGGUGGAGUAAAACCCGGGGGAUAUAACGGAUCCUCAUUAUCUUCUCCAGGAUUGGCCAUAGGGUCCUUUCCCUUAUUUGUUCCUCCCGCCAGUAAUUGAGUUAAUUGAGCCAUCAUAUCUUUUUGAGAUUCCAUCAUCUUUUUCGUCAUAUUUUGUUGAAUUUUUUCUAACUGCUCUUGCAUUCGCACUUGUAACUAUUCUUGCAUAUCCUUUUGCAUUUGCUCCAGCUUCUCUAAUCUUUGAUCCAUUUCUUUAGUUUUGCGACGAGUACCGUAAGGGUGUUUGGUUGAUUGGUUUUCCAGAAUAGCUGAAAUAAAUUUACUCAAUUAGAAUCUUUCAAUGGAUUUUGAUGAUGUCAUGUAAUGUAAAUGCAUGAAAUGAAUGCCUAAAGAGGGGUUGAUUUUGAUUCAAUUACAUUUAGAAAACUUUACUAGAAGACAAAUUUCUUUACAUAAAGCUGUCAGUCUCGCCCUCAUAUUCCAAGAGACAACAUUGAUCCCUUCCUUUAUCCGUGUGCUAAGAUAAACCUUGCGAAUUCUUCAAAAAAUGUGUCUCCUCUAUCUCUUUUUACUUGAUCUUGGUUGCAAUCCGUUGUCUGCCUAUCCUCGUAAUGCUAAUCAGCUCCUUUAAGGAAGUUAGAAUGUCGAUGGCUCUUAGAUAGUCAUCUUGAAUCUUCGGGCCAUGAGGUAAAGUCACGAACUUUUCUUUCACCUUUUUUGUGUUUCUCGGAAUAUAUUCAGGAAGUCGUACUAUUUUCCACUUUAUCAAGAAAUCCGUAUUCCAUGAAAAACUUUCUAAUUUAGUAAUCAGACUCGAAUGAACAUCUCUUUCCUAAGAUGCAAAUGCAAUGCAAUCAUAGUCAAAGCAAAACAAAACGAGUUAGUACAAACUAAAAGCAAACAAAAGAAUACCUAGUCAGGAAACCACUAGGGGUUUGGAGUAGUCCUACCUAAGGUGGGCAUCUAAGGUCUUCUACAUGCGGUUUGGUUCUAAAGUUGAGGUACCCAAACCAGCAGAUUCCUCGAUCCUCACCCAUUAUAGGCUCAUACAGAUCGAGUUUGGUUUAGGGGAAUACAUUCCCCUAUGGCUGCACGGAGAUGAAAAACUCACGAAGACAUAGGUACGGAUGUAUUCCGAAAGUUAUCCACUAUCCUGCACGGAGGUGAAAACCUCACGAAGAAGUAGUUUCUCACUUCCAUUUAAAAGGUAAGACUAAACAAUCUUUAUGCAAUAUGAUGCCAAAAUAUAAAACUCAGUCCGUAGUAAUCAAUCACAAACAAAUGCAAUGAGAGGAUCGUAAUUUUUCAAAUCAAAUUUUCAAUUUUCGAUAAUAAGACAGAAAAUAAUCAAUUUUACGGCUUGACUCUCUAAAGUCCCCAGUGGAGUCGCCAAGCUGUCGAAACCAUUUUUUUUAAAAACAAAAAUUUAGUAGUCGACUUAAAAAUGGAAAUUUGAGUUGCCACCGAUCUUUUAUUGAGGUGUGAUCGACUCACCUUAAAAAAGAUUUUGGUCUGCAGAAUUUGAGAAAACAGGUUCGGGAGUCGGUUACGUACGAGGAAGUGUUAGCACCCUCGUAAUGCCGAAUCUUUGAAAAGAUUUUAAAAUACGAUCCUUUGAAUAUAAAAUUUGAUAAAAUUAAUUGGAUGAUGAGACUCACUUAUUUCAAAGAAAUAAAUUGUCACACUCAGUAAGUUAGAGUGCAACAUCUUAAAUCCUCAAAAUUAAGUUUGUUUUUUUAGCUUUUAAAACCUAUGCAUUUUGAGAAGGAUGUCUGAUUAUUUGGGUCAAAUGAAGAGAUCAAAACCCAGUAAGUUAGGGUCCAAUUUCUCAAAAUUCCAAAUACAGAAUAUUGCCUUUAUUUUUAGAAGAAUCCUCAUCUCGAGGAAACAACAUGUCAUACCCAAUGCGUUAGGGCACAACGUAUCAAAUUCCCGAGAAUAAGCUUUUUUAUUUAUGUUUUAAUUAAAGAGGAUAUUCGGCUUCCGAGAUCCCGAGGAAGAUUGGAAUCCAAUAAGUUAGGACACAAUCUUUUCGAGGAUCCCAAAUUCCAAGUGUCGCGUUGUCUUGAAAGACUUUUGUAUAAAUGAUUUUGAUAUUUAAACGAUAUUAGACGUAAUCUUUAAUGUAACGCGAUUGAAUGGUAAAGUGUGAGAUAAUUGGUAAUCCGAACACACAUUAAAAAAUAAUGACCAAGCAAUAGAUAAAUGUUAACAAGAAUAGCAACAAUAAUUUUAAUCCUAUUAUGCAAACAUCAAUAUUACCAAUUAAACAUCAAACGAAUUAAUAAUCGAUUUUAAAACGUGUACGAAGAAAACAGUGGCAACAAGAGAAAUCACAAUCAAUAAAUUAUACAUGCCAAAGUCUUGAAAUGAACAAUAUAUAUACCAAUACAUAAUAUUUUUCUUUUAAAAUAAUGCCUAAUAAAUCUGAAAUGAUAAUAAAUAAUAAAUUUAAAAAUAAAUAUAUAAUAAAUCUAAGCUAAUAAUACAUAAAAGUUUAUGAUGUUAAUAAUAUAUUGUAAUUUAAAAAUAAUACAUAAUGAAAUUUAACGCUAAUAUAUAUGAUUGUAAUAUAUAUGAAAAAAAAAUUCAAGUGUAGUACGUAAAGUAAUAUGUACAUAUAUACAUAUAAAUAGAUAAAUAAAAUAUAAAUAACAUAAUUACAAUAUCAAUAAGGCUAGUGGAGACAAUGAUAAUAAUAAUAAAGAAGAUUAAACUAAUUAAUAAAAAAACAAAUAACAAAGAGGAUUAAAUUGAGUUUUAAACAAAAUUACAAGGAAAAAAUGAGAAUAAAACAAAAUAGAGGGCCAAAAUAUAAUGUACGAAUUACUUGGGGCACCAAGCAGAAAAUGCUCCCUUCCCUCAAAACGCGGCGUUUAGAUCAAGACUGAAUUGAAAAAAAUUCAAAAUUCAUGCGGGAAAUUUACAAAAAAAAAUGAAAUUAAAAUGAUGGAGUAAAAUGGAGGGACCGAAGGCGCAAAUAGACUACACAACAAAAAUGCGCGGGUCCUCCCCGGGUCGGGUCAUCGUGCUAACCAUAAACCACCAAACAGCGUCAUUUUGGAGCCAUUGGAACCGGGCUUGAACGACGUCGUUUUUCAGACUAUAUAAAGACCAUUUCAAACCCUAAAUCAGAAACCCCUUGCCAUUUUCAAAACUCACGCUGCAAAACCUAUGUCUUUCUUCGUCGUUCGAACCCCUUCGACUCCGAUUUAGACGGAAUGAAUAGGAACUCUGACGACUCCUACAAUGGUAAGAUACUCUCACUUUCUCUCUUUUUGGAUUUCGUAGAGGAGAAAAAAUGAUUUGCAUUAUAUCAGAAAAUGAAAUCUGUCAUUACACUUUUAAAAAUCAAUCUAUUAUUACUCUUUUGUUCAUAAUGAAAUCACCUUCAAAAAAAUUUGCUUUUUUCUUUUUGUAUUGAUAUCGUGUAUGUAAAAAAAAUACAAAGGUUCUUCCCUUUCUUUUAUAGCCAAGAGAAUAAGAAGGAGAAUAAAAUAAAAAUACAAUAUAUCCAUUUUCUUUCUGUUGUGUUGUUUUCGUCCCAUUUGCAGGUGUACGGAGGCGGUGGAUGUGGCGUGUACGGAGGAGAAGGCGCACGCGUACGGAGGCUCAUCACGCGCGAGGGGCUUGGCUUUGGCGCUUGGAUCUUUUAGGGUUUCCAUGUGUUGUUUAGUUUUUUGGGCUCAUUUAGGGUUUGGGUAGAAUUAGAUGUUGGACUUUAAUUGUUUAGGCUAAUUUUUGGACUGGUGUUUAGUGGGUUUGAGGCUUAAUGUAGUCCAGGCUUGGAUUUUAUUAAAUUUGUAAUACUGGACUGUAUUAGACUUUUAUUAUAUUUAUUUUAUAUAUAUUUUUUAUAUUUGGGUUUUAAUACUUGGGUUCGGGUCGGUCAAAUUUGGAUAUUACACAUUCAUUUAUUAAAACAUACUUAUGAAAGAAAUGAUUGAAACAUACUUGAAAAUUUUAAAAUUUGAGCAAUUUAUUUGCCUUACCCCCCUUUAAAAAGAAGCAAUGUCCUCAUUGCAAGAACAAAGUAUGAAUGAAAACUGAACACCAGGUAGGGUUGUAAAGAAAGAGAGGUGAGUCAUUAAGACUUCUUAAAUACCAAGUCUUUCCUAAUAACCCAAUCCUAGACAUGUUCAUUCCCAUUGCCACAUCAUUUAGUCUUUUUCUUUCUAAAGAAGUAUUUAUUCAUGCUUUCUAUGUUUUAUUUUUCAAAAAUUAAAUCCUAAUUACUAAAGAAAUAAAUUCCUAAAGACCUAAAAAAUAAUUAAAUAAAUAACAAAACAAGAAUUCCCUAUUUUAUUUUUCUGACUCAUUCCCCUUGUCUUCUUUAGUUCCAUCUCUGCUUGCAUCGUCUGUAUCUUCCGUUCAUGUCUCAAAGAUAGCAUCUGAGAAUUCAAGAACAAAAGUGUUAGAGAUAUUCAUAAAAGUAUUUCAAAUUGAAUCAUCCCUAAUUUUUGCAUAUUUCCAGUAAGUUUGUUGUUGAUUGUGUAUGAACUUGCACAUAUCCAUCAAAAUUGUCAACUUCAAUUUCUUUGAAGUACUUGCAAGAGUCGGCAUUAGAUUCGUAAAUUAUGGUUCAACACUUAGCUUGACUGGUUCUUCUUCUAGCUCAACCCUUGGUCUUCAGUGUCUGUGUAACGCCCCAAAAAUGUAUAUUUUUGUUUAUAAAAAUAUGACACAAAUAUGUUUCUGCUUCAGUGGUUAAGUGUUCUAGGUCUGUGUAUGAGGUCCCAAGUUCAAGCCAUGCCUUUGGCGAAAUUUUGGAUUUUUUUCUGAUUAAAGCCUUAUCCUUGUUCAGUGGGCUUAAUUUUAAUUAUUUGUAAAACCAUAUCAGAAUGAGCCUACUGGUUCAAGUGGUAAGGCAGUUGGAGUGUUGGAGAUUCCGUGUUUGAAUCUUUGCGCGAGUGAGAAUGUUAAUUGUUUUACUCGAUUUCCUGGAAGAGUUGUGCAGAAGAUGGAUUCUGAGUAGUUGGGAUUUGGGGAGUUUAGCAGGAUUAUUUUUGUUCUUUUUUAUUUUAUUCAUUUCAAAUUUUGUUUCUCUUUCUUUCUCUCCAAAAUUCCGACGUCGACUUUCUUCACUUUUCUUCUUCGAUUUUUCUCGACUUCCUGUUGAAAUUUUCACAGUCAAUCAUCACUCUUGCGUUCAUGGCCCUUUUUCAUCUGGUAAGUGAUCUCUUUUAGUCUUCUUCCUUUGAUUUGGGGUCUAGCGACAUUAUUUAAUCGAUGUAUCCUGUGUUUAUGAAAAGAUCAAGGUGCUGGGGUUUCCGAGUCGGCGCUUUAAAUGUGCAGAUUAAUGUUGCUCGACCUAAGGUAAGAUUUUAGUCGAUUUAAGUGGGUUGUUCAUCACCUUUGGUUCGGUUUAAUGUCAUUCUAAGUGUUUAAUUCUGGGUUUGUUUGGUCAAUAUUAGGUAUUGAAGUGCUUGUGGGCGUAUUUGCAGUGAAACAAUACCAGGUGUGUACCCAAAACACAAAAAUAAGAGAUUCGGCAAAAAGCCAAAAUUGCUUGCUGUUUGGACAGCAGCAGUAGGCUAAAUUUGAAAAAUCACCAUAAAUUGUGAAAAUCAAAUUAGAGGAUCAAAAAAAUAUGGAAUUAAAUAUAUUUGAGUCUAGUUUUUGAUAGAAGAAACAAAGUAAGAAAAUAUUUUCAUGUUAUGGGAUAUUUGAAUUUUAAUGAGACAGGUUCAGAAUGAUUUCAAAAUCCCUUGUCCUGCCUUUGGAAAAUUAUUAAAAAUUUUAUAAAAAUAAUUAUGGGUUAGAAUUUAUAUGUUUAAAAUCUGGAGAAACAAACAAGAACAUCAUCUGAAUUCUGUACGAGAAGAUAAUUAAUUUUUUGUGCAAAAAGGUCGAAACUGUCAGACAGCAGAACAAGGAAAACUUUAAAGAAUAAACUGUACUUAUUGGCUAAACCAAUAAUUCUAAAAAUUUUAUGAUAAGAAAAUAAGUGAGUCUGGUUUCAGAGAAAAUUUUCAGAUCUUAAUUCGAAAUUCUGUAGCUUAAGACACAAAUACUUUAGUUACAGUGACUCAAGUAGACAACUUUGAAGGAUCAUAUAAGUAAAUACUGGAAACACAUAUGAAUAAUUAACUAUCAUCGGUUACAUUAAAAUGGAUCACGAGGCCAACGCCAAUUUGGGUCAUGUGGGCCACAUGGGCAUGUGGGUCCACACGAGCGAACAUCAUGGGCUUGUAGGCCCAUUUUCACUGUUUGAUUGAUAAGGUUGCACAGGUCGCCCAAGUCGUCUGUGAACCUACUGUAGGGUCGGUAAGUUUAUCUAGACCCCUAAUUGACUGAAAUGACUGUAUGACUCAUAUGAUUAAGCCUGAUGACGUUCCACUGAUUUGAUACUGUAUGCCCUGUUUACAUGCAUGAUAUUAUGUUAUAGCAUGUCAUAUCUGUAUAUUGCAUUACAUUGGGUUAGGGGAUUAUAAUGUUCGGAGGAAGUGUAUUGAAAGGCCUCGAGCCUAAUUUACUGGCAGCUUAGCUGCAAACUACUGUCUAGUGCCACAUUCGGUACUACUUGAAGUAUAGGGAUGGGUGGGUUGAUUAUAUCCCUACAUGGAGUGUAGGGUUGGACGGAGAUGGUGUGUAGAGGCUGGAUGAGUAGGAUUUUGGUGACUGCAUAUCUGUUACUGCUACUGAUACUGUGAUAGGCUAAAGCCUUACUUCAUGACUGUUUUUGUACUAAGAUGGGCUAAGGCCCAAACUGAACUGAUACUGAUACUGAUACUGAAAAGGGCUUAAGCCCAGACUAUGAUUAUUUGUUUACUAUCUGUUCAUUUGUAUGGGGAUUACACAUUGAGUUUACGUAAACUCACCCCUUCUGUUUAAUCUGUAUAGGUAAUCCCUAGAUAUAGGCAGAUCAGUGCAGCAGAGGACUCAGUGGUUGCCACACGACUUCUUUUACAUUGUUUACUACUUGUUUAUGAUUUUACUUUUAUUUGGGAGUAUUUUUAUGUAAUUAUGACCUUUACGUAUUUUAAUUUAAAAUUUGGAUUUUAUACGAUUUUAUGAUUUAAAUCUGCUUAGUGUUAGGUAAAACUCAGGUUUUCAAAUGAAAUUAAUGUUUUAUCAAAAAUACAACGAAUAAGCAAACUAUUUAAAAGCUUCCGCAUAGAAUAAACAUUUUGAAAACUUUCGACUGAUUAAUUAACACGACUUUAGAAUUAAUAAGUAAACUGUGAAAAGUUUUUUAACUGAAAAAUGUUUUAAGCAAAGCUACGGUUUUCAAACACUACCAUGUGACAUCGCCAGAUUCGGCCAUAACAUUUAGGUCGGGUUUGGGGUUUUAUAGUCUGUAACUGAAUCAGCUUCAGUUUUAGUUUUAUUUGUUGACUCUUCGGUUUCUGGAUCAAUUGGUUCCUCUUGCUCGCCUUGGUUCAGCUCAUGCACUCUCUCUACUAACCUUUCAAGAUCAUGACUUGUGAUGCACCCUUGGACAUACUGCCCCUUCAGAUUUGCUUGUGUUUUAACACGGGCCCUUAAGCAAAGUGAAGUGAUUAAUGAUUGAAAUUAGCACUUCCUGCCUUUUUUUAGCACAAUCGUGAAUUUUCUUGAGUAUAAUUUUCCCAACUUUAAUGGAAUUUUCUGUCAAAAUUGCAUAUAACAACAGCAUUCAUUACAUCGAGAUGGUGGAACUAUGUUGUCGAAACCUCUUUUAAAUUUAUUUGAAAAACGGGGAUCGACUUUAAAAAAUGAAAAUUGGAGUCGCCACCCAUCUUUAAUGAGGUGUGAUCGGAUCACAUUGAAAAUGAUUUUAGGUCUACGAAUUUUGAGAAAACUGGUUUGAGAGUCGGUUACGCACGAGGAAGGAUUAACACCCUCGUGAUGCCCAAAAUUGGUACCGAAUUGAUUGUUUAAUGUCUUAGUGUCGAAAUUUUGAAAAGAUUUUAAAAUACGAUCCUUUGAAGUUUAAAUUUGAAUAAACCAAAUUGAAUAAUGAGACGCACUCAUUUCGAGGAAAUAAAUUGCCACACUCAGUGAGUUAAGGUGCAGCAAUUCAAUCGUCAAAAUUAAGUAUGUCUUUUUAAUUUUAAAUUUUAAAAUUCAUGUAUCUUGAAAAGGUUAUUUGGUCAUUUAAGUCAAACGAGAAAUCAGAAUCCAAUAAGUUAGGGUUCAAUUUCUCGAAAUUCCUAAACAUCAAACAUUGCCUUUAUUUUAAAAUCCUUAACUCGAAGUAACAAAAUGUCAUAUCCAGUGAGUUAGGAUCCAACAAUUGAAAUUUCGAAAAACUUUAUUUAGAAAUCGUAUGGUUUUAUUGCAAAAGAAAUACUUGGCUAUCUAAAUUCAUCGAAAAAAAUUGAAGCCCAGUAAGUUAGGGCACAAUACUCUCGAGAAUCGGGAAUACCAAGUAUUUUGAGAAUUUACGGAAUAAAAUGAUUUUAGUGCUUUAAUGAAACACAUUUUGUAAACAAAUGUAAUAUGAUUGAAUGGCAAUGUAUGUUGUAAAAGAUAAUCGCAUGAGCAAUAGAUAAAUGCAAACAAGGAUAGCAACAAUGAUUUAAAUCAUAUUAUACAAAUAUCAACAUUAAUAUUAAAACUAGAUAAAUCUAUCAUCAAUUUUAAAAGAUACACCAAGAUGAUAUAAAAUAAUAAAAACAAUAUGUCCUACGCAUAGAAAUUUUAAAAUAAAUUACAUACAUAAACUCAAAAUAGACUUGAAAUAAAAUAAUAAUAACAUUUAAAAAUAGUAUUAAAAAAAUAUUAGGUAAACAUUUAACAUAUAGAUAUACUAAAAUAAAUUUUAAGAUAUAACCUAAAACAAAACAUUAAAAUAUGUACAAAUUAUAUCAGAUUAUUGUAAAAAUAUAUAUAUCAAUAAUAUCGUGUCAGGUUUGAAAAUAAAAAUAUAUAAUGGACCCUUUUUUAAAAAAAAUGUAUGAUAAAUUUAAGACAUGUUAAUUUGGAAUAUUAAAAUAAUAUUAUAAAUAAAAACUAAAUUUGUCAAAAUAAGCUCUAAUUUGAUUUAAAAUUAAACUAAUAAAAGUUUAGUUAAAAUUGAAACACAAUCAAAACAAAAAUAAAACAAAAAUAAAAUAAACUAGAGGAACGAAAAUUAAAUUGAAAUUAAAACAAAACUAAAUAGGCAAUAAACAUAAAUAAAAAUAAAAGAAAGACUAAAUUCGAACUUGAUUUAAAAAUUGAGGGACCACAAUAGCAAAUAAACGCAUACUUUUAAAGAUUUUAAUCUUCUUGAUGGAAACGACGUCGUUUGCUUGCGGAUCAAAAUAGAAUCAGAAUAAAAUGUGCAGUAAGAUUUGAAUACCUUGAAGAGAAACUGAUUUGAAAUAGAAUACAAAGAAAAGGGACCUAAUGCAAACUAAACCAUUUCUCAAGACGCGCAGAUCCUUUCCACAGAUCGGGUCACCGCUCGGGUAUGGCCAACACGUUGUCGUUUUGAAGUCAUGGAAGAAGACUUUAGACGGCGCCGUUUAAAUAAUCUGCAUAAAAUUUAAAAACCUAACUGAUAUUAAACAAUCAUCUAAAAUAAAACUAACAAAAACCUAAUCAAUUCUCUUUCUCUCUUGCGCUGCUCAGCCAACCAACGUUUGGAGGCCCCAAUUCCUCACUCGCCUCCGAUUGCGACGGAGGGAGCAAAAGAUCAACCACCAAGUACACUCUUUGCUUUCUAACCUUCUAUUAUUGUAUUGAAAAGGGAACAAAAGAGUGAAGAACAGAAAAGGAAGAAAAAAAAGAAAAAAAAUCUAUUCACCUUUCAAUUUUUCUGAGUAUUUUUUAUUUUUACAUUCAAUCUCUGUAAAAUGCGUAAAAAAGGGAUCCAUUUUUACAAAUCUUGAUGGCUUUUAUAGCCAAAUUUUCAAAGAUGAAAAGAGAAUAAAAAAUACAAUGUUUUUCCUUUCUCUGCUGCGCUAUUUUCGUCCCAUUUGCAGGUACGGAGGAGUGCAUACGUACGGAGGCGCGGUGACGUGGAGAGGACGCGUGGUGGUAUGGCUCGGCUGUGUACAGAGGCUGGUCACGUGCGGAAGGCUUGGCACGUGGCUAGCGGCGGCUGAGGCAGAUAGUUGUUUUAGGGUUUUGUUUUGAAAAUGUUUUAGGGCUAGGUAUGUGGGUCAAUGGUUUGGGCCUUAUUGGGCCGAUUGGUUAUUGUAAAUGGACUGCUAUUGGACUGUUGUUAAUUGUAAAUGGGCUUUUAAUAUUUUUUGCUUUUAUGUUGGUUUUAUUUAUUUUUUAGUGGGCCUGGGUCAAAAUUGGGCAGUACAUGUGAGAUAGACAUAAAACUGUAGCGAACAAAAUAAAACCAUACCUUUGCUACUGGUUUUAAAUAUUCUCUUCGACAAGAAUGGCUUCUAUACUUUCUUAUAAUCCAUUGGGAUCCCGGAUUUGUCACAACAUUAAGCACUUGUUGAAGAAAAUCUCAUUUGAUAUUAUUCAUCAUAGGGUAGUACUCAUCUUCCUCAACAUCAGGUAAAUUAAACAAAUCAUUGAUGGACUUAGAAGUAAGAGAUACCUUUUUCUUUCAAACGAUGACUUCAGUAGCAUCUUGUGUAGUCAAUCGAGCAUAGAAUUCUAAAACUAGUUCAUCAUCGAGAAGUGAACGAGCAUCAAAGAAUCGUUCCCACUUAGAGCAUUGAUUAUCUUUAUAAUUGGCACAGGGACAACCAUCACAUCAUUGCUCUUCAGGUUAAAACAUUUUUCCGACAUCAUAGGUUGAUGCUUGAAAAUUGAAUCAAAUCGCUCUUUCACUUCUUCAUCGAUCAAAAUCUGGUUUUCAGAAGUAGUUUUUAACGAUCUAGUUCUUUUGCGAGACAUAUUAUUUUCCCAAAAAUUCGGCAAAGUUUUUUCUUGCAGAGGCAAAAGAGGGUGGAUCUUGCUUCGGCAAACCUUGCAAUGGUGAAGGAGUUGUGGCGGUGACAACUACGUGCGGCAGCAAUAGUGGUAUGCGGUGGCGAUAAUGACUGCAUGCGGCAGCAACGUCGAUGCUUCGGCAAUUCUCUUGUGGCGGCACUAGGUAGUUUUAGCCAAAGAAAAGAAAAAGGGCUAGAGAUUCCUUUUGGGAUUAAAGGCUAGCGGCACAAAAAGAGAGAUUUUAAGGAAUUUUAGGGUUUAAGCAAAUUACUUUGAGAGAUAUGAAAAUUUAGUAGAAUGAAUAGGGGUUUAUAUAGGGAAAUAUUAGGGCAACAUGUAGCAAAAAAUUUAGCUAAAUUAAAGUUACUUGGGCGGCAAGUAAUGGGUGUGACGGCAAGGGUUAAAAUUUCCCUCCUUUUUGCUAUCUUAGGCCUCAAACUCCAACUGUAUCUCACUAAAAAAUAACUUAUUAGUACUUGGGCCAAAUUUGACCCCCUUUAUUAACAUAAAAAUUUAAAAUUUAACAAAAUAAUUUAAACUAGAAAAAGAUUUUAAAACCUAAUUAGAAGAUUUCUUCUUAACAAAUUACAUUAAAUUAAUUCCCAGGAAAGGUUGGAGGGGUCACAGCGGUCCCGCUUAAGUUCCAAUCUCCUUAGACAGAAUUAAUUAAAUGAAAUUAAUUAAGAAAAAUAAAUUCUAAUUAUUUAUUUAUUUACAAGAUGAGUUUAUGAAAAAUCAAGGGUAUGUUAAUUUGAACGAAAAUUCAACUCGCUCAACUUCACCAUCCUAGUAGUGUUUGAGACAUUGACCAUUAACUUUAAACGUACCUCCGUAAUUGUCGUACAAUUCAAUAGCUCCAUAAGGAUAAACUCGGUGGAUGGUAUAAGGUCUUUUCCAUUGGGAUUCCAUCUUCCCAGAAAAUAACUUUAGCAUUAAAUUAAACAAUAACACCUUUUGACCUUCUUUAAACUCGUGAGGUUGUAUAUGACUAUCAUGCCAUCUUUUUUAUCUUUCUUUAUACAUUUUGAAGUUCUAAUAAGAAAGAAACCUUAGCUCUUCCAACUCAUCAAGUUGUAACAUCCUUCUCUCACCGGUUUGCUUAAGAUCAAAAUUUAACUACUUCAAAGCCCAGUGAGCUUUAUUCUCCAAUUCUAAUGGAAAAUGACAUGCCUUUCCAAAGGCUAACCGAUAAGGAGUCAUUCCUAACGGAGUCUUGAAUGUUGUUCGAUAGGCCCAUAAGGCAUCAUCGAGCCUUUGAGACCAAUCUUUUCUGUUAGGGCAUACUACCUUUUCAAAGAUACCUUUGAUUUCACGGUUCACUCUUUCAACUUGUCCAUUAGACUGGGGGUGAUAAGCAGUAGCAAUCUUGUGCUUCACAUCAUAUUUUUCAAGCAACCACUUAAGCCAUUUGUUCACAAAGUGAGAACUUUCAUCACUAAUAAUAGCUCUUGGUAUCCCAAAUCGUGUAAACACAUGCUUAUGUAGGAAUCGCAUGACUACCUUAGCAUCAUUUGUAGGGUAUGCUUCAGCUUCAACCCACUUGGAUACAUAGUUCACAGCAACUAAGAUGUAUUUGUUCCCAUAUGAAGAAGGAAAUGGGCCUAAGAAGUCAAUGCCCCAUAUGUCGAACAAUUCAAUCUCUAAAAUGUUCAAGGGCAUCUCAUUCCUCCUUGAUAUAUUUUCGGUUCCUUGGCACUUAUCACAGUUCUUCACAUAAGUGUAAGCAUCUUUAAAUAGUGUAGACCAAAAGAAACUUGCUUACAAAAUCUUUGCUGCAGUACGUGAACUACCAAAGUGUCCCCCACUUGGAGAUGAAUGGCAAUGAUAUAAGAUCUCAGCAAUCUCACUUUCAUCUACACACUUUCGGAUUAUAUUAUCUGCACACUGUUUAAACAAAAACAGAUCCUCCCAAAAAUAAUACCGACUAUCAUGAAGGAAUUUCUUCUUUUAUUGGUAUGUCAUUUCUCAAGGAAUUAUUCCACAUGCAAGAUAAUUAGAAAAAUCAGCAAACCAAGGUAUUUCAUGAAUUGGAGUUACCUCAAAUAAGUGCUUAUCUGGGAAAUUCUCGUUGAUAGGCACACCAGACUGGGUUACCUUAUCUUGCUUCAACCUCGACAAAUGAUCAGCUACUUGAUUUUCGAUACCUUUUCUAUCUUGGAUCUCGAGGUCAAAUUCUUGGAGUAAAAGUAUCCAACGAAUUAGCAUUGGUUUUGCAUAUUUCUUCGUGAGCAAGUAUUUAAUGGCCGCAUGGUCAGUAAAUACUGUAACUUUGGUACCUAUAAGAUAUGAACAGAAUUUGUCAUAAGCAAAAACUAUAGCAAAUAGUCCCUUUUUAAUUACCGUAUAAUUGAGUAGGGCUCCCGUCAAGGUUCUACUUGCAUAGUAAAUGGGGUUGAAUACUUUAUUUCUUCUUUGAUCGAUCACAACUCCAACAGCAUAAUCACUUGCAUCGCACAUCAACUCAAAAGAUGAGUUCCAAUUAAGUGUAAAGAUUAUUGGGGUUGUAAUUAACCGAUUCUUUAGAUCUUCAAAAGCUUCCAAACAUGCUUUGUUGAAAUUGAGCAUUGUAUCUUUCUCUAACAACAAACACAGCGGCUUAAAAAUUUUCGAGAAAUCCUUGAUAAACCUUCGAUAAAAACUGGCAUGGCCUAAGAAACUUCUGACUCCUUUCACAUUAAUGGGGGCCGGUAAUCUUUCAAUUACGUCCACCUUUACUUUGUCAACUUCAAUUUCUUUCUUGAGAUCUUGUGACCUAAGACAAUUCCUUCAUUGACCAUAAAAUGGCAUUUUUCCCAAUUAAGGACAAGAUUCGUCUCUUCGCAUCUCUUUAGUACCUUAGCCAAAUUACUCAAACAGAUAUCAUAAGUGUUACCAAAAACAAAAAAAAAAUCAUCCAUGAAAACCUUGAUGAAAUUUUUGACCAUAUCAGUAAAUAUUACCAUCAUGCAUCGUUGAAAAGUUGCAGGUGCAUUGCAUAAACCAAAAGGCAUUCACCUAAAAGCAAACGCACCAUACGGACAAGUAAAGGUUAUUUUAUGUUGGUCCUCCGGGGCUACAACUAUUUGGUUAUAUCCCGAAUAGUCAUCUAAAAAAAUAAUAGAAUUAAUUACAUGUCAGUCGAUCUAACAUCUGAUCCAUAAAAGGCAACGAAAAAUGGUCAUUCCAAGUGGCUUUGUUAAGCUUUUUGUAAUCAAUACAGAUUCUCCAACCUGUAACAGUUCUCGUUGGCAUUAACUCAUUAUGCUCAUUUUCAAAAAUCGUGAUUCCACCUUUCGCCGGCAUACACUGUACCGGACUUACCCACGAACUGUCUGAAAUAGGAUAGAUGAUUCCAACAUCUAACCAUUUAAUCACUUUCUUUCUCUCAACUUCUUCCAUAUUAGGAUUGAGCCUCCUUUUCCCAUCAAUUCAAGCUCUUUCACCUUCUUCUAAAAUGAUUUUAUGCAUGCAAAAUGAAGGGCUUAUACCUCGAAUAUCAGCUAUGCUCUAACCAAUUGCUUUCUUAAAUUUAUUUAGAACAGCAAUUAAUCGCUCCUCUUGAUCUUUUGUCAGUUCCACUGAAAUAAUCACAGGCAAAGUAGAACAAUCACCUAAAUACACGUAUUUCAAAUGGGAAUGAAGUACCUUUAGUUUGAGUUUAGGUGGUUCUUCGAUUGACAACUUGGGUUGCACAAAUUCUCUAACUUCCAACUCCAACGAUUCAAACCGUGUGGAUUGAAUAUAAUUUCUCAGAUUAGAUUUCAUCAAAGCCAUGUUUUCUUCACCUUCUUCAUCCUCCAAAGGGUCAAGAUCUAAAGCUUUCUCCAAUGGAUCUUCUUCAAAAUUUCUUUCCAAAUAAACCAAGAUUUCUAUCUCUUCCAUAACUGAACACUCCUCUACCGGAUCAGGAAAUUUCAUUGCUUUAAGAAUUUUAAAGGUUACCUGAUCGUCUUGAACUCGCAUGGUGAGUUCACCUUUCUGCACAUCAAUUAACAUUCUUCCUGUGGCUAGGAAAGUUCUUACAAGGAUGAUUGGCACUUCCUUAUCUACUUCAAAAUCUAAAAUAAUGAAAUCAGCAGGAAAAAUAAAUUUAUCGACUCUUACCAAAACAUCAUCGAUCUUUCCUUCGGGAUAUGCUAAAGAUCGAUCUGCUAGCUGAAGCGUCACAAUUGUAGGUCUUACUUCACCUAUUCCUAACAUCUUGAAAAUAGACUUAGGCAUUAAGUUGAUACUCGCUCCUAAGUCACACAAAGCUUUACCACAGUAAGAUUCACCAAUGUUACAAGGUAUAGUAAAACUUCUUGGGUCUUUCAAUUUCGGUGCAGUUUGUUUUGCAGGAACGCAUUGCACUCUUUUGUCAAAGCCACAGUAUCAUACUCACUCAGUCUUUUUUUCUUGGACAGUAUAUCCUUCAUAAACUUCACAUAAUUUGGCAUUUGUUCUAAAGCCUCCACCAACGGAAUAUUGAUAUGUAACUGCUUCAGAACAUCCAAAAACUUCUUAAAUUGCACCUCAUGUUUCUACUUGUGUUGCUGCAAUCUUUGCGGAUAUGGAGGUGAUGGAACUUUCGGUUGAACCGGACAACUUUUCUGAGUGGGCAAAUCUGCAUCCAAAAAAGAUGUUAAAAUAUAUGAAUUCACUAGCUCAGGGUUUACCUUGUCAGACUUUAAAGAUUCUGAUUCCUUUGGUGUAGGAACUUCAACAGCUGGUUGACUUCCCUCCUUUUCAACAUGCUCAUCAUUGACAUCAAUCAAUCAGGGUUCCAGAUUCUUUCCACUUCGCAAUGCCACUACCUUGAUAUGUUCUUUACCCAAAUUUCUUGGAUUCUCAGUAUCACUCGGCAAGGUUCUUUACGGUCUAUUACGAAGCUCCGUAGCUAAUUAACCCAGUUGGUUUUCCAAAUUUUUUAGUGUUGCUACUUGGCUUUGGAUCAAAGCGUCAUUCUUUGCCAUGUACACUUUCAAUAAGUUCUCGAAACUGUUUGAUGCCUCAGCUUGAGGUGGUUUUAGAGCUUGCUGAUUAAACCCUUGAGAUUGGUUGGGUCUUUGCUGUAAUAAGUUAUUGUUCGGUCCAUUUCCUUGGUUGCUCCAAAAAAAGUUAGGAUGAUUACGCCAUGACGGAUUGUAGAAAUUGGACUGGGGUCCUUGUCCACUCCUAUUUUGAUAUUGGUUCCCCACAUAGUACACUGACUCGGGAUUUGAUGGACAAUUCUCAAAAGAAUAACCUUCUCGAUAGUACACACAGGAAACUACUUCAAACAGACUUGGUGGUUGAGCUGCAAAAUUAUUAGUACUAUUAGCAAUUAACUGUUUUAACAUAGAGGAAAUAGACGAUACCUGAGUUGAUAACGAAGUGAGGGAGUCAACUUCAUGAACUCUAGCUAAUGUCUUUCUGAAGCUAUUCGAUUUGUUGGCCAUUGAUAGUUAUUACUCGCGAUCCUCUCGAUGAUCUCCUAAGCCUCAUUAUAAGACUUAGACAAAAUUACACCAUUCGCAGAAGCAUCUACCAUUAAUCUUGUAUGUGCAUUGAGACCAUUAUAGAAUGUCUCCAAAUGGAUACAAUGAGGAAUCCCAUGAUGAGGACACUUACGAAGUAACUCCUUGAAUCGCUCCCAAACCUCAUACAGAGACUCGUCAUCCAAUUGCUGGAAAGUUGUGAUCUCGUUCCUCAACUUAGCAUUUUUGCUAGGUGGGAAAUACUUAACCAAAAAUCUCUCUGCUAAUUCUUGCCAUGUAGAUAUGGAACUUGGUGGCAAUAAAUUGAGCCAUGCUCGUGCUCGAUCUCGCAACGAGUACGAAAACAAAUUCAACCUCAGUGUGUCUUCAGUCACACCGACUAUCUUUAAUGAAUCAGUCACCUCCAUAAAUAAUCGAAGGUGAACAUGUGGAUCUUCCGUAGGCAUACCACUAAAUUUGCCCAUCGUUUGUAGCAUUUGAAACAUCAUUGGUUUCAAUUCAAACUGGGUUGCCUCAAUAUUUGGCCUUCUAAUUCUUGGGUUUAAAUAAUUGAAAAGUGGCACAGCAUAUUGUCUGAUGCAUCGAUCCCUAUCAUCGGCAAUGAGGAUGGGAUUUCGUACAUUAUCGGCUUCAUUACCUUGGUCUUGAUUCUGAUUUCCAAGGUCCAUCUCGACUUGUCUUUGAGCUAUUCGUUCACGUCUUUUUUGUCUGAAAGUUCGCUCAAUUUCAGGGCCUAAAGGGAGUAAAUCGAUAAUUCGAUCUAUGCUCAUAAACACCUAACAAGAAAAUCACAAAAAUUAGAAAGAAUAAGUUAAUAAUGUUAGAAAUAAAUCAAAUUGACAAUAAAUAAUUUCACGAAAAAAAAUAACUAUGGUAACAUUUGACAAUCCCCAGUAACGGUGCCAAAAAACUGUAACGCUAGGGUUUGUGCAAGUGUACACAGUCGUUAUCAAGUAAUAAGUAUCGAGUUAUUGUCUCCACAGGGAUGGUAUUUGUGCUGAGUCACUUAAUUUGUAAAAUUAUAUUAACAAUUUGAAAAAAUAAAAACAAAAUAUAGUUGAGAAGUGGUAUAAACUAGAUGCAAUGAUCCCUAAUGUAAAUUAUCCUAAUAUGCAGACUACAUGAAUGAAAUAGAUUUUAGCAAAAUUUAACACAAUUUGCAACAAUUAUAACAUAAAUGAACUAGGACAAUUACUUUAAUUAAACUUAAUUUAUUAUCAUCAUGCUUAAUAAUAUUUGGAAAAACAUUCCAUGGCCACUCGAUCUUUCAAGAGUUUGGAAACCAAAUUAGGUCCUUUCGAAAUCCUUUACUUAGUAAAAACGUAUUUUACUGAUCCUUAUUUACUAAGGGUUUCUUAGCAUUCGUGUGAGGUAACAAGGACGUGUUAGGUUUGAAACAAUUUAAUCACACAAAUCUAAUAACUAUGCAGAUAACAGAGCCUGGUUAGGGUUGUUAUGCAACCUACAAUUUAAUCAAGUUAGGAUCUAAAUUGAGCAUGCACAUUUCAAUUAUGCGUCCAUUAGUCAUCGUCUGGUUAGGAUCGCUCAGCUAAUUCACGUGCAUUUCAAUCUAAAAACUAUGCAGCUAACAGGUAAAUUAGCCGUCCAUUAGCCGUACCUUGAGCUUUUGUCACACUUCUUCUCUGCACUCAAUGAAAUAAAACACAACAUAAAAAUAUAAGCACCAUUUCUUUUAUUACUUUUUCUACUAAAAUAAGUUUUUUUUUCUCGUAAAAAACCUAAGAUGGGGAGAGGGUUUUAAAAUUCAAAGCCUUCAAAAAUAGAUGAGUUUGAGGUUGUUAAUAUUAUUUUAUAUUGUUGAAUAGUAAAUUAAUUUUAUCGAUGGUUGAACCAAUUAGAUCGAGAAUUAAUGAUUUGAUUGAUUUGAGUUUGGGCUGCUCAUUAUCUUGACUGCAUUUAUCAUUUAAUUCUUUUUUUAAUUAGCCAAACUCAUGUUCACAAUGGUAUAACAGUAAUUAAUGACUUCAUGGACAGAACAUCAAUAUAUAAAUACACAAACAAAUAUAAUGGGAAUUGGAGAACUCCCAUUUAUACAAACAAAUAUAAGUGGGCAAAUUCAAUACUCAUAAUAAAUACACAAAGAUGACUAAAAACAUUAUUAAACCAGAUCCAGUAUGCAGCAUACAAGAAAAGGGGGUAUUUCAAGGAGUAGAACGAGAAGGUGGUGGAGAAAAGGAAGGAAUAGAGGGAACUGCAGUUGGGAUUGAGGGAAUGCUUGGCAGAGGCGGCAGUCAUCUUGGCAAUGUGGUAGGAAGUGGAGGAAGCGCCCCAGGGUUUGGGAGAUUAGGGAAAGAUGGCAAUGGCGGAAAAGAGAAAGGAAUAGGGGGAAUUGCAGUUGGGAUUGUGGGGACUGAGGGAAUGCUUGGCAGAGGGGGCAGUCCUGUUGGGAAUGUGGUAGGAAGUGGAAGAAGCGCCCCAGGCCAUGAGAAUGAUGGUCGGGAUGGCGUUGGGAGAUUAGGGAAAGAUGGUAAACUUUGCGUUCGAGGCUGCUGCAGAAGGUGACGAGCUGCUACCCCAACAUCAAUGCCUGCAAAUGACAAAGCAAUCAAGAAUGCUAAAGCAAAGCAAUUGAAAGAGGCCAUUUUUGUUCAAAGAUUUCGAAACAAAUGAAGCAGAUGAAACGAAGUUCUUUAUCUGAAUAGUUGUGAGUGAGGAAAACAAAGCAUGGUAUUGAGGUUUAUAUAGGCAUUGGAGUAGUGAAUAGAAAUCCCCUGCCCUUAAACAAUGCCCCAUGCAUGCCCCCAAACCAAAUUAGCGCCACAUGUUUUUUAUUUUUUCCAUUUUAAUUGUAGUUCAUUUUUUAAAUAAAAAAUUUAUAAUGAUUUGAAUUAAUUUUUAACUUAUUAUCAACGUUUUUAUUUUUGUUUUAUUUUUAUUUUACAUUAAUUUUACCUAUUCUUUAAUUAACAACUUUAUAAUGACUUAGAGUUUAUCUAAUAGAGGUUUUUUUUUUAUAAUCGGUCUUAUAAUAAAAUUUUAUAAGGUGGGAACAAGUCCCACUGUGACAACAUGAUCCUUCAAUUUUUGGUGGUGGCAUGCCUUUAGUCAAAGGAUCAGCUAACAUCUGCUCAAUGCUAAUGUGCUCAAUGACCAAUUUCUUUUCUUUAACAUGUUCCCUCAUGCCUAGGUACUUAAAGUCGAUAUGUUUACUUCGACUUCCACUUCUUCCGUUCUUAGCCAUAGAGACAGCAGUUGAAUUGUCACAAUAUAUGAAAUAAUCAAAACCCAUAAUGACUCAGCCCAAAAAUCUCGAGCUUCAAACCCAAAUUAAAUUAAAUCAAAACCAUAAUUUAUUAUGUACAAUUGCACAAAAUUAACAUAAUUUAAGUGUGUCAUACUGCAUAUUAAAUUAAAGUUUACGUUUGACAUUAUAGAUAAUAUUCACGUGUAAAAUUUUGAGAUUUAUUCCCUUAAUUAAAGUAAUAUGUCAAAUAGAAUACUUGAACAAUCCUCCAUGUUGGCAAAGUUUAUGUACAGUAGUAGAAGCGAACUAAAUAAUUAGAAUAAAUCUAAAGUAUGGCUUACAUAUAAUUUAUUCACAAUGUGACUUAAACUUUGUCCUUCAAGAUUUCACGGUCUCAAUUUAUGUCUUAAAAUUUUAAGAUCAUUUUAGGUUUGUUAAAAAAUUAAAAGUUUAGAAAGUUAGAAUUGUUGCUUGAGGCGUGAAUAUCUUUAUUCUUUAGGAUAUUUGCGGAUUUACCACCUCUCAGGAUUUCGUUUGUAUCAUGCACAAUGAAAAAAUUGAAAAAAAAAAUUUCACAUUUGAAUGGAAUUGAGCUGUUAGGCUCAAGCCUCAUGUGCGCAUAUAUAUUCUCUUAUUUUGAGUCUUACAAGUUUAUAGUAAACCAAAUCUAUAUAAACAUCAUUUCAUUAGGUCAAUCUAAAAUAUGUUUAAUAUGUGUAAUUCUUUAAAAUAGAUGAAAACUUCAAAUAUGGUUUAGGUCAUUUUUAGAUUUGUCUUAUUUUAGGUUCAAAUCAUUCGAAUUUGAGGCUAAGUUUUUCAUGUCUAAUCAUUAUUGAUCCGAAUCAUUUUAGAUUUUGAUCAUUUUAAGUUCCAAUUAUUUUGUGAUCAAAUCAUUUCAAGUUUAGAUAAAUUUGGGUCGAUUCGAAUUUGACUUAAUUACGUAGUUAACUUUUUUUUAUAAUAAAUUGAGCUGAAUGAAAGUUAGAUUAGAAUUUAUUUAGUGUGCCUUUGUGUUUAAUUCGAAAUUUAAACAUCUCCCUUCGAAAUAAACAUGUUAAGACAAUUUUAUUUUAAAGACAAUAAUACAACAUAGUUGAUUUGGGAGAUAAACAUGUUAAUUUUUUAAUCCCAACCAAAAUUGUACAUAAUUCUUUUAUGUCAUAUUAAAUACAUGUAACGUCUUAUAAAAAUUGUCAAUAAAUUAUGCCUAGCGACAACGUUAUUCAACUCUAAUUUCAUUGUUAAUACCUAUUUCUAUUUUUCUUCUACUGUCUUCAACUUUAAAUAUAAAGGGAUUGAAAUCUUAAGAAUUGAGAUUUCUUUUCUCUGUAUUAGUGGACGUCUGAUUUUUUGUUUGAUUGUUUUUUUUUUACUGGAAUUGACACAUAUCUUUUCAGAUUUAUCAAUAUUUUUAAAAUUUAUUUAAGAUAUGUAUAUAAAUAUAUUACAAAUAUAAGAUAAAUGAAACUAAAUACAUUUCAAAUAUAAAAUAUUCAUUAAUAAAUUGAACAAAUAAAAAUUUAUCAUUCAAAUAAAUCUAAAAUUAUUAAUAACAAUCCAUCAUUUAAUAUGAAAUUUUAUGGAUUUAGCUCAUUUACUUAAUAAAAGAAGCUAAAAGGUGAACGAAUAUAUUUUUUCUUUGAUAAUCGGGUGAACGGUUUUUCUUAAUUAUAUUUUGAAUGUGAAAGUAUAUUCCAUUUUUUUAAAAACUUUACAUUCUGAUGUAACAUUUUUAAUUAGUCACGUUUCAAUUAAGUUUUUAGCAUAAUAGUAAAUAAUUAAAAGUUUAAUAUUUUUAAUAUUAUUCAUGCACAGGACGGUGCAUUAUGUUCUGGCAAGUGUGACAGGAAUUGAUCGGAAUGAGUUGGUGCAAUUGGUACGGACCGAAAUUUUCACCAGUGUAGAAAAAGCGUGUUGGGUGUUUCGCAAUGUUAUUGAAACCAAACUAAACAGACCAAGAACCGAUGAACCCGAGGACUAGAGCAAACUGCAGUUAAACAACAAAUCAUCAGCCGGUUAAGCCGUAUUUUAACCUUUUCUAAACUGGAAAUACGAAAAUUUCACUUCAAAUCCCUUGAGCUUUUGUCACACUUCUUCUCUGCACUCAAUGAAAUAAAACACAACAUAAAAAUAUAAGCACCAUUUCUUUUAUUACUUUUUCUACUAAAAUAAGUUUUUUUUUCUCAUAAAAAACCUAAGAUGGGGAGAGGAUUUUAAAAUUCAAAACCUUCGAAAUAGAUGAGUUUGAGGUUGUUAAUAUUAUUUUAUAUUUUUGAAUAGUAAAUUAAUUGUAUUAGUGGUUUAACCAAUUGGAUCGAGAAUUAAUGAUUUGAUUGAUUUGAGUUUGGGCUGCUCAUUACCUUGACUGCAUUUAUCAUUUAAUUCUUUUUUUAAUUAGCCAAACUCAUGUUCACAAUGGUAUAACAGUAAUUAAUGACUUCAUGGACAGAACAUCAAUAUAUAAAUACACAAACAAAUAUAAUGGGAAUUGGAGAACUCCAAUUUAUACAAACAAAUAUAAGUGUGCAAAUUCAAUACUCAUAAUAAAUACACAAAGAUGACUAAAAACAUUAUUAAACCAGAUCCAGUAUGCAGCAUACAAGAAAAGAGGGUAUUUCAAGGAGUAGAACGAGAAGGUGGUGGAGAAAAGGAAGGAAUAGAGGGAACUGCAGUUGGGAUUGAGGGAAUGCUUGGCAGAGGCGGCAGUCCUCUUGGCAAUGUGGUAGGAAGUGGAGGAAGCGCCCCAGGGUUUGGGAUAUUAGGGAAAGAUGGCAAUGGCGGAAAAGAGAAAGGAAUAGGGGGAAUUGCAGUUGGGAUUGUGGGGACUGAGGGAAUGCUUGGCAGAGGGGGCAGUCCUGUUGGGAAUGUGGUAGGAAGUGGAGGAAGCGCCCCAGGCCAUAAGAAUGAUGGUCGGGAUGGCGUUGGGAGAUUAGGGAAAGAUGGUAAACUUUGCGUUCGAGGCUGCUGCAGAAGGUGACGAGCUGCUACCCCAACAUCAAUGCCUGCAAAUGACAAAGCAAUCAAGAAUGCUAAAGCAAAGCAAUUGAAAGAGGCCAUUUUUGUUCAAAGAUUU
rnacentral:lncRNA from 1 species